UGAAGUGAAGUUGAUAGACUCUCCAAAAGUUUUUCUUUGUCUUCUCUGCCACCAGAUGAGUCUAUUGCAAGGUAACGAAUCUGAUCACCAUUGUCUACUGUACAUAUAUCCCGAUCAUUAAUGACUUUGGAAGACUUUGACAAUGACUCUGCAAGGUCGUGGACCAGAUCAUGCAUCUUAUAAGAUGUUGAUGUUUCUGACUCAUCAAUUAUUUCUUCAAACAAUGAACUCUGCAAUAAAAUUCUCAGAUAAUUAAUUCCAAUUUCCUCCAUCAUCAUUUGGCUGUUGACGUCUGCUUGGAGGAAACCUUCUGCCAUCCAAAGUUCGAUUAGCAUAUCUCCUUUCAUCUCAGUAUCCUUAGGAAAUAUAGAACAAUAUGCAAAACAUUUCUUAACGUAUGGAGAUGGCAAAUUAUCAAAACUCAACUUAAGUAUUUGCAUCACACGAUCUUCAUCUCCACUCAAACUCGAAAGCCUAUUCUCCAAAAUUGAUCGCCACUCCUCUUUUAUAUGUAAAGAUGAUAGACCUCCGAUUGCACUUGCAGCCAAUGGUAGACCAUCACAUCUUUCGAUUACUCUCUCUCUAAUUGCUUGUAGUUCAUCAGGUACUUCUCCCUCUCGAACUGCUUUUUCUUUUACGAUAGACCAACAAUGAUCAACAGGUAGUGUAGUGGGGCCCACGUGCACGUCGGCCUGGCCCGCAAGCUCGGCUAGAAGGAGGUUCUCGGCCCAUCAGGUCGGCUUGGGGGCCCAGAGGGCGCGGUCUCCCCAAGCGGAUGGGCCGCGCGGGCUGCCGAGCCCAAGCACGCCUUAACUGAGUUAUGGAGCCCUAGGGAGAGUUCUGCUCCCAUAAGGACUCCCUGUUCUACUAGGAGACUACUACCUGUGACUCUAUAAAUACCACGCGUAGGAAAAACACAAGGUACGCUACUCAUAGCAUAAGCACUACUCUUUUAUUUACAAGUCUGUUCUGACUUGACCGUCGGAGUUGCUUCAGGGGACUCAGCCCCGCAGCUCAUUUCCGUGCAGGUCGAACGCUUGACCAGCUCGAUCCCCGAUCACGAGGCCAGUUCGGACCUUCACCUCGGCAGUCGCAUCAAUUGGCGCCGUCUGUGGGAACACGUUACUUUUCUUCAUGAAUCAUGCCGAAAACUAGGUCGCAAAGAAACGCUGUUGGAUCCAAGGGGAUGGAGCGAGGCGGCCCCCAAAACUCUCAUCGGGAUCCGACACCUGAAGAAGGAGGGGCGGGGCCCUCACGAAUUUCGCCCGAACAGCUGGUUCAAACGGUGGCAGCAAACCUGCCCACCUUCGAGGCGAUCAUGAACUACCUCAAAGAGCAGUCGGGAGGUCAGUCCGACAAGGAGCCUAAGGUCCAAGGAGCCGACCUGUCAGGGUCCCGAACUGGUAGUCCCAAUCACGGGGCCAAGCGGGCGCAUCGGGAACUCACGCGUGAGCAGGUCGAGGUCGUAGAGCCAUCUCACAAGAACUCCCGAACUGAACAUCCGGAGCCCGUCCGGAGGCUCUCCCCCCGGAGGGAGCGACAACAGGUACGGGACGAGCUGGACCUAAUGCUCGACCCGGAGGCGGACAGGUACAUUGCUUCCCCCUUUGCGCUUGACAUCGAGGAAUACCAACUGCCCGCGAAGUUCAAAAUUCCAACGAUGAAAUCUUACGACGCCACUAUGGAUCCGGAAGACCACCUGUUCGUGUUCAUGACGUAGAUGCGCUUACAAACGGCCGCGGAUGCGGUCAGGUGCAAGACCUUCCCGAUGUUCCUAGAAGGAAGGGCUCGGCAGUGGUUCCAGGGACUUCCCCCCAGAUCGAUCAGUUCUUUCACCCAGCUCGCGCGACUGUUCUCAGCACAGUUCGUUUCCUCACGAGCCUUCUCUAAAAGCACCGCUCACCUUCUGACCAUCCAACAAAGGGUCGAGGAAUCACUGCGUGAGUACAUGGUGCGGUUCAAUAACGAAUCCCUCCAGGUCCGCGACCGAGACGACAAGGUGGUCAUGGCUGCCUUCAUUAACGGGCUACGGAAGCAGAAGUUAUACACCGAGCUCGUGGAGAGACCGCCCAAGUCAGUUCGGGAGAUGCUGGAUCGAGCUCAUGAGAAGGCCAAUGCUGAGGAGGCCAAUCGCUUGAAGAGCGCUCAGGAGAGGCAGAGGGAUGACAAGCGCCGAAGGAUAACCGACCAAGGGGACGUGCGACGUGACCAAGGGCGGAAGAAUACCUAUGACCACCCGCCUAGAAGCCGGCCCUUAGGGGGGGACAAGCCUUGGACUUCCCUCACGGCCCCCCGAGCUCGGGUCCUUGCGGUGAUGGAGCAGGAAGGGCUUUCCCGACCUCCCCGACCCUUGGCCGGGGAUAGAGGCAGACGAGAUCAGGACCUGUACUGUGCAUAUCACAGGGAUGUGGGGCACGACACUGAGGACUGUCGUCACCUAAAGAAGGAGAUCGAAAAGCUGAUACGAAGAGGUCAUCUCGGGCAGUUCGUCCGUGACGGGCGAGCAGAUCAGAAGCCAGGGGGAUUCAAGCGAGAUCGGACGACCAGCUCGCACGACCGACCUCGAGGUCCCCGUGAUCGGACUCCGGAGCAGGGGGUUCAGAACCUAGCCGGGGUAAUCAACACCAUUGCAGGGGGACCUGCGGGGGGAGAUAGCCAUACGGCUCGGCGGAACAACCGGCCUCCCCCCAGCGGGGAGAGCUCGAACAAACGUUUAAAGAUGUACGAGGAGAUCAUCUAUGGGCCAGAGGACGCGGUACCUUUAGCCUCCAACAACCAUGAGGCGAUUGUGAUAGAAGUCAUCACGUGCAACUACAAAGUAAAGAAGGUAUACAUCGACAAUGGGAGCGCCAUCGAUGUGUUGUAUUACAAAACUUUCAAAGAGCUGCAGUUGGAGGAUAAACAGCUCAUUCCAGUUCGUACUCCUCUGAUAGGAUUUGCAGGUCCGCCCGUAAGACCAGAGGGAAUGAUAACUCUCAGGGUCACUGUGGGGGAAUCGCCGAAGUGCCGAACUAUUCCGGUGAAUUUUGCAGUGGUAAAGGAGCCGUCCUCCUACAACAUGAUACUAGGGCGUCCAACAUUAAACGCACUCUGAGCUGUCUGCUCGACCUUGCACCUCAGCAUGAAGUUUCCAACGCCUGAGGGGGUGGCCGAGGUGCUAGGAGACCCGGAGGUAGCACGAGCCUGCUAUAUCGCAACCCUCAAGGGUAAGGAGAAGCUGGUGGCGCAGACAGUCCUUCUGGAGCCCUGGGAGCCUACUGAGAAGGAGGAGAGGUUGGAGACGGACGAGAAUCUGGUUGAAUUGCCUAUCUGCACCGAGCGACCCGAUCGUGUGGUUAGGGCGGGAUCUGGACUAAACGAACUGACGCGGAGAGCCCUGGAGUCUCUCCUGGAGGAGUAUGCCGAGAUCUUUGCUUGGAGUGCUGAUGACAUGCCGGGAGUUCCUCCUGAACUGGCAGUUCACAAGUUGCAUGUGGAUCCAAGCAUCCGGCCAGUGAAGCAGAAGAAGAGAAACUUUGCACCUGAACGCAACGAGGUUGUCAAAGAAGAGGUAGGCAAGCUGUUGGAGGCCAGAAUGUGAAAGAGAUCUACUAUCCGACCUGGCUGGCCAACCCGGUGCUGGUCAAAAAGGAGGACAAGGCUUGGCGAAUGUACGUGGACUUCACCGACCUGAAUAAAGCUUGUCCGAAGGAUUGUUAUCCCCUCCCUCGCAUCGACCAGCUGGUAGACUCGACUGCUGGAUGCGAGAUCUUCUGUUUUCUGGAUGCCUUCAAAGGGUAUCAUCAGAUAGCCCUGGAUGAGAAGGAUCAGGAGAAGACUGCCUUCAUCACCGAGUACGGCACGUACUGUUAUACUACCAUGCCCUUUGGGUUAAAGAAUGCUGGCGCGACCUAUCAGCGGCUGGUCAACAAGAUGUUCAGAGGCCAGAUCGGCCGAAACAUGGAGGUAUAUGUGGAUGACAUGCUGGUGAAGAGCCGGACUCAGGAGCAGUUGAUCAGCGACCUCCGGGAGAUCUUUGGCGUCCUAAGGAGCUCGCGGAUGCGGCUAAACCCCAAGAAGUGCACUUUCGGGGUCAGGUCGGGCAAGUUCCUUGGGUAUAUGAUAUCUAAGGGCGGAGUAAGAGCUAAUCCCGACAAGGUAAAGGCUAUCAUGGAUAUGGCUCCUCCCCGAAGCAUAAAAGAGGUCCAACGGCUGGCGGGCAGGAUGGCGGCCCUAAACAGGUUUUUGUCCAAAUCUGCAGUUCGGGGUUCCCCUUUCUUCAAAGCUUUGCGAAGAGGGCCUCAGUUUGAAUGGACCCCCGAGUGUCAGCAAGCGUUUGACGAACUAAAAGCCCACAUCGCUCAGUUGCCAUCCUUGACCUCUCCCGCGCAAGGAGAAACCUUAUUCAUCUAUCUGGCAGUAGAGGAGGAGGCAAUCAGUGCGGUUCUAGUUCGGGAAGAGGGCAAAAUCCAGAAGCCCGUAUACUAUGUCAGCCGGGCUCUGCAGGGCGCGGAGCCAAGGUACACCUCGAUUGAGCGGUAUGUUUUGGCAUUAGUUCACGCGGCCCGGAAGCUCAGGUCGUAUUUCCAAACUCAUCCCGUGAUAGUAAUGACCGACCAGCCUCUCAAGCAAAUUCUUUCGAAACCCGAUGCCUCGGGAAGAAUGGUGAGGUGGGCUGUGGAGCUGUCCGAGUACGAUCUCAGCUACCAACCCCGCACGGCCAUUAAAGCCCAAGCAUUAGCAGAUUUCAUAGCCGAAGGAAUUUCCUUUGGGCAACAGGAAUCGCAUGCCGAGCAGUCCAGAGACGCAGCUAAGGCCGAGCAGGCCGGAGAGGCUGCCGAGGUCGCGCAGGCCACCAAGUUCGAGCUGACCCAAGACGCAGCUGAGGCCAGGCAGGCCGGAGAAGCUGCCGAGGUCACCAAGUUCGCUAAGACUUCCAAGGCCGAACAUACCAUAGACGCAGCUAAGGCCGAGCAGGCUAGUGAACCUGCCGAGGUCAUACAGGCCACAAUGGAAGCCACGGACGAUCUAAACGGAAACGCAGUGGAGGCCGAGCAGGUCAGAAAAGCUGUGAAAUACGAACAGGCCACCGGAAAGGUGGGUCAGUCCAUUCCAACCUGGACUCUGUUCGUGGACGGCUCGUCAAGCCAGGAAGGAUGCGGAGCAGGACUUCUCUUGACCAGCCCCAUGGGGGAUGAAUUAGCCUACGCCCUAAGGUUUGAUUUCAGGGCCUCCAACAACGAGUCCGAAUACGAGGCCCUGGUCGCGGGGAUGGUGAUAGCUCGAAAGUUGGGGGCCGAAUCAAUAGAAGUCUACAGCGAUUCGCAGCUGAUAGUAAACCAGGUAGGGGGAAGUUUUGAAGUCAAAGAGGAGCCACUAAAAAGGUACGUCGCAAAAGUGCAUGAGCUGAGAGCUCAGUUCAAACUGUUCACGCUCAAGCAGGUCCCGCGAAGCCAGAAUAAAAGGGCAGACGCACUGUCCAAGCUCGCCUCCACCUCAGUCGGCACAUUGAACAAAAAGGUCUUGGUGGAGGUCGUCAGGAGCCGGGCAUAUGAUCAGGUAGAUGCGGCCGUUAUUCAAGUAGUGAGCUCCUGGAUGGAUCCCCUCGUGCGAUACCUGGCCAAUGGAGAGCUCCCCUCAAGUCGGGUGGAAGCACGACGAAUCCUUCUCAAGUCGCGGGGGUACGAGCUCUCGAAUGGGGUACUCUACAAAAAAUCAUACCUGCGUCCAUGGUUGAGGUGCGUAACUCCGGAGGAGGGAGACUAUAUCCUGCGUGAGCUGCAUGAGGGUAUCUGCGGGAACCAUGUCGGACCAAGAGUUUUGGCCAAAAAAGGAAUGUUGUCUGGAUAUUACUGGCCCACUAUCUUCUUGGACUCAGCCGAACUGGUGGCUCGGUGCAAACCCUGCCAGCUGCACGCUCCGAUCCACCACGCCCCAACUCAGGAGAUGGUGCCUCUUCAGAGCCCUUGGCCUUUCUUCCAAUGGGGGAUAGACUUGCUGGGUCCGUUCCCUCGAGCUCCUGGGGGCUAUGAGCACGUGGUGGUGGCUGUGGACUACUUCACCAAGUGGGUGGAGGUCGAGCCCCUUACCACCAUUAGCAGCAGGUCGGUCCAAAAAUUUCUCUGGAGAAAUAUCGUUUGUCGAUUUGGUAUACCUCGGGUCCUGGUCUCAGACAAUGGGCGACAGUUCGCGGACAGUUCUCUCCAAGGCUGGUGCACGGAGCUCGGGAUCCGACAGCACUUCACCUCGGUAGGUCAUCCCCAAGCCAACGGGCAGGUCGAAAACGUUAACAGGACUGUCCUGCACGGUUUGAAGACGCGGAUGGAGUCCGCUCGAGCGGGGUGGCUGGACGAGCUGCCCACCAUCCUAUGGGCCUACCGAACCACUCCCCGAACUGCCACUCAGGAGACUCCUUUCGUUCUGACCUAUGGAACGGAGGCUGUGAUUCCUGCGGAGAUAGGUGUUCCUUCGAACAAGGUUCAGAACUUCAUAGCUCAGGACAAUGAAGAUGAGCUGCGUCUUAACCUGGAUUUGCUGGAAGGAAGGAGAGAAGAAGCGGCUAUACGCAUGGCUAAGUAUAAAGGACAGGUUGCGCGACAUUACAAUGCUAGGGUGAGGCCUCUAUCCUUCAAACCAGGGGACCUGGUCCUAAGGAAGAACAGCGUAAGUCGGUUUCGGGGCACGGGCAAGCUGAAUCCAAAUUGGGAAGGACCCUAUGUGGUGAAAGAAGCGGACCGAGCUGGAUACUGCAAGUUAACUCACCUAAGCGGAGAAGAGGUCCCGCGUACUUGGCACAAUUCCAACUUAAGGAUUUUCCGUUAAGCUCGCGCAUGACAGUUCGUUUCAAGGUCAAGACUUUGAUUAAUGUUAAUGUAUUUGGCUAGUAAGUUAUUUCAGCUUAUAGAAUAGCUCGUUUAGGUUGGCAUAGGGCCGAACUGGUAUGUCUUAUUAUGAGAAACCUUGCGAAUGCGAUUAAGUAUAAAGCAAGAGGAAGGCUUUUCAUUUCAUUCAAUAAAAACUGUACAAGGAAGAACAGAGCUCAUACAAAACGAAUUGCCUACUGACAGUUCGGGUCCUAUCCUAAGUCUUACUCUAGUUCUCCCCCUCCUCCUCCUCCUGCUCGGAUUCGGGGGUGGUCACUGGCAGCAGGGGGUCAGCGACCAGGUCGGUCAAUUUCCGUCCAUGAGUGUAACCCUCUACCAAGCGGUCGAUCUGCUCCACGGCCCGGGGAUUGUAGCUGGGAAAGUUUCCCAGGUCGAACCCGGGCAGACCUAGCCCUUGCACUUCCUUCAGGGCUUGGGAAUACCCAUGUUGCAGAACGGGGGUGUUUAAGAUAGCCAGAUCGCCCCUGAAGUCAUCCGACCUGAGGAAGGCCCGCACGCCCUCCUGGCCUCCCUCAGCCCUGGCCGCUUCCGCCUGAGCCGCCAGCUCGGCUGCCUUCUGCUGCUCCUCUUUCAGCUGGGAGGUCAGCUCGGAAUUUUUCUUCAGCUCUAGCUCGAAGUUUGUAUGGACCUGCGCGAGUUGCUUCUUCAGGCCUUCAGCUUCGGCCACAGCUGCUUCGUUCUGGCUGAGCAGUUUCUCGUUGGCCGCCUUUGUUUCAUUCAACAGGGGGAGCAGGCUUUCGUAGCGCUUGGCCAGUUCGGACCCAACCAGGUUCACCUGAGCCGUUCCCGUGUAGAAGUAGUUGAGGAGGUCGGAUGACUCCAUGGCCUUGGUCAAAUUGUAGUCCCGUGGGAGGAUGGCCCCGUGAGCGAGCUCCCGCGCCACCUCGGGGAACUGAGCCCGGUCAUUUAUGGAUAGCUUCCACUGGGGGCAGAAGUGCAUGGGGUGCUGGUGCGUCGUCAACCGAGUCUGGGGGUCGAAGAGCAGGGAGCUCUGGCGUUGCCACAGGUUAGGGGGAGCUUCAGCUCUGGCUUGCUCUUCGGCGGUGGUCACGCCGUAGUGGCCGCCUUGGGCAGGCUCAGGUGUUGACCUCUCCUCCCUAGCUGGGGACGAGGGCGUCUCCACCCUGGCUCUCUUAGCAGUUGUCUUCUUUUUCUUUUUCUUUCCAGCCUCAACCGCCUUGGAGGAUUGGGCGGGAGCUGGCUGAGGUAUGGGAGCUGGCACCGAGCUGGCUGGAAUGGCCGAGGGACUCUGAGUGGUAGCGCCUGGGUUGGUAGUACCACCGAUGGACAGAAGUGAGGAAAACCGCUUCACUGCACAAACAGAAGUCCAGGAGGUCAGCAGAUGCCCAUAUAUACAAAAAAAAAAAAAAAGAGGAAAAGACGGAAGGGCAGGAUAGUUACAGGUGUCCAGCUCGCCCGGGGUGAGUGGCCUGUCCUCUGGCGAGGGAUCCGAGGAGCUAGCUCGGAUCAACCCCGCCGCCCAAAGCUGGUCAUUGCUGAACUCUUUCACGUCCAGCUUCACGUCCGAGCUGAGUAGGCGGCUAAGCUCGGACACGGGGAGCAGGGAUGGAAGGGGAUCUGAGACUUGAGUCUCUGCUCUCCAAGUAAGGGGAGGAAAACCUAGGUUCUUCACGAAAAAGAACUGAGGCUUCCAGUCCUUGAUAGAGGAAGGUGCCCCCGUGAACAGCUCGCGGGUGGGGGUUUUUGCUCCACUUCGGCGGGCAAAGUAGAACCACCCAGGCACCUUCCCGCUGACCUUCAUCUGGAAGAAGGCACGGAACAGGUCGAGAGAAAAGGAAAUUUCGAGUGUUCGGCAAAGGAUGAAGAAGCCUAUGAUAGAGCGAACAGCGUUGGGGAUGACCUGGGUUAUGCGAAUACCCCAGAAGGUAAGAAUGAAGAAGAGGAAGUUGGGGAUGGGCAGACGGAGGCCAGCCAUUAGCUGGUCCCUGUAGAUCGCCACGAAACCAGUGGGAGGUCGGCUGGCAACCUCCCCUGGAUGCGCGGCCCUGGGCUCGAAUUGGGCUGGGAUUUCAUAUUUUUCCGCCAGCUCGUCAACAUCUUUUUGCUCCAAGGCUGGGGGAAUAGUGUCGACCUCUCCGAAGUCGCCACUUGGCCCCCUCGAGGUCCCCGCUGCCAUCUGACCCGGAGCUGCCUGAUCAGCUGCUCCGACUAGAGGCUGGGCAGGUCGCUCGGCUGGGCUCAUUACUCUAACAGGGGACAGGUUAGGAGAGGCUACUGGUCUCGGUCCAAAGGAAAUAGAAGGAGAAGAGCUAAAGGAAUCUAAAGAGCUGCUAUCUAAGAGUAUGGGGCUAGCUGCUCUAUGCCUAUGGGUUGAACUGGUGACGUCAGAACUAUCAGAACUGUAAGAAGACAUAAAAAGGAAAGGGGGACUUACUGGUGAAAGGAUGACCUAAGGAAUGCGCGGGCUGAUUCUGGGCUCCUAGGGCGGGGCGACCCGACGUGUUCUCGAAGAGAAAAGGAUGAAGCAGCGAGCUAGGGAUUGAAGGAGCGAACUGAGGAAAUGAGAGAAGGAGAGUGAAAAUGACGCUUGGAGGAUCCUAUUUAUAGGCAACGACAGCGCGGGAAAGCGAAGAGGCGCGCAUUUAUUCGAACAGUUUAUGGGGAACCGUUCCUAACCGCCCUAAUUAGCCGAGGCGACGGUUGAGGUGACAGGCGCGAACUGACGCGACGGUUGCUUGCGCCACUCUCUGACGGGGGGUCCCACAAUGAGCUGACACGACCUCCUGGAAUCCGGCCUAGAUUCACGCGCACGAUCGAUGACUCUAGACCUGAGGGGGGGCUAGUGUAGUGGGGCCCACGUGCACGUCGGCCUGGCCCGCAAGCUCGGCUAGAAGGAGGUUCUCGGCCCAUCAGGUCGGCUUGGGGGCCCAGAGGGCGCGGUCUCCCCAAGCGGAUGGGCCGCGCGGGCUGCCGAGCCCAAGCACGCAUUAACUGAGUUAUGGAGCCCUAGGGAGAGUUCUGCUCCCAUAAGGACUCCCUGUUCUACUAGGAGACUACUACCUGUGACUCUAUAAAUACCACGCGUAGGAAAAACACAAGGUACGCUACUCAUAGCAUAAGCACUACUCUUUUAUUUACAAGUCUGUUCUUCAGGGGACUCAGCCCCGCAGCUCAUUUCCGUGCAGGUCGGACGCUUGACCAGCUCGAUCCCCGAUCACGAGGCCAGUUCGGACCUUCACCUCGGCAGUCGCAUCAGGUAGUUUUCCUAAUCGAUAGGCUUCAUUUUCCAUCAUGAAAACUCUAGACACACACUGCGCCACUGGACCUGGACGAGUAGUGACCAAACACCAGCUUCCAUUGGUUGGAUUGAGCCCCUUCAAGGUGUUGAAAAAGUCCUCCCACAAUGCUUGAUCAUCAUUCCACACAUCAUCAAGGACUAGGAGAUAUCUUUUUCCCCCUGGGUUGUUCCCAAUUUUUUCAACGAUGACGUCCCUAAGAUCCACUUCAACCUUUUCUUUCGUCAAAUGCACUAAUAUGAGUUUGAAAAGCUCCUCUAUUGGAACUUUUUUCGAUACACAAACCCAAAUCUUUAUGUCAAAGUGUUCAUCAAUUUGCUUGUUGUUGUAUAUGGAUUUAGCCAAAGUUGUUUUGCCUAAACCUCCCAUACCAACUUUGGGAAGAACAGAAACAACCUUCUCAGACAGGCUCAACAAAAUCUUCACUAUCUCUGAUUCAUCAUCGGCUCUUCCAACCAUUGGAGCAACAACAGAGUCGGUCUGCCGACCUCUCGUGCCUCCAACAGCAGGAGCAGCAGGGAGGGCAGCAGGCACGACUGACUUACUUCCAGUCCAAAAUCACGGGCUUGUUGAUUUAUCUCCUUCAACUUCAGUUUGACGUCCCUGACCUUAGAAGCCAUUCUCCAACGAAAAGCAAUAUUAAUGUUAGAGAAGGAGAAGAAGCAGCAUACCUUGAGCUUGUGUCGGUUUCGGGACUCCACCUGGUGACGAAGAGAUUCAUAGUGGAGCUCAUCCAACACAUUCUGAGCAUCAUAAGCCACCUCCUCGAGACACUUCAACCAUUCAUGCACUACCCGGUCCUGGUUUUGUUGCUUUUCCUCAGCAUCAGACAAGCGAGCAUUGAUAAACCGAAGAGAUCGAGUCAUGCUGGCCAGAUCCUUCUUGAACCCAACUAACAUACCAAUCCUAUCAGAGGCAAGAGACAGUGCCGUUUCCAAUGUGACCUGAAUUGUGGCACCGAUAACAGGGUCGGCCAUUGGUGUUGCCUUGGAUUCAGUGUUGAGAACAAGAUGUUUUUUUUUUUUUAUGGAAAGUUUUUUGCAGCGAGGAACUGGUAAUCUUACCUAGGCUACUAUAAUUGGUUAUAAAGAACGGAGCGUUAAUAAUUAUUGCGCGUAGACCUGGAGUUCUUCUCUGGCAAAUUUGUAAGCUUUUGCAUGGGCGUGUUUACAGAGUAACUUUCUCAAUUAUUGUAGUUGUUGGGGCACAUGUUUUCUGAUUAAAUGCCGGGGCCUUCAGAAUUUUUGGUUGUGGACCAUAUUUGUUUUUGUCCACGAUCAAAUCGUAAAAAGGAGAGUGAGAUUCUGCUUUGGUUACAUGCAUGUCAUUGUUAUUUGUUAAUCCUUGGAAAAUGAAUUUAUGACAUAAUUUGGUCUGAAUGUUGUUCGGUUUUGGGAAGCAAUAAUAAUAAUGUUCUCUGUUUUCGCACUAGCUAUGAUGCAUUUUGCUUCUUGGCUUAGCAAUCAGGCUUGAGAUUUUAAAUUACCUUUUGUACUUCAGCGUUUCAAGUAUAUAACAUGAUCGGUAUGAAACCCUAGCCUUCUACUCCUCUCUUUAAAAUCUGAUAGUCUUUAAUUCAAAUCGAUAUUAAUCCUUUUUGUUAUAUUAUUUCUUAUUACUUUCCUUUUCUAGUUGAUUUUGGAUCCUUUUUUUUAUUACUUUUCUAAAUUUUUCUCCUCAAACUGGAUGUCUCUCAAUCUCUCUUGUGGGAAUUCAACAUACUUUAAGAUGAAUUUCAUUUUGUCAUUAUCAAGUUUGCACUUGAAGAAUUAAAGUUCAUAUGGGGCUAAGUCAUACUAAUUUCAUAUCUUUGACAUUUAUUUAUCACAAACCUCAAUUCUUCUUUCCUCUAGUGUUUCUUUUCUAUAUCAACUCUCCUUAAUCCCAUUAUUGUCUCACAGCAUAAUCCAGAAAGUGUCAGUAUAUAAGAAUUCUUUUGAAGUAAUUAUUACUAAUAUAUAGUUUCCGUUUCUUGUGGAAUGUUCUGAAUCUUUCCUAAAGCACCAUUUUCCAAUUUGAGUUCCAGAAUUGUUGCAAACUUUUUUGAUUUGCGCAUCACUUUGCAUGUAAGAAUUCAAAAUUUCACCACCAAUUAAAUAUAUAGUUUUCCUCGCAACUUGUCCCGUUUGGAUUGCUAUUUUUAGGAAUUUUUAGCUGUUGCUUGGCAUUUUCAAUUCACCUUUCUUUGUAGUGUAGUAGUUGCCGGGAUUCUUCAGCUGCCGUUGAUCCACAUGCCACAUGCUUGGGGGGCCAUCGGAUGUGGAAAUUUCCACCCAAGAAGGAAAAGAAACCGUGUUGAAUGAUGAAGAAAAGAAAAUGGCAAUCAUCAUUGACACUCUAAUAAUUGCCAUGGAGAAGUUUGCCUGGCAAUUUCACUUGGCUUUAUUGAUCAAUGCUUAGCUGGGUAUUUCAUCUUUUUCUGAUUGAAAGCUGGCUGGGGCCUUUGGCUGUGGAAAAUAUCUCAAUAGUUUGUCGGAGCUGUGGUUUGACCCAAGACUGACCCCCGCCACAAAAAAAAAAAAAAAAAAAAAAGCCUAUGUUCAACGAUCAAAAUGUAAAGGAGAAAGAGGAAAUGACAACCAUAGCUGGUGACUUUGCAACAUUAAUUGCCUCAGUCAUUAAUCCUUGGGAAAUAGACUAAAAACGUUAUUUUGUGGGGGAAAAACUUAAAAAAUAAUCCGUGGUUCACUUGUCAAAAACAUGAAGUGGAGUUAGCAAUCAGGUUUGGCAUGUAGCGACAUAAUUGGCCAAUGGUUGGGUGCUUUCUUAGCUUUUUACACUUGUGAAAUUGCCAAAACAGUCGCUCGUAAUUCCACAAGCUUUCUAGCACUUUAAAAAUUCAAACAUUUUGUUUCAAAAUGUCUUGUUUAUGUACAGCAUACAAAAUUUAAGUGGUGAAAGUUUAAGGCGUUUCUUUAUUACUAUAUUUUUUUGAAGUACAAUAUACAAUCAACUGGAGUUAGAAGUAAAAUAGACCUUUAGCUCACACUAUGAUUAUAAACUUUGACUGAAUUGGAUGUUUUGGGAAGAGGGAAAUGAGCGUGUUCUUGCAGAUUUCAAUUUUUACAAUUGAAUUAUUUGCCUAUGAUAUGAUCACAAGUUUAACUUAAAUGGAGUUGCGAUAAUAGAAGAUUCUCGAAAGAAGACUUCAAAAGGUGGAAAUUGAAAAUGAGUGGAAAUUAAUGAGGAAUUAACCAAUUAUUUGGAUUCCCAUUUUUGUAUCCGACUCUUUUAUAAUUAGUUUUUCUUAUAGUUUUUCUCGCUCCUAACAAAUUUAUCUAAAAAGAUAAAUUUGAAUUAUUUGUUCUUAUGGUUCCUCUCUCUUCUAACAAUAUGAUAAAUUUGUAUAAAUUUGUUUAUCCAUAUGGAUUAACUUAGUGUUAAAAAAUUUUUAACUGUUAGCUGAUAGAUUUAUCAAUAUUGCUGGAAAUUAAAUAUUUUUUGAUGUAGAAAACAAAUCGCAAAAUCUUUUGUACUUAGUUAGGUAGGAAAAUGUAACUAGGUUUAUGGUUAUUAUAAAAAUUGUAAUUAUCUAAAAAAUAUCCGUACACAAAAAGGUAGAAUAUCUAUUGAUUUUUUAAUAUGUGUUAUCAUAUUUGAUGAAUAUUAUUAUAUUAUAGUAAAACUAUGUAAAGAAGUUUUUAAAAAUUAGUAUGAUAGUUAAGUAUAAUUAUUCCAUUAAUUUUCUAAAAUUAAUAUGAAUGAACUUGUAAGAUCAUCAUUAAUUUUUUAUUUAAAUUAUUCAUGCUUGCACGAAUUCAGAAGAAAAUAAAAAAAUAAACCAUGCCAAGGCAAAUGCAAGAUGCUCGUUCAAAUUAAUGUUGUACACGUAUAGGAGUCACAAAACGGUUUGGUGCACUAGCAGACGAAAGGGGACAUCUAAAGUAUUAGGACAAGUUUUACAUUAAAGUGGGAGAUUUGUAACGCAAUUGAGCGAAAACAAAUGAGGUUGAGGAAAACUUUAUAUCAGUUGCAAUACAUUCAUAAAAGCUAUGGCACAUUCGUUAAAAUAAGAAAUAUUUAUUAAUUUGGUGCAGUGUAAUAGCAAACCAAGGAAAAAAAAUAUGAAUGAUCCGUGAGAGGGAAAGAUGUCAUUUGACUUAAAAUAAAAGUGUGAUUGGAUAGAGGUUUAGAUGAACAAAAAAAUUAGAUUAAUAUUGUAACACUUUUUGUGGCUUGAUAUAAUAUAUAUGAGAUAGAAUGAUGACUGGUAAAAUAAAAAAAAUGAUUCAGGUAAAUAUAAAUAAUUUUUUUCAUAUAUUUGCGUAAUGAUGAUAAUGACAGGGUGAAAACAAUGCAUGCAAAGACGAAGGUUGAUAAUAAUAAUGAUAACUAUGGUGAGAUAGAUAGCAAUUGCAAGUUGCACACCAUGCAAUUAGUGUUUUAGAUUAGGUAAAUUUGCACACCACUAUUGCAAAUAAUUCAGUCAAUAAGAGAUAGGAAAACAUAAUGCACGAAAUCCAACUUUUAGAAUUGUGUUAUAGUUUAAUGAUGACUAUGUGGUGUUUUUGUAGACAAAUAAACAGAAAAACAAAUAAAUAUACAAAUUUGAUAAAGAAAGGUGCACUUCUACAGGACCGAAACUAAUUGCUCUUAGGUCCCAUUUUGCUAUUUUUUAAAGUUUUUAUAGAGACUUUUUCGUUUGGAUUGCUAUUUUUUGAAAUUUUUAUAGAAAAAUGUAUUGUAGAAAUUUAAUAUCUAUGAGAUAAAAAAGUAAUUAAAAUAUGUGUUUAUGAAAAACAUUAAAAAUAUUCCGUAGUAGACUGCAAUCCUAGCAUGGCUUGCGAUUUGAUCAAUAUGAAAUAAAAAAGUAAUUAAGAAAUGUGUUCACAAAAAAUGUAAAAAAUUUGCCUUAGAAAACUACAAUCCAAACAAGUAGUCUUCUCCCCGUUCAAGAAACGCAAUGAAAAUAUUUGUUGAAUAAUUAAACUUAUCCUUUCAUAAGCCACUUAUACCGGGGGAGGUAUGGAGGGAGGCAAUGAAUAAAAAGUCUUGGGUUCGAUUCCUCCCACUUACACAAAGAAAAAAGUAUAAAAUAAAAUAAAAAAAAAAACCACUUAUACUAGCUAAGAGUAUUUUCUGGUCACGUCUCGUGUUAUAUAUUAUUAAUCCUAUCAUAUUAUCCAAAAGCAUUUGUUGGAAAUUGCAUUCUUAAUUUAGAUUAAAAAAAACAAUAAUGAAAUAUUUGUUGGAAACGAAGGAAAAGUGACGCAACCUUUCCAAUUUGUAAAUUCAAUUAGGCUUACAUGUAAAACUAUUAAAGUGUAUCAGCAUGAGAGAAUUUAGUGCUUCAUCUGACGCUUGUAAAAUAGACAAAUGAAGUUUUGAAAUUCUAGCACUUUUGGACCAAUACCUUUUUUUUAAGGCAAAACCAAUACCUUAGGUAACCACAAGAUCUCAUCUUGAUUUGCUGUUUUUCUUAUUAAAUGUUGAAUCUAGAAAAUCAUGUCUCAGAAAUAACUACAUAUACCUGGAAAAAAAAUUUAGUGCUAGGAUAAAUAUACUGCUAAGUUAUGGAAAUUCUCUUUUCCAUUUUAGCAAUUUGAUUCUUUGGACGCAUGAUUCUAUCUGUUAUAUUUGGCUUCAAAAUAUGUUACUUUAGAAUGGUGUUUGGAUGUGGAUACAUAAUCUGUAAUUAUUCUCACCUAUAUUUAUUUUCUAAAGGUCUGUCCACUUUAUUCGGAUUUCUUACCUAUUUCACUCACAAAUGCAGAGGUAGCCAUUGGCGUUUUACGGUGAAGAGAAGCCAAAAAAACUACCAACCCCUUUAUUGCUCUCUUUCAUCUUAUUUCUCCAUCUUUCAUCCUUCUUUUUCGUUGUGACCUACAAUUAGGACUGCAAACCACUCAAGCGCUAGCGAGCCAACUCAGUCAAAAGUUAAAUCGAGUUCAGGUAAUACUGAAUCCGAGUUGAGCUCAAUCCAACCAAGUUGAGCUACCGAAUUCAAGUCGAACAUAAAGAAAUUCAAUUCAUUAAUUGACGAGUUAGCUCGAAUAUAUAUAUAUUUAUAUAUAUUAUUUUAAUAUUGAUAUUACACAUAUAUCUGCCUAAUAUUUUUAUUAUUUACUAAGCAAAAAAUGAAUAUUUUAUUCUUUUUUAAAAGAAACAAAAUAAUUAUUUUUUAUUUUUUAAGGUCGAGCAAGCUCAAGCUUGAGUAUUCGAGUUUGAUUAGACUCGAAUUUGAAGUCGAGAAUGAACUCGAAUUUUACAUUGAAAACUCGUCGAGUUCGAAUUUGGUAAAACUGAGUCGAGCUUGACUUUAUUAAGCUAAAAGUGGACUCAACUAGUUCAUUUGUAACCCUACUUACAAUGCUUUGAUCACCAUUUUAGAAAGUUUAGUUGUGGGCCUUGGUGAACUGUUAACGGGGAUGCAAUUUGUUGACAUGCAAUUGGCUAAUCAUCCAAGUAUUGCUACUGCUCUAUACAGUUUUAACAAAGUGGCCGAAAUUGAUAAAAGGAAAAACUGUUACAGCAUUAGUGAUUUAUUGGUUGUAAACACUUGCCACAAGAAAAUGCAUUUGCUUAUCCGAACACUAUCCAUGAACCGUUCAGUAGGUGCUUGUCUUCAAUAAUUUCUGAAAGAUUAUAUAAUGUGUGAAUGUUUCAAAAAGACAAUACAAUAUGCAAAAACUAUUCACUGAUAGUUUCCAAAAGGAGUUUAAUUAAGCUUUACUUGUCGGUUUAUUGUUUGAGACUCUGACUUAGCAUCUAUAAAUGAAUGCAAUAACUGGUAGGGAAAAAAUCAUUCGAUUGUGAUGUAUUUUUUGAUUUUCUUGAAAUAAAAAAUGCAUAGGGAAAAAAAUAUUAGAGAUUUAUCCUUUGCAUGGAGUUCAUAUCGUUACUACUUUUGCUACGUGGAAUACCUUGUCUGAUGGAUGUCUGCUUGAAAUAUGCGUUAACCUUUAUGGCUUCCACAUAUUGUAUGUUUAUCCUAAUAAAUCAUCUUGUAUGGUGCUAAUAUUUCAAACAAGUUUUGGAAUUUUGCUGCAAGUUUAUCUUCUCAAAAGAUAAGUCAAUCGAUUUGAUUUGCGUCCAAAAAUGUGGGUGGAGUUUUGUUUCUAAAUAAAUACUCAGAUAAAACCAAUCCAAACAAACAUAUAUAUGCUUUGCUGAGGCCGACAGCUGUUUCUGAUUGACAAAUUUUAAAUGCUGGGGCAUUCAGUUGUGGAAAAAAACUCUCUGACCCAAGAGCACAAGAAACUGUUGUCUUUAAGGAUAAAAAUGUACCAAAAAAAUAAUAAUAAAUAAAAGGAAAAUGACAAUCUACUUUGGCUACAUUGUUCAGCCAAUUUCCAGUUCUUGAGAAAUAAAAUAGACGUUCAACGCCCAUUUUCUAAUUCGAUUCAGUUCUGUGACCCCUUUUUUUAAUUUUCUAUAAUUUGAGGUAUAUAUAUAUAUAUAUAUAUAUAUAUAUGUAUAUGCCAAUCAUAUCCCAAUGCCAUUUGGUAGCUUUGCUUGGUCACUAUUCAACGCUUCCCUAUAUUUGUUCUAUUGUUCCCGUCAUUCAGAAACAAGGGGACAAAUCCUUAUACUACUGUAUAAGAAUAAAUUGUGGUCAAAUAUGAUUUGAAUUUCAGCCAUAUGGAUAGGGACUUUUUGAAAAUAUGAAAUAUUGUGUAAUUUUUUAAAAUCUUUUGAUACAAUUGAGGGCAGCAUGUAUUUAGAUAUAUUUACCGAAAUACAGUCAUUUUGGUACAUUUAAAACUUUGAUUUAUGGGGACAUUUAGGUAUUUUUGGAAUAUAAAAUUAUUUUGCAACCAUUUUUGCAUCGAGUACAACUCAUAUAAACUUAUGUGUUGAUAUAAUUACUGAAAUGAUAUUAUUGACAUAUUUAAUUAAAGUGUGAUUUUUGUUGUACAAUUAACACAAAGAUAUAUUAACACAUUGUGCAAUUAAAACAUUGCUAUAAUUAGCCAUUAAAGGAUAUUUCUUUGUUUGAAAUAAUUUAUAUCUGCUCUUGGGCAAUUUUCAAUUAACAUCUAUAGGGGCUUUUUAAGAAUGAUAAAAUUGUAAAAGUAUUGAUAAAGUAAAAUGUACAAGUGUGUGCUGCAAUUAGAAUGUACUAUUAUUAGUUUUGUCAUAUUUGAUGACUAUUUCUUUUCGGAAUAUAUAAUUAUUUAUCCAAUAAAAAAUUCUCUCUAAUCACAAGCACCAAACAUCAGCACGAUGCACUGGCACUCCCUAGUAAUCACAACAAAGAGAGGAAGGCAACCGAAUUGAUCAAGAAAGUGGAGCGAUCGAUUACAAAUGAAUAAUGUCAUAUUGCCGCAUAUUACUACUGCCUUAUUACCAUUAGAUAGGCAAAAUAUUUGUACUUUUCAAUUUUCUAUUUGGAGGUAAGGUCUAAUAUCCCCUUCCUUUCUUUGUAACUUUUUCGAUGAUUUUAUUAAUAAAAUGGGUAUAUAACCCCACCCGCCAAAUAUAAUUGGCGGUUUUUUUUUUUGGUUAAAAAACUGUCAUACUGCAAUUAGUUGUUCCAAUCAUUGGGUGCAAUACUCUGCGUAGGGAUGUACGCGAACCGAGCUACUCGCGAGCUACAAUGACUUGGCUUGAUCGAGUUCAAGCCGAGUCUCGAAUUACCCGAAUAUACAUUCAAAUCGAAUUCGAGUCACGAUUUUGCAGCUCGUGACUUGACGAGCUACUCGUCAAGUAGUAUAAUUUAAAUAAUAUAUAUGUAUUAUAAUUAUAAAAUGACCGUUAUGAUUAUAAUUUAUACUGAAUUUACAAGCAGGGUACCGAGUCAAAAAGCUCAAUUACUCGACUCGAUAAGGUUUGACUCAAUCGUCGAACCUUAUCAAGUCGAGUCUCGAGCUUUUAAGGAUCUUCUUGAGUCAAGCUCGAGUUGAAAUUCUCCGACUCGAUCAAGUUCAAGCCGAGCUCGAGCAUAGUUAUUAUAGGCUGAAUCGAACUCGAGUGUAGCAGUACUCAACCUCAACUUGGCUCGAGUACAACCCUAGCUCCAUAUGAAGAAAUGGGUGUGUUACUAGAAGAAAGAAAAGAGACCUCAUGGAGUAGAGUUCACAUGGAGGUGCGACGUGUUAAAUUUAUUCACAGACAAAGGACCGCACGUGUCCCUAUUUUUAAAAUUCCUUUUUCAAUAAAUGAGCCUCAUGUAUUACGUUACGGGCAAAUGCAAACCCCAUAUUUUGCAAAAGAGCAGAGGGGCUCUUUUUUUUUCUUUUUUUGGUGCGUCACAGAGGUGCUCUUUUGCAAAAUAGAGAGCUGCAUUUGGUUUUCAAUUUUUUUAAAAAAAUUAACAUUUCCAAAACAAAUUUAAAAUUACCAAAAAAGGGUUUGGAUGCCGCAUGUAUGCAUGGUGCCAAUUGUGCCAAAAUCGACAUCCCUAAAUAAAGAAAAUUACCACUUUUUUCUCAUUUUGAUGAUUUUUUUUUUAGUUUUUUAACAGUAUUAUAAGAACUUACUCCAUAAUUUGCAGAUGUCACUGCAAUAUCUAAAUUAGAGAGGAAGUCCUUGCAAGUUCACACGUUUUCGGUGAAAACUCUGUGGUCCAUCAAGUCCGUACAUUUCAUUUAUAGGAGCCUGAAUUCCUUGGCGCGGGAUACAGAUGAACCUUCCCGUGUAAUAUUUUUUCAAUAUUUUAUAAUUCUAGGUGAACUAUUUAUACAUCCUUAUAAUAGAUGUGUGACGUUCUGUUAAUGUUCACGUGAGAUUCUAUGUAUAAUAAUUACGUUUCUAUCGUAAAAUUUUAUAAAUAAUUCACAUAGAGUUAUAUUCCGUUCAAAAAAUGUUACACCAUUUAUAACAUUUGUCAUACUCAUACCCCUAAUCUGAAUUCCGCAUGACACACUUAAUUUAGUUAGAAGUUAGAGCUUGAGGUGUUAAACAUUUCGCGACUUUGAUGAACAAGGUAUGCCAGCCCCACUCGACGGUAUGGGUAUCAAAAACUCUCACCGAACCGUGGACGAAAGGCCUUCUUUAUUCGGUAGCAAUAUGGUGGUUAUCUUAGAAUUUGGUGCAUUUCGAGCCCUUUUGAAUUGCUAUUUUCUGACAUUUUCGUAGAAAAAUAUAUUAUAGUAAUUUAAUAUACGUGAAGUAAAAAAGUGAUUAAAAAAAUGUAUUCAUAAAAAAUGUAAAAUUUUUUUGAAAAAAAAAUGGCAAUCCAAAUAAGGCUAAAUUUCUUCUUCUUUUUUUUUUUUUUUGCCCUUAACUAGAAUUCUCAGCCAACGUAUUUUAGGUGAUUUUCGAUAAAAGGUUUAUCCAGUUUAUGUAAGGACAGCAUCAUCCUCACCAGCACCAAUAAACAAAGAAAAGAAAGAACACAUACAUCUAUUGAAUUGUUGACGAAAUAAUAAACAGAAGGCGAGGUGCCCUAUGAGGCAAGGGAAAAUGAAGACGUGGACUACUCCAGUAGCAUUGAGCAGAGACAAAGUCGUAAGAAACGAAAAGGGAUAUAAUUUUUUCUUUUUUCUUUAUAAAUUUUUCAUUAAAUUUUCUUUAUUUCAUGGACUAUUAGAAAAUUGUGAGGAGGGUUUGGUGAAGCAGAGAAAUAAUUAGAAAGUGUUGGCUGGUCCAUGCACGCUAUUAGUCUUAGCAGUAGGGUCGUGGGCCGUUGGAAGAAGGGGGAGAAUGACAGGACAGCACACCGUGAGCUAGCUACUAGAUUGGACAGACUUUUUUUUUUCUUCUUUUUGUUUUUCGGGUAGUGGAGAGUGGCACAAGAAUUUUCUAAAAGAAUUUAAGAAGAUAUAUUCUAAAAGAAUUUUAACAGACACAAGAAAAUUUUCCAGAGAUACGGAUGCCCAAUUAUUUUAGUGGAGAUCUUUUCAUGAAAAUAUUUGUCUGACGAUCUUUUUUUUUAUUUAUCGCAAUAAUAAAAUUUUUAUAAUCUAAUUUAAUCUAAUCAAGAAGAAAGGAGAGGGAGAUUCGAUAUGAGUAGAGACUCCAUAAAAAAUGAUCAAUUAAAGUCAUCACACAUAAUAAUAAAUUGAUGGAAGGUAAAGAUUGAACUCUUUCACCUCCCACACUAUCAAGACUUAAGUCUUGUGUGGUGACCACCGGGCCGCCAAAGGCGCAGUGUUAUCACCUUGAGUCUUGUUCGGUUACAUUUCAUUUAUUUUCAUGGACCCGCCAGUGGGCAUGACAGUUGCCAUGAAACUUGGAUGCUAUUCUAUUAAUUGCCAUGGAAGUUGCUUGGGAUUUUGACUUGACCUUUCUUAAUUCGUGUUUUGCUGAUUGUUGGGGCCUUCAGUUGUGGAAAAAAUCACAGAAGGUUGUUGGAAUAGUGAUCUGACCCAAGAGGCACAAGAAACUGUUGUCCUUAAGGAUAAAAAUGUACCCAAAAUAAUAAUAAUAAAAAAAUAAAAGGAAAAUGACAAUCUACUUUGGCUACAUUGUUCAGCCCAUUUUCUAGUUGUUGAGAAAUGAAAUGAGAACAUUUAUUAUAUUUGGAAGUUUUCAAGCACAUCAAACUUAAAGGAAUUUAACAAGUCGUAACAAAACUAUACGGUUACUUCAAAUCCGUUUCUAAUGUUAUUGAGGAUAUUUGCGUAACAUCAAUGUUUCGGAUUUAUAUUAAAUAUAGAAUCUUACUGUAUUGAAUUUUCUUAUGAAACAGAGAUUUGGAUUAGGAAGACGGUACAUAAAUAUUAAUUUGUAAAGCACUGUCGAUCGAUUUGAUUCUGGUCCAAUACUUGGUUGACCAAGAAAAAUACAUAGCAGUUGGAUGCUCGGAUUCAACAUCUGCUUUUGAUACACACGCUUGCGGGGCCCUUGGAUGCAGAAAUUCCACCCAAGAAGGACAAGAAAUUGUGUGUUGAAUGAUGAAGAAAAGAAAAUGGCAAUCAUCAUUGAUCAUUGAAACUAAUAAAUCUCUUUUGACAAGAAUUUUCAUAAACAACACCUAAGUUAAACCCACAAGAUACAACUAAAAAGCUGACUUUUGGUUACACCCAUAAAACUUAAGUACUACUCACGCACACUCUUAACAAACAAUGUGGGAUGCAGAGAUAGGAACAGGGAGAGUCUCUACUAAGCACUAAGGAGCACUCAUUCACUCCGAUUUUUUACCUCUUCAACAGGUCUUUUUUUCUUUUGACAAGAAUUUUCAUAAACAACACCCAAGUUAACUCCACAAGAUACAACCAAAAGGCUGAUUUUUAGUUGCACCCAUAAAACUUAAGUACUACUCACACACAUACUCUCAACAAACGAUGUGGGACGCAGGAAUAGGAAUAGGGGAGCCUCUACUAAGCACUAAGGAGCACUCACUCACUCCGAUUUUUUACCUCUCCGAUUGAGACUAAUAAAUCUCACUCCUUAAUUCUUUGGACAUGAUCGUACAAUUAAUCAUGUCAUCUAAAUUGCUUAUAUUUAUUUGAAACAUUAUUUAAGUACUCCUUAUUUUGUUUGCUUUCUGCAGAGCAUUAUGCUAUGAAAUAAUUAUUGUAAUAUUUUUUAUAAUAUAAUAUAUAUGAAAUAAAAAAUAAUAAAAAAUAUAAAAAAUAAGUUAGAAAAAAUAUAUAUAAUACAAAUAAAAUAUUAUUUAAAAUAAUUGGGUAUUGAAACACCCCCGGAGUUCUCUAUUUCCAUGCUAGCUAUAUAUUUUCCCUUUUUGUCCAGUUCGGAAUAGCUAGAAAUUUACAGUGGGUGCUUUUGUUUGCUCUUCAACAACCGGAAAAAAUGCUGCGGUAGUGCAUCUUUGACAAACUUGCAUGCCAUUAUUGACUUGGCCUUUAUUGAUCAAUGGUUAGCUAGGUAUUUCAUCUUUUUCUGAUUGAAAGCUGGCUGGGGCCUUUGGUUGUGGAAAAUAUCUCAAUUGUUUGUCGGAGUUUUGGUUUGAUCCAAAUCCCCCCCACCCCCCGCGGCAGCCCAAAAAAAAAAAGCACGCCAGAAAAGAAAUGUUCAACGCUCAAAGUGUAAAAGAGAAAAGGAAAUAACAACCAUGGCUGGUGACUUUGCAGCAUUAAUUACCUCCGUCAUUAAUCCUAAUAGACUAAAAACGUUAUUUUGCAGGGGAAAAACUGAAAAAAUAACCGCUGGUUCACUUAUCAAAAACAUGGAGUGGAAUUAAUAAUCAGGUUUGGCAUGUAGCAACAUUAUUGGACAAGGAUUGAGUGCUUUCUUAGCAUUUAUGCUUGUGAAAUUGCCAAUAUAGUCACUUGCAGUUCCACAAGUUUUCUAGCACUUAAAAACUUUAGACAUUUUGUUAAUGCGCAAAUUAGGCAGUUUAUUUGUUAAUAUUUCCCCCUUUAUUUUGACCAAAUGUUGUGAUAAUUUGCUAGAUUCUACUUAUAUUUGAAUUUUUGUGUGAUUUCUAGGAACUUCAAGUCAAUUGAGGCAGAAAAGGAGAAAUUGAAGCCUAAUUGAGGAAAUUCCAUUAAGAAAAUCUUGAUACAAGUUUCUUAGUUGAUACUUGAAAACCGCUACAUCAGGGAUGAUGGGGUGUGGAAACCACCCAGGAGUAUUCAUCUACAAUGCCCUGUUCGGUUGAUGAUUGUUACUGCAUCAAGUUAGCAAGCAUUUUGGGCUUUUGCUUUUGGUUAGUUUACGGCAAAGAACAGUACAAUUGAUGCAGCAGAACGUCCGCAUCCCAUUGAGCUUCAAUUGCACACGAGGCCCAUUUUUGGAAAAAAAAGAAGAAAGAAACGCUAAAGAAGCCCUGGGGGGACGCGAGGUAAAACAGGACCUCUGGUUCAACUGAAGAGGAUAAAAGAGGAGAAAACGGAAGGGCAAAAAAAGGGGAGGACUUUGAAAAUCAACGCAGGCCAUUCUGUUCCGUCCCGUUUUUCCUUCCUUUUCCCAAUUUAUUUUCCUUUUUCAAUUAAGAACUCGAGUAGUACUUUUGGCUGCAAUUCAACUAUGAGGAGUGGCUAAUUUCUUCAUCUAGUCAGAGGUUAAAUCGAAGCUUGGGUUCGACAAAACUAUGAGAUCGAAUUGAUUUGCCUAUGUUCUUUAAUUUGCAAGUAUUUAUAUAUUUCCUGUUCACUUAUGCAUAUGAUUAUUUCUUGCAAUUAAAUACUUGAUCACUGUUUAAUUGUGUGAGUAAUUAACAGCCAUCUAAGAGUGCUCAAUCCGUAAUUGUUGGAUAAUUUUAGUGCAUGUGGCAAUUGACAUGAUUCAAUUGUAGUAGAAACUUUUGAGUUGUUGUUGCGGAAAUAUAUGAUAUAGCCUAAAUAAAUCGAGCGUGUGUGUUUGUUGGUUAUAAUUGGUGGCCAGUCUAAUGAUUAAUGCUGUCAAUAGGUUAAAUCCUAAGAGCGUGUUUAGGACUGCUUAAUUGGCUAGGGCAAUAACCACAGAGCUUGUUAUGGUUAUCGAAUCAGGAAGGUUAGGCAGGUUGUCAGAACUUGUUGACAACCAUAACCAGUUUAUUUGUAAGUGAAAGAUUUUAUCUCUGCAUCUGUGAUCAAUGAUUCGAACCAUUAGUGGAGAUUAUACCUUUGAUUAGAGAUUUUCCUUCCGUUAAUUUACUUUAUAUUUAUUGUUAUUUAUUUUAUCUGCGAUUGUCUUAUUUUUAAUUUGAGCAAUUAAAUUAGACAGUUCCAUAUCAAUUCCCCCCAGUUUUAUUUAAUGUUACAUUCAUUCAAAAUAAAUUCCCAAGUCCCUGUGGAUUCGACCCUGCUCACUGCUAUAUUCGAAUUUUAUCUUUCACGUAAUUAAGAUACUUUGGUAUAUCGGAUCAAGCAAACUCUGGCACCAGGGUGAAGUUAGUAACCCAUUGCACAGCCUAAGUCCCUGCUCCAAUACCAUAGUGGACUUAAUUCGUGACUUAAGAGUAGGAAUUUUAUUUUUGCUGGUUUGACACCCACCACAUUUUGUGUCAAAAUGCUUGUUUUUGUGCAAUAUACAAAAUUUAAGUGGUGAAAGUUUGAGGAUUUUCUUUAUUAUUAUUCUUUUUCUUUUGGAGUACAAUAUAUAAUCAACCGUAGUUAGAAGUGAAAUCGACUGUUAACUCACACUAUAAUUGUAAACUUUGACUAAAUUUGGAUGUUUUGGGAAGGGGUUAAAUGGCGUGUUCCUGUGGGUUUCAUUUUUUACAAUUGAAUUAUUUGCCUAUGACAUGAUCACAAGUUUAACUUAAAUGAAGCUGCAAUAAUAGAAGAUUCCCGAAAGAAGACUUCAAAAGGUGGAAAUUGAAAAUGAGUGGAAAUUGAUGGUGAAUUAAUCGGUUAUUUGGAUACUUGAGUUUCACCUAUUUUUGUAUCGGAUUCUUUUAUAAUUAGCUUUUCUUAUAGUUUUUCUCGUCCUAACAAGUUUAUCUUUUAAGAUAAAUUUGAAUUAUUUGUUCUUAUGUUUCUUCUCUCUUCUAACAAUAUGAUAAAUUUGUAUAAUUUUUUUUAUCUAUAUGUGAUAGGACACAAUUUGUUGUUAAUUUUAUGGUUAAUUUUCCUCUUUGUCCUUGCCAAAUAUUGUUUUAAUUGUUGAAAUGUACUUAUAUUUGGUAUUUGGCCCUAAUUACAGGAAGUGGAGCAAGCAAGUGGUAAAAAGGAGACUUUAUUGAGAAAAACACUCCACACAUGGGAAGUUCUAAAAGGAAAUACAAGCCGGGCUCCACAGGAUGCUACAAAAAGGGAUUUCCUAUCUUUAUGCUGAAAAUGAUGGACUUAUACUAGGAGUCUUACAGGUAAGAGGAAACUAAAAACAAGGACUUUGGCAGAGCUCCAAUUCUUUGGCCCUUGGACUCUCAAUUCAGUGGAGACCACCGAGGGAAGUUAGGCAAUUGUUUAGAUUAGGAACAAUGGGUGAUUACCUUAUUCUUUUUCUCUUCUUAUUCGGUUAGGAGACUAAUCACGUAGGUUUAUAUAUUGGAGGCUAAUGAGCCGCAGGGAAGGGGGGGCUUGGACAGUAUCACGUUGGAAAUUUUCUCAACAAAUGAAGAACUAAAUUCUUAUUUUCUAGUCGAAGGUCAAUUUGAGGACUCGGUUCCGAACAUCUGUGAGAUCUAAUUAUUUUACUUAUUUCUUCUAUUUAUUGGUAUUUGUACGUUUCCUGAUUUAAUUGCUUAUGAUUGUUUUGUCAUUUGAAUGUCAAGGGUCCGAUAUUCGAAUUAACCUAAUAAUCUGCUGUCAUAUUAAUUGAUUGAAUCCGUAAUUGUUCAAUUGAUUAAUUUCAGUGGCGACUAGCGUGAUUGGUUUCAUGUUAGGGAAACAUAUGAUCUAACUUAAACAAACCCUCGUAGCGUGUUUGUUGGUUAGGGUUGGACUUUUCUAAUUAUUAAUGUAAUCGAGUAAUUAAAUCCUACGGUCGUACCUAAGAUUAUUUCUUGGUUAGAGAAAUAGUUAACGGUCAUACCUUAACUAUCGAGAAAUUAAGAAAAUGCUGGUUGUUCAUCGCGUGUAUGACAACUAUAACUAAUCUAGUAAUGAAUAAUUGAGUUAUCUUUGCAUCGAUGAUCAGUUGAAUGAACCAUGUCUGAAAAAUUGUACCUUUUACUAGAGUCAUAUUGGAUAUUGAUUAUUUCCUAUUUAUUUCUUUUAGUUGUUUCAUUAGUUAGUUAAUUAGUAAUUUUAUAAAAAUCCCCCAUGUACUGAACUUUAGAAGAAAUGAAUUAUCCCCAGUCCCUGUGGAUUCGACCCUACUCACCGCUAUAUACAUAAUCUGUAUUUUUCUCGAGUAGGUAAUUAUUAUUGUACAGGCUCGACACCCUGUCAAUUUUUGGCGCCGUUGUCGGGGACUGGUGCCAGAUUAAUUUGUUUCUUUUUGAGUUCAUCUUGUUUUUAUUUUUUAUUUAUUUUUUUCUUAUUUUUUUUAUAUAGUUUAUGGCUUCCAACAUUCCGUAUUUUGGUGAUAGACUGGAUUUUGUUUCCAGGGUAGGCAAUGAGGCUUGUUUUUUUUCUGAGUUUGCAUAUUCGGAGGCACUAAACUCUCUUAGAGAAAGAAUGGCUGCUGCAACCUAUGAAAUUUGUUAUGCCAGGGAUCAUUCAACCGAUAUGUGCCCCGAAUAUCAAGACUACCUGAGUGAGUAUCUCAAAAAAAAAAUUUGGAGAUUCUUCACCUCAAUCUCAAAUGUGGUAUGACCCUUAUUCAAACGGGUAUGAUCAAGGAUGGUGGGAUAACUCCAACGUUAAUUAUGAAAAGGGGCCAAUGAGUUUUCAACAGCAAGAGUCUCAACAAUCGUCAUUCAUGUCAGAAUUGCCCUCACAAACCAUCAAUGACUCUAAGGAAGGUGAGAGUGCAAUUAUCAUGACAAGUGAUAUGGAACUGCAAUGAGUCUCAAGAAGGAGGAUCCAAAGAUGCAGUUGAAAAGGAAGUUGAAGGGGAAAACAUGAGACUCCAACAUCAAAUUACCCUAGUGAACGAAUCUAGUGAGUAAAUGCGAUGACACCCCCUCCAUCCCUUAAUCUAUAUUCCCCUGACUCUUACUCUAUAACUUCUGUUAAUGAGAUUGAUUUUGUUAUAUCGGAAGUUUUUGAGUCUCAUUGCAGAAAUGAGUUAAGAGUAGCUAUGGUCAAAUAUCUUGAACCGUUGAGUGCUCUUGAUGGAGGAGUGAGUGGAGAAUUCAGAUCAUUGUUGACUUAUUUGGCGCCAUCUACUAGUCCAUGGAAGACCGUAACUCGUGUGCUCAAAUAUUACUCUAUUUACGAGGGCUAUCAGGAGUAUAUAGAGGAUGAAACAUUAAAACGAGCCACAAGAUUUUAUCCUCCAUGAACAAAAUAUGAUAAUGUCUAGCCAAAGACAUUAAAGAAAGACGCUUUUUGGGAGGCAACCCAAUUGUUGAUUUUGUUAUUUUUGUGUUCAAUUUUUUUUUAAUAUGUCGUUUCUCACUUGGAUACUAGUCACUCUUGAUGUUUUCUCACUAUGACCAGGAUAGGUAAUCUUGGCGUGCCCAUGCGAGGAGGGCACGCGUUAAGCAUCUAAGUUCAAGACUCAUGGGCAGUUGACGUUUGUAAAACAUGGCGCGCCCACGCCGUGUUGGUAAAUUCUCAACUUCUCGCGACGGCGGCAGAAAAUGGAAUCUUGGCAUGCCCACACGAGGAGGGCACGUGUUAAAGUGCGAAAAGUGACUCAAGGGCAGUGGACGUUUUACAAUCUUGGCGUGCCCACGCGAUGUUUGACGACCCAAAAAUGAAUUUAAAAAUUUUUUUUUUCAAAAUUCACAUUGAAAAAAAAAAUUCAAAAAUUCAAAAAAAAAAAAUUUUUCUUUUUCUUUUUCUUCAAAGAUUCAAAUUUUGAAAAUUUAAAUUCGGGAAAAAAUUUGGAAAAACCAUUGAAAAAAAAAACCCAAAAACUAUUUUUUUCUCUUUUCUUUUUCUUUCUUUCUCUUUUCUUCCUUUUCUUCCCCGCUUCCCCUUUUCCCCUUUUCCUUUCUUCUUCGCCCGCCUCCCUAGCGAACGCCGCCGCCCCUGCUCCCUCUGCUCUCUCCCUGCCGCAACCUCGCACAACCGCACGCCCAAGCGCGACCAUCGCGCCGCUACUCUCUCAGACACUGCGCCUUCCUCCAAUUCGUUCCCACCUCUGCAGCAGCCUCAGCUCCACCGCCGCCUCCAAGCUCCAAGCUCCACCUCACGGACCACCACCAACUCUCCUUCGCACGCUGGUCGCCGGCUAGCUCUUCCUGCCGCGACCACGCUCGUCCCUCCUCCUCACUCUCUUUCUCCUUGCGCGACCAUCGUGCAGCUGCUCCACCUCGCGCGACCCGCUGCUACUGUCCGUCACCACCCAAGCCGAAUGCCACCAGCAGCUCCCAGCUCUUCCUCUAUUGCCGCACGUCCAGCUCCGCCGCCGCUGCUGCUGUCCGCCAUCUCCUUGCUGCGCAUCACCACCUGUCAAAACUUGACAGGUGGAGGUAUUGAAAUUUCUACCUCGAUCAGUAUUUUUCGGGUUCUUCUAUUGCUGGAAUUUGAGCUUUUGUGUUUGGGUUUCUUGAUGGAUAAAAGAAGGUGUUGAUUUGGGCAUUUUCUAGGGUAAAUUUGGACAGAUUUGGGUUUAAUUGCUGCCAUAUGUGGGGAUAUUUUCUAAUUUUUGUUGAAUUGUUGGUCGUUUGAUUUAAUUCCUCCCUGUGUAUACACCAGUGGUACUGGUUGCGGUGUUGCUUACAAUUCUUAAAUUUUCUCGAAUUAUAAUCGGUGGUUGCUGGAAUUGCCUGUUUGCUGGGAUUCUUAAAAUUCUUAAGGUUUGGUCGCUUGAAGUGGGUAAUUGAAUGUCCAAUUGGUGACAUUUGUUGAGUUUCCCUUGCUCCAAUUGGUUGAAUUCAUUGCUCUGUUGAGGUCCCUGUUAGUAUCGCUUGAGUUCUGCUUUGUUAGUUUCUGUAUUGUGCCCCUUGAUCUUAUUUUGACUAAAUUAGAGACCCAGUGCAUAUUCAUUCAAUUUGCUGUGUUGUUAGGAUACUUUUCUAGCCUUUGGGGUGCCUCAGUUGUGCAUUUUAUUAAUUGGAUUGGCCAUGUGGUUCACUUCUUUCCUGUGCAUGCACCAGUGGUAUUGGUUGUGCUAAUUUGCUUACAAUUUCUUAUUUCGAUAUGGUUGAGCAUCUGUGACUGAGUAUCCUUCGAUUUGCUGCUUUGUUGGGAUUUUUUUUUUUUUGGUGUCAAUUGAGUAUCAUUUGGUACUUUCUGCCUGGAGUCUAUUGAGCUGCCUUUGGUUGGGGUUUAUUGCAUUUAAUUGGUGCAUUGGACAGCUCCUGUGCCAUUUCCGUUGCUUAUUGAAGUAGGUUGCCUCUAUUUGCCUUGUGUGGGAGUAUUUUGUCCUUUUCAUUUCAAUUGCUAAAUUCAUUGGAGCACUUGUUGUGGUUUUGGGAUGCAUUGUUAUUGCAUUUGGCUAAGCAGGGGACCACCCAGGGGCUAAUGACUGGGUCCAACUCCGAAUGCAAGUUGAGAGACUGGAGACUCGAGUGACCCACAUUGACGCCGACUUGCAUAACAUGGCGCAAAAUUUGGCAGCACUCCGCCCGACCCACCCCCUGUUUUGACAACUUCAGGGAAGUACCGUUGCCCUUCUCUUUCCUUUUGCUGUUAGUUUAUCACAUUGAGGGCAAUGUGUGAAUUAGGUGUGGGGGGGGAUCAGUUUGGAUGCUAGUAUUUUCAGUUUUCGAUUUUUAGGUGUUUUUUCUUUGUUUUUAGUUUGAUAUUUAUCUUCUUUUCGUUUAUUUCUUUUAUUCGUGAUCAGGUCUUAUUUGAAUACCAAAUUUUAAUGCUGGAUCAUUGUCUUUAAUGCUGCUUUUGCCAAGUUUUAGUAAAAAAGGGUGAUGCGGAUACGGGGUAUCAAGUUAAUGCGGUUGAGUUCAGAAAUAUCUCUUUGAUGAAUAUUAGUAAUUGCUUGACUUUUCUAAUUUUUGGUUAACUUCUCUAGGCAUAGGGAAUGAUUGUUGGCAUUUUUCAUGUGAAUUGGUCCAAUUAUUAAUUUUAGUCUCCAUGCUUGAGAAUUUGAGGCUGGCUGCUGCUACUCCUGUGUUAUUUUUAGUUAUAUUGUGUUGUUUGGCUAUGAAUAAAAUCGACUGUGCUCCGCUAGUCAUUACUACUGAGUAACCGGGGAUCUUCACCAAAAGUGUCGAUUCUCGCAUUAAAAAGUAGUAAUUGCCAUGAGUGCGUGGUUGUAUAGUGAUAGGAGCUGAGUAAUCGGGCUCUUUCAUCGGACAAAUGUUGGAGUUCGCGUCAAAAGGCUCCGAUGGCUAAAGACUAAGUCUUGGGUUACCAUUAUCAUUCAAUAAAAAAAAAGAGAAAACAGAAAAAUAUGAGAAAAAAAAGAAAAAUAAGUCAACUUGCCUAUUUGUGAUUUUAAUGUGAGAUUUUGAUUAAUAUUUGGACCAUUUGCUGGUAAAUGUGAGCAACCAUUCCUUUUUCUUAGAUUAGUUGCUUUAAAUUGGAGGAGUUGGUGGUUAAGGGGCUAACCGAAGUGAUUUUUCUUUAAUCUCGACCUGUGAUGCUUGAUAUUGGUUUUUCUUGGGUAUCUUGGCAAUACGUUAGUUGGAGCAAUAGCCAUUGUCGAAUUUUUGGUGUUUCAUUGCUGUUCUCAUGCUUGAGGGCAAGUAUGAUUUAGGUGUGGGGGGAAUUGAUAAGGCACAAUUUGUUGUUAAUUUUAUGGUUAAUUUCCCUCUUUGUCCUUACCAAAUAUUGUUUUAAUUGUUGAAAUGUACUUAUAUUUGGUAUUUGGCCCUAAUUACAGGAAGUGGAGCAAACAAGUGGUAAAAAGGAGACUUUAUUGAGAAAAACACUCCACACAUGGGAAGUUCUAAAAGGAAAUACAAGCCGGGCUCCAGAGGAUGCUACAAAAAGGGAUUUCCUAUCUUUAUGCUGAAAAGGGUGGACUUAUACUAGGAGUCUUACGGGUAAGAGGAAACUAAAAACAAGGACUUUGGCAGAGCUCCAAUUCUUUGGCCCUUGGACUCUCAAUUCAGUGGGGACCACCGAGGGAAGUUAGGCAAUUGUUUAGAUUAGGAACAGUGGGUGAUUGCCUUAUUCUUUUUCUCUUCUUAUUCGGUUAGGAGACUAAUCACGUAGGUUUAUAUAUUGGAGGCUAAUGAGCCGCAGGGAAGGGGGGCUUGGACAUUAUCACGUUGGGAAUUUUCUCAACAAAUGAAGAACUAAAUUCUUAUUUUCUAGUCGAAGGUCAAUUUGAGGACUCGGUUCCGAACAUCUGUGAGAUCUAAUUAUUUGACAGGUUGUCGAAGCCUGUGCAAUAAUAAAACCUGCUCAAACUAAAAGUUAAUUUCUGUAGAUAGCAGUAAGCAGGGUCGUAUCCUCAGAGAUUAGGUAUAUUCGCUUCUUAAGAAAUUCAAAGUAACACAGGGGGGUGAUUUUUGUAGGAGCAACAGCAAUUAAAUAACUUCAAAUAAGAAAAUAAAAAUGAAUAACUAACUAGCAAUUAAACCACAAUUCACUGAACUUAGAGCAACAAUAAUUAAAGGCCUAAAUCACUUAGAACAAGGAAACAAUUAAAAAUAAAAUGAAGUAGGCAACUAAAAAGUCAAAUGGCAAUUUACUAAAAUCAAGGUAAUAUUAAUUAAAGAUCUAGCCAAGAAAUAACUUCAGCAAUGGUUCACCUAAUUGAUCAUUGAAGUAAGGGCAAUUCCAAUUAUUUAUCAAUAAAUAGGUUAUAACUACCAAACAAGCGAUGACAGUCAGCUCCUCCUUACUGUGUCGGUGAUCAAGGUACGCCCGUUAAUCACUGCUCUAAUUGAGAAAUAAUCCUAAGUACGCCCGUAGAAUUUAAUUCCCCAAUUGCCUUACGUAUUAGAGGAGCUCUAUUCUAACCAAAUAACACACUACCAGGGUUAUUUUAGGUUAGCCCGCGUAUUCUCCUGACACAAACCCAAUCAUGCCAGUUAUCACUAUUUUUAGACAAUUAAACAAUUACGGAUUUAACGUCCCAAUUGAUAAUAGAUUAUCAAAUCAAUUAAUUAUCCGGAUCCAAGACAAUCAAUUAAUUAAAUAACCAUAAGCAUAGCAAUCAAGAAAUAUGCGAAUACCAAUAAAUAAAAGGAAAAGAUUAAAUUAAAUCGAUCUCACAAUUUUAGGCGAUUCAAAGCAUCCGUUGUUCCUUGACUAGAGUGAGAAAAUUAGCUCAUGUUCGAUGCGAGAAACCCACAAGAAAUUGUAAAGAGAGCUGCGGCCAUUGUCCCUUGAAAUUGGGGAAAUUCAAUUCGGUUCCAAUGUUUGUAAAGAUAGAAAAGCUACAGCAAUUGAUUCUAUGGUUUCUACUUGUCCAAUCAUACGAGAAGGAAAAGGAAAAGCUACUUGAGCCCACAAGGAAAAGUCAAAAGACUAAGCUAAAAGAGACACAAUCCAAAGCUAAGCUCCUAAGCAAUCCUCCAUACGUAAUAAGGAAUUAGCUAAAAGACAACGGGGCCAUCCACAAAAAUGCUCAGCUCUCUACUUGCGGCCGCUCUUGAAAUUGGGGAAAUUCAAUUCGGUUCCAAUAUUUGUAAAGAUAGAAAAGCUACAGCAAUUGAUUCUAUGGUUUCUACUUGUCCAAUCAUACGAGAAGGAAAAGGAAAAGCUACUUGAGCCCACAAGGAAAAGUCAAAAGACUAAGCUAAAAGAGACACAAUCCAAAGCUAAGCUCCUAAGCAAUCCUCCAUACGUAAUAAGGAAUUAGCUAAAAGACAACGGGGCCAUCCACAAAAAUGCUCAGCUCUCUACUUGCGGCCGCUCUUGAAAUUGGGGAAAUUCAAUUCGGUUCCAAUAUUUGUAAAGAUAGAAAAGCUACAGCAAUUGAUUCUAUGGUUUCUACUUGUCCAAUCAUACGAGAAGGAAAAGGAAAAGCUACUUGAGCCCACAAGGAAAAGUCAAAAGACUAAGCUAAAAGAGACACAAUCCAAAGCUAAGCUCCUAAGCAAUCCUCCAUACGUAAUAAGGAAUUAGCUAAAAGACAACGGGGCCAUCCACAAAAAUGCUCAGCUCUCUACUUGCGGCCGCUCCUCUGUGGUAAAAUGAGAAGUUUCCAGGCCGUGCUUUUCUUCCCCAGCAAUUACCGAAAUGGGCCCAAGUGUUUUUUUCUCUUGCCAACAAUGCCCUUAGGGUAAGUUUUAUCAUCUGAACUUCUUUUCUGUCGAAUUAGCACCUGUUAGUAUAUUUUCGUUCUAUUCCCUGAAAUAAAUACAAAAUACUAAAAAUGAGUAGAAUCCAGUAAUUAAUCCGCAUCAUGUCAGGUAAUAGGGAAAAUUAAUAAUAAAAUAAAUGAGAAAAUUACACCCUAUCAAUAUUUUACUUCUUUCUUUUAUUUAUUAGUAUUUGUACGUUUCCUGAUUUAAUUGCUUAUGAUUGUUUUGUCAUUUGAAUGUCAAGGGCCCGAUAUUCGAAUUAACCUAAUAAUCUGCUGUCAUAUUAAUUGAUUGAAUCCGUAAUUGUUCAAUUGAUUAAUUCCAGUGGCGACUAGCGUGAUUGGUUUCAUGUUAGGGAAACAUAUGAUUUAACUUAAACAAACCCUCGAAACGUGUUUGUUGGUUAGGGUUGAAUUUUUCUAAUUAUUAAUGCAAUCGAGUAAUUAAAUCCUACGGUCGUACCUAAGAUUAUUUCUUGGUUAGAGAAAUAGUUAACGGUCGUACCUUAACUAUCGAGAAAUUAAGGAAAGGCUGGUUGUUCAUCGCGUGUAUGACAACUAUAACUAAUCUAGUAAUGAGUAAUUGAGUUAUCUUUGCAUCGAUGAUCAGUUGAAUGGACCGUGUCUGAAAAAUUGUACCUUUGACUAGAGUCAUAUUGGAUAUUGAUUAUUUCCUAUUUAUUUCUUUUAGUUGUUUCAUUAGUUAGUUAAUUAGUAAUUUUAUAAAAAUCCCCCAUGCACUGAACUUUAGAAGAAACGAAUUAUCCCCAAUCCCUGUGGAUUCGACCCUACUCACCGCUAUAUACAUAAUCUGUAUUUUUCUCGAGUAGGUAAUUAUUAUUGUACAGGCUCGACACCCUGUCAAUAUGGAUUAACUUAGUGUUAAAAAAGUUUAACUAUUAACUGAUAGAUUUAUCAAUAUUGCUGGAAAUUGAACAUUUGUUGAUGCAUAAAUAAAUUGCUAAAUUUUUUGUACUUAAUUAAGUACGAAUAUGUAACUAGGUUUAUGGUUAUUAUAAAAAUUGAAAUCAUCUAAAAAUUAUCCAUACACAAAAGGGUAGAAUAUCUAUUGAUUUUUUUAUAUGUGUUAUAAUAUUUGAUGAAUAUUAUUAUAUUAUAAUAAAAGUAUAUAAAGAAUUUUUUAAAAAUUAGGAUGGUAGUUAAGUGUAAUUAUUACAUUAAUUUUCUAAAAUUAAUAUGAAUGAACUUGUAAGAUCAUCAUUAAUUUUUUAUUUAAAUUAUCCAUGCUUGCACGAAUUCAUAAUAAUUUUUUUAAAAAAUAAACCAUGCCAUUAUUUGAAUGAGUAUCAUUAUUUUUAAAUUUCACUAUUUUACUAUUUCACAUUAUCAAAAUUUUCUUCUUUUCUACUGUUUGCCUUUUCAUUUUUAUAUUGCACAAUAAUUUUAUAUUUAUAAAAUUAUAGUUUACAUUAAAAAUUACUUUAUACUUUACUACCCACUAUUAUAUUUAUUUUUACCUUUAUUCUUAUAACAACCCACUGCCAAAUAAUAAUUUAUUUGUAUAUUUAUUCAGGUAAAUAUCAAUUUUCUAUAUAUUUUAUAAAAAAUAUAUAACCAAAUCUUAUACAUAAUAAUUUCAAUGAUUAUUUUUCAAAGAUUUGGGAAAUGCAUCUUCUUGUAAAUUGAAUGAGUUUUUUUUUUAUUUAAAAACUUUUUUUAGGGUUUAACAUAAAAUAAAAAUAAUUGAUUUAGCAAAUUUAUCUGGACCAUUUUCUUAUGUUUGAACUUAAAAAAAAUUAACCACAAAGGUAGCAUAAGUUUUUAAUUUAAAAAAAAAGUAAGCUGCAGGCCGCCGCGCUGAGCCUGCAAGUUUUUUCUUUUUUAAGAGAAAGUUAUGUUCGUUGACCGCCUGCGGCUUUUCUUAACAAAUUUUCAUGGCUAUAUAUAUAUAUAUAUAUAUAUAUAUAUAUAUAAAGAAUUCUCUUGUCUACCGACCCGGUAGGCAUAGUAUUAUACUACAAUGUUGUCAGAACAACAUUGUUCCGACUUUUUAUUUUUUCGGCAAUAACCAGAGUAAUUAGCAAACUAGAGAAAAAGUAACGCCAAAAGCUUCCACGGAAUCCUAGAAUUUACUGCGCCUUCGCCUGAGUCUUUCUACAAUGCUGCUACCCUACAUGCAUUUGUCUUUUCUGAGUCUUUCUAUAAUGCUGUAAUAAUUUUCUCAGCUACCAUAUUAGUAGAUUUUCUCAGCUACGCUAGUCUUUCUAUAAUGCUGUAGUAAUUUUGUCAGCUACCAUACAUGCGUUUAUAUUUUAUUAGGUCUUCGCUGGACUCUAUAUAAUGUAGUAGUAAUUUUCUGUGCUACUAUACAUGCAUUUGUCUUUUCUUAGGUCUUUGAUAGAUUCCUAUUCGCUAGACCAUACAUGCAUUUGCUAGAAAUUGAACAAAAUUUCUUGCUCAAAGAAUUAAGGGCAUGUUCCAGGAUAGUUACACGUGAAGUAACUAUAAUUAAACAUGUCACAAAUGCGUAAGAGUUAAGAAAAUAGUAUGGUCUAAGGAUAGCAGUCCAAAAAUUGAAAUUGCUUAAAAUUGUGGAGGCAGAAGUGGCUGAACUAGCCUUAAUCUUGAUGAUUGUAAUUGCUUCUAGAUAUUGUACUGAUUGAUCCUAUGCACCAAUGGUACUCGCGGGAGACAUGAUUUGGAGGAUUUUGCAGUUUCAAAAUAUCCUUUAUUUCCAGUGCAUUCAGUUUCAAAAGACAAAGAACAAAACUCAAUGAAAUUUUCUCUAUGGUCACAGACAUUAGGAUCUCUUUAUUGUCAGCCAAAAGCAGAAGAAAAAUAAAAAUAAAAAUUUUCAGAGAAACCUGGCUUUGGUCCUGGCCAAACUCGUUCAAUGAUAAUUGCUUCAGGUGCAAAAGAUUAUAGCAAUAAUCAUGUUCAUAAGGACUAACUACACUUUACACCUCUAAAUUUGCACUACUUUUUUGUAUUAUAAAUUUUAAUUUUGGAUGCUUUGUGUUUUAAAUUCUUAAUUUUGGACACUUUGAAUCUCAAAUUUUAAAACUGAGGAGGAUAGGUGCUGGACUAAGGGUCUGUUUGUUUUGGCGGAAAAUAUUUUUCACAUUUUCCGUUGUUUGGUUAUCAAUUAAUUUGGGGAAUUAAUGAUUUCCGAUGGAAAAGAACUUAUACCGAGAAAAGGAAAAUAACUUUCUUGUCUAUCAUUCUGAAGUUAUUUUCCUUUCACACAGUUUUCACCGAAAGAUGGAAAAUCACAGCCUCACUCCACCUCCCAUUAAGACAAUUGAAGACCCACUCCACCACCCAGCUUUCCCCCUCCCCCCCUGCCCUUCUCUCUCUCUCUCUCUCUAGGAUAUCAAAACACCUAUAUUAUCUUUUCUUGGCCCCUAGCAAUGCCAAACUUGAACAAUAGUUUGAAGAGUUAAGAACUCUGGUUUCCCAAUAUCAAGAAAAUAGAGUAGUAUUACUUUGAGUUCGGUCAACUUUGAUUAGUUUUCAUGAGGUACUAACUACACAGUGGCUGCGACUUCUGGUAUCAGGUACCUUUAAUUUACUACCUUUAGUUGCCAUAGUUCACUUAAUUAAUGAUUAUAUGCAUGCAAUCAAUUAAUAAUUAUAUUAAAUUUUCAUAGUCAUCAAUUAAACUUUCAAAUUUUCAUAAAAGAGACUCUUCUCCCCUUAAGGAUUUUUUUAAAAGGAAGAUAAAAAGUCAAUUAAUUAGUAUCAUUAAUAAUUGCAUUUAAGAAUUCAUGGUGUAAUAUGAAUAAAUAUUUUAUAAAAAUGAUAAUAUGAUUAUAAUGGAUAGAAACUAAAAAUAACUUGUAAUAAAAUGAAUGUUUUGAAAGUAGAAAACAUUUGCAACAUAUCAAAAAAUAUUUUACUGACAAACCAAACACCGAAAAAUGAUGAAAAAAGGAAUUUGGAAAAUAUUUUCACUAAAUAACCAAACACUGGAAAAUUAUGGGGAAGGAAAUGAUUUUUCAGGAAAAUGACUUCUUUCCCUAGGAAAAUAUUUUCAGUCCAACCAAACGGACCCUAAAUCACAAAUAAACUGGAUUAAGGUAAACACAGAUGCAGCUCUGAGUAGUAAGAGCAACAAGGCAGGCUGGGGCAUUGUGGCUAGGAAUUGGCAGGGGACGCCGAUUGGUACCUGGGCAAUCCCAACUAGAAGCUGCUCAAGUGCUCAACUGGAGGAAGCAAUGGCAAUUAGAAGGUCAAAAAUGGUGAAAUGCACUGUUUGAAUCUGACCGUAAACAAGUGGUGGACAAGUUAAAUACAAAUGAAGAGGAGGCUGGCAUUGCUACCAUUCUAUUGGACAUUCGAAAACUAAAAGAGGAUUUUGACGAAUGUUGCUUUUCCUUCACAAAGAGGAGAAACAACUCUGUAACUCAUCACGUAGCAAAAUUUGCUAUUAGUCUGAUUGAUAUAGCUCAAUGGAAGUACGACUUCCCAAUUUGGCUGCUGGAAUUAGUCCAAGCAGAUUCAGUCGAGCAGUUGCUCUAAGUGUGUACUUUAUAUGGGGUUAAUAAUAUGUUAUCAUUUUGGAAAAAAAAAAUCUCAAAUUUUCAAGUUUAUCCUAUUUAAAUCCUAUCAGUGACAAUGAGAACAUAGAAACUAGAGAAAAUAUCAGGCCAAAAGGAUCCAACAAAUCCUGCAAUUGACUCAAGUCUUUGCUAAAUUCGUUUCAUAAUGCUGCAGUUAUUUCCUAUGCUACCAAACAUGAAUUUGGCUUUUCUCAUUUAAAUCCCCGCUGUCAAACAUAAUUUAUUAAAUCAGGUUUUGCAAAUAUAAACUAAAGGAAAGUCAUGCACGAGCCUGGACUUCUCUACUAUAAGCUUAUUACUACAAACAAAAAAUUUGCAUCUCCACAUUAAUACGAAAAUUGCUAAUAAAGGACAAAUUAUUCCUUAUUAAAACUCAAAUACUUGACUGUUUACUUCAUUGCUUGAUGCUUAAAACUAAACUGCAUAUGUGUGAACACACAAAAACAUUUGUUUCUGAUAGUUACAGCCUUAGCCAGGCCUUAUCAACAUCUCAUUCAACCUGCCUUAGAAAAUAGAAAGAAAAUCACAUUCAAUUCUCAAUUCUUUAUUUUGCACUAUUUUGUUGGGUGAGCAAUUAACAGGCACGUGAAAUAGUGGCUCAAUGGGGGAAGAAAAAACGAGGGCUAUUCCUUUUUUGUUUUUGGAUUGCGUGAUCAAUUAACAGGAAACGAUAUAAGCAAAACAAUUCUUCAUGUUCAGGCCCUUGAUUUUCCUUUGUGAAUAAUGAACUGAAAAAAGAAACUUAAAAAUACUGGUUCAAUUGAAUCUUAAAAUUAAUGCAAAACAUGGACAUGAAUGCUGUAGUGUCUGAAGUACAAUCUCGAUUUAGUACAAGACCUCUGAAACUUGAAUACAUAAUGUUCCAGUUCCCCAAUUUUAAAACCUCUCAAGCCUGGCCAGAUUCUUCAAUUCUCGAUUCUCAAUUAAUGGCUUCAUGUAUUUUCCGUUAUGAAAUUGACAAAGUCUCCAUUCUGGAGCUCAUUUCCAGUUGUCUCGGAUUUGGUAUCACUUGAAACUGGUCUGUAUCAGGGCCGUCAACAAAAACCAGAGGAAAUUUGCAGCGCUCAGACCGGCAAGCACCCAAUAAUAGUAAUUCAAGUGACUCUCAUUCAAGUCAUGCUGAAACCAACUCUUUUUCCCUCCUUUCUCGCUAAUCUUGCCCACCAAAUGAACUGAUAAAACACUUCCCAUGAUUCCCAGACCGGAUAAUCCAGGAUUGAGGUAGACAAGGUACUUUUUCAUCGAUGGGGGACUUUGAUCAUUCAAGAAUUCUGCAACACUGUUCUCAUAAAAUGAGUCUAGCCCACCAAGAAGAAAGAAUUGCGGAACAAGCAAAAAGACAGUCAUGGGGAUUUUCUCGUUAGGCUUGUCAAUUAAACCAUCACUUCUUAUCACAUGUAUCCCGUGAGUUUCUGCAAUGGCCGCAAAUAUGCAACAUAAUGCUGAGCAUAUUGUAGCUAAUGCAAUUCCAGUUGCUGGUGCAUACCUUCUUCCGCCUGCCACUUUCAUACAGUUGUAUACCCUUUUAAAACCCAACUUCGCUGCUUCAUAUAGCAACAGAAGGGUUGAAUCAGGAAAUUUCAAUUUCCCAACCUUGUAAUUCAGGUGGCUUGCUUGCUCUACGAAGUAUGUGUUUCCCACGGAAGUAACUACAGAACAAAUUAUGCAGGUGAUCCAAACUGGAAGCAUACAGAUUAUGACCCGUCUUUCUUGACUUUGAGUCCUGAAUCUGAUAAUAUCCCUGUCAGAGAACCUAAGCAAAGGAAGAGAACAGCAAAAAAAUUCCUAUGGUCAGAAGUUUCAUUAUCUCUUACUUGAGAACAAAGAAAUAGAUCUGUAUUUGAUUUAUGGAACACCCGACACUCUAUUCCUUUUCAAGUGAAAGUUGAAAAACAGGGAAGAAGGGCAAAAAUUAAGACUAUGAUCAGGAAGAGGAAGAUGGAAAAGGAAGGAUGUGUGGGGUGAACCCAAGUCUGCUGCCCUGGUAUUCGCAUGAACCCUGAAUGAAAAGAAGUGUUGCCGCCAGUGUGAAAAUUGCUGGAAUUCCAAACCGAAGUUUCCAUGGGUGUAUGUAUGGAAGUGCAAUUAGUGCAAUAACCGCGACAAUGAGCACAAAGAUAACGCCUAAUGAUCUUAGGCCCGAUAUGCUGCUUCCGUUUCUUUGGUUCUGUCUCUUAACAAGCUCCAUCAUUGCUUCUACUGGUUGAAACUGAAGUUUUGAUAUAUCCUCUUCAGGUUGAGGGCUUUGUUGCCUGUUGCUUGUUUUAUCAACAACUUGGCUCCUUUCAAGCUGAUCCAAUGCAAAUGCAGCUAAUGAAACAUUGUGCCCACUCACUCCAACAGCUGUCAACGCCAGACCUGUGUAAAAGAUAGCCUUCUGUGUGUGACCAAUGCAAUUAGGCUGGUAAUUAGCACAGAUGUGCAUUAACUUGUGCAGUGCUGGUGGCGUAGACAUUGACAGAAAACCCAAGCCCUGCUCAUAAUUUUGGAUAAUCAGUUCAAGAAAGUCCAGUAAAACUGGAAGCUAUACUUCUAUCAAGUUAGGCCGUGAAAUUGAUGACUAAAUGGAAGGAGGGGAGGAAGAACUGUGAAUGAAUUUGCCGACAGGAGAACUUACAGAGGAAAAGGCUAUACUUGAGAGAAGCAGUAUCCAGUAGUUAUCCACUCCAAAGUCCCCAAAUAAGAAAAGAAUAAAAGGGACCAAUUUAGUUAGGCCAGUGUAUACAUUCAUUAUUCCUGCAGCAUGAGUAAACCCAACUUUCCAAACAUCUGUUAAGUACUUCUGCAUUAUCCACGUCACGUAAGUCGCCAACAAAUCAGCCCAUAUCAGAACUGUUAACAAGCAGAGGAAGUUAAAGAAUGACAAGGCCUUUGAUGACUCUGAGAUGAAUUAAAAGUACCCAUUAUUCUGACAAAUGCCAUUGCUUUUUCGAACUUCUCGUUGAAAUCCUGAGUGUGAGAAAAAUACUAUCAGAACAAAGGAAAUUAAGCUGACGAAUAGAGCAGUUUCAGAACCAUAUGGUGGCCAUAGCAAGCUGAAAGAAACCAGAAUUAAUAGUUUGGAUUGAGGUUUUUCUUUAAUUACCUCCAGCAGCUAUGUGUUCUGCUGGUCUGCGAGGGAAAAAGAGAGACGGAGAAACUUCUCUGCAAGAAGUCGUUGUUAGGAAACUAGUUUAAUUUCUUUUAAACAGAUUCCUUAUUUUGUGUGAAAGUAACUAGAUUUCUAAUUGAUUUUAGUUACUUAAAUAGUAGUCAAGGAAUUUCCUAUGUGUACGAGUUUAGGAAAAGGAGUUAUUUCCUAUUCUAAAUCAGGGCAGGAAUUAGGAAUGAUUUCCUAUUAUUAUUUGGGUUUUGUCCAAAUAAUGUUCCUUAUAAAUAGGUGGGUUAGCAUACUACAUACAAGGGCACACAAGGGGCGACAUGUAGCCUUAUACAUGGAUGGUGAAAGAGGGUUCUUGGGAGAUGAGAGAUGAUAUGAAAGGAUUGGAUUUGGAUUCAAAUUGUAUUCUUGUAUAGAGUUUUUCUCUCAUAAUGAAGAACGAGUUUCUCUCCGGGGAUGUAGGUUUAAUGGUAGAGUCGAACCAUGUUAAAUAUUGUGUGUCGUUUAUCUUUUAUGCUUAUGGUUUGUUUAUCAUUAAAUUAUUAUAUACUUGAUAUUUCAAUAGUUGUUUGUUCCGCGCUUUAAUCCUAACAAGUGAUAUCAGAGCUUGGUUGUGAGAUUGAGCGGCUCACAAGUACUUGAAUCCCAACAAACUGAAUGGUUGAAUUAAGAGUUUAUUUGUUCAAGGUUGGAUCCUGGUUAAUUAUUGAGAUCAAGUGCGUUGGUGGCUGUUACCAAUUGAACAAUUUAAUGGGUGUUAUUCUUAUUUCAAAAGUUUGGUAAGAAACAUUAAAAGUGAAGAAUGGAAAGUUGAAAAACAUGAAGAUACUUGACAGUGAAUCUAUACCGGUGAUUUAAGAGUCAAGAAAAAGAUGGAGUCUAAUGUCGAUUUUUGAACAUAAAUCGUUGGGUUGAUAUCUGCUUCGGAAGCUGCCUGUCCUUCAACUGUAUAUCUAUUAGUCUCCACAGUCUUAUUGCACCUUUGCUCUUGACUAUCUUAACUCUGUGGCCUCAUCUACAGCUGCACUUCCGCACCUUCUUUCCUUCAAAACCCAUCCUUCUAUUGUUUCAAAUGAGGCAACAUCGUAGCUUUGGAUAAUUUUAUAUGUGCUCACAGUUCACAAUUUGAUACAUUGAAAUUAUCUUCUCCAUAAUUUCGAGACCACCAACUGUGUGGCUCCAAAUUCGAACUUUUAUUGGCCUGGUCCAGUUUGCUUAGUAAACCGAGAGUUCGCCUCUCACGAUUUACAAUCCAUCUAUUUGUCUAUUAGCAGCUAGGAAAAAUGACUUGUUUCGUCUUUUACAUUUUGAUGAAAAAUUAAUUUUAUUAUUUACUUUUAAUAUAAAGUAAAUUAGUCCCUCAUAUUUUAAAGUGAACCAAGUUAGUCUCAAAAUAACCUGAUAUAGUCAUAUGGAUCUUACACUUAAUCAACAUAAAAAGAAAAUAAAUUUAAAAUUAUAACAUAAAUUACAAUCCAUUUUCUCUAAAAAAAAUUAAAAUUUUUUUAAAAAAUGACAUUAAGCUAACGUAGGAAGGGAAAAAUUAAAAUUCAUAUCAUAAAAGAAACCCCCAAGUUACAAAGUUUUACAACUAAAAAAUGUUUAACUUUUUAUAGAGAAUGGUUUGUUUUAGAUGUUAUAAUUUUUAAUUUUUCUCUUUUUUAGAGAGAAUAGUUUGUUUUAGAUGUUAUAAUUUUAAUUUCUUAAGAGAUAAUUGUUUAUUUUUGAUGUUACAAUUUUUAAUUUUUCCCUUUUUAUGUUGACUUAAUAAAAUUUCCUAAUGAAUUUUUAAUUUUAAAUUUUUUAAAAGAAAAGGGUUUUUUGUCAUAAUUUUUAAUUUAUUUCAUUUUUAUAUUGACUUAAUCACAUGUGCAUAUCAAGUAUAGUUAGAUUUGGAAGAAAUUAAAGUGACUGUUUCUAUUUCACCCCUAAAAUCUAUAUCAGGUUGUCAUUUUGGGACUAACUUGCUUCAUUUUUAAAUAUGAGAAACUAAUUUGAUUCAUUUUUAAAAGGGAAAUUUGCCAAAUUGGUCCCUAACAUUUACCAAAAACACUUUUUUAGUUUCUAACAUAUAAAAUCAGCCAAAAUUGUCCUUCACAUUUAAAUUGUGAUCCAAUUUGGUCCUAAUGCUCAUUUUUGCUCCUUUCUCCGGCUAAAAAUAGCACGCCUCUCUCACGUGGCCAUAUUUUCAAGGGCAAAAUUGGAAAACACAAAUCCCAGAUCCACUGGGGACGAUCCCUGACCUCACGAUCUUUAUCUUGUUUCGAUUCUCUAAGGACAGGUUCACCACAACGGUGACUGAGUUCACCUGAACAGAAGCAUAUUUGGAGGUGAUCAAAAGAGGGAGUGAAGUAAGGUGAGGUGAGGUAUGCGACGCGCGCCAGUGGCGUCGAGCAGCGGCGGCGGCUGCUUCUCGUGGAUGCGGGCUGCAGCGUCGGGGCAGGCAGAGGAUGAAAGAGAGCCGCGCAGUGGCGACGCGCUGAGCAGCGGGCGGCGUGCGCUGGGGUCGCGGGUGAGCUGGUGGAAGGAUGCGGUCGACUAAAGAGAGAGACGAGGGCAGUGCGCAGGGCAGCGGAGCAGAGAUCGCGCGACAGUAGAGAGAGGCGGCGGACAAGCGAGGUUGGAGGGGCGGAGGAUGCGGCGGCGGUGAUGAGGGCUCUCGGUCGCGAUGGAGAAGAAGAAACAGGGGACAAGAAGAAAGAAGAAAGCUUUUGUUUUCCAAUUUUGCCCAUGAAAAUAUGACCACGUGAGAGGGGCGUGCUAUUUUUAGCCGGAGAAAUGAGUAAAAACGAGCAUUAGGACCAAAUUGGAUCACAAUUUAAAUGUGAAGGACAAUUUUGGCUGAUUUUAUAUGUUAGGGACUAAAAAAGUGUUUUUGGUAAAUGUUAAGGACCAAUUUGGCAAAUUUCCCUUUUUAAAAUGUAGGACAAAAAACAUUUUUUCCAAGAUGUGAUGAUUGAAAUUCAUCAGACCAUCAUAUUGACUUAGAAGAAAAUAAGAUGAAGGCAAAAGGUUAAUUGAUGAUUGAAGUUCACUAUAUUAUUGACUGAAGACGGAAAAAAAAAAAGAAGAAAAAGUGGUUACGGAAAUGAAGACAAAGCUGAAAACAGAAAAGAGCCCCAAUAUGCUCUGGAAUAUGAGGUGCGAUUUGGGGAGAAGGGGUUUUUGUCAAUGGUGUAGACAAUAUGCGUUUCCUUUUUUACCCACAAAUAAAGAGCAAGAUUAUACCACUCUUUCCACCCAAAAUAACAAAAAAAAAAAAAAGAAAAAAGAAACCACAUACACAAACACUCAAUUUUAUUUUAUUUUUACAGUCCUAAUGAAACUUUUAAUAACUGCCAAUAGCUUACUAUCUUCGAAAAAGCUUAGUAUCUUCUGAAAAAAAGGAAAAAAAACUCUCAUUAUAGGCCUAAUAAAACCCUCCAAUACUUGCCAUUGCUUUUUUUUUUUUUUUGUGUUAAAGGUUUUCUUCCCACUACAGCAAGUGGUUCUUGGAUGAACCCAAAUUUUGUAGGAGGCAAAAGGCUGGGCCAAGAUAGGACUCGUAUAAGGACUUAAUGGGCAACACUUCUGUGGGUGAUUGGAGUAACGGCUAAUAGAAUGACAAUCGCCAAGCAAUCAUUGCUGUGUGAAAAAUGUCCUUUCCGCUUUAGUAUUAUAGUAGUCUGCGGGCCCGCGCCACGCGCAGGGUAGGCAUAUGUAACCCCUGUUAAUAAUUUGUGUUUGUCUAGUAAUAUUUUGUAAAGUUUGUUUUGUAAAUAUUGAUGUAGGAAAUAAUUUUAUAAUAUGUAAAAUAAUUGUGAGCUAGUUAUUUUUGAUUAAAUGAGGAUUAUUGGAAGGAUUGUUGGUAGGUUAUUGUAUAAAAUGUAGUUUAAUGUUGAAUAAAAAUAUAGCAUAUAUGUGCUGAAAUAGUAGAAUAUGAGAAUAGUAUUGAACGGUGAAAGUGUAAUCUUUAUAGUUAUUAUUUUAUAUUGCAGGAACUUCUACAAGUUUGACAUCCAAUAUCUACAUUUGAUAUUUGUUCAUAAUUAUGAGAAUAUAGUCUGGACUAAUAAUAUGGUAUUGUAGCAUUUUUUUCGAACUUUGAUGUUCCAACAUCUGUGUUGGUAAGAAAAGAUGAAUAUGCUAUUUUUGUUUGGCAAUAUAUGAGCAACAUCGUCGUGUUAGAGUUCUUGCAAAAUAAAAUAGAUGAUUACAGUAAACAUGUAUGAUUUUUUCUUUUUUUUUUAAUGUCACCAUCCAAACAAAACUUCUGUUGUUUGAAAGGAUAAUCAGCAUUUAAUGCUAGAGAAAAAGUAACACUAUCAAUGGGAAAUAAAAAAAACGCAAACUCAAAGUGAGAAUUUUCCAAUGAAGAAGGCUGCAUUCAAUAUCACAUGAGGAGCUACCAGGGCACCGACGCAAAUGGACCGCAAUAGCCCAAAAAUAUCAAUCCAUACCGAAAUAACCAACGGACACCCUUUUUCUGUUCAUUCAGUCAACUCUCACUUUUAUAUAGUUAGAUUAGAUUAGAUUUGGAGAAUUGUUAACGGCACUCUAUUUUUUUUUGCUAGUGACAUUUCCAUUAUUAUUUUUAACAUAUGAUAUUUAUUUAUUAGACUAUAUGAUAAAGUAAAAGAUGGGAAUGCGAUUAACAAAUAGUGAAGUGUGUUAAUAUUUCCAUUGUAUUUAACGGAUAACUAGAGUUUUAUGUAUUAAACUUUGUCGUGCUUUAUGAGUAGUCACCUUUAAAUGUCGAAAAAAAUGUAUUGUUCUUUAGUACACUUAGUGAUGAUUAGAAAGAUAAAAACAUAGUGCUAAUAUGUAUUUUUAGUGAUAUUGUACAUAAAAGCGUGUUACGGCAAAUUCUUACUAUGGUUAAUUAAAAUUUUAGUUUCAUGGACACAUACCCACAUUACUCUACUUCAAUCAAAAUUACAUAAUCAUCAAUCAUCACGAUCAACGUACUUUCAAAUACAAUUUGCAAGAGAAAUUUUUUCCUCAUAAAUUUCUUAAUAAACUGUGUCAAGGGCAAAAUUUUUGAAUUUAAUGGAAGAUAUUUCUUUCUUGUUAUAUGAGAUAAAUGUACUUGAUAAAUUUCUUUUUUUAUAUUAUUGAAAGGAUUUGUCACAUUUGAGAUCAAGUGAAGGUGUGUAUUUUAUAUGUGUUUAACUUAGCCAAAGAGUCUCUUUCUUGAGUAAUUUAGUACAGUCAAUUUGUUCAAAACGACAUCAUAUUUAUAUUAUGGAGUUAUAUAUAACAUGUUGCGAAAAGAAAAGAAAAAGUUGGCUAUUAACAUCUUGAAAACAUAGAAUGUAAAAGAAAAGGCCAUAAAUAAAAUACUUUGUUUUGUUGUGAAACUAUAUCUUAUCUCUGUUAGCAUUCAUCAACUUUAGAAUAACGUAGCUUGGAAUUUAAAAUGGUACUAUUAAAAUCAUGUUAACACUUUGAAUAAAUUAUAAAUGAGCUCCCCUAUUGUUUAAUGCUCGUUUGUAUAAUCCUUUACUAGUUACAAAAUCAAUAAAUGAGCUCCACUACUUGGGCUGCUGGAAGUCAUCCACUGUAAAGAAGUCACUGAAAAUGUCAAGGCUACCCCAUUAAAAGGCGCCACAGUUACUGCCCAAAAAUUCUGAAGUUCUCUAUUUUCUUCCAUUGGCUUCUUAGUUUCUACUUUCUAUUACAAAGGUAUUAAGGAGGACAACUUCCAAUAGUUUGAUACUUUCAAAGGGCUACGUGUAACUUUUGAAACAUAAGAGAUCGUGUGAUAAACUUUAAAUUGCAGUGAUUUAAAAAGGAUAGGUUCAUUAGUUUGAUACUUUCAAGGGGGUUGCAUGUAAUUUUUGAAAUAUAAGAAAAUCAUGUGAAAAAACACUAAAUUAUAGAUCAUUAAAAAAAAUUUACCCCUGAUUCUUUCUAAUAUGGUAAAUACACAUUAAAUCAUACCAUAAGCUCUUACACAUGCACUGAAAGAAUAAGGGGGCAAGGUGGAGAGGAAAUUUAAUGACACAAAACCCCCUAGUGUUUUGCGGUAUUAACACAUUCCUACCCAUGACAGAGAUUCUAUGCUCUGCUAUUAUAACUUUUGAAACACACACAACAACUGCUGAUUAUGUCAACUGGUUAGUUUUACAUCGUCUCUUGAAUGAAAACAAAGAAGAUGCUUGAGAUUAGGACAAAUGGGAAGAACCCCAGCUUAUGUAAUGUUAAGCAGACUGUACAAAUUGACCAUUUCAUUUGCGCCUCACAACAUCUGUUUCUGAUUGUUGGGGCCUUCAGUUGUGGAAAAAAUCUAGGAGGGUUGUCGGAAUAGUGGUCUGACCCAAGAGGCAUGAGAAACUAGGGCUGUCGAUCGAGUCUAAUGAGUCGGAUUUUCAUGAGCUUGAGUCCAGUUCAUUUAAUUUAUUAUAUUUUUGGUCUUCGAGCUUAAGUUUCGAAUUAAUAAAUGUGAAAUUCAUAUUCAAUUCACAUAAUAUUCGGAUUGUGAGCUUUAUUUAGGCUUAGCCCAAGCUCACUUAUUACCUUAAUUUUCUAUCUUAAUAUAAUUACUGUGACGCCCCCACUUCUCCCUAAGGCUAAUCAAAGGGUAUCCGCGGGACGCCUGCCUAGCUCUCGCCAGGACUCAAGCAAUUCCAUUCAAACUUAUUAUCGGACCACACAAUACGGUCAAUAACUUAGAUACAAUAAAUGCGGAAGCGUUCAAGUUUAAUAAAAGUCAUCCGUUAUCCAACCCGCACAUCGGGUGUUCAACAACCAUCAUAAAUUCCAAAUAUACAUCAUGCCCCAAAAGUUACAUUCGGAUUCCAAAAAUACAACCCAAAAGCCAAAAUAUAGUCAAAAGUAAUAGAAACCCUAAACAAAAGCGUAUCAGGAAGGUUUCUUCGAUACCUCGCCAAGUUCAAUCCUGUUAAGGAAAACAAAUCUACAGGGUGAGCAAAAACGCCCGUGAGGCCAAGAACACAAAUGCAGGCACAUAACUCAGGUAACAAGUCCCAAGUAACAAUUCAAGUAAUAAUUUGCAAGUAAUUAAUAAUGCCAACAAAAUAUAACCAAAAACAAUUCAAGGAUAUGGUAGCUCUCAGGAGUUAAGUUCCACAUUUUGCCGAUGUCAUUCGUAUACCUCCCCGCGAUGACUCUCCGUCAACCGGGUUGAUAUUUCAUAUCCGUAGUUCACCACUUACUUCUCAUCCGUCCACCCCACACCGCUUCAGGCCCGCACGACAUUUAGAAGGCUAUACUCCACGAGUAUGCCAAGCGAGAUCUCUCAAAUAGAUCAAGCUUAUCAUGUAAUUCUCAUGGCUCACCAAGGUUCCCGACCAGGCCCAUGCCGGCUCGAGUUCCAAGGUCGGCCUAUGAGUUUGGGCAUCGCCCAUGUAUCAUGUAAGUGUCGAGGAGAUUCACUCCAAUGACGUAUGCAGCCAUAACAUACCAUGUCAUGUAUUCAAGCAUUUGAUAGAUCUAAGCAGGUAUUUCAAGUCAUGUAAACCAGGUAAAUCAUGUUAUGUAUGAGUCAUUUGUUUUCAAAUGAGAACGAGUGCGAUAAAGUACACACUCGACUCCAUUUUUAAAAAAAAUCAAGUAGGCUAAGCAUGUAAUCAAAUCCAUAGAGUUUAAGUAGUCAAACACUUGACACUCACCAAGUUACGCAAGCAAGCAGGUUGGAUUGAGUGUUCAAACUUCCACGGUAGGGUCCUCUUGGAGGUCCUCGUGCGUGCCUGAACAUCGAAUAGAAGACCAUUACUAUAGGUCCCUAAGAGACGAGGAGAUCGAACACAAAUGUGGUCUGGAAAAAUUUUGGAAAUUUCGUUUGAGUUCGUCUUUGAAGUUGGAUUCGCAAAAAGGUACGAGACUCGAGUAAUAUCGGAUUAUUAUUCUUGAAAUCAUUGGAUGGAAACGAGUACGUGCGAAUAAAUCUCAAAACGAACGACCAAAGUUGAAAGUGGACUGGCCACAUCACAAUCCGGCCGGAAUCUGGCCGGAUUCAAGGCCGGAUUCUAGAAAAAUGCUUCCCACGCGGAUUUCUUUUGAAAUUCCAGAAUUCUCGAUUUUUGGUAAAAUCUUUGAAAAAUCAUAACUUCUUUUUUACUAGUCAAAAAUUGAUAAACUCGGUACCGUUGGAAUCUUCUUUGAAAGUACUAAAAGUUUUUAGAAGACACUGUUCCAUGAAUCUAAAUGGAAGGUAUUAAAAAAUGAGCUUAAAGUUGCUGUUCCAGAUCACCCAGAAUUGAGCCGGGGUUGGUUUUUUGCUAACUUUGGAAAUUCGGCAGAAUUCACUCGUUGCAAACCAGCCCUUGAAAUUUAUAGCUCAAUUAUAGGUGCAAGUACGGUUUAGGACAGAACAAGCGGAUUGAGAAUCGGAGUUUUGAUCACCAAGAUAUGGUAGCUCAAAGUUGGGAAAAAUUCAAGACUGGAGAAGAAUUUCCAGAUUUGAACUUCCAACAUUGGAAGUUUAGUUAGGUAUUGAAACGAACUUGGAUUGGUACCAAAAUUGGCAGUAUUUUACUCUUAUAUGAAGGGUAUCUCUCUAUCAAGUUUCAUAGAAAAAUACCUUCGGGAAGGCAGUCAACGAACCAACUGAAGUUUGGAAAAAUUCUUAAGGCAAUCUGCCUUUAAUCCAUUUCUUUCCAAAUCCAAUCGUUUGGCUAAGAAAAUCCUCCAAUCAUGAUUCAUAUGUGAAUGGAAAGUCUAAGGGACAUUCAUGGUACAUUUGGUAGGUGUUUAACACCAAGAAUUUCAUUUAGUAAGACCACAACAAGUCUCAUCUCAAAUCUGUCCAAAACUAAGUUUUUCCAAAACAGAGCAGUGUUCUUGUUUUGAUCACAACUCAGUCGAAUUAACUCGGAAUUGAGAAUGGUUUAUGGCGUUGGAAAAUAAAUUCAUAGGGCUAAAAAUUCUCAGAAGAAAACGUUUUGAAAUUUGGCAAACAACCAGCUCGAAAUUGAGCCUCAAGUUGCUGCCUCUACAAAUCAUUCCAACAGAAUGGAGAAACAGGACAGCUAUCUUAAAACGAAUGGUUCGACUCCUACAUAUGGAAUCAGAAGGUGCAUUUUAUACCGUUGGAAAGGUAUGGAUGUCUAGUUUCAAAUGCCACCAACGGAACUCGAUUUUGACAUCGGAGAACAAAGUUAUGGUCGAAAUACUACCGCUGGACAGGGUUAUCCGAAAACAGUUUUCCAGCUUGACUAGUUCACAAAUAAAUUCAUUUGCCCAACCAAACGUUAAUGUUUUCCAAUGAAAAUUUUUACACAUCUACUACAACAUAUAAACAUCAGGUUCAAGCCAUUAGAUCAUCAAAAAUUGGCCUUAUCAUGGCCGAAAAAAACAGGGGCAGUUUCAGAAAUUUUUGUCAUGGCCUCAACUUUUGAGUUUCCAACAAUAAUACUCCAUAAAUCUAUCAUUUUAACCACUAAACUACCACUAUAAACAGCAUCAAUCACCAUAACAGCCAUCAAGACAGAGGUGGGAGUUCAUAGAGCCCACCUUCCAUUUUUUUCAACAACAACAACAACCCAUAAGAAAUUAAGAGCUAAAAGAUAUACUAGAACUUCCAAAAAUUGAAGUUAGAAGGCUUGAUCAUGACUUACUCUAGUUGAUGUUCAAGUCAGAAAUUCAGUCCCUCCUUGCUCCUAAGUGAGCCGUGAAAAGCCUCCCCUUUUUAGCUAGAUAUGAACUCCAAGGCUUAGGCUAAGUAGUGCUAAAAUUUGAGAAGAUUUGGUGGUGAUUUGAGUGAGUUUUGUAGAGGAAAUGUUGGAAAGUUUCGGUUGUUCCUUUGCUGUCUGCUAGCCGGCCAUGGAAGCUUGGAGAAAUGAAAUGUUUGGUCUGAUUCUAUUGUGUACAAAGAAAGCUUAACGUCUAAUAGUUUAAGUGCGCAAAAGUCAUCCGCCAAUAGUGCGCAUACGCGUGCGUUUUGUGCUUGAUUUCUCUUAAGUUUGUUGCACUAGUGCACUAAACCUCUAGGGCACUUACAUUCAUAUAAAUAUUAUUCAUUCUUAAUUGUCCCAAAAUAAUGGUCCAAAGUCCCUCAAUUAAGCGCGCACGUGAAAACACGUAUUUCCAAUUUAGGCGCAAUAAAGUAAAAUUUUCGAGAAAUUCUUAUAACGAUCGUACCACUAACUAUCAUAUGAGUAUUUAAACCUAAAUUUACCUAUUUUAGGACCAUUGUAUAUGUCUCAAAUUUUUGAGCUUAUUGAACUCCCAAUUGGCUAAAGUUUUCAGACACGUUUUCACUUUUCCACUAAUCAAGCUUUUAAGAAAAUAAUUUUUGAAACGAGACACUUUAAAAAUAUAACGAAACGAUAAAACUAUGUACUUAGGUCUAAUAAGGUUAGAAAAUAUUAUUCGUGGCAAAAAUCCAAAUAAAUAAUUAAUUAAGCUAAAAUUAGAGAUUUUAAAUAAUAAAAUUUUCGAGUCCUCACAAUUACUAUAACUAUUAAGUUGUAAAACUAAUUUAACAUUUACAAGACUAUAAUAUUAAAACUAAGCACGAACAAAUAAUAAUUCUUCAAAAGUACAGAAACCAAAAAAUUUUCAACAAUAUUUAUAUUUAAUUCUUUCAAAAUACAUGAAAAAUAGUAAUAAAACAUGUGGUCAUAAGCCAAUACAUCUUUAAAAGUUGAAACUUUUUUAUAACCUUGUGAUUUGAAUCCAAACAUGCUUGAUGAUUUGUGUUUCUAGAACAAAAAGAAAUCAACUAAUAUUAUACCAAUACAAAAAUGUACUCAACCAAUAAGAAAGGUAGAGAUUCAGUUAUGCAUUAUUAAUAUUGUCUCUCAAGAAAGCUCAUAAAAGAGUCUUCGGGUGUAUUUUUGUAUUUUGUAAUUUAUAUAUAUUUAGUAUUUAGUAAAAUAUAUAUUUGGAUAUAUAAUUAUACAUAAUAUCAAAAUAUAAACAUUAUAUAUAUAGGUAACUAAAGGAUCGGACAUAUAUUGGGCUUGAGCCUAAUAAGGCCUAAAUUCGACUCAUAUUUAAUUCGAGCCUAAUUUUUAAGUUCAAUCUCAGACCGGCUCACUUAAAAAUCGGUCUUAUUGGACUUUUUGUCAAGCCGAACAAGCUGUGCACGGGCUGGCCCAACUCCAUUGACAGUCCUACAAGAAAUUGUUGUCCUUAAGGAUAAAAAUGUACCCAAAUAAUAAUAAUAAUAAAUAAAAGGAAAAUGACAAUCUACUUUGGCUACUUUGUUCUGCCCAUUUUCUAGUUCUUGAGAAAUAAAACGAGAACAUAUUUAUAUUUGGAAGUUUUCAAGCACAUCAAACUUAAAGGAAUUUAACAACUCAUAUGAAGGCUGUACUUAGGGGUGGCAAUUUUCGACACAAUCUGAAAACACGACACGAACCUAACACGAAAUUAAUGGGUUUAGGUUGAGGUUUUGGGAAUUCGGGUCAGAAUCGGGUUGGACCCGAUGAACCCGAAAAGAAAACAGGUCGAUUUCGGGUCAACCCGUGGUGACCUGAUAUGACCCGUUUACGAAUUAAAAAUAAUUUAAUAAACAUAAAAAUAAUUUUAUCUAACUAAACUAAGUUAUUCUUUUUUUCAAAGGCAUUAAUUACUUAAUCCUAAAUGAAUUUAUUUAAUUUGUGUGAAGUUGAAAUUAUUAUAUUUGGACAAAUAAUAUAUUAUAUUAUUUUUUAUUUUUAUACUGUUUUAAUUUAUUUUAUAUUUUGUUUGGGAUAAAACACUUUUACGGUGUUUAAUUUAUUUUAGAUUUGGUUUGGAAUUAUUUAUUUAAAUUUUUAUUACUUGAUUAUGUAAUUAGUUUUGUGAGAAAUUGAUUUUAUUAGAAAUUACAGUGAUAAAUUAAUAAAUUAAAAUUAAGUUUCGGGUCAUUUCGGGUCGACCCGCCAACCCGCCAACCUGAAAUUUUCGGGUUCGGGUCAGCAUACCUGACCCGUCACGGGUUGGCGGGUCGGGUUCGGGUCAACAGAUUUUCUGACGGGUUGACCCGAACCCGACCUGCCAACCUGAUUUGGACCCGAAUUGCCACCCCUAGCUGUACUAUUACUUCAAAUCCUUUUCUAAUGUUAUUUGUGUGACAUCAAUGUUUCUGUUUGAUAUUAAAUAGAGAAACUUAUUGUAUUGAAUUUUCUUAUGAAACAGAAUUGGAUUAGGAAGACACUGCAUAAAUGUUAAUUUGUAAAAGAGAAAAGUAUACUAAACAAGAAAUCUCAAAAACAAGAAAGCUGGUUUUAUCUCAAAAAAGAAAUGCAAACAAAUUUGUGUUAGGAAAUAUUCAUGAUUCUAAACUUCUAUGAACCUAACUAUAAUGAUGCGAGAAUGGAUCAAACAUCUAUUAAGUUGUUUGCCACUAUUACUCUGUCACAUAGAACUCUAAGAAGAAGAAGAGCUUUGCACCAUCUUCACCAUAUUUAGAAGAACCCAGCCCCUGCUCUGCAAAAUGCUCAUCGUUUCCUUUAAGUUGGCUGGAACUGUUUCAUCGGUAAAGUACUCAUCUCUGGCCACCUCUGCUGAGCAAAAUCUCAAAGCAUAUGAUUUCAACAUGGGCUUGGCCAGCUGCCAAAUCGGCUGAAAUAUGAAAGGAGCAUCAAUGAAGAGGACUUCGUUUAGCCUCCUUGGAUAGUAGUAGUAGAAUACAUCAAACAAAAAUGUAAGAGACCUGAGAUCUGCAUUUUCUGUACCAAAACCUCGAAGAUCAAUUAUUACAAGUAUCUGUUCCUUCCCAGCUGGAAGCUUACUAAGUGCUUUCUCAACUAAGAAAACACAUAAUUUUUCAUCUUCAUGGAAAUCAUGCUUCCCAGGGAAAUGCUUGGAUGCUUCUACUAUUAUUACCGGUCGGCUGUUGACAUCAAGAUAGUCAUGCACAUAGGCUUUCCCACUUUCAGCUGCUGAUCUUACUGAUUCUUCUCAAAGUUCUGAUACGCCAAAUUUAUGAUACCAUCUUAUGGCUUUUCUCAAUUUGGACACUGCCUCUUCAACAGAAAAUCUUCUGUCCUUCAAAAACCAAAAAAUCAGCUCUUCAUCAUCUUUUCCAUUUUUUCCAGCUGGAAGACUGCUACAUUCUUUUUCAAGCUUUUCUUUAACUUCCACAACUAACUUUUGGGCAUCUUUUGGGGCCAGAGCACAGUGGCGCCGAGAAGCUUACGAAUUCAAAUGGGUUUACUUGAAAAGAAUGAGGAAUUGAGAUUCUUGAAAUGGUUACCCAAUGGAGGCCGGAGUCCCAGUUGGAAUGCCAUUUGAUGUAUGAUUGGAGGCCGGAGUCCCGGUUAUUCAUGCUUAAGUGAUUGGGAGAUGGAUAAUCUUCUUAUUGAAACUAAGAUUUACAUUUUUUUUGGGGGGGUCAUUUCUGGUGAGGGCUGCAGAAGACUACCCUGUUGAGGAUAUUGUUUGUUGAAUAUUUUUUGGUUUAAUUGGGUUUCCUUGGUUUGGUAUAGUUUGGUUUGGUAUAGUAUAGUCAGUUAGCUAGGAAGCUCCAAGUUCAUAUAUUUGCAUAGGAAAGCUCAGGCGAAGCUAAAAUUAAUAAUUUAAGAUUCUCCAAUUGCAUUCUCAAGUACAUGCAAGUCCAAGUUCCAAAUUCAAACUUUCCUUUGCUUCUCCAAUAGAACCAAUUUCGAAUUCCAAUCUCACAAUAUUCGCCCUUUAUCAUAUCAUGAUACCGCAUUUUUUCUUAUGCAAUUCAAAGUAUUUUUUUUUAGCUUUACUCUUCACAGAAUCUUGAUUUAUGCCCUUUUAUGGAGCAUGAAUGGCUCAAUUAAUAAUUAACACCGCCAAUUUAUUGCCCCAUUUUCUGAUUUCAAUAAUGGUCGCCCGAGGAGUUGUAGGAAUGGUAAACCGGUGAUGAAAUGGAAAGUAAAGAAGAAAUCAAAUGGAUCGUUUUAGAUUGGAGCAUUAUAUCAUAUUGAUUGUUACCAUAACUCCAAGUGGGGAUUUUUUUUUUUUUGUGUGACCAUAUAUCUAUUGCUUUCCCAAGUUGUAUGCCUAUUUAAGCAAACAGCCUUCAUGACACGUGAAGAAUAAGAACUUUUCCAUAUACAAGAUUUAAGUGGUGCAAAUUCGAGGAGUUUUUUAAAGUAACAAAAUGAGCCUAAUUUUCACCACUGAAUAUUUUGCUUGUAAAAUGAGCACGAGUUUAAAUGGUGCCAUGAUCAUAGUCUUCAAAUCAUUGUCUAAACCCCAAUGAAGACUUCAGAAUGCGGACAUUGAAUUAAUUCAUACGAUUAUUGAAGGUUUUUCAAAAGAAAUUCUGAAUUUUAAAGUAUGGAUUAUUGAAAGCCUUAAGAAAAAGGUGUGGUCUUUCCAUAACGAUACAAGUCUCAGGCAUUUCUUCUUCCUCGACCAAAGUCUUCAAAUCAAGCUUUUUUUUUUUUUUUUUAAAUUAAGGAAGGUUUUUUGCAGUCAGGAACUGGUAUAAGUAGAUAAUUCAUACUACUAUAAAUAGAUGUUGGCUUCUUGUUCUCAUCUUAAUACAUUUUUUUGCUCUAACACGUUAAAUUAAAAGGCAGUGACAAAUAGUAACCAUUCACUUGGGUAUUCUUAAAACUACAAGAACGGUUUUUUUAUCGAUGUCUUUCAAAUCAAGAGGAAAACAAAUUACAUAAACAAUGUAUAUUACUUGGUCUAGAAUGUUGUUACAACAAAUAUUCAUGCAUGCAGGAAUUUCUGCUAGGCGCAUAUCUCAAAUAGUUCAAGCUCAUAUGGUUUGAAUUAGCAUAUACUAAUACUACUACAUUUUCUAUUACUCCUGUAAAUAUUAAAUUCUUUAUCGAAUGAUAUGAUGUUGUCGUUUUCUGUAGGUGAAUAAAUAGUAAUACAAAAAUAAAUACAAAAAAAUCGCAUUGCUAAAGAGGGAAAGGGAAUUUCCAUAAGUCAACCAUAUAUUUAUCCUAUCGUUGAAUUUUUUCCCCCCGGGUAUAAUAAGCGCAAAAUUUGAAACUAAAUAGAUAAUAAUGUCUUCUUUAACUUUACUACAAUACUUCCUUCGAAGCAAAAGAAAAACCAUUAUUAGCGGUACUUUGCAAUUGAAAAAUGACGAGUUUGUGGGAGAAAGAGUUAAAAUUUAUACUUAGAAAAUGUGGCUAUCCUAUAAUAGUUGGAUUUUUAAUGGUAUCCAAAAGCUAUCCUUUCUUGUCUACAGAUAUGUUCUCCAUCCGUUACUCUAAUUCCUCAUUUUAGUUGCAAGAGAAAAUGUAAAAGUCUUGAGCUGUGCUUCUUUGACAAAUUUGGAUGCGUUUCCAUUGGCGUUUUCACUUUAACUUUCUCAACCAUUGUUGUUACAGGGGUUCAUGUUUUCUGAUUGAAUGGUGGGGCGUUCAACCUUUUUGAUUGUGAACAAUAUCUCAAUGGUUGUUGCAUCCGCAAAGGACACUAUUAAUUUUCAAGAUGAAAUUGUAAAAAGCAAAACGAGAACUAUAAUUGUUCCUUGGAAACGUUGAUUUCAUUGGUUUAUCCUUGGAAAAUGUACUUGAAAUAUAAUUUGGUCUUAAUUAUUGAUCCUCGAGAAUUAGAAUUAAAAUGGACAUCUUAUUUUCUUUGAUUUUUUCAAGAAAUGGGGGCAAAAAACCUUAUUUGAAUUGUAUAUAUGAAAUUAAUUGACUCGACAAUUUUAUUUUGAGUAUUUUCAUUAGCCAAAAAUUAAGUUUUGUUUUAUUUCUUGGCUCAAUAAUCAGGCUUGCGAUUUCAAAUUACUUUAAACUUAGUGUUUAAUCAAAAUGAAAUCAUUUGGCCUUCUAAAUGAUUAUAAUGGCGUGGAUUUGAGGCGGGGAAGCCCUCUCCAUCCCUCACCCCGUUUUCCAGAAAGCUCCUCUGCCCCUGCCCCGAAUCCGCCCCAACUUCUACGAUUUCUUGACACACGAGCAGAUUUGUCAAAGAAGCCCAACUGCCAAUUCAGGCCGACUGACAAGAAAAACGUUCUAUAAAUUUGAUUCUGGCCCAAGCCCCAGUAAACCAAGAAAAGUAGAUAGCCAUUGGUGUUCACCCAGUGAAAUGCAAAAUUGGAUCCUGGACAAUCUGAAAGAAGAAGAAAUGAUUCCAUUGCUUAAACCUGGAAGCGAUUUCCUGUGCUCAGACAUACAUAGGUAUAACAGCUUCAUUUCUUUUAUAUAAACUCAUUACUUUCCUUUGUUAGCAAAUCAGCAAUAAAACUAAGCUCUCCCUCCAAGAUGCCUUUACACAUUGGCAAUUUUACACUUCCAAAGCAAUAAAGCAUUCAAUUCCAGCUAUACAUAUGGCGGCUGGUCCUGAAGAAGUUGAAUAAUAAAGAUUGAAUGCCAAGAGUUGCUCAUCCGAAUACGCAUGAAAGAUGAAUUAGAUGGCAAUUUCCAAAUUCAUUCCAAGUUCCUCCAUCAUCAUUUGGUUGUUGACAUCUGCUUGGAGCAAACCUUCUGCCAUCCAAAGUUCGAUUAGCAUAUCUCCUUUCAUCAUAGUAUCCUAAGGAAAUAUAGAACAAUAUGCAAAACAUUUCUUAAUGGAUGGAGAUGGUAAACAAUCAAAACUCAAUUUAAGUAUUUCCAUGACACCAUCUUCAUCUCCACUGAAAUUUGAAAGCUUAUUCUUCAAAACCAAUUGCCACUCGUCUUUUCUCUUCAUGCGCAAUAAACCUCCCAUUACACUUGCAGCCAGUGGUAGACCACCACAUUUUUUUAUAAUUUCCUUUUUCAUGACAUGCAAUUGUUUGGGAAUUUCUCCACCUGCAAUGGCUUUCUUUGUUAGGCUAGACCAACAAUCGUCAUCAUCAGAUAGCUUUCCUAGCACAUAAGGAUCAUGUGUGGCCACAAUGGAUGCAGUUUGUUGUUUACGAGUAGUCACAACACACCAAUUUCCAUUAGUUGCAUUUAGCCCCAGUAAUGAACCAAAAAAAUCAUCCCACAAGGUAAGAUUUUCGGUCCAGACAUCAUCAAGAACAAGAAAAAAAUUUUUUCCCACAAGUUGUUCUCGAAUUUCCUGGACGAUGACAUCCCUACUGGUCAUUUUAACAUUUCUUCUUGUGAGUGCUUCUAAAAUCAUUUUCAAAAGCCUGGUCACGUCAAAAUUGUCGGACACACAAACCCAAAUUUUUUUCUCAAAAUGGCUAUGAACGUGACUAUUUUUGUAUACAGAUUGAGCUAAAGUUGUCUUUCCCAAUCCGCCCAUCCCAAGGAUGGGAAUUACAGAAACGGCUUUUUCUGACAAGCUUAGCAAGGUCUCCACCAGCCUUGUUUCAUCCUUAGCUCUUCCUACAAUAUAAUGGCCAGCAAUAGAAUCCGUCUCUCUAUUUAGUGUGACUUUAGCAGUAGUAGAAGGGGGGAAACUUGCCCUUUGGAAUCUGAUCAGUCCAAAAUCAUUGGCUUCUUUAUUGAUCUUAUUCAACUUCUUGUUGAUGUCCCUAAUCCUAGAGGCCAUUCUCCGUCGGAAAACAAUAUUAAUGUCAGAGGACAGGAUGAAGGAGCGCACCUUGCCCACGAGAUGGCGACGAAGAGCUUCAUAAUUCAGCUCGUCAAACAAAUUCUCGGCAUCAAACGCCACGGCUUCUAGCCUCUGGAGCCACAGUCGCACGGCCUGGUCAUGCGUUUGCUUUUCCUCUGCAUCAGCCAAGACAGCUUGGAUCAUAGCAACAGAUCCUUUGAGGGUCUCCAAAUCCUCCUUGAAUUGGAAUAACUUGCCAAUCCUUUCAUUGGCAAGGGAAAGUGUCUUCUUCAAAGCUACCUCUAUUGUGGAAGCUAUAAGUACAUCAGCCAUUCUUCUUGUUCCUUGGGUACAGUCUUCAGAUAAGAAUACUCUUUUGCAGUGGAAGGUUUUAGCUGUAGUUAGAAGCAGCAAGGAACUGCUUUGACUCAAACGGAAGUGACAAGAGUUAUGAGGAUUUUUUGGUGCAGCGCUUCUUUGACAAACUGGGUGGGAUGCUUUUGCAACGGAAAUUGCUUGGCAUUUUCAGUUGAAAAUAAAACAUAGUCAUUGCAGGGAUUCUACAUCUGCUUUUGAUCCACAUUCCACAUGCCUGGGGCCCCUGAUCGUGGAAAAUUCCACUCAAGAAGGAUGAGAAACUGUGCUGAACAAUGAAAGGUCCAAAAUAAUUGUUUAGAUAAUACAAAUUAAGCAGUUUCUUCUAAUUCAAAUUAAUGUUGCGCAUGUAUAGGAGUCACAAAAUGGUUUGGUGCACUAGCAAACAGAAGGGUACAUCUAAGGUUACUACGACAAGUUUUACGUUAAAGUGGGAGAUUUGUAAACCAAUUCAGGGUAAACAAAUGAUAUGUUGAGGAAAAAAUAUGUUAGUUGCAAUGCAAUCAUAAAAGCUAUGAUACAUUUGUGAAAAGAAGAAACAUUUAUUAAUUUAGUGCAGUCUAAUUGGAAACCUAGAAAAAAAAAUAUACAUGAAUGAUCCGAAAGCGGGAACGGUAUCAUUUUACUCAAAUAAAAGUGUGAUCGAAUCGAGGAUUAGUUAAAUAAAAAAAUUAGAUUAAUAAUAUAAUACUUUUUUGUAUUUUUAUAUAAUGUAUAUGAGACAGAAUGGUGGCUGGUAAAAUUAAAAAAAAAAGUGAUGGAAUAAGUAUAAAUUGUUUUUUUCAUAUAUUUAUCUAAUGAUAAUAGUGACAGGGUAAAAAAACAAAGGUGAUAACAAUGAUAAGUGUGGUGAGUACUUCUUGCAAUUGAUUGCAAUCUAUAUUUUACAUUAGGUAAAUUUGAAUGAAACUUUCAAUGAAUGAAACAUGUAUUGUGCUUUUGUGUUAAUUUUGCAUUAGGUUAAUUUUGUCUGCAUUUAAUAUCUCAGUGUAUACACGUCUAUUGUGUCAGCACCUAAAUUGCAUGGCAUGUAUGGCACUAAAUUUCCAGUUCACCUUUCCUACUUAAUGCCUUGCCGAGGCCUCUACUCUGAUUGAGAAACCUUAAAACUGCUGGGGCCUUCUAUUGUGCAAAAAAUCUCAACAAAAUAGUGGUCUGACCCAAGAAGCACAAGAAAGUAUUGUCCUUAACAAUUAGAAUGUUAAAGAAAAAAAAAAAGGGAAAUUGACAAUGAUGCUGUGAUUUUGGCUACAUUAUUCAUCUCAUUUUUCUAGUUCCGGAGAAACAAAAUAAAAAGAUUUCACUAAGUUUGCUUUUUGUAAUGUACCGCGCUGGGCUUUGUCAAAUGCCCCAUUUUUUGCUAGAAUUACUUAUUUUGCUUCUCAUUUGGUUCUAUUAUACUGUACAGAAUUAUAUGUAUAUAACGUGGAUUGUCAUCUUAAGAAUCAAGAUUGCCAAUCUGAUCACGUAAAUUGGCCAGAAAUUGGUUGCAAUUGGCUGCAUGUAAUGCCUUGAAUCGAAAAUGGCUACCAUUUCAAUCCAUAGAAAUAUGUUGAAGGAAACUGGACUGCAACAUGUACUAAUAAGAAUCAGAUAUGACGAUUCUUGAUUGCUUAAGAAAAUCCUUGUAUAUUUGGUUAUUUGACACAGGAAGUCAAUAUGCUUCAAAUGAAACAGUGAAUCCAACAAAUAAGGCAUGGCAAGCUGUGAUUAAUGCCAUACAAACCUGAGUUUCAUUAAAUUAACAGAGAGGAUAGUGAAGAGCAGAGCCAUUCCUAAAUGCCAAAGAGACAGAGAGAUUAUAAAGAUGAUCAACUAACUAAUCAUACCCUUCAACACGAAUAGCCAAAUAUCUGAGGUUUGAGAAAUGACAGCAAUUGUUGCAGUCAAGCAAUAGAAAUGAUAGGGGGGACUACACAUCCAAAAGAAGGCACAGCAAUAUGAUCAGUGUGGAACAAAAUUUGCAUUAUAAACUAAUUCAGAGCCAGCUACAACGUCACAGAAUAACAGGCAAUAGACCUGAAACUUCCAAUACUGGGAUAACAACACUUUUUCUGUGCCCUACUUGGUCCGACCAGGGACAAAAGGACAUCUGGCCAAAUUAAAACAGAGAGGGACUUAUCCGAGAACUAAGUAGAAACUGCUGAAACUAGUCACAUUGCUCGAAAAUUCAAAAAGAACCAAAAAAAAAAAAUGAGAAAGAAGAAGGGAAAAAGGAACUGCUUAGAAUCAGAGAGAGAAGAGGGACUUCUGAGAGCAGCACUAAUCGGCGGGGACAACUCUGACAAGUGGAUGGCAAAGACAGCACUAAUUGGCGGGGACAACACCAAUCCCUUCCCUUUUGUGUAGAAAUAAGUUCAUCUGAAAGUUUUUAUUAUUUUUAGGUAACUAAUUAUGAUUAUUACUGCUACUACUACUUUCUGUACUGAUACAGACAUGAGAUGAUUUACUUAUAUUGGCCGUCAAAGUCUUAGAGGCAUAGAAAAGUAGAAAUGCUUUAAUUGUCACAUAGGAUUUGAGCUAGCAAUGAAUAGGAUUUGAAGCCAAGAUGUGUAAGAUCCAUGUCACAUUAUUGCUUCAUUGAACAAUAUUGACGUACAAGGAGACAAGUCCACAUAGAAGUAAUUUUGCAAUUAGAUGCUAUGCAAAAUGUCAGUUUGAUGAACUAAGGUUGAGCUUGUAUGUUCCUAUAUAAUCCUGUUCAAUUGAUUUCCAUAAUUUCAUCUCUCCAACGUUCCCAUCCACCAAGUGGAUCCUUCUUGAAUAGAAAUUGGUGCCUUAGCAAUUCAGUUUUCUCUCAAAUUAACAUAAAUAGAAGGGCUCAAUCUGACUGAUUCUUUGUUGUCUGAGUCCUGUCUGAGCUUUACAGAUACAAGGAGCAAUGGAAAAGUUCCAUCCGACACAACCUGUAGUCAACUGCAGAACACUUGAGAAAAAAUAUGUUGCCUGUUAUAGAGCUAAGAUACAACUUCAAGAAGGAUGCAAGCAGCUAUCAGGGUUCAGCUAAUCCACAUCUUUCUGCUGCAAAAUACUGGCUACUUUGAACUACAAGCACCACAGAAGAUAUGGCAAAUUGAGUUCCAAAAGAAGUAAAAGAACACCUCAUUAACAUGUCUACAAAUUGCUGAAUGGUUGGACAGUUUAAAAUCACGAGCCAACAAGGAAGAUCUCAGGCUUUAGCCAUCCAAGGCAGAGAGCAAAAGAGAAUUCCAUCCUGGAUGUUUUCAUCUGAUCUGAUUGAAACAGGAUCCGGUUCAGUAAGGGAUCAUAGGACUUUUAAUAAUGUACCAAGGAUAAUAAGUAAGAGCUAUGAAGGUUUUGAGCGUAAAAUCACUGCAUAACACAAAAACUCAAGAAACUUGAGACAACAUGUAGUCAAGAAUAAAGCCAACACAUAGUUGCAUGACGUUUUUGUUGUAUUUGAAACACUAAAAUAAGAACUUACCAUGAAGAGAGGAGCAACCAACAAGUAUAGAAGGUGGGAUGAGCUUAAUAGCCUUCAUCACAGCGGAUGAAACAAUUGCAGCAAGUAGCAGCAGGCAGCAAGUAUGUUUGACAGUCUUGACUAACUACGGCGAUAUGCUUCAAAAGUUGCAGCUUAGACUUGAUUUGUUAGAAGAUACUCCAACAAGUCCGUGCAGCUUUAUUGCAUGAACAGACAUCUUCUGUGGCUGCUCCAAAAAACAUCCAAAUUAGGAGAAGAUUUCUCAAGUUUUAGUUGUAAUGUAAUCAGAAUCAAAGUAUUUAAAAGUCAAAAUUGAGUAGUAAAAGAAGAGUAGUAUAUGUUACCUUACUGGACUCUGAGAACCAAAAACCAGUUUAACAGCCAACAGCUUUGGAAACUCCUGAAGUCUUUAUGGCUAGAAAAUCACAACCAAGGAAAAGUGAGACAGAAACCCAUCAUCUACGAGACUAUCGAACAAAUCACUAAUCAAAUGGUUCAAGAAGCUUGAUAAAUGCUCCUUCAAGAGGUGAUUAAACUUUGGAGCAACUAUUUACUCCCCUAGCAACAUAAGUUAGGGAGCUGAUAACUUUAGCAAUCACAUCUUACAUCCACAAAAGCAGAUAUAUAAAAUCAACAAAACAAAACUCCUAGUGCUUAUUUCAUAUUGAUGAGUAACUUGGCCCUAACAAGGAAUAUUAACCACAAAGCAGCAAUGAUGAUGUGAAAAAGUUGCAACUUCAUUACUGUAAUCUAAAUUUUACUCCCUCAUGACAUGCAGGUCCCUUGAUAGGGACUGAGCCACGGUGCCAGCGGUCUUUCCACUCCAAUCUACCUCAAAUCAGUAGCCUAAAAGUAAACUGCAUAUAGCAGCUGAUUUUCCAGGUAAUUCAAGAGAAGCCCCCCAAGCAAGCAGCAACUGCUUGGAAAUUGGAACUGUCUUCGUUCAUACCUUGAAUAUCAUAUGUUGUUGUUUACUAGGAAUACAUUUCUGUGCCCACUAUUGACAUCAUCUCAUAGUUUCAGAUUUCCAAGUACACCAAUUUUCCUACUCCAAUUCCUUUCCUGAGUUCUAGUUUCCAACUAUGGAUAAACUGAGAAACGUUUUGCCAUUCUACCAAGAAGCAUCUCUUACUACAUUAAUCUCAAUCUCCAGCACCAAACCAACAAGAGGUGAAUAACAUUCCUCUUCUCAUUUCCCUUUCAAUUCAAAUUAAUGUCAUCCCUUCACCUCGAGAACCACAGCCAUUACUUUCUCCUAAAAGGCUUCAAGAUAAACACCAGAAAAGUAUUUAUCUGAGAAUUGCUAGGAAUACCUCUUAUAUUAGAUCUCCAACUUUUACCAGCAGCUGAACUAUUUUUCUGGAGACAAUAUUCAAUUAUUCUGUCAUCCAAGAACCGCAAUCAAAAUUUGUAUAGUAAACUGAAGCAACUUAAUACAAAAUUUGGCUUCUGUGAACAAGCUCAGACAGUAUAAACAGAAAUGGAAAACCAAAAAUUAAUUAAUACCAGCUAUAAAAAUCUAAUCUAAGUUCAUCUAGGGGAGAGACCACAAAAAUCUGCUUGCUAAGUGCAGGAGAAAGACGUGCAGCAGAGAAUUGCUGGUUUAAAGUCUUGUAGAAAAGGUUUCUAGAAUUGGUGCAUGAGAUAUCGAAUCUAAAACGUCCAAUGCAUUUUCAACAGGUGAAAUCACGAGUUUAAAGAGAGUGUGCUGAUGUUAGCAAACACAACGUACAAAGGACAGCAACUGACAUACACGAUAAACAAAACUAAAUGCUCAAUUCCGCCCCACAUUAGUGCAUUUGUUUCAGUGUUAGUUCAUCCAAAACAUGAUUCAGUUAACCCAAGAACAUCUCAUUCAUUUGCCAUGUUUGAUCUAGUACAGAAACAUGGUAUUGAAUUAAGCCUCCAUUUGCCAUGUUUGAUCUUUGCGUCAGCAAAUAAUAUGUGAUAGAACGUGAGCAAUACCAAUUUAACAUUAGAAAUUAACCAAAAAGAUUGUUUAGUACCGUUAAUUGAUAUGAAGCGGUGCAUGGCUUAUUAGCGGUAAAGGUUAAAGAACCUACUCUGUUGUUGCUUCAAUUAUCCGUUGAUAUACUUUGAAGGAAAGAGAGGAUUUUCAAAAGUGAAGGCGGUACUUUAGUUCCCCGACUGAGCUUUAAGCCUACAGUCACUGCAAAACAGAAAACUCAGGUUCAGGACUUCACAUUGCAUGACAUUUUUGUUUAGUCAAUUAUUCAGAAAGCCAAAUCAAUAUUUGUUUCUGUUGUGCUUUUCUAACCUAAAUCAGUAAGACGAUAUCAAAAUUUUCUGCUCAGUCUACAAGUACCAGAAGUGCCAUAGAAACUAUGUUAGUUUUGGUUCAAAACACUGAAAAAAGAGAAGUUCUAUAACAAUAAUGAUAAUGAGUAGAACCCACAAGCGUGAAAGGCAGAGAGCUCCAGAAUUGCCAUGAAGGCAACUCUUUGAGACAGCAAGAUACAACGAGUAGAGUUAAUUAUAACUCUUUGACUCUUAAAAUCUCAAAUCAUGGCAUUUGGACUUAAAGUCUACCAAGUCUCUGAUGCUUGAAAACGGUCUUAAACAUGACAAUUUUUUAAAGGAUUUAAUUAAUUCAUUGGAUAUUAAACUUCUUAAAACCCAAUAUUAAGCAGUGGAAGAAGAUUAUUGGUAUUAUAAAUUAUGUGACAGUAAGUAAGACAGUAAGUAAGAGUCAUUGAUGAGGUUCCCUGUUGAGUUUUGGGCCUAAAAUCACUGCAAAGCACAAAAAUUCAAACUCAAGCCGGCGAAUAGCAUAGAAUAAAGCUAAUGGAAAUUUUCAGAUAAUUGCAGGUUUUCUGUCAUUGUGACUAAAGCCCCAAGAGGAGAAACUUACCAUAAAAAAAGAAGCAAACAACAAUCAUAAAAGCAGAGAGAGCUUAAAAGCCUCUAUCAAGGUGGACUCAUCAAGAUCAGCAAGUCACAGCAGGUAGAUUUGACUAACUACCAGAAUGCUUCAAAACAUUGCGCUUAGAGUUGAAUGUUGGAAGAUACUCCGCCAAGUUUUGUGCAACUUCAUUGCUCAAACAGUACACCCCUUCCUUGGCUACCUCAAAAAUAUCUUCGUGACGGCAAGAUUUCUUUUGUUUCAUACGUAAUAUAUUAGUUAUUAAAGUGGUUAGAAGUCAAAAUUGAGUAGUGAAAGAAGAGAAGCAUAUCUAAAAUUACCAGAAUUUUUGAACCAAAACAUGAAAGUGAUGACCAACAGCUGCGAAAACUCCUCAAUUGACCAUUGUCUUCAUGGAUAAAAAGCCAAAAUCAAGGAAAAGUGAGCCAGAAAACCAUCAUAUAUGACUCCGAUGGAGCAAUUACUAGUCAAAUAGUUCAGAUAAGUAUGCAAGUUCAUUAUCAAGAGACGAGGUAAAAGUUCAGUCCCCUUAGAAUCACAAUUUUAAACAGAGUGAGAUGACUUUAGCAAUAAUGACUUAAAAUCCACAGAAACAGAGCAUGUAAAAUAAACAAAACUAGACUGCUAGUUGUUCUAAACGUUGAUAAGCAAUUUGUAGGAAACGCAGGCCAAAAGUUAUUGAGGUCUAGCCAUAUAGAUGGUGCUGAAGAAGAUUCAAAUUUUGACCUCUGUUCGUGAAGCUAUUCUUCUAUCGAUCCUACAAAAACAAAGCAUAGAACAGAAUAUGAACAGAGAUACAGUAAAACAUCAAAGCACGAAACAGAACAGGUGCUUGGGGUCAUUCUAAUUGAUAGUUACAAGAGUAUUACUAUUAUGUUGUAAGGAGUAAAUGAAGAGUACCAAUAUUUUGGACCCGAUAAGAAAUGCUAAUGCUGCAGCUUUGAAAGAUAAUAAAUAAGACGAACAAAAGGGAGAACAGAAAAUUGUGAAAAUAACCAUGUGGACUUUUUAGGUUUUCUCGCGAGAAGGUUAAUCAGAGGGGGAGGUGAAGAGAAGGGGAGAUUGAUUGUAAAGCAAAUUAAGAAAGUAGGUAGGAGGCAAUCUUACAUGAUUGAAUUUGAUCUGAGAUGAGUGGUUAAUCAUCGGUUAUGUGUAGGUAUUGAAUGUGAGAAACUUUGGACCACUGGGAGUCGGGGCUGCUGCUCUCAGGAGUGCAUCUUUCUUUUAACACAGGAGAACCAUAAACGUGCAGACAUUUUAGUUUGGUGAGACUUCUCAUGGCAUCCUCAGAGGGUAGAUGUCCAAGCUCUUUGAAAUCAUAUAAAUAUAGUUCUUCAAGAGCAGCGAAGUUUCCGAACCAAUCUGGCAGAGCUUUUAUACCUCCAAAGUAACCUAGCGCGAGUGACGUGAGAGCGGUCAAGUAUUGGAUCUGAGGUGGCAGGGACUCCAUGUGUGGCAACCCAUAUAAGUAUAAUUCACGGAGUGCGGAUGAUGAAGAGGAGGAGGAGGAGGAUAUCAAUCCAGACCAAUCAAACUCAUUGUAAAUUGAAGAAUUUUCAUGAUCAUCACCAUCAUCUAAGAAGGGACCAAUUGUAAGCUCCCUUAAGCUGGUUAGGAAACCAAAUCCUUUGGGCAUCAUGCUUGUUUUCAGUUUGCGACACCACAAUAAUUUCAGCUUCUAGAGAGAAGGCGUUUGUUGCAAAUCAAGCGGAAAGGAGAUAAGAUUGUCGCAACAAACCACCCGAAGCUUUUGGAGAGAGGCACAAGAGUGUAGCAUGUCACCUGGCAGAUUCGUCAACUCAUCGCACUCAUCAAUCACCAGCUCUUUAAGAGACGUAAAGUUUUGCAGGGGAAGGAGUUCUCUGCAUCUGUGGCAGCAAUUAAAUUCCAAACACGCUAACUUGGGGAGUGUUGUUGGCAAAUCCAUUAACCAUCGAGGAAAUUGAUCGCCCAUAAAACGCCAAAUUACCAACUCCUCCAAAUUUGGGUGGGGUUGAAGGCCAUCCAACACAUCUUUGUCGUUGUAGUUGUCGCCUUGUUUUUCGCGGAGCAAGGCCCACUCAAAUCGCAAACUAAAUAGAUUAGCCUUUUCAAAUAGUUUUGCUUCCUCAGCUCCUUCCUUAUCCUUUACUAGUUCCAGAUUGCGUAUCUCCAAUUUGCCUUUGAGGUUCUUCAAGCUUCUAAGCUCUCCAAUUUGUCGACCCUUCACUCGACCCACUUUAAAGAACUCUAGUGUCUGAAGGCAUUUGAAAUUCUUCAGCAAGGGUGUAAAAGUGGAGAUGUCUCAAGCUAAUCAAAUCGCACAUCCCCUUCAGAAGAACCUUAAGAGCGGAUCUGUUUAGCCUCAGUGUUUGCAAAUUAUAAAGUUUGCAAACAGAUCCCGGCAAAGUUUCAAUUGCAGAACCCUCAAAGUUGAUGUACCUCAAGUGUAUCAGUUUGCCAAUUGAGAUUGGCAGAUUCAGAUUUUUUACACGAGACAAAUUCAGAACGUACAAAUUCCUCAACUUCGUUAGUAUAUCAUCAGAUAAGCCACUCCGAUUUAGAAACAAUGUAUGAAGCAAAUUUGAACGACUCUCGAAAAGAUUUAUUGUGCCUUCUCCAAAUGAGUCUAUUACAAGACAACGAACCUGAUUACCAUUGUCUUCUGAACCAGUUUCCGAAUUAAUGACUUUAGUAGACUUUGACAUUAUUGAUUUUGCGACGUCGUGCACCAUAUCAUGCAUUUUAUAAUACCUUCUUCUCCCACCGUAAUUUAUUUCUUCCAGCAAAGAACUCUGCAAUAAAAUUUCCAAGUAAUAUUCUCCAAUUUCCUCCAUUGUUUUGUUCUCCAUUGUUUUGUUCUCCAUUGUUUUGUUCUUGAGAUCUACUUGAAGGAAGCCUUCUGCCAUCCAAAGUUCGAUCAGCAUAUCCUCUUCCAUCUCAGUAUCCUGGGGAAAAAUAGAACAAUAUGCAAAACAUUUCUUGAUGGCUGGCGAUGGUAGAUUAUCAAAACUCAACCGAAGUAUUUGCAUGGCUUCAUUCAAAUUCAAAAGUCUAUCCUGACAGGUGUCAAGCCUGUGCAAUAAUAAAUACCUGCUUAAAUAAAAUAUAAUUUCUGUAGAUAGUGAUAAGUAGGGUCGAAUCCACAGGGACUGGGGAUAAUUUAAUUUCUUCUCAAGUUCCAGAUAUGGGGGGUUUUUGAAAAUGAGAGUAACUAAAUUUAUUGGAAUAAAUUAAAAUAAAAUAAAAUAACUACAACUCAAAUAACUAAUUAUCACAAUAAAAAUAAUAAUAGACGAACUCUAGCCAAGAGACAACUUUGGAGAUGGUUUACUUAAUUCGAUCACAGAUGCAAGGAUUAUUCCAGUUAUUAUCUGAUAAAUUAGUUAUAGUUGUCAUACACGCGAUAAACAACUAACUCUUCCUCAAUUUGUCGAUAGCCAAGGUACGACCGUUGACUAUUUCUCUAAUCAGGAAACAACCCUAGGUACGACCAUAGAAGUUCAAUUCCCUAAUUGCAUGAAUAAUUAGAAGAACCUAAUUCUAACCAAUCAACACGCUACGAGGGUCUCUUUAAGUUAGCCUGUCUAUCUCCCUGACACAAACCCAAUCAUGUCAGUUGCCACCAGUUUAGAAUAAUUAAACAAUUACGGAUUUAACUACCAUAAUUGGCUUCAGGUUAUUGAAUUAAUCUAGAAUCCGGGCCCUGGAUAAUCGAAUAAUAAAAUAACUAUAUGAACAUAAAGCAGAAGAUAGACGAAUACCAGAAAGUAAUAGGAAAGCUAAAAUCGAUUAGAUCUCACAAUUUAAGUCGAACCAAAUCCUCCGUUGUUCUUGACUAGAAAAACUUAGCCACGUCUCAUGAGAAAAUCUCCACGUAAUUUAAUUGAGGUCCAGGCCAUCAAAGGAAUCAAGAAAGAAUAGAAAACUAAAACUAUAGCUAUCCUAAAACUAUUGAUAAAAACUCUCUGUACGUCCCUUUUCUCUUUUAAAGCCAAAGAUACAAAUGCUAUCUAGUCCUGUGGUCCCCGCACGAAUUGAGAGUCCAAUUCCAUUUCACAAGCCUCUGUACGUUUCUUUCCAAGAGCCCAAAUGACUCAUGCUUCUUAUCUCCGUGGUCCCCACGCAAUUGAGAAAAGAGUCCAUCCCCUGUAAUCCUUGUUUUUAGCUUCCUCUUACCUGUAAGACUCCUAGUACAAGUCCACCCUUUUCAGCAUAAAGAUAGGAAAUCCCCUUUUUGUAGCAUCCUGUGGAGCCAGGCUUGUAUUUCUUUUUAGAACUUCCCAUGUGUGGAGUGUUUUUAUCAAUAAAGUCUCCUUUUUAGCACUUGUUUACUCUACUUCCUGUAAUUAGGGCCAAAUACCAAAUAUAAGUACAUUUCAACAAUUAAAACAAUAUUUGGCAAGGACAAAGAGGGAAAUUAACCAUAAAAUUAACAACAAAUUGUGCUCUAUCAAUUCCCCCCACACCUGAAUCAUGCUUGCCCUCAAGCAUGAGAACAGCAAUUGAACACCAAAAAUUCGACAACGGCUAUUGCUCUAACUAUCAUAUUGCCAAGAUAUCCAGAAAAACAUAUAUCAAGCAUCACAGUUAAGAUCCAAGAAAGACCACUCCGGUUAGCUCCCCAACCACCAACUCCUCCAAUUUAAAGCAAACUAAUCUAAGAAAAAGGAAUGGUUGCUCACAUUUAUCAGCAAAUGGUCCAGCUAUUAACCAAAAUCUCGACAUUAAGAUCACAAACCGGCAAGCUGACUUAUUCACAUACUAACACAAUCUUUACUUCACUUCUUUUCCCCUUUUUUUUUGUUCUUUCUUUUUUCUUUUUGUUCUCUUUUUUUUUUCUUUUUUUUUUUUUUGAAUAACAAAAGACUUAGUCUAUAGCCCUUAGAGCCUUUUGACGCGAACUCCAACAUUUGCUAGAUGGAGGAGCCCGGUUACUCAGCUCCAAUUGCUACGGGACCACGUACUCAUAGCAACUACUACCUUUUGACACGAGAAUCGACACUUUAGGUGAAGAUCCCCGGUUACUCGGUAGUAGCAACUAGCGGAGCACAGUCAAUUCUUAUUUAUAACCAUAUAACACAAUAACUAAAAACAACACAAAAAUAGCAGCAGUCAGCCCCAAAUUUCCAAACAUGGAGAACUAAAAUUAAUAAUUGGACCAAUUCACAUGAAAAAUGCCAACAAUCAUUCCCUAUGCCUAGAAAAGUUAACUAAAAAUUGGAAAAGUUAAGUAAUUAUUGAUAUUCACCAAAGAGAUGUUCCUGAACUCAACCACAUCAACUUGAUACAUUUUUAUUAAUAAACUUGGCAAUAACAGAAUUAGAGACAACAAUCCAGUAUCAAACUUGGUAUUCAAAUAAGAGCUGACCACUAAUAAAAGAAAAUAAAAUAAAAUAAAUAAACGAAAAAUAGAACAAAUAACAAAAAUAAAGGAAAACAUGUAAAAACUAAAAAUUAGAAAUACUAGCUGUACCACAGCUGUCCCCCCCACACCUAAAUGACACAUUGCCCUCAAUGUGAUAAUGUAAAAGCAGAAGGAAUGAGAGGGGCAACGGUACUUCCCUGAAGUUGUCAAAACAGGGGUGGGUCGGGCGGGGUACUGCCCAAUUCUGCACCAUGUUAUGAAGAUUGACGGUAAUGUGGGGCAUCCGAGUCUAUAGUCUCUUAACUCGCAUCUGGAGCUCGUGCCAUUCGUGGCCUCACCGUGGACUCUAGAUAUCACUCUAAGUAACAAGAGACUGCAAUUGCCAACAAAGAAUGGAAGCCGGGAAUUCAAAGCAAUAACAAUUUUAAAGCCAACCCAAUGAAUAAAAUGCACAAUUCAACCACCCAGAGGACAUACAAAUACCCCAACACUUAUAGCAAUGGCAAUCAAUAAGCACUUGCGGUCCCAAUGUAGUCAAUUUCAGAAUCAAUGCAGUCCAAAAGUGCACGAAUGCUCCUAAGAUGUAGGACUUGAAUUUAAGAGGCAGAAUACACCAAGCAAGUCAAUUAGGCACAAUCGAUUAGCAAUAAGCAAAGGAAGGGACACAGCAGCCUUCCAAUUCAACAAACAGACGCAGAAGGUACCCCACAAUACCAGAACACAGCUCCCAACAAUGCAACAAAACAACAACUCGAACAACUAAGAGCGGUGCUAGUGGCUAAUCAAAAUAACAAAUUCAGCAAUUGGACACAAUUCCACCCAAAAUCUCAACAGCUGUCUCCAAUUGGACAGUCAAUUACCCAGUUCAACCUACUAAAAAUAGCAAAUGACCCCAGAGAGGAGGAAUUCCAGCAACCGAAGUGCAGAAUCCUGGCAACACUUUAAGCACAAGAGGCCAGUAGUCAAUUAGGCAGUCAAGCACUUAAGAUUAAGAAAUUUGAGGCAAACUACUGCCACCAGUACCACUGGUAAAUGCUCAAGGAAAAAGUAAAUCAAAUGGCCAACCAAAGCCACUAAGAAAUACAAACAAUUUCAGACAGUACUCCGAGAGCCUAAACAAACGACAGUUAUAUCAAACCAGGCGAAUCAGCUGCAGGACAUAACUUAACCCACUGGCUCCAGUAACACAGAUGCAACCCAAACAAAAUUACUCAAUGAAAUCGCAAUCAUCAAAAUCCCAUCAACAUCAAAAAAUUGGAAUUGGGGACCAGAAAAUUAAUAAAGAAAAACCUGGCACCAGGGAGGUUGGGCUGUUGGCGUGCGGCGGUGGUCGAAAGGGUGGCAAGCUGGUGGUGCUCGCGUGGUGGUGGCAGGCGAGGGAGGAGCGACGCGGCGUGUUGGUUGUGGGCUCGUGGGCUUCGGCUGGAGAAAGAGUUCGGCGAGGAGGCGGAGCGUGGGCAGGCGGCUGGUGGCAUCGUAUGGAGAGAGGCGCGGCGAGCCUUGGCCGCGAGAUGGUGGUGGAGCGAGUGGGUAGGAGGAGCUGCGCGCAGGUGAAGAUUCGGCCGUGGGCUGUGGGUGAAGUGGAGAGAGAGCAGAGGGAGCUUGGUGGCAACCUUGGUCUCUGUCGGCAGCUGUGGCGGCUAGGAGUUGCGGCAGGGAGGAAUAAUUAGGGAGGCGGCCGUCGACGGAAGUCUGUCAGCUUGGGCUUCGUCGACGAGCUGUGGCGGCGCGCGAAGAGCUGGUGGCACACGAGGUGAAGCUGGAGCUGGAGGGAGGCGCGGCUGAGGUCGCGCGGCUCAGAGGUGGAGAAAGGCGGAGAUCUAGCGGCUGGCGGUGGGCCUGUUACGCGGCGCGCGAUGGUGGCUUGGAGGCAGAGGCGUGCGAGUAAAAGGAAGAAUUGGGGAAACAGAGGCAGCGGGGAAGAAGGAAGAAAGAAAAGAAAGAAAGAAAGAAAGAAGAAAAGAAAGAAGGGAAAAAAAAUAGUUUUUUUUUUUUGGGAGAUUUUUUUUUUUUUAUUGCACACUCAAAUUUCAAAACUCGAAUUGUGAGAACCAAAACUGAAGGUGUAAAACGGAAAAUGUUUUUUUUUUGAAUUUUUGAAUUUUUUUUUGUUUUUAGGUCGUCAAACACCGCGUGGGCACGCCAAGAUUGUAAAACGUCCACUGACCAUGAGACUUGAAUUUAGACGCUUAACGCGUGCCCUCCUCGCGUGGGCACGCCAAGAUUACCUAUUCUGGUCAUAGUAAGAAAACAUCAAGAGUGAUUAGUACCCAAGUGAGAAACGACAUAUUUAAGAAAUUGAACACAAAAAUAACAAAAUCAACAUUUGGGUUGCCUCCCAAAAAGCGCCUUUUUUUAAUGUCUUUGGCUAGACAUGCUAUGCUUGUUCACGGAGGAUAAAAUCUUGUAGCUCGUUUCAAUGCUUCAUCUUCAAUGUGAUCCUGGUAACCCUCAUAGAUGGAGUAAUCUUUGAGCACACGAGCUACGGUCUUCCAUGGACUAGUUGAUGGCGCCAAAUAAUCAAGCAUUGAUCGCAAUUCUUCAUCCACUCCUCCAUCAAGAGCAUUCGACGGUUCAAGAUAUUUGACCAUAGCUACUCUUAAUUCAUUCCUGCCAUGAGACUCAAGAACUUCUGGUAUAACAAAAUCAAUCUCAUUAACAGAAAUCAUAGAGUAAGAGUUAAGAAAAUGCAGGUUAGGGAAUGGAGGUGGUGUCACCACAUUUGCUGAUUCUUCACUGGAUUCUUUCACUUGAAUGGGUUGCAGUUGGGGUUCCAUUUCUUCCUUUUCGAUUUCUUUUUCAACUGCAUCUGUACAUCUCUCUUCUUGAAAAUCUUGCAGCUCCUCAUCACUAGUCAGGCAAAUUGCACUCUCAUUUUCUUCAAAAUCAACAAUGGUUUUCGAGGGCAAUUCUUCAAAUUGAGAAGCCAAUCGAUUUAUUCUGGAUGUCAAUAGACACAUUUGAUCUUCCAGAUUACUCAUUGCCUCCUUCAUCAUCUCAUUUCUCCUUUGUGUCUCCUGUUGGAAUUGAUAUGUAUUAAUAGCUAUUGAUUCAACUAUUUCUUCAAGAGACAUACCUGACACAAAUGAUGAUUCUUGAGACUCAUACUGCUGAAAAUUCAUUGGCCCUGUUAUAUAAUUAUAACUGGAGUUAUCCCACCAUCCUUGAUCAUACCCGUUUGGAUUAGGGUUAUACCACGUUUGAGACCAGGGUGAAAAAUCUCCAUAAUUAUUGAGUGGGACACUCAAAUUAUCUUGAUAUUCGGGGCACAUACCAGUUGAAUGAUCCCUGGCAUAACAAAUUUUACAGGUUGCAACAGCCAUUCUUUCUCUAAUAGAGUUUCGUGCCUCUGAAUAUGCAAACUUAGCAAAAAAACUAGCCUCAUUGCCUUCCCUGGAAACAAAAUCCAGUCUAUCACCAAAAUACGGAGUGUUAGAAGCCAUAAACUAUAUAAAAAAAAAGAGAAAAAUAAAUAAAAAAAAUAAAAACAAGAUGAACUCAAAAAGAAACAAAUUAAUCUGGCACCAGUCCCCGGCAACGGCGCCAAAAAUUGACAGGUGUCGAGCCUGUGCAAAAAUAAAUACCUGCUUAAAUAAAAUAUAAUUUCUGUAGAUAGUGAUAAGUAGGGUCGAAUCCACAGGAACUGGGGAUAAUUUAAUUUCUUCUCAAGUUCCAGAUAUGGGGGGUUUUUGAAAAUGAGAGUAACUAAAUUUAUUGGAAUAAAUUAAAAUAAAAUAAAAUAACUACAACUCAAAUAACUAAUUAUCACAAUAAAAAUAAUAAUAGACGAACUCUAGCCAAGAGACAACUUUGGAGAUGGUUUACUUAAUUCGAUCACAGAUGCAAGGAUUAUUCCAGUUAUUAUCUGAUAAAUUAGUUAUAGUUGUCAUACACGCGAUAAACAACUAACUCUUCCUCAAUUUGUCGAUAGCCAAGGUACGACCGUUGACUAUUUCUCUAAUCAGGAAACAACCCUAGGUACGACCAUAGAAGUUCAAUUCCCUAAUUGCAUGAAUAAUUAGAAGAACCUAAUUCUAACCAAUCAACACGCUACGAGGGUCUCUUUAAGUUAGCCUGUCUAUCUCCCUGACACAAACCCAAUCAUGCCAGUUGCCACCAGUUUAGAAUAAUUAAACAAUUACGGAUUUAACUACCAUAAUUGGCUUCAGGUUAUUGAAUUAAUCUAGAAUCCGGGCCCUGGAUAAUCGAAUAAUAAAACAACUAUAUGAACAUAAAGCAGAAGAUAGACGAAUACCAGAAAAUAAUAGGAAAGCUAAAAUCGAUUAGAUCUCACAAUUUAAGUCGAACCAAAUCCUCCGUUGUUCUUGACUAGAAAAACUUAGCCACGUCUCAUGAGAAAAUCUCCACGUAAUUUAAUUGAGGUCCAGGCCAUCAAAGGAAUCAAGAAAGAAUAGAAAACUAAAACUAUAGCUAUCCUAAAACUAUUGAUAAAAACUCUCUGUACGUCCCUUUUCUCUUUUAAAGCCAAAGAUACAAAUGCUAUCUAGUCCCGUGGUCCCCGCACGAAUUGAGAGUCCAAUUCCAUUUCACAAGCCUCUGUACGUUUCUUUCCAAGAGCCCAAAUGACUCAUGCUUCUUAUCUCCGUGGUCCCCACGCAAUUGAGAAAAGAGUCCAUCCCCUGUAAUCCUUGUUUUUAGCUUCCUCUUACCCGUAAGACUCCUAGUACAAGUCCACCCUUUUCAGCAUAAAGAUAGGAAAUCCCCUUUUUGUAGCAUCCUGUGGAGCCAGGCUUGUAUUUCUUUUUAGAACUUCCCAUGUGUGGAGUGUUUUUAUCAAUAAAGUCUCCUUUUUAGCACUUGUUUGCUCUACUUCCUGUAAUUAGGGCCAAAUACCAAAUAUAAGUACAUUUCAACAAUUAAAACAAUAUUUGGCAAGGACAAAGAGGGAAAUUAACCAUAAAAUUAACAACAAAUUGUGCCCUAUCAAUCCUCCAAAAUUGAUCGCCAUUUGUCUUUCCUCAAGCGCAGCAAACCACCAAGUACACUUGCCACUAGUGGUAAUCCAUUACAUAUUUGUAUAGCUCUGUCUUUAAUUGCAUCCAAUUCAUUAGGUACUUCUUCGCCGUCAACUACUUUUCCUUUUAGGAUAGACCAACAAUGAUCACCAGGGAGUCUUCCUAAGGGAUAGCCUUCAUCUGCCACUACACGCGAACGAGUAGUGAUUAGACACCAGCUUCCUUUGGGUGGAUUGAUUGGAUUGAGUCCCUUCAAGGUGGCGAAGAAGUCAUCCCACAUUGCCUGAUUAUCAUCCCACACAUCAUCAAGAACUAGGAAAUAUCUUUUUCCCCCCAGUUGAUUCCGAAUAUUUCCAACGAUGAUAUUCCUAUCAUCCACUUCAAAAUUUUCUCCCGUCAAUUGCAAUAAAAUGAGUUUGAAAAGCUCCACUAUUGGAACUUUUUCGAUACACAAACCCACAACUUUUUGUUAAAGUGCUCAUCAAUUUGCUGUUUGUUGUAUAUCGAUUUAGCCAAAGUUGUUUUGCCUAGACCUCCCAUACCAUUUAUGGGAAGAACAGAAACAACCUUCUCAGUUGGUCUCAACAACAUCUCUAGUAUAUCUGAUUCAUCAUCGGCUCUUCCAAUCAUUGGAGCGACACUAGAGUCGGUCUGCCGAUUUGUUAUAUCUCCAGCAGCAGGGAGGGCAACUGCCACGUCUGACCUACUGACCAGUCCCAAAUUCCGGGCUUGUUGAUUGAUAUCAACCAGCAUAAGUUUGAUGUCCCUGACCUUAGAAGCCAUUCUCCAACGAAAAGCAAGAUUAAUGUUAGAGAAUGAGAAGAAGCAGCAUACCUUGAGCUUGUGUCGGUUUCGGGACUCCACCUUGUGGCGGAGAGAUUCAUAUUUGAGCUCAUCCAACACAUUUGUAGCAUCAUAAGCAACCUCCUCGAGACACUCCAACCAUGCUUGCACCGCUCCGUCCUGGUUUUGCUUUGCUUCAGCAUCGGCCAAGACAGCAUUGAUCAGCCGGAGAGAACGUGUCAUACUGGCCACAUCCUUCUUGAACCCAACUAACAUACCAAUCCUAUCAGAGGCAAGAGACAGUGCCCUUUCCAGGGUGACCUUAACUGUGGAACUGAUAAGAGCGUCAGCCAUUUCUUCUUCCGUGGAUAUGCAACUUUGAGAUCAAGAUGGUUUUUUUUAUGGAAGGCUUUUUGUUGCCGGAAACUGGUAAUCUAUCUAGUCUAGCAGUAAUAGAAAUGGUUAUGAAGAAAUGAGCAUUGAUAGUAGUACCAGUGUACGUAAUUUUUUUUUUUUUUUUUGUGUGUGAACAAAAUAUCUCCCAUGGUUGUUCCAACCAAGAAAGGACAAUUAUAACUGCUGUCUUGGCAACAUGUAUCACAUUGCAGUAAAUAAUCCUUAGCCUUCUAAAUACAUUUUUUUAAAUCUGAUCGAUAUUUUUCUUUUUUGAAGCAAAAAUCUGAUAUUGUUGACGAUUGAGCUUUACAUAAUUUAGGAUUGGAGCGCCGUAAAUGAGGGUCCACUUUACAUUCUUAAUUUUUGCUAACAAUACUUUUUGUGAACUGGAAAAUAAGCGUGUUUGUUAUAAAUUAUAUAUUUUUAAUUUCAAACUAAAAUUCAAAAACAAAAAAGUGAAUACGUGUUCAAUUACACUACAACGUGCUCCGCUGGUUAUAAAUUUAAUCGUUUUGGGUAUAAUUUUUUCUUAUUACUUUCUUGUUUUAGUUGAUUUUGGAUAGUUUCAACUAUUUUCCUAGUUUUUCUUUUAUCUUCUUGGUUAACUUGCUCAUGUGAGUGAAUGCAUAGACUGGUUUUCCCAUCAAACUGGUGUAUCUGACUCUCUUGUGGGAACGGGGAACCCAUGCAUAAAUUUCAUUUUACACAUUCAUUGAAUUUUGCACUUUUGUACAUAUACGGGAAUAAGUCAUAUCAUACCAUAUAUAUACAUAAUAUAAAAUAGGAUUUUUUUAACGGAUGUCCUGUCUUGUUAACACAUCUAACAUUUAUCUGACAAAUACAUAUAGAGUAAUUUUUCCGCGUAGGCGAGGAGUUCUUCUCUGACAAAUUUGUAAGAUUUUGCAUUGGCAUGUUUACAGAGUAACUUUCUCAAUUAUUGUAGUUGUUGGGGCAUCAUGUUUUCUGAUUAAAUGCUGGGGCCUUCAGAAUUUUUGGUUGAGGACCAAUAUUUUGUUUUUGUCCACGAUCAAAUCGUAAAAAGGAGAGUGAGAUUCUGCUUUGGUUACAUGCAUGCCAUUAUGGUUAAUCCUUGGAAAAUGAAUUUAUGACAUACAAUAAUUUGGUCUGAAUUUUGUUCGGUUUUGGGAAGCGACCACACUGGGAAGCAAUAAUAAUAAUGUUCUCUGUUUUCGCACUAGCUAUGAUGCAUUUUGCUUCUUGGCUUAGUAAUCAGGCUUGAGAUUUUAAAUUACCUUUUGUACUUUAGCGUUUCAAGUAUAUAACAUGAUCGGUAUGAAAUCCCUAGCCUUCUACUCCUCUCUUUAAAAUCUGAUAGUCUUUAAUUCAGAUCGGUAUUAAUCCUUUUUGUUAUAUUAUUUCUUAUUACUUUCUUUUUCUAGUUGAUUUUGGAUCCUUUUUUAAUUACUUUUCUAACUUUUUUCUUUAGCUUUUGCGGACGCGGACAUGUAUACUGGUUUCUCCUCAAACUGGAUGUCUCUCAAUCUCUCUUUUGUGGGAAUUCAACGUACUUUUAAGAUGAAUUUCAUUUUGCCAUUAUCAAGUUUGCACUUAAAGAAUUAAAGUUCAUAUGGGGUUAAGUCAUACUAAUUUCAUAUCUUUGACAUUUAUUUAUCACAAACCUCAAUUCUUCUUUCGUCUAGUGUUUCAUUCCUAUAUCAACUCUCCUUAAUUCCAUGUUGCGCAUCGCUUUGCACGUAAGAAUUCAAAAUUUAACCACCAAUUAAAUCACUUGGGAUUCUCGGUGACAUGUUUUCUAUGCCAACUCAAUGCUACCUAUAGUAUUGCGCCAAGUGUCCUGUUAUUAUUUACACUUGUGUUAAACCAAACCAAGUUAAAUUAUUAGAAAAUUAAAAUAUAAAUAAUAACAGGACACUUGGCGUAAUAUUAUAGGUGGCAUUGGGUUGGCAUAGAAAACAUGUCACCGAGGAUCCCAAGUGCCAAUUAAAUAGUUUUCCUCGCAACUUGUCCCGUUUGGAUUGCUAUUUUUAGGAAUUUUUUGUAGAAAAAUAUACUGUAGAGAUUUGAUGUAUGUGAGGUAAAAAGGUGAUUGAGAAAUGUAUUUAUGGAAAAAAUGUUAGUUUCCUUUUCUCUUCUAUUUCGAAUUUCUCCCAACUUAUGUUUCCUUGUUGCAAAUCUUGCCAAACUUUAUAAGAUAUGUCUUAUCAAUUUCUUUGAUACCUGAAACACAAGAAAUUUCUCAUUCCUUAUGUGUAUUCUUGUUUAAUUAUUUAAUUUGGUUCCUGAAACACAAGAAAUUAGUAAAGAAUUUAGAUCCAAUUUGGUGCAACGCUUCUUUGACAAACUGAAUCGGAUGCUUCUGCAAUGGAAGUGUUUUUUUUUUUUAUAACAACAAUAACUUUUCCUACAACCUAAUUUAUUCUAUUCUGCAGGGAGGAGGAACCUAAUCUAUUCUAUUCUAUAUGGAGGGAAGCCUAAAAAGAUUAUACUAUACGGACCUGACUCGAUCAAAGAGUUAAUUUGACAACUCCAUUAAAUUUUUUUCAUUAUAUAUAGAAUUUGAACUCCAGAUUUACAAUCUAAAAAAAAAUUAAUCUCUUUUUGGUUUCCACAUAGCCAAAGCUCAGUUGGCCCAGUGGUUGCAACUUGCAACGGCAGUUGCUUGGCAUUUUCAAUUCACCUUUCUUUGUAGUGUAGUAGUUGUCGGGAUUCUUCAUCUGCCUUUGAUCCACAUUCCACAUGCUUGGGGGGGGCAUCGGAUGUGGAAAAUUCCACCCAAGAAGGAAAAGAAACCGUAUUGAAUGAUGAAGAAAAGAAAAUGGCAAUCAUCAUUGAGACUCUAAUAAUUGCCAUGGAGAAGUUUGCCUGGCAAUUUCACUUGGCUUUAUUGAUCAAUGCUUAGCUGGGUAUUUCAUCUUUUUCUGAUUGAAAGCUGGCUGGGCCUUUGGUUGUGAAAAAUAUCUCAAUGGUUCGUCGGAGUUGUGGUUUGAUCCAAGACUGACCCCCGCAAAAAAAAAGAAGAAGAAGAAAGACUAUGUUCAAUGAUAAAAAUGUAAAGGAGAAAGAAGAAAUGACAACCAUAGCUGGUGACUUUGCAACAUUAAUUGCCUCAGCCAUUAAUCCUUGGGAAAUGCCCGACCAGGGUAGCUCACCUGGUGGUGUAGUCUCUAGUUAGAGCAUCCACCACGGUUCGAGUCCCUGUAACAAAAUGGGAAAAGACCCAACAACCCAAAUAAGGGUUGGGGCCUGAAGUUGGGCCAGGCCCUUUUUUUUGACAAAAAAAAAAAUUAAUCCUUGGGAAAUAGACUAAAAACGUUAUUUUGUGGGGGAAAACUUAAGAAAUAAUCCGUAUCAGGUUUGGCAUGUAGCGACAUAAUUGGCCAAUGGUUGGGUGCUUCUUAGCUUUUACACUUGUGAAAUUGCCAAAUCAGUCACUCGUAAUUCCACAAGCUUUCUGGCACUUUAAAAAUUCAAACAUUUUGUUUCAAAAUGUCUUGUUUAUGUACAGCAUACAAAAUUUAAGUGGUGAAAGUUUAAGGAGUUUCUUUAUUACUAUUUUUUUUAGAGUACAAUAUACAAUCAACUGAAGUUAGAAGUGAAAUAGACCUUUAGCUCACACUAUGAUUAUAAACUUUGACUAAAUUGGAUGUUUUGGAAAGGGGGAAAUGAGCGUGUUCUUGUGGAUUUCAAUUUUUACAAUUGAAUUAUUUGCCUAUGAUAUGAUCACAAGUUUAACUUAAAUGGAGUUGCGAUGAUAGAAGAUUCUCGAAAGAAGACUUCAAAAGGUGGAAAUUGAAAAUGAGUGGAAAUUAAUGGGGAAUUAACCAAUUAUUUGGAUACCUAUUUUUGAAUCUGACUCUUUUAUAAUUAGUUUCUCUUAUAGUUUUUCUCGCUCCUAACAAAUUUAUCUCAAAAGAUAAAUUUGAAUUAUUUGUUCUUAUGGUUCCUCUCUCUUCUAACAAUAUGAUUAAUUUGUAUAAAUUUUUUUAUCCAUAUGGAUUAACUUAGUGUUAAAAAAAUUUUAACUGUUAGCUGAUAGAUUUAUCAAUAUUGCUGGAAAUUAAAUAUUUGUUGAUGUAGAAAACAAAUCACAAAAUCUAUUGUACUUAGUUAAGUAGGAACAUUGUCGCGCCCCACUUUUUGAAUGAGAUGAUGUGUGUGUGAAGUGAACGUGUGCAAAAUGAAAAGUAAAAAGGCCAUGGGACUUUGGAAAGCGACGAUUUGGCCAAAUGAAAUUUUAAAAAGGGUUUUUUUAAAUAUGAAAACGGAGUCGCCACUUGGUAUAGAUUUGGGGUGUACCAAGUCACCCAAAAAAGUGUUUUUUAAAGACAAAGUAGUAAAACCCUUUUUAAAACGACUCCUAGUCCACGUAAGCCAAAGAAAAAGGUUCGGGGGUCACGUUUGACAAAGGGGAAGGCAAGGAUAGAAUCCAAGGCACCCCUUUGACCUAGCCAAGGCUAGUUGCGCGACUCAAACCAAUUUUUCCUAAUUUUUUCUACCCAAGGUAUGUAUCGCGUAUUGGAUAUGUCUAUAUGAAUGCAAAAACCUAGACCUAGGGGGACAUGGGGGAAAUUUCUCUUCAAAGGUUGAGUGGUGCCAAUCACAUUAAUUGUGAAGCCCAAUAAUGAUCCUUUGGAGAGGUCACGUGUAAUCCUAAAUGACGUAAAAAUGAGUGGAAUGCAUGCCAUGUGAAAGUGUGAGUUUGUGUGAAGUGAAAAAAAAUGAUAAAAAUACGAUAUAAGUGGAGGUGUGCAAAUGUCUUUGAAUGCAAAUAUAUACUCCAAGUGCAAGUGGGCAAAAAUGCAUGUAUGCAAUUUAAAGAAAAGUGCGAAAGUGUCGGUGUGCAAAUGAAGAUGAAAGUACUCGUGUGCGAGUGAAGAUAAAAGUGUUCGUGUGCAGGUGAAGAUAAAAAGUGUUCGUGUACAAGUGAAAAAAGUGUUCGUGUGCAAGUGAAAGUGAUAAAAAGGUGCAUGUGUGCAAGUGAAAGUGAUAAGAAGGUGCAUGUGUGCAAACGAGACAAAAGUGAAAGUGUAAUGAUAGAGUGGAUUGAGAAUGCAUGAGUCUAGGGAAUUCAUGCAUAUUGGGUACGGGGAGACCUAAAUCGUGACUUGAUUUUCCCUUUGAUUAGAAGGCGAAACUAGCGUGCUAAGGCUAUCGAGUAGCCACACUCGCUCGUUUCCCUUAUCGGAAGGGGACUCUCAUGCAAAUGUACCCUAUAACUAGUAUGAAAUGCAAAAAUCCUAAAAUGAGGGGAAAAGGGGCUCGAGGAGCAUGCCAGAUGAUAAAACUAAGGAAAAAUGCAUGAUAUGUAGUGAACAAGCAAAUGAUAUGCUAAUGAGGGGAAAUCCCUAAGGGUCUAGCGUUGGACUAGCCCAUUCUAUGAAUUCCGACUAGCGUUGGACUAGCGGAAACGUACAUUCAUCCAUUCCAUUCAUUCAUGGCUAUGAAAGCAAGUAGACAUGCCAAAAUACUCGUAAACACAUAGCACAUAGCAUUUAGCAUGCUCGACUAGAUGCAAGAGCCUAAUAAAGCAAUUAAACAUGUAGCAACAAAAACAAGCAACCAAGGGGAAGGGGAAAUGGACCAGGUGCUCUCCGAGCGCUAUCUAUUACAAGCCAAGAGGUGUACACAUACCCCAUAAAAGCAUAAAGGGGAAGGGGAAAUGGACCAGAUGCUCUCUGAGCCCUAUCUAUUACAAGCCAAGAGGUGUACACAUACCCCAUAAAACUUAAAUAAAAGUAAAAGCAAGUAAACGCAUGCAAGGAGGUAAGGAAAGCGAAGUAGACAGGCAUAUUCACAUAACACAUAGGAGCACGUAGGGUCAAAUGAAGUGCAAAUGAGGGAUAGAGUGUACCUCCCUUGAAGCGACGCCCUAACGUAGUAAAAUUACUAACUUACCCUCCAAAAUAAUAAAAAGGUCAAGGUACCACUUAAAUUAUCAAAUAAAUCAGAGAAAAUGGAAAUAAAUGCCAAAUUGAAUUACUUGAGGCAUUCCAAAGAAAGUAAACUACUCGUACUUAACCAAUUAAGACAAGCAACGACCCAAUUGAGAAAUUAAAGAGGUUUAAAGAGCCAAUUUAUUAUUAUUAUAAACACUAAGGGACUUGAAAAAACAUAAAAUAAAAUUAAGAAUCUAAGGUGAAACAAUACCAAAUCAAACGAGAAAUUUCACAAAAAGGUAAAUGAGAAGCAAUUUACUAGUAUCUAAGUAACAAAAUGCCAAAGAAUCCAAGAAAAAUCAAAUUAACUACAAAUCUAGGAAAAAGAUAUUACUAGACCCUUUAAAUCCACUCUACAACCCCUUAAGUAUCCACUCAAAACAAAUCAAGAAGUAUUAAAGAGGAAACGGCAUGUUAGGAGGACAAAAUUAAUUAAGUUUUCCAAUUAAUUGGGCUAUGGAAGCAUUAGAUGGAAGCCAAGGGGUUGGAGUGCAAUUUGUGGAAGUUGUUUUCAUGCAAAGCAUGCAUACGAAGAGGAUUUUCUGCAAUGAAAACCAUUCAACAACUUUGAAACUUUCUUCAAUUUUUCCAUUUAGCCUUGGAAAACAAACCAAUGAACUUGACAACUCAAUAUUGAAUGCAACAACUUGGAACUAGGGGAAGAAGAAAGGCACGGAAAAAAAACUGCAAUGGAAUGCUGUGAUCAUUUGCCUAAAACAGGUUUCCAAGAGGAUAAAAAUCUGGCAGCUACCUAUCUGUAAUGCAAUGAACACACGCAUGUUUUGUCAAUGGAAACAGCCACCAAGACUUCACUUGUUAAUACGUCCCUAAAAUCUUUCAAACAACUAUUGAACAAGCUCCAUGAUUACACAGAAAUGCAAGGAAGACAGCUACUGGAAUGAAUAUAAAAAAAGAAAAAAAAAAGUCGCAAGCAUUGGAACCAUUCCUGCAUUUUCCUGUUGCAGCUCUUGCCGCAAACUCCUCUGGGGUUUUCUUUGUGUUUUAAACAAUUCAUGCACCAGUCAUUCGACACAGGAUUGAUCAUGCAAACAGAGGAAUGAAAUCCAAUUUGUGAGCUGCUGUGGGAGUCAAAACAUGAAAGCUAACGCAGCUUCAUGCAAAAUAUCAUGAGAAGAGUUUCUGCAAUUUCCUUUGCUGCAUUACUUUACUUUAGCCGAAUUGUGUUCGUGUGCCAAAAGCUCCUACAGACUUCCACUAAUUUGACUGCCAGAACCCAACUACAUGGACUUCAGCAAAAACAGCAAUUUUUACCCACUGAAUGCAGCUAAAAUGCAGCAAAUUGCAGCAAAAGACACCACUUCCGUCUUGCUGCAAUUCACCCACGAAACAUGCUCAUACAUCAACUUAAACCCAACCUACCAAGUGUAAUGCGCAAAAUGCAGUAAGGAAGCGUGAACUAGCUACCAGAAAUUCCAACCAUGAUAUCCAGCAAUUCCAAUCAUGAAGCAUGCAAAAUGGAAACCAGAAAUUCCAACCCAUUCCCAAACCAAAGAAGACCAUGAUAUUCAAGCCUUUCAUUGCAAAAAAAAACAUAAAGGAAACGGUACUCAAGGAAGCACUUAAAACUUAGACAUGACAACAAUCCUGAAACUUUUUGCAACUUUCUGGUCUUGUUCAUUCAAACACCACUCAUGGCCUCAAUCAAUGAAACAUGAAUCAGAAUUACAACGUGGCUGCGCAUUUUCCAGAUUCGAUUUUUACCCUUGUUGCGUUUAUUCAAUGUAAUUUUCCAUCCAAACACUUCUAAAACUUCAACCAAACAUCAAACUUCGAUCUUAAGCCAGAAAAAAACAACCUUCAACGUCCAAACAAGCCAAAAUCAGCCCCAAAAUGCAAUCUUUUCUCAAUCAUUUUCUUCUUCAGUUCAUGGGAUAAUAUAAUCACUUUCUGGGCUCAUUACCAAACGUAAGAUCAUACGAAUCUAUUUCCAAGCUAACGAAAAUCAUGCUAUUUACACCGCUUAUCUCUAAAACCCAACAAUCAGAAUUGCACCAACCCAAAAAAGAAAACAACGGCAACCAGGGAAGCAACAAGUCAGCGAAAUAUGAUAAAAAACACAGAGCCCAGCUAACCACAAAAUGUCACAGGAUCAUGCCUUUUGGACUUUGGAUUCUCAUGGAUAUAGCAUUAAAGCAAGAAAAGGAGAAACAAAAACGAUCACCUGAAUUGCUAGGGCCGAAAGCAAGAGUUUCUGCUGAGUUUUCGUUUGAAGCUAAAACUGGAACGGUGGAGGCCGAACAGCUUCUUCCUCCGGAUCAAAGCUCCCUCUUUUCUCUUGUUUUUUAGGUUUCCUCUGCCCAGCCGAUAAUCAGCCCAAAACUUCCUUCUUUUCUUUCUGUUUCUCCUCGGCCCCGACACCCCCUUGGCUCAGCUUUUCUCUCCUCCAGUUCGUCCAACUAGAUUUCAGCCCCACUCCCAAAACCUCCAGCCGCUAUCUCAUCCUAUUCUCAAACCUUCUUGACCCUAGUCGUUCCUCUACUCUCAUCUGGUUUCUCUCAAUCCUCCCCCUUUUCAGCUGCAAACCCUCAUUCUCUCUUCGUAGCCCCUGCCCAGUUUUCAGUUCUCUCUUACCUUCAGCUCUCGGUUUUUCCUUUCCGUCAACCCUCUCUUGGCUCCUGUGUUUUUCUUUUGCCGUUCUUUUUAGAACUCUCCCCCGUAUCCUCCCUAAAACUCCCUUGCGGCUGUCCAUCCUUUUGCUAUUUAUAUGGGAACUUCCAACCCUAAACCUUCAGUCAGCUCUUCUAUAUUUACAGCCCAAGGGGCUGCCCGAAGUCCUCCCUUGCAAGCUGCAAAACGCAGCUUGCAAGUCGCGUUUCUUUUUUUUUUUUUUUAACUUUCAACUUAAUAAAUACAGAAAUGAUAAAAUAUAAAUAAUAAUAAUAAAAAAUUGACAAAAACCAAGUAAUAAUAAUGAAAAUAAUAAUAAUGAAAAUAAUUUAAAAAACUAAACAACUAAAAACAACAAAAAUGGCCAUUUUUCCAUCUUUUUUUUUGUUUCAUUUUUCAUUUUUUCCAUUUUUUUCAAGAAAGCAUUGAAUUUAAAUUACAAACGACUAAAUCAUAUUUUUUUGAAUGCUUUUUCUUUUCCUUUUUUUCUUUUUCAACAAAUUCUAUGAUAAAACUUAAAAAUAAAAAUAAAACUGGAAACUAAAAACUAAAAAUGAACACGACAAAUAAAAAAAACUAAAAAAUGAAAUUACACCAAAAAUUUGGUGUCUACAAACAUGUAACUAGGUUUAUGGUUAUUAUAAAAAUUGUAAUUAUCUAAAAAAAUAUCCGUACACAAAAGGUAGAAUAUCUAUUGAUUUUUUUAUAUGUGUUAUAAUAUUUGAUGAAUAUUAUGAUAUUAUAGUAAAAGUAUGUAAAGAAGUUUUUAAAAAUUAGUAUGAUAGUUAAGUAUAACUAUUACAUUAAUUUUCUAAAAUUAAUAUACAUGAAUUUGUAAGAUCAUCAUUAAUUUUUUAUUUAAAUUAUUCAUGCUUGCACGAAUUCAAAGUAAAAUAAAAAAAUAAACCAUGCCAAGGCACAUGCAAGAUGCUCGUUCAAAUUAAUGUUGUACACGUAUAGGAGUCACAAAACGGUUUGGUGCAUCUAAAGUAUUAGGACAAGUUUUACAUUAAAGCGGGAGAUUUGUAAAGCAAUUGAGCGAAAACAAAUGAGGGUGAGGAAAACUUUAUAUCAGUUGCAAUGCAUUCAUAAAAGCUAUGACACAUUCGUUAAAAUAAGAAAUAUUUAUUAAUUUGGUGCAGUGUAAUAGCAAACCAAGGAAAAAAAAUAUGAAUGAUCCGUAAGAGGGAAAGAUGUCAUUUGACUUAAAAUAAAAGUGUGAUUGGAUAGAGGUUUAGUUGAACAAAAAGAUUAGAUUAAUAUCGUAACAAUUUUUGUGGCUUGAUAUAAUGUAUAUGAGAUACAAUGAUGGCUGGUAAAAUAAAAAAAUGAUUCAGGUAAAUAUAAAUAAUUUUUUUCAUAUAUUUGCGUAAUGAUGAUAAUGACAGGGGUGAAAACAAUGCAUGCAAAGACGAAGGUUGAUAAUAAUAAUGAUAACUAUGGUAAGAUAGAUAGCAAUUGCAAGUUGCACACCAUGCAAUUAGUAAAUGUUUUAGAUUAGGUAAAUUUGCACACCACUAUUGCAAAUAAUUCAGUCAAUAAGAGAGAGGAAAACACAAUGCACGAAAUCCAACUUUUAGAAUUGUGUUAUAGUUUAACGAUGACUAUGUGGUGUUUUUGUAGACAAAUAAACAGAAAAACAAAUAAAUAUACAAAUUUGAUAAAGAAAGGUGCACUUCUAUGGGACCGAAACUAAUUGCUCUUAGGUCCCAUUUUGCUAUUUCUUAAAGUUUUUAUAGGGACUUUUUCGUUUGGAUUGCUAUUUUUUGAAGUUUUUAUAGAAAGAUAUGUUGUAGGAAUUUAAUAUAUAUAAGAUAAAAAAUAAUUAAAAAAUAUAUUUAUGAAAAAUGUUAAAAAUUUUUUGUAGUAAACUGCAAUCGUAGCAUGGCUUGCGAUUUGAUCAAUAUGAAAUAAAAAAGUAACUGAGAAAUGUAUUCACAAAAAAAUGUAAAAAUUUUGCCUUAGAAAACUACAAUCCAAACAAGUAGUCUUCUCCCCAUUUAAGAAACGCAAUGAAAAUAUUUGUUGAAUAAUUAAACUUAUCCCUUCAUAAACCACUUAUACCGGGGGAAGAAUCGAUUUUAUGGUAAGGAGGGAGGCAGUGAAUGAAAAGUCUUGGGUUCGAUUCCUCCCACUUACACAAAAAAAAAAGUAAAAAAAAAAAUCCACUUAUACUAGCUAAGAGUAUUUUCUGGUCACGUCUCAUGUUAUAUAUUAUUAAUCCUAUCCUAUUAUCCAAAAGCAUUUGUUGGAAAUUGCAUGCUUAAUUUAGAUUAAAAAAACAAUAAUGAAAUAUUUGUUGGAAAGAAGGAAAAGUGACGCAACCUUUCCAAUUUGUAAAUUCAAUUAGGCUAACAUGUAAAACUAUUAAAGUGUAUCAGCAUGAGAGAAUUUAGUGCUUCAUCUGACGCUUGUAAAAUAGACAAAUGAAGUUUUGAAAUUCUAGCACUUUUGGACCAAUACUUUUUUUUAAGGCAAAACCAAUGCCUUAGGUAAUUACAAGAUCUCAUCUUGAUUUGCUGUUUUUCUUAUUAAAUGUUGAAUCUAGAAAAUCAUGUCUAAGAAAUAACUACAUAUACCCGGAAAAAAAAUUUAGUGCUAGGAUAAAUAUACGGUUAAGUUAUGGAAAUUCUCUUUUCCAUUUUAGCAAUUUGAUUCUUUGGAUGCAUGAUUUUAUCUGUUAUAUUUGACUUCAAAAUAAGUUACUUUAGAAUGGUGUUUGGAUGUGAAAACAUAAUCUGUAAUUAUUCUCACCUACUAUUUAUUUUCUAAAGGUCUGUCCACUUUAUUCGGAUUUCUUAUGUCACGGCCCCACCUCCCCCUAAGGCGAACCAGAGGGUUCGGCGGGCCGCCUGCCCAGCUCUCGCCGGGACUCAGUCGCUCACUACAGUCCUCAACCCAAUUACAAUAUAAAUCUCAAAAUUUCAUCAAAUUCUCCAAUGAUUACAUAUUACAAAUGCAGCGGAAACUGAUUCCAAUCGUAGAACGUAUACUUACAUCCAUAUCAAUUUCAAAUAUUUAUACAAGACCAACUCGUACAUAAAAUAGAUCCAAACUUAAACUGUACACGAUAUAAGCCAUCCAGUCACGUGAAUAAGUACUCCAAGCUUUUCUUCGCCUUGAGCCCUGUGGGGGGGGGGAAAUAAAACAUUUUUGGGGUGAGCUAGAAGCUCAGCGAGUAACCAUUAAAAUCAGUAAUCAAAUCGGUUUCACAAUAUUUCUUUUCAAUGAUGUCAUAAAUCAAAUGAUAAGUCCAGAAACGAUUACAGCAUUUACAAAACAUUAAAUAUGGAGUGUCAAUAAUUCAAGAAACAUGUACAAUGGAAAGCGAUAGUAACAUUCAUGAAAGGAUACAUUCAUUCUCCUGACAUUUCCUCGCUCAUUUGAUCAUUUAUUUCAUUUCAUUCACCCCGUCCCUGGCUUUUGGCCAGGCUCCACCAACCUACAUAGGUAAUACUCGAGUAUACCAAAUGUUCACCCAAGUUCCUAAUCGCCUGACCGAGUCCGCUUCUGGCUCAAGACGACCGGUAACAAGGGGCAAUGGCCAGUUCAGCCCAAAAGGCUUACAUUCAUGCGCAAGUAACAUUUCAAUCAAAAAUUUCACAUUUAUCGAGGUCGAGUGCGAUAAAGUACACACUCGCCUCGAAAACUCGUUUUGGAAAUCAUUAUAAGCGCUUAACACGUUAUCAACCAAAAUACAAGUCAUGAAGUCAAAGAAUAUAGCAAACAAGGCACACUCACAUGCCAGCACGCAUGAUAUGCAAGAAAACAUUUCAAAAGUAACUUUGGAAACAGUUCAAAAGUAAAUAAUGUAAGAAACGGAUCAUAAAUAACUUUAGAAGUAGUUUGAGGUCACUCACCUCCACGGCUCUGAAACCAUCCAUCAUAUAGCAUUGCCUUGCUCAAAUCCAAGCCUUAGAUCACAAACGCAAAGCAACCAAGUCCUUUAAAAGUUCGGACAGCACUUCCCCUGAAUUUGCUAACUUUUCCAGCCAUCAUGGCUUCAUUAUAUCCUCAGCCAGUCCCAAAGGUACACACACAACAACGAGUUCAUCCAAUAGCCAUUCAGCAAGCUCCAAGUGGUACUAGUACAAGUCAAGCUAGGGAAAAGGUCCGGAAAUGAAGGUUUAGCUCAAACCAGAAAAACAGUUUUGGACGUCACUUUACGGUAAUGGCACAACUUGCACUACGAUUAUCGGAUUAGGGUGUAAGACCCACCAUUUCGAAGCUAUGAAACAGGGAUACAACAAUGUAGAAGGCCUCUCAGUCCAAAUCCUAGCACAACUAGGUCAAAAAUGCAGAAAACUAACCCAGAACCGUAAUUGCAGGUUCUCAAAUCCCACAAAACUGUAAUCAGUCCAAUUCAGUCUAUACAGGUCCAAAUGCAUUGAUUCAAAAGGCAUAUGAAAGCUAAGACAUCAAGCUACAUUUCAUCAGAAGACACCAACAACAAAAUCCAAAUCAAUUCCAGUCAAAACAGACAAUUUGUUAUCGCAGUUCGCACAUUCUGUUCACCAAAAACAGCAACAGUAAAAACGGCAUAACUCACUCUACACUACUCCAAAUACCCUGAAAUUUUGCAGGCACUUCAUACUCACCAAUAUAUACAACUUUUAUGUUUUGAGCAAAGUCCAAUUCGGCCGCUAGCUAUGACCUAAAAUUUCGGACAGAAUAGGGGUUCAUGAACCCUAACUUUUCACAAUUCACUUCAAAUCCAAAAUUGAUUGCAUUAUUCUUAUCCAAUCCACCACGCGAGCACCGCCAGCUCUCAAGCUCGCCGUGGCCUCCUCUCUCCACCACCAGCUUGCAACCCUCUGCUUCAACCCGCCGCCACUCUCUUCGCCACUGUCUCCACGCAGCCCGCCGCCACCUCACCUCGCUCACCACCAGCCUCAAAGGCCUUCCCCCCAUCGCGAGCCAUCUGCCCAACGCGCACGCUGCCACUCUCCCCUCCCGACUGCCCCAGCGCGCCUCCUCCUUAGCUCAGCCCGCCGCCUGGUGCUGACCACCACGCCGCGCGCCGCCAGCGCUGGAGCCGCCUGCGCGCUACCACUUCACCUACUGCGCGCCUCCACCUCAGCUUGUCCGCCAAUGUCGCGCGGCUGUCACCACCUGUCCUAUUUAGACAGGUGGAGGUAUUGUGAAUUCUGCCCCAAUUAGUUUCACUCUCUGAAAUUUGUGGUUGGAUUUCUUGAUUGAUAAAAGAAGGUGAUAAUUUGGGCAUUUUCUAGGGUCAAUUUUGGACAGAAUUGGGUUUAAUUGCUGCCAUAGUGGGGGUAUCUUCUGCUAUUUAUUGAAUUGUUGGCCUUUUGAUUACUCUUUCCCUGCGACUCACCAGGUACUGGUUGAGAUCUUUUGCCUAUCGUUGUGGCUUAUAUUUGAAGAUACUUGCUUAUUUUGCCGUUUCAGUUCUUGUGGUUGAGUUGCUGCCGUUGAAUUUAAUUCUUUCCUGUUUGUGCACCAGUGGUACUGGUUGCGGUGUUGCUUACAAUUCUUAAAUUUUCUCGAAUUCUAAUCGGUAGUUGCUGGAAUUGCUUGUUUGCUGGAUUCUUAAAAUUCUUAAGGCUUGGUAUCUUGAAGUGGGUACUUGAAUGUCCACUUGGUGACAUUUGUUGAGUUUCACUUGCUCCAAUUGGUUGAAUUCAUUGCUCUGUUGGGGUCCCUACUGGUAUCACUUGACUUCUGCUUUGUUAGUUUCUGUAUCGUGCCCCUUGAUCUUAUUUUGACUGAAUUGGAAACCCAGUGCAUAUUCAUUCAAUUUGCUGUAUUGUUAGGGUACUUUUCUAGCCUUUGGGGUGCCUCAGUUGUGCUUUUUAUUAAUUGGGUUGGCCAUGUGGUUCCCUCCUUUCCUGUGUAUACACCAGUGGUACUGGUUGUGCUAAUUUGCUUACAAUUUCUUAUUUCGAUAUGAUUGAGCAUCUGUGACUGAGUAUCCUUCGAUCUUGUUGCUUUGUUGGGAUCGUUUUUGGUGUCAAUUGAGUAUCAUUUGGUACUUUCUGCCUGGAGUCUAUUGAGCUGCCUUUGGUUGGGGUGUAUUGCAUUUAAUUGGUGCAUUGGACGGCUCCUGUGCCAUUUCCGUUGCUUAUUGAAGUAGGUUGCCUCUAUUUGCCUUGUGUGGGAGUAUUUUGUCCUUUUCAUUUCAAUUGCUAAAUUCAUUGGAGCACUUGUUGCGGUUUUGGGAUGCAUUGUUAUUGCAUUUGGCUAAGCAGGGGACCACCCAGGGCUAACGACUGGGUCCAACUCCGAAUGCAAGUUGCAUAACAUGGCGCAGAAUUUGGCAGCACUCCGCCCGACCCACUCCUGUUUUGACAACUUCAGGGAAGUACCGUUACCCUUCCCCUUCCUUUUGCUGUUAGUUUAUCACAUUGAGGGCAAUGUGAGAAAUUAGGUGUGGGGGGGACUCACAUGCCAGCACGCAUGAUAUGCAAGAAAACAUUUCAAAAGUAACUUUGGAAACAGUUCAAAAGUAAAUAAUGUAAGAAACGAAUCAUAAAUAACUUUAGAAGUAGUUUGAGGUCACUCACCUCCACGGCUCUGAAACCAUCCAUCAUAUAGCAUUGCCUUGCUCAAAUCCAAGUCUUAGAUCACAACCUCAAUGCAAACAAGUCCUUUCAAAGUUCGGACAGCACUUCCCCUAAAUCUUCUUACUUUCCCAGCCAUCAAGGCUUCAUGAUUUCCUCAUUCCAACCCAAAGGUACACCCACAACAACAAGUUCAUCCAAUAACCAUUCAGCAAGCUCCAAGUGGUACUAGUACAAGUCAAGCUAGGGAAAAGGUCCGGAAAUGAAGGUUUAGCUCAAACCAGAAAAACAGUUUUGGACGUCACUUUGCGGUAAUGGCACAACUUGCACUACGAUUAUCGGAUUAGGGUGUAAGACCCACCAUUUCGAAGCUAUGAAACAGGGAUACAACAAUGUAGAAGGCCUCUCAGUCCAACUCCUAGCACAACUAGGUCAAAAAUGCAGAAAACUAACCCAGAACCGUAAUUGCAGGUUCCCAAAUCCCACAAAACUGUAAUCAGUCCAAUUCAGUCUAUACAGGUCCAAAUGCAUUGAUUCCAAAGGCAUAUAAAAGCUAAGACAUCAAGCUACAUUUCAUCAGAAGACACCAACAACAAAAUCCAAAUCAAUUCCAGUCAAAACAGACAAUUUGUUAUCGCCGUUCGCACAUUCUGUUCACCAAAAACAGCAACAGUAAAAACGGCAUAACUCACUCUACACUACUCCAAAUGCCCUGAAAUUUUGCAGGCACUUCAUACUCACCAAUAUCUACAACUUUCAUGUUUUCAGAAAAGUCCAAUUCGGCCGUUAGCUAUGACCUAAAAUUUCGGACAGAAUAGGGGUUCAUGAACCCUAACUUUUCACAAUUCACUUCAAAUCCAAAAUUGAUUGCAUUUUCUUAUCCAAUACACCUCAUAGAGUCAUUAUCAGCCAUUACCAUUCAUCAUACAAGGCCACAACAUCCCCUUCAUAUUAAACCAGAAAAAUUCCCAAUAAAAUAAAAACUUCACCAAAACUCUUCAAAUCAAGAAAUAAAUCAUAUAUUCCUUCACUCAUGCCACCAUUAAGCAUCAUAUAACCAUCAUUAGGUGUAGUAGAGGGUUCAAGCAUCACUUACCAAGUAACAAGAGGUGUAGAGAGGUUGGCCACCUUAGAGCUUCAAAACAACUUCACUAGUACACUUAUUAUCACUAAAAGGAAAGGUUUUAUGGAUUAAAAAUGGAUGUAAACAAAUGUUUUGGGUGAUUUGCACCAAGUAGAAGCUUGAAAGUUGAAGAGUUUCUUCUUUCUUCUUGCUUAAAGAGGGCCGGCCAUAAGGAGGAGAAAAAUGGUGAAUUUUGUGCAAUUUUUGGAUAUUUAAUCCUUUGGUCAAAAAAGUCAAGAAUGUGAAUAGUAUUUCUUAAGGUCCAACCAAUAGGAAAGUGACACUUGUCACCUCCAUUAAAUGCAUUCUUAUCUUUCUUUUCUCUCUCACAUCAAUCACUUCACACACACUACUUAUCUCUUAACACCCGAUAAAUUUUAACCAGUAUCCGGAAUGUAACCUAAUUGGCCGAAUUUUUCCGAACUUUUCGCACUAGUGGGUCCCACGUCCGUUAUAAACUCUUAAUUUCUCAAAAACUCUCCAAUACUAGAAAAAUCAUUUGAAAACGAUAUUUGCUCAUAAACUUUAUCUGGGGAAUUUUUCUAAUCAAGAAAAUGUAGAAAAGCGGGCGUUAAACAAAUAAACCCUAGAAAAGUAGAAAAUUUCCGGGUUCUCAAACUCAUUUUUUUUCGGGGCGUCACAAUCUCCCCUCCUUAAAAGAAUGUCGUCCUCGACAUUCCCUCUUGUACCAAUCAAGUCGAAACAUCCCGCAAAAAUCUCUCAAGAGUCAAAUCAAACCCACAGUCCGGCAUCCUAAACUUCAAGCCUAGGAUACACUACAGAGAUCUGAAGCCUAAGCUCUGAUACCAAUUGUCACGGCCCCACCUCCCCCGAGGCGAACCAGAGGGUUCGGCGGGCCGCCUGCCCAGCUCUCGCCGGGACUCAGUCGCUCACUACAGUCCUCAACCCAAUUACAAUAUAAAUCUCAAAAUUUCAUCAAAUUCUCCAAUGAUUACAUAUUACAAAUGCAGCGGAAACUGAUUCCAAUCGUAGAACGUAUACUUACAUCCAUAUCAAUUUCAAAUAUUUAUACAAGACCAACUCGUACAUAAAAUAUAUCCAAACUUAAACUGUACACAAUAUAAGCCAUCCAGUCACGUGAAUAAGCACUCCAAGCUUUUCUUCGCCUUGAGCCCUGUGGGGGGGGAAAUAAAACAUUUUUGGGGUGAGCUAGAAGCUCAGCGAGUAACCAUUAAAAUCAGUAAUCAAAUCGGUUUCACAAUAUUUCUUUUCAAUGAUGUCAUAAAUCAAUGAUGUCAUAAAUCAAAUGAUAAGUCCAGAAACGAUUACAGCAUUUACAAAACAUUAAAUAUGGAGUAUCAAUAAUUGAAGAAACAUGUACAAUGGAAAGCGAUAGUAACAUUCAUGAAAGGAUACAUUCAUUCUCCUGACAUUUCCUCGCUCAUUUGAUCAUUUAUUUCAUUUCAUUCACCCCGUCCCUGGCUUUUGGCCAGGCUCCACCAACCUACAUAGGUAAUACUCGAGUAUACCAAACGUUCACCCAAGUUCCUAAUCGCCUGACCGAGUCCGCUUCUGGCUCAAGAUGACCGGUAACAAGGGGCAAUGGCCAGUUUAGCCCAAAAGGCUUACAUUCAUGCGCAAGUAACAUUUCAAUCGAAAAUUUCACAUUUAUCGAGGUCGAGUGCGAUAAAGUACACACUCGCCUCGAAAACUCGUUUUGGAAAUCAUUAUAAGCGCUUAACACGUUAUCAACCAAAAUACAAGUCAUGAAGUCAAGAAAUAUAGCAAACAAGGCACACUCACAUGCCAGCACGCAUGAUAUGCAAGAAAACAUUUCAAAAGUAACUUUGGAAACAGUUCAAAAGUAAAUAAUGUAAGAAACGAAUCAUAAAUAACUUUAGAAGUAGUUUGAGGUCACUCACCUCCACGGCUCUGAAACCAUCCAUCAUAUAGCAUUGCCUUGCUCAAAUCCAAGUCUUAGAUCACAACCUCAAUGCAAACAAGUCCUUUCAAAGUUCGGACAGCACUUCCCCUAAAUCUUCUUACUUUCCCAGCCAUCAAGGCUUCAUGAUUUCCUCAUUCCAACCCAAAGGUACACCCACAACAACAAGUUCAUCCAAUAACCAUUCAGCAAGCUCCAAGUGGUACUAGUACAAGUCAAGCUAGGGAAAAGGUCCGGAAAUGAAGGUUUAGCUCAAACCAGAAAAACAGUUUUGGACGUCACUUUGCGGUAAUGGCACAACUUGCACUACGAUUAUCGGAUUAGGGUGUAAGACCCACCAUUUCGAAGCUAUGAAACAGGGCUACAACAAUGUAGAAGGCCUCUCAGUCCAACUCCUAGCACAACUAGGUCAAAAAUGCAGAAAACUAACCCAGAACCGUAAUUGCAGGUUCCCAAAUCCCACAAAACUGUAAUCAGUCCAAUUCAGUCUAUACAGGUCCAAAUGCAUUGAUUCCAAAGGCAUAUGAAAGCUAAGACAUCAAGCUACAUUUCAUCAGAAGACACCAACAACAAAAUCCAAAUCAAUUCCAGUCAAAACAGACAAUUUGUUAUCGCAGUUCGCACAUUCUGUUCACCAAAAACAGCAACAGUAAAAACGGCAUAACGCACUCUACACUACUCCAAAUGCCCUGAAAUUUUGCAGGCACUUCAUACUCACCAAUAUCUACAACUUUCAUGUUUUGAGAAAAGUCCAAUUCGGCCGCUAGCUAUGACCUAAAAUUUCGGACAAAAUAGGGGUUCAUGAACCCUAACUUUUCACAAUUCACUUCAAAUCCAAAAUUGAUUGCAUUUUCUUAUCCAAUACACCUCAUAGAGUCAUUAUCAGCCAUUACCAUUCAUCAUACAAGGCCACAACAUCCCCUUCAUAUUAAACCAGAAAAAUUCCCAAUAAAAUAAAAACUUCACCAAAACUCUUCAAAUCAAGAAAUAAAUCAUAUAUUCCUUCACUCAUGCCACCAUUAAGCAUCAUAUAACCAUCAUUAGGUGUAGUAGAGGGUUCAAGCAUCACUUACCAAGUAACAAGAGGUGUAGAGAGGUUGGCCACCUUAGAGCUUCAAAACAACUUCACUAGUACACUUAUUAUCACUAAAAGGAAAGGUUUUAUGGAUUAAAAAUGGAUGUAAACAAAUGUUUUGGGUGAUUUGCACCAAGUAGAAGCUUGAAAGUUGAAGAGUUUCUUCUUUCUUCUUGCUUAAAGAGGGCCGGCCAUAAGGAGGAGAAAAAUGGUGAAUUUUGUGCAAUUUUUGGAUAUUUAAUCCUUUGGUCAAAAAAGUCAAGAAUGUGAAUAGUAUUUCUUAAGGUCCAACCAAUAGGAAAGUGACACUUGUCACCUCCAUUAAAUGCAUUCUUAUCUUUCUUUUCUCUCUCACAUCAAUCACUUCACACACACUACUUAUCUCUUAACACCCGAUAAAUUUUAACCAGUAUCCGGAAUGUAACCUAAUUGGCCGAAUUUUUCCGAACAUUUCGCACUAGUGGGUCCCACGUCCGUUAUAAACUCUUAAUUUCUCAAAAACUCUCCAAUACUAGAAAAUCAUUUAAAAACCAUUUUUGCUCAUAAACUUUAUCUGAAAAAUUUUCUAAUCAAGAAAAUGUAGAAAAGCGGGCGUUAAACAAAUAAACCCUAGAAAAGUAGAAAAUUUCCGGGUUCUCAAACUCUUUUUUUUCGGGGCGUCACAUCUUACCUAUUUCUAAAGGCCUGUCCACUUUUGACCGGUUUUCUGGCAAAGUCAACAAUGACAUUGAAUCGGACCGGUGCCAUGGCCAGUUCGCGGUUCAACCUGUCGAACCGGUCCGGUUUUCAGAACAUUGCUUAAAACAUAUUAUUUGGAUGUUUUGAAAUGGCUGUGGUUGUUUGACAAUUUUGGAUGCUUUUGUAUUGGCAUAUUUACUUUAACUUUCUCAACUAUUUUGAUUGUGGACAAUAUCUCAAUGGUUGUUUCAUUUAUGAAGGAUAAAAUUGAACUCGAGAUCCCUUACUUAUAACACCUCCUACCUUAUCACUCACAUCCAACCCUCCCAACUUGAAUCAUAAUUUGGUCUUAAUUACUAAUCCUCAAGAAUUAGAAUUAGAACAUGCAUCUUAUUUUGUUUGGUUCCCUCAAGUGCUAGAGCAAGAAUUUUUAUCGGAUCAAUUAAUGGUCAGUUUUUGACUAAUGAAAAUAUUCUAAAUAAGAUUGUGAAAUCAAUUAAUUUCAUAUACAAUCCAAAUAAGAUUAUGAACUCCUUGUUUGUUUAAUUAAUUGCAUGUGCUAAUGAUUGUACUUGCCAAAUAUCGGACCAUUGUUUUUGUCCACGAUCAAAUCGUAAAAAGGAGAGUGAGAUUCUGUUUUGGUUACAUGCAUGUCAUUAUUGUUAAUCCUUGGAAAAUGAAUUUAUGACAUACAGUAAUUUGGUCUGAAUUUUGUUCGGUUUUGGGAAGCGACCACACUGGGAAGCAAUAAUAAAAUGUUCUCUGCUUUCGCACUAGCUAUGAUGCAUUUUGCUUCUUGGCUUAGUAAUCAGGCUUGAGAUUUUAAAUUACCUUUUGUACUUUAACGUUUCAAGUAUAUAACAUGAUCGGUAUGAAAUCCCUAGCCUUCUACUCCUCUCUUUAAAAUCUGAUAGUCUUUAAUUCAGAUCGGUAUUAAUCCUUUUUGUUAUUUUAUUUCUUAUUACUUUCUUUUUCUAGUUGAUUUUGGAUCCUUUUUUUUAUUACUUUUCUAACUUUUCUUUAGCUUUUGCUGACGCGUAUAUUGGUUUCUCCUCAAACUGGAUGUCUCUCAAUCUCUCUUGUGGGAAUUCAACAUACUUUAAGAUGAAUUUCAUUUUGCCAUUAUCAAGUCUCUCAAUCUUCUUUCCUCCAGUGUUUCUUUUCUAUAUCAACUCUCCAUGAUUCCAUUAUUGUCUCACAGCAUAAUCCAGAAACUGUCAGUAUAUAAGAAUUCUUUUGAAGUAAUUAUUACUAAUAUAGUUUCCGCUUCUUGUGGAAUGUUCUGAAUCUUUCCUAAAGCAACAUUUUCCAAUUUGAGUUCCAGAAUUGUUGCAAACUUUUUUGGUUUGCGCAUCACUUUGCAUGUAAGAAUUCAAAAUUUCACCACCAAUUAAAUAGUUUUCCUCGCAACUUGUCCCGUUUGGAUUGCUAUUUUUAGGAUUUUUUUUGUAGAAAAAUAUACCUUAGAGAUUUGAUGUAUGCGAGAUAAAAAGGUGAUUAAGAAAUGUAUUUACGAAAAAAAAUGUUAGUUUCCUUUUCUCUUCUAUUUCGAACUUCUCCCAACUUAUGUUUCCUUGUUGCUAAUCUUGCCAAACUUUAUAAGAUAUGUCUUACCAAUUUCUUUGAUACUUGAAACACAAGAAAUUUGUCAUUCCUUAUGUGUAUUCUUGUUUAAUUAUUUAAUUUGGCUCCUGAAACACAAGAAAUUAGUAAAGAAUUUAGAUCCAAUUUGGUGCAACGCUUCUUUGACAAACUGAAUCGGAUGCUUCUGCAACGGAAGUGUUUUUUUUUUUUUAUAGCAACAAUAACUUUUCCUACAACCUAAUCUAUUCUAUUCUAUAGAGAGGGGAAGCCUAAUCUAUUCUAUUCUACUGGGAGGGGAGCCUAAAAAGACUAUAUAAGGAAAUUGGUAUACAGAUCUAAUUAGACUGUAUUUUGACGCUUUCUUUAAAUUUUUUUCAUUACGUAGAGUUCGAACUCCACAUUUACAAUCCAAAAAAAAUUAAUCUCUUUUUUGUUACCGCUGAGCCAAGUCUCCUUUGUUUGUAGCAUAGUAGUUGCCGGGAUUCUUCAGCUGCCUUUGAUCCACAUUCCACAUGCUGGGGGCGGGGGGGGGCGGGAAAUCGGAUGUGGAAAAUUCCACCCAAGAAGGAAAAGAAACCGUGUUGAAUGAUGAAGAAAAGAAAAUGGCAAUCAUCAUUGAGACUCUAAUAAAUCUCACUCCUCAGUUCCUGGGAUGUGAACGUACGAUUAAUAAUUCCAUCUAAAUUGCUGAUCCUAAGUGGAUCAGAUUUGAAACAUAUUUUAUCCAUUGGAGACUCCUUAGUUUGUUUGCUUUCUGCAGGGGAUUAUUGUCACGGCCCCACCUCCCCCUGAGGCGAACCAGAGGGUUCGGCGGGCCGCCUGCCCAGCUCUCGCCGGGACUCAGUCGUUCACUACAAUCCUCAAAUGAAUUACAAGAAUAAACCUCAAAUAUUACAAUAAAUUCUCCAAUAAUUACAUGUCAUAAGCGAAGCGGAAACAAUUCUCAACUAUACAUAAAAUGAUUUCCAAUCCAAACUGUACAAGAUAUAGGCCAUCCAGACACGCGCACAAGUACUACAAGCCUUCCUUCGCCUUGAGCCCUGUGGAGGGGAAUAAAAUAUUUUUGGGGUGAGCUAGAAGCUCAGCGAGUAACCAGGAAAUCAGUAAUCAAAUCGGUUUAACAAUAUUUAUUUUCAAUGAUGUCAUAAAUCAAAUGAUAAGUCCAAAAACAAUUACAACAUUUACAAAACAUUAAAUAUGGAGUAUCAAUAAUUCAAGAAACAUGUACAAUGGAAAGCGAUAGUAACAUUCAUGAAAAGAUACGUUCGUUCUCCUGUCAUUUCCUUUUUUUUCAUUUGAAAUUGCAUCAUUUUCCACCAACCUCCACCAACCUACAAAGGUAAUACUCGAGUAUACCAAACGUUCACCCAGGUCCCUAAUCGCCCGACCGAGUCCGUUUCUGGCUCGAGACGACCGGUAACAAGGGCAAUGGCCAGUUCAGCCCAAAAGACUUACAUUCAUGCGCAAGUAGCAUUUAAUCAUUUAUCAUGAAAAUUUUACAUUGAUUUAGGUCGAGUGCGAUAAAAUACACACUCGCCUAGAAAGCUCGUUUUGGAAAUCAUUCAAUGCACGUAACACGGUAUCAAUCAAUAAUACAAGUCAUGAAGUCAAGGAAAUAUAUCAAACAAGGAACACUUUCAUAUAAACACGCAUGAUAUGCAAGAAAACAGUUCAAAAGUAGCUUUGGAAACAGUUCAAAAGUAAAUAAUGUAAGAAACAUUUCACUAGUACUUUGGAAAUAGUUUAGGGUCACUCACCUCCAUGGCUCAGAAAUCAUCCAGCAUAUAACAUUGCCUUGCUCAAAUCCAAGUCUUAGAUCACAAACUCAAUGCAAACAAAUCCCUUCAAAGUUCGGACAGCACUUCCCCUGAAUUUCUUUACUUUUCCAGCCAUCAUGGCUUCAUUAUUUCCUUAGCCAGUCCCAAAGGUACACACACAACAACAAGUUCAUCCAAUAGCCAUUCAGCAAGCUCCAAGUAGUACUAGUACAAGUUAAGCUAGGGAAAAGUCCGAAAAUGAAAGUUAAGCUCAAAACCAGAAAAACAGUUUUGACGUCAUUUUGCGGUAAUGGUACCAAAGGCGGUACGAUUGUCGGAUGAAGGUGAAAGACCCAUCGUUUCGAAGCUAAGAGACAGGGCUACAAUAUUUCAGAAGGUCACUCAGUCCAAAUCCCAGCACAACUAAGUCAAAUAUGCCAAAUAACAAACCAGAACCGUAAUUGCAGGUUCACAAAUCACACUAUGCUGUAAUUAGUCCAACUCAGUCUACACAAGUCCAAAUGCAGAAAUUCCAAAGGCAUAUGGUAGCUAGGACAUCAAGAUACAUUUCAUCAGAAGACCUCAACACCCAAAUCCAAAACAAUUCCAGUCAAAACAACCCAUUUCAGACGCAGUUCUAACAUCCUGAUGAACCCAGAACAGCAAUAGUAAUUUCGGCUUAUCUCAUUCUACACUACUCCAAUUGACCUGAAAUUUUUCAGACACCUUUAAAACAUCAAUACCUACAACUUUCAUGUUUAGAGCCAAGGCCAAUUCGGCCUCUAUCUAGGACCAAAAAUUUCGGACAGAAUGAAAAACCAAGAACCCUAAUUUUCCAGAUUUCUUCCAAAACAGAAUUUACUUGCAAUCUUCCACUUUUUCCACCUUCUAGAAUCAUUAAACAUCAUUUCCAAUCAUCAUACAUAACCACAUAAUCAUACUCAUAUUAAAACAGAAAAAUCCCCAAAAAAUAAUAAAAGUUGAUCCAUCCAACCACAACUCAAAAUAUAAUCCAUCAAACCAUCUCUUUAGCCAUCACAAGUCACUAAUUUAGUAUAAUCAAGAACAAAGAAAGGAUUGCUAGACAUGAACCUUGAAAUAUCAAGAAAGUUGAUGGCUUAGUCCUUUGCCUUCUCUAAUCACUCCACCACUACCUUCAAUCUUCCUAAACAAGUGACUUUUGUGGAGAAAUUCGAAAGUUUAACGGUUGAUUCACAAGAUUGAGCAAGAAAUGGAGUUGGAGUUGAAGGCUUUCUUCUUGUAUUUUUGCUCCAAGAGGUUCGGCCAAGUUUGCAGAAAUUUAGGUGAUUUUUGGGUCAAAAUUGAGUAUUAAUAAAGGUAAGAAAUAAUGGUCAAAGUCAAGGUUGAAUAGGAAGAUGACACUUGUCACCCUUUUGGUUCAAAACUUAUCUUUUUGUCUCUCCAAUACAAAUAUCUUAACACUUUGUAAAAUAAUAUCACUUAAUACAAAAUUCCUACAAGUUGUCAAAAAUAUAUUGCGUUUACCGCACUAGCGGGUCCCACGUCCAAAAUACGCUUUUAAUUUCUCAAAAACUAACCGAUACUAGAAAAAUCAUUUGAAAACUAUAUUUGCUCACAAACUUUAUCUGGGGAAUUUUUCUAAUCAAGAAAAUGUAGAAAAGGCGGGCGUUUAAAAAAAUAAACCCUAGAAAAUUAGAAAAUUUCCGGGUUCUCAAACUCAUUUUUUUUUCGGGGCGUCACAAUCUCCCCUCCUUAAAAGAAUGCCGUCCUCGAUUAUUCUCCAAUUUCUUUAAAAUCCACAGACCCCCAAAGUUCUCCAUUUCCAUGCUAGCUAUAUAUUUUCCUUUCUGGCUAGUUCAGAAUAGCUAGAAAUUUACAGUGGAUGCUUUUGUCAGCUCUUUAACCACUGGUAGAAAGAAGUGCUGCAGUAGUACAUCUUUAUUACUAUUUUUUUUUUUUGAAAUACAAUAUACAAUCAACUGGAGUUAAAAGUGAAAUAGGCCUUUAGCUCACACUGUGAUUAUAAACUUUGACUGAAUUGGAUGUUUUGGGAAGGGGGGGAAAUGAGCGUGUUCUUGCAGAUUUCAAUUUUUACAAUUGAAUUAUUUACCUAUGAUAUGAUCACAAGUUUAACUUAAAUGGAGUUGUGAUAAUAGAAGAUUCUCGAAAGAAGACUUCAAAAGGUGGAAAUUGAAAAUGAGUGGAAAUUAAUGGGGAAUUAACCAGUUAUUUGGAUACCUAUUUUUGUAUCCGACUCUUUUAUAAUUAGUUUUUCUUAUAAUUUUUCUCGCUCCUAACAAAUUUAUCUUUUCAGAUAAAUUUGAAUUAUUUGCUCUUUUGGUUCCUCUCUCUUCUAACAAUAUGAUUAAUUUGUAUAAAUUUUUUUUAUUCAUAUGGAUUAACUUAGUGUUAAAAAUUUUAACUGUUAGUUGAUAGAUUUAUCAAUAUUGCUGGAAAUUAAAUAUUUGUUGAUGUAGAAAACAAAUCGCAAAAUCUUUUGUACUUAGUUAAGUAGGAAAAUGUAACUAGUUUUAUGGUUAUUAUAAAAAUUGUAAUUAUCUAAAAAAUAUCCGUACACAAAAAGGUAGAAUAUCUAUUGAUUUUUUUAUAUGUGUUAUAAUAUUUGAUGAAUAUUAUUAUAUUAUAGUAAAAGUAUGUAAAGAAAUUUUUAAAAAUUAGUAUGAUAGUUAAGUAUAAUUAUUACAAUAAUUUUCUAAAAUUAAUAUAAAUGAACUUGUAUGAUCAUCAUUAAUUUUUUAUUUAAAUUAUUCAUGCUUGCACGAAUUCAUAAUAAAAUAAAAAAAAAUAAACCAUGCCAAGGCACAUGCAAGAUGCUAGUUCAAAUUAAUGUUGUACAUGUAUAGGAGUCACAAAACGGUUUGGUGCACAAGCAGACGAAAGGGGACAUCUAAAGUAUUAGGACAAGUUUUACAUCUAGCAGACGAAUUCAAUCGAUUGUGAUGUAUUUGCUGAUUUUCUUGAAAUAAAAAAUGCAUAGGAAAAAAAAUAUUAGAGAGUUAUCCUUUGCAUGGAGUUCAUAUCGUUACUACUUUUGCUGCGUGGAAUACCUUGUCUGAUGGAUGUCUGCUUGAAAUAUGCGUUCCACAUAUUUUGUAUGUUUAUCCUAAUAAAUCAUCUUAUAUUGUGCUAAUAUUUCAAACAGGUUUUGGAAUUUUGCUGCAAGUUUAUCUUCUCAAAAGAUAAGUCAUUUGAUUUGAUUUGCGUCAAAAAAUGCUUUGCUGAGGCCUUCAGUUGUGGAAAAAAACUCUCUGACCCAAGACGCACAAGAAACUAUUUUCCAGUUCUUUAGAAAUAAAAUAGACGUUCAACGCCCAUUUUCUAAUUCGAUUCAGUUCUGUGACCCCUUUUUUUAAUUCUCUAUUUUCUAUAAUUCUCAAUUCUUUAUUUUGCACUAUUUUGUUGGGUGAGCAAUUAACAGGCACGUGAAAUAGUGGCUCAAUGGGGGAAGAAAAAACAAGGGCUAUUCCUUUUUUUUUUUUUGGAUUGCGUGAUCAAUUAACAAGAAACGACAUAAGCAAAACAAAUUCUUCAUGUUCAGGCCCUUGAUUUUCCUUUGUGAAUAAUGAACUGAAAAAGAAACUUAAAAAUACUAGUUCAAUUGAAUCUUAAAAUUAAUGCAAAACAUGGACAAGAAUGCUGUAGUGUCUGAAGUACAAUCUCGAUUUAGUACAAGACCUCUGAAACUUGAAUACAUAAUGUUCCAGUUCCCCAAUUUUAAAACCUCUCAAGCCAGGCCAGAUUCUUCAAUGCUCGAUUCUCAAUUAAUGGCUUCAUGUAUUUUCCGUUAUGAAUGUGACAAAGUCUCCAUUCUGGAGCUCAUUUCCAGUUGUCUCGGAUUUGGUAUCACUUGAAACUGGUUCUGUAUCAGGGAAUGGGAAACAUAUGGCCGUCAACAAAAACCAGAGGAAAUUUGCAGCGCUCAGACCGGCAAGCACCCAAUAAUAGUAAUUCAAGUGACUCUCAUUCAAGUCAUGCUGAAACCAACUCUUUUUCCCUCAUUUCUCGCUAAUCUUGCCCACCAAAUGAACUGAUAAAACACUUCCCAUGAUUCCCAGACCGGAUAAUCCAGGAUUGAGGUAGACAAGGUACUUUUUCAUCGAUGGGGGACUUUGAUCAUUCAAGAAUUCUGCAACACUGUUCUCAUAAAAUGAGUCUAGCCCACCAAGAAGAAAGAAUUGCGGAACAAGCAAAAAGACAGUCAUGGGGAUUUUCUCGUUAGGCUUGUCAAUUAAACCAUUGUUAGGGUGGUUAUCUAAAUCUAACCACUGGUGAAAAUCAUCACCUUUAAACCCAAGAUCUGUAUGGCGAUUAUUAAGAAAUAAAUUAACUGUAAAAUAGCGGAAGCGUACCUGAAUCCAUAUUAAUAAACUUGAUACUUGAAUCCCUUAGAUAUUUGGGGUGGCCUUCCAAAUCAACAUGUAUUCACCAAUCCUUUGAGAGAGGUCUUUAGUUUCUCUCUGGUAUCUUUCCUGACGAUGGGAUAUCAGGGAAGGGCUGUUUUGUGGUAUUAGAAAAUACGACAACUAAAACGAUACCUGUGACCUGGGGACCAUAACCCUAUUUAUAGGCAACAUUCCUGUUACCUUUUGGAACCCUAUUUCAGCCCAUCAUUGAAAUAGGAGCCCAUAAGUUUCUACACAUUAAAGGGCCAACAUCCUAUUAAAUACAUUAAACCCAAACUAUAUUUGAUCACUUUAAUUGGGUUUAACCUUAAUUGACAGUUUGCAAUACAUAAUUAUUCACAUAUAAGUCCAAUGUUGAAUUAAGGAUCCAACAAUCUCCCACUUGGACUAUAUGUGUAACCUUAUAAUUAUGUUUUGCAAUUAACCGUAUGAGCUCAACUUUACUGUCAUUAUCACAAUGUAUCUGUAACUAAUUCGGUCCAUCAAUUACACAAAUAUAGGAUCAAAGCGGCCUUUGUUACAAUUUCGUAACUCGACCCAUCAAUGGUCACAUAUAUUAAUGCAAUUGAAUGACAUGAAUCAUGAUGUGGAUGUGUAGCAUGAAAAUUUCAUGUAAUGUGAUCAAAACAUGCCUAUUUCCAACUGGUCCACCUUAAAUUUUAUGAGAUCAAACCAUACCAAAGUUAGAGUGUAAAUAAAUUUAGACUUUAUUUAUGUAUAAAAUAUUCUUAAAUCCUUAAUAACUGAAAAAUAUCAUAAGAGCAUUCAAAAUAACAAACUCCCACUAAAACUGUACAUCAUUUAAUAACACGACACCCAUAUGAGCAGUAUGCUCAUGAAAUAAUUUGGGUGACAAUCCCUUAGUAAGCGGAUCCGCAACCAUGGAGUUUGUCCCGAUGUACUCUAUCGAUAACUGUCCAUUUUGCACUCUUUCUUUAACAGCCAGGAACUUGAUAACUAUAUGUUUAGAUUUGGUUGAGCUCCUGUUGUUAUUGGAAUAUAAGACUGCUGACUUAUUGUCACAGAAUAAUUUAAGUGGUCUUUCAAUGCUAUCCACUACACGUAAUCCUGUGACGAAAUUUCGCAGCCAAAUUCCUUGGUUGGAUGCCUCAUAACAAGCUAUAAAUUCUGCAGUCAUAGUGGAAGAUACUAUGAGGGACUGUUUAGCACUCUUCCAGGAUAUGACACCUCCAGCCAACAAGUAGAUAUAGUCUGACGUUGACUUCAUAGUAUCUUUGCAUCCAGCAUAAUCGGAAUCAGUAUACCCAAUGAUCUCUAACUCAUCUGACUUCCGAUACGUGAGCAUGUAGUCUUUUGUUUUCUGCAGAUACCGUAAGACCCGUUUGGUUGCUUUCCAAUGAUCUAAUCAAGGAUUACUCAAAUAUCUAUCCAACAUCCCAGUAAUGUACGCAAUAUUCGGACGCGUACAUACUUGAGCAUACAUUAAACUCCCUACUGCUGAUGCAUAAGGAAUCUUUUGCAUCUCUUUUUCCUCAAAAGCAUUCUUGGGACACUGCUCAAGACUAAAUUUGUCUCCUUUAGCCACAGGGGUGUCACCUGGUUUACAAUUUUGCAUGCCAUAUCUUUUAAGAACCUUUUCGAUAUAGCCCUUUUGUGAUAGUCCUAAAAUACCCCGAGAGCGAUCACGGUGUAUCUGUAUGCCUAACACAAAAGAUGCAUCACCAAGAUCUUUCAUCUCAAAAUUUUUAGUUAGAAAUUUCUUGAUUUCAUGCAAUAGACCAAUAUCAUUGCUGGCAAGCAAAAUGUCAUCAACAUACAAUACCAGAAAAAUAUAUUUGCUCCCACAGAACUUAUGGUAUAUGCAAUCAUCUACUAGAUUCAUCUCAAAACCAAAUGAGAUAAUCACUUGAUGAAAUUUGAAAUACCAUUGUCGAGACGCUUGUUUGAAUCCAUAGAUGGAUUUUUUUAAGUUUACAAACCAUAUUCUUUGGAUCUCCUGAUACAAAGUUUUCUAAUUGCACCAUAUAAAUCGUCUCAUCAAUGUUACCAUUGAGAAACGCUGUCUUUACGUCCAUCUGAUGUAACUCAAGACCAAAAUGUGCCACUAAUGCUAUGAUAAUUAUAAAGGAGUCCUUUGAAGAGACUGGAGAGAAGGUUUCUUUAUAAUCGAUACCUUCCUUUUGUGUAAAUCCCUUAGCGACAAGACGAGCUUUGUAUCUUUUCACAUUGCCUUUUGAAUUUCUCUUGAUUUUAAAUAUCCAUUUACAACCAAUGGGUUUCACUCCUUCUGGCAAUGGGACAAGAUCCCAAACGUCAUUGUCCUUCAUGGAUUUAAUUUUCUCAUUCAUGGCAUCGAUCCACUUUUGAGAAUUUGAACUUUCCAUAGCUUGACGGAAGUUGAUUGGAUCAUCUUCCAUCAAUCCAGAGUCAUUCUCAUGUUCUUGGAGAAAAACAAUGUAAUCAUCUGGCACUGCACUUUUUCUUUCUCUAGUGGAUCUUCUUAAUGGCACUGGUUCUUGAAAAGGAAGAGUUUGUUCUUCUAUAACAGUUUGCUCUUCGACAUUGUCUUGAUUUGUCAUGUCAUGAUCAAGUUCAGGAAUAGGGUCCUGAGCAAGAGUAAUGACACCCGUGGGAAUAUAUUCCUCUUUAAAGACAAUGACCCUUACUGUAUUUUCUCCCCCAAACUCGACAUCCUCAAAGAACCGAGCAUUUCCUGUCUCAAAAAUUGAUUUGGCUGUGGGAUCAUAAAACUUGUAACCCCUGGAUCUUUCAGAGUAUCCAAUAAAAUAACAACUAAUCGUUCUUGAGUCCAGUUUCUUUUUAUUAGGCCUAUAAGGCCUUACCUCAGCUGGACAUCUCCAAAUGUGUAGAUGUUUUAAACUGGGCUUUUUUCCCUGUCCAAAGUUCAUAAGGGGUUUUAAUAGUUGCUUUAGUUGGAACUCUGUUAAGAAUAUAUGCUGCAGUCUUAAGUGCUUCUCCCCAGAGUGACUCUGGUAAGGUGGAAUGACAUAUCAUACUCCUUACCAUGUUUUUAAGUGUUCUAUUUCGUCUUUCAGCUACACCAUUUAUAGUGGGUGAACCUGACAUAGUGUACUGUGGGACGAUACCGCACUCCUCUAGGUAUUUAACAAAUGGUCCUGGACGUUGUUCACCUGAACCGUCAUAUCUAUCAUAGUACUCACCACCACGGUCAGAUCUGACGCUUUUAAUUCUUUUGUUGAGUUGAUUCUCAAUUUCAGCUUUAAAAGUUUUGAACACGUCUAGUGACUGUGACUUUUCAGAAAUGAGAUAUAUAUAGUCAUAUCUUGAAAAAUCGUCUAUGAACGUUAUAAAAUAUUGUUGACCAUUCCAAGCAGAUGUAGGAAAUGGUCCACAAAUAUCAGUAUGUAUAAGUUCUAAGACGUCUGAGGACCUAUUGGCUUCAAAUCUCCUUUGAUUGGCUUGUUUCCCCUUUAUACAGUUAAUGUAAUCAUCAAAAUCUGUAAAAUUCAAAAGGUCGAGAAUUUCAUUUGACACAAGCCUUUCCAUUCUCCGUUUGGAGAUAUGUCCCAAUCUCUUGUGCCAUAAUGCAGCUGAAUUCUUAUUGGCUAAUUUUCUUUUAACUCCUCUAGUACUCAAAUGCAGAGAUUCAUUAAAUGAGACAAUUGUAUCAAUUAAAUAUAGAUUAUCGUAGUGCAUUAAAGAACCAGAACCAACCAAUUUUGAAUCAUGCAACAAUUCAAAUUUUUCAUUUCCAAAUGAACAAAAAUAACCAAAUUUGUCCAAAGCAAAAAUAGAAAUUAAAUUCCGUCUAAAAGACGGUACAACAAAUGUCUCAUUGAGAUCCAAAUAAAAUCCGCUCUUUAAUAAUAAUCUAAAAACUUCAAUUGCUUCAACUUGAACUGUUUUGUCAUCGCCCACGUAGAUAUAUCUUUCACUAUCAUUAGGCUUUCGGCAAUUCAGACAACCCUGCAUAGACACACUGAUGUGAGUUGUUGCACCAGAAUCCAGCCACCAUGUGUGUCUAGGUACCGAAGUUAAAUUAACCUCAAAACAAACCAAAUUAAGAAGCAUACCUUUCUUAGCACGCCAAGCGUGAUAGUUGGUGCAAUGCUUCUUUUGAUGCCCUUCAACUCCACAGAAGAAACAACUACUCUUUCCCUGAUCAUUUGAUUUCUUUUGUUGUUUCUUUUGUGGCGCUGUACCUGCAGCUCCUUUUUCUUUCUUUCUCUUAAGUCCCUUGCCUUUAUUAUUAGUGGUUGACACCAGAUGAGCACUUUCUGUCUGCUCCUGCUUCAACCUUUCCUCUUCCUCUACACAGUGUGAGAUGAGUUCAUUUAGAGACCAAGUCUCCUUUUGACAGUUGUAACUCACCUUAAAUUGGUUAAACUGUGUAGGAAGAGAUAUUAGAAUCAAAUGCACUAGUAACUCUUCAGAGAGUUUCAACUUAAGUGCAUUUAAUUUCGAAGCAAGAUGAGACAUCUCCAUGAUGUACUCUCUGAUAUUGCCUUUACCACUAUAUUUCAUUGAAACUAGGCGUGUCAAGAGCGUACUAAUUUCAGUCUUUUCAUUCUUUUUUUUUUUUUUUUUUUUUAAGGUGUGUCCCGCAGGGAGUGGACCCCGCAGACUAUUCACCACCCUCAACAACUUGCUGGCAGCAAGGUUCGAACCAGGGACCUGAAGCCCCAUCUUCAGCAACCUCAACCACCAGACCAAGCCCCUGAGGGCAGUCUUUUCAUUCUUGACAAACCUUUUUUCAAUGUCCUGAAGGAACUUUUUAGCGGUUACAGUCGUUUCUGACAUUGUUCCCCUGAAUGCUUUUGAAACGGCCUUUUUAAUGAUCAUCAGACACAAGCGAUUUGAUCUCUCCCACCUCUCAUUAUUUCUCUUUUCAUCAGAGGUACUCUGAUCUGUAAGAGGUGAGGGAGAAUCGUCCCUUAACGCAAGGUCGAGAUCCAUUACUCCAAGUACUAUCAAGAGAUUUUCUUUCCAGGACUUGAAGUUUGUGCCAUUCAGCAUAGGAAUGUUAUUGAUGUUGGCAGUAAUAUUUGUAAGAUCAUUUGCAACUAAACAGAAAACAUAAUAUAAUUAAAACAAUGCUCACAUAAACCAAAAUAAUAAUAAAUUUAAAUAAUGGUAACCCCAUCUCAAGAUAUCGAUAUUCCAUUAAUAUUUUAUCUUUGGACAAAAUAUUAACUUCUAAGUGAUAUCUUGGCGCAGUAAUAAACACUGACAAUAAUAACAUGUCAAAAAAUAAAUUUUCCUUUGGACCAAUUUAUAAUUCACAUGUAAAAGCCGAAUAAUUAUCACAUGUUUAUUACCACAAGUGCACAUGUAAUUUCAUUAAAUAUUGACCUUCUUUUGGGCCGAUCAAUAUUCAUAAAAUUACUAGUACCCAACCAGUUAUAUUUUAAAAUAAAUUAAUUUUCAUAAUAGAGGUCACUUUGGUGGCAUAUUAUUUCCACUAAUUUAUUCCAAAAUAUAUAUAAUCAUACCAAUAUUCAAAUUUAAAAUUAUCCAAAAUAAAUGAAAAUUUUAAUCAAAGUCAACUUUGGUCAACUUUGGUCAAAACGUGGUCAAACAUGGUGAAAUCAAUUAAAUUGAAUCAUGACUUAUUAGACCAAAGGUCCAUAUCCAUAAUUUGACCCAAAAUUAUCAUUCAAGCCCAAAAUUUCUUGAAAUCCAUAAGUACUUUAUAAAAUUAUAUAUAUAAUGGGCCACAUAUAUGGAUUUUAUAGGGCUUAAAUGUCCUAUUUAACUUUAUUAGGGUUCAAUUAAAUUAAAGAACCUCUAAUUUUCUUAACAUAAAUAUAUUGAAAAACGGUGAAUUGGCCAAGCAAAAGUGCAAAACAUCGAAGCCAAUAACCAUGAUUUGACCAUCAUGGAACCUUGGUCCACAUUUGUUCACAAAUUCACACAACAAUCAUCAAAAGUAAAAGGCACGUGAAUGACAUAAGCAAACAAGAAGUCUGGAUUCAUUGGCCAUGCAUCAGAACAAAAGUGAUUGCAAAUCUAACAAUCCGUGAACUAAAAAUUGUUAACAUGAAAUAAAAUUAACUUGUCCAUAAUGGUGGAGGAAAGGACAAAACACUUCCCGUGGCCAGAGGACAAAUUAGAUUACAUCAUCACUUGAUUCAUGUUUUAAGUAAACAUAAGGUGAAAAUCGUAUGAAGACUUAUGUCUCAAAAGCAUUGAGAUUGUUGGAAGAAUUUGACCGAAGGCCAAAAGUAUCACAGUUCUGACCAUGAAUUUGACCGAAGACAAAAAACACAUAAAUUGCAUCAAACUAGCAGUUCAUGCCUAUUAACUUACGCAAGCACUCAUGAACAUAAAAAAUCGUAUGAAGACUCAUCCAACAUGGGACCAGAACCCACAGUUUUUUUUUUUUUUAAUGAAUCAGAGGCCGAAAAACCAAAAGGCAUGCGUGGGUUCUCAAUCAGCUGUCAGCAAUUAUAAAAGGGAUGCAAUUAUCAAACCAUCAGCAACCAAAGCUUGCAAAUCACUAAAUCAGCCGUACAAAUUUACUACAAAUUACUAAAUCCAAAUUAUUUCCUAAUAAUCAACCAUAUGGGCUCUGAUACCACUUGUUAGGGUGGUUAUCUAAAUCCAACCACUGGUGAAAACCAUCACCUUUAAACCCAAGAUCUGUAUGGCGAUUAUUAAGAAAUAAAUUAACUGUAAAAUAGCGGAAGCGUACCUGAAUCCAUAUUGAUAAACUUGAUACUUGAAUCCCUUAGAUAUUUGGGGUAGCCUUCCAGGUCAACAGGUAUUCACCAAUCCUUUGAGAGAGGCCUUUAGUUUCUCUCUGGUAUCUUUCCUGACGAUGGGAUAUCAGGGAAGGGCUGUUUUGUGGUAUUAGAAAAUACGACAACUAAAACGAUACCUGUGACCUGGGGACUAUAACCCUAUUUAUAGGCAACAUUCCUGUUAUCUUUUGGAACCCUAUUUCAGCCCAUCAUUGAAAUAGGAGCCCAUAAGUUUCUACACAUUAAAGGGCCCACAUCCUAUUAAAUACAUUAAACCCAAACUAUAUUUGAUCACUUUAAUUGGGUUUAACCUUAAUUGACAGUUUGCAAUACAUAAUUAUUCACAUAUAAGUCCAAUGUUGGAUUAAGGAUCCAACAACCAUCACUUCUUAUCACAUGUAUCCUGUGAGUUUCUACAAUGGCCGUAAAUAUGCAACAUAAUGCUGAGCAUAUUGUAGCUAAUGCAAUUCCAGUUGCUGAUGCAUACCUUCUUCCGACUGCCACUUUCAUACAAUUGUACACACUUUUAAAACCCAUCUUCGCUGCUUCAUAUAGCAACAUAAGGGUUGAAUCAGGAAACUUCAAUUUCCCAACCUUGUAAUUCAGGUGGCUUGCUUGCUCUACGAAGUAUGUGUUUCCUACGGAAGUAACUACAGAACAAAUUAUGCAGGUGAUCCAAACUGGAAGCAUACAGAUUCUGAUCCGUCUUUCUUGACUUUGAGUCCUGAAUCUGAUAAUAUCCCUGUCAGAGAACCUAAGCAAAGCAAGAGAACAGCAAAAAAUUCCUAUGGUCAGAAGUUUCAUUAUCUCUUACUUGAGAACAAAGAAAUAGAUCUGUAUUUGAUUUAUGGAACACCCGACACUCUAUUCCUUUUCAAGUGAAAGUUGAAAAACAGGGAAGAAGGGCAAAAAUUAAGACUAUGAUCAGGAAGAGGAAGAUGAAAAAGGAAGGAUGUGUGGGAUGAACCCAAGUCUGCUGCCCUGGUAUUCGCAUGAACCCUGAAUGAAAAGAAGUGUUGCCGCCAGUGUGAAAAUUGCUGGAAUUCCAAACCGAAGUUUCCAUGGCUGUAUGUAUGGGAGUGCAAUUAGUGCAAUAACUGCGACAAUGUGCACAAAGAUAACGCCUAAUGAUCUUAGGCCAGAUAUGCCGCUUCCGUUUCUUUGGUUCUGUCUCUUAACAAGCUCCAUCAUUGCUUCUACUGGUUUAAACUGAAGUUUUGAUAUAUCCUCUUCAGGUUGAGGGCUUUGUUGCCUGUUGCUUGUUUUAUCAACAACUUGACUCCCUUCAAGCUGAUCCAAUGCAAAUGCAGCUAAUGAGACAAUGUGCCCACCCACUCCAACAGCUGUCAACGCCAGACCUGUGUAAAAGAUAGCCUUCUGUGUGUGACCAAUGCAAUUAGGCUGGUAAUUAGCACAGGUGUGCGUUAACUUGUGCAGUGCUGGUGGCGUAGACAUUGAUAGAAAACCCAAGCCCUGCUCAUAAUUUUGGAUAAUCAGUUCAAGAAAGUCCGGUAAAACUGGAAGCUAUACUUCUAUCAAGUUAGGCCGUGAAAUUGAUGACUAAAUGGAAGGAGGGGAGGAAGAACUGUGAAUGAAUUUGCCGACAGGAGAACUUACAGAGGAAAAGGCUAUACUCGAGAGAAGCAGUAUCCAGUAGUUAUCCACUCCAAAGUCCCCAAAUAAGAAAAGAAUAAAAGGGACCAAUUUAGUUAGGCCAGUAUAUACAUUCAUUAUUCCUGCAGCAUGAGUAAACCCAACUUUCCAAACAUCUGUUAAGUACUUCUGCAUUAUCCACGUCACGUAAGUCUCCAACAAAUCAGCCCAUAUUAGAACUGUUAAGACAACAAAAAAAGGAGUUAGCAUUAAGUAGACAAGAAUGAUUGUUCAAGCAGAGGAAGUUAAAGAAUGACAAGGCCUUUGAUGACUCUGAGAUGAAUUAAAAGUACCCAUUAUUCUGACGAAUGCCAUUGAUUUUUCGAACUUCUCGUUGAAAUCCUGAGUGUGAGAAAAAUACUAUCAGAACAAGGGAAGCUGACGAUUAGAGCAGUUUCAGAACCAUAUGGUGGCCAUAGCAAGCUGAAAGAAACCAGAGUUAAUAGUUUGGAUUGAGGUUUUCUUUAAUUACCUCCAACUGCUAUGUGUGCUGCUGGUCUGCGAGGGAAAAAGAGAGACGGAGAAACUUCUCUGCAAUAAGUCGUUGUUAGAAAAUUGGUUUAAUUUCUUUUAAACAGAUUCCUAAUUCCUUGUUUUGUGUGAAAGUAACUAGAUUCCUAAUUGAUUUUAGUUACUUAAAGUAGUAGUUAAGGAAUUUCCUAUGUGUAUGAGUUUAGGAAAAGAAGUUAUUUCCUAUUCUAAAUCAGUGUAGGAAUUAGCAUUGAUUUCCUAUUGUUAUUUGGAUUUUGUCCAAAUAAUGUUCCUUAUAAAUAGGUGAGUUAGCAUACUACAUACAAGGGCACACAAGGGGCGACAUGUAGCCUUAUACAUGGGUGGUGAAAGAGGGUUCUUGGGAGAUGAGAGAUGAUAUGCAAGAAUUGGGUUUGGGUUCAAGUUGUAUUAUUGUAUAGAGUUUUUCUCUCAUAAUAAAGAACGAAUUUCUCUUCGUAGAUGUAAGUUUAAUGGUGGAGUCAAAUUAUGUUAAAUAUUAUGUGUCGUUUAUCUUUCAUACUUAUGGCAUUUUAUCAUUAAAUUGUUGUAUACUUGAUAUUCCAAUGGUUGUUUAUUCCGCACUUGAAUCCUAACAAGUGGUAUCAGAGCUUGAUUGUGAGACUGGGUUGCUCACAAGCACUUGAAUCCCAACCAACUAAAUGGUUGGAUCAAGAGUUUGGUUGUUCAAGGUUGGAUCCUGGUUAACUAUUGAGAUCAAGUAGAUUGGUGGUUGUUACCAAUUGAACAAUUUAAUGGGUGGUAUUCUUAUUUCAAGAGUUUGGUAAGAAACAUUGAAAGUGAAGAAUAGAAAGUCGAAAAGCAUGGAGAUACUUGAUAGUGAAUCUAUGCAGGUGAUUUAAGAGUCAAGAAAAAGAUGGAAUCCAAUGUCGAUUUUUUAACAUAAAUCGUUGGGUUGAUAUCUGCUUCGUAUGCUGUCUGUCCUUCAACUGUAUAUCUAUUAGUCUCCACUAGGGGUGAGCAAACGGUACAAAUUCGGUAAUUCGGUUAGCUGAAUUCGGUGAAUUCGGUUAUUUGACUUAUAGAAAUCAAAAAUACUUUCAAUUUUGAAUUGGUUAUAACCAAAUUCAUUUCGCAACGAUUUCGAAUUCGGAAAUGGUAAUGAAUUCGAUCUAACCGAAUUCAUUUAUAAAAAAAAAAAAACUGAUGAGAUAACUCUGUUAUGGUCCUGAAGGAAGUGAUUGUGUAAUUUUUAAUUUACAAAUUGGGGUUCCUAAAUUAUAAUACAUUCAUUAUGCUCCUCAAUGAUUUAAAACUUAUUACUGAUUUGAUCCUCGAAUUUAUUCAUAAUUUAACACAUUACUUAUGUUCUAAUCAUUUUGUGGUUUAAUUGGCAUUUAUUUGAUCACUUAUACCUAGAAUCCUUAGUCUAUGAUUUGAGGAACACAUAAAAAGUGAUUAAUUUAAACUAGAUUAAACCUUAGACUGUACAAUGAUUAAUGAUAAUUUAUGAAUUUAUAAUUUGCAAUGAUUAAUAAUAAGUAAUAUUAGUUACAAACUUACAAAUUACAAUGAUUAGUGAUAAGUUAUAUUAGUUACAAACUUAUAAUUUAUUUUAAAUCAAAAUAAAACUUAUUUACUUACAUAUGUUAUUGUGAAAGUCAAUACACUAAUACAUUGAUUUACAAUUCAUAUGCAUUCACUUACAUUACUUAGUUGUCUUGUCUAUACUUAAAACCUUAAGAUUAGUGAGUAGAGAAUAUGAAUUUUUAUGUUAAAUAUGUAAUGUAAAUUUAGAGCAUACUAAUACUUGCAAGUUACAGGUUACGCAUUCAAAUAUUCAAUAAUUCAAACAUGAAUGAUGUAUCAAAUUACCAAUAUCUAAAUUUCCAAUUACUAAUUAUGUUUAUUGUUUAAUAUUUAGUAUUAUACAUAUAUGUAUUAAUUAUUAUCUAAUUCUAGUCAUGUUACUCAUGUAUAAAAUAAUAAGUAUUAUAGUUAUGGUAUAUUGUUAUGUAUUACUAUAUAUUUGUAUUAUUAUAGUCAUAUAACAAUUAACAAAUACUAAAAUAUAUUGUACAUUAUUAUAAGUACAUGAUAAUACCAUGUACUAACUAUUAUUAAUAGCAUUUACCUAUAUAAUAUAAUAUUUUUUUUAGGGGUGUCCCGCAGGGAGUGGACCCGCAAGACUAUUCCCCACCCUCAACAACUUGCUGGCAGUAAGGUUCGAACCAGGGACCUAAGUCUCCAUCUUCAGCAACCUCAACCACCAGACCAAGCCCCUGAGGGCACCUAUAUAAUAUAAUAAUAUAUUAGUACUAUAUACUAAUACUAAAUAGCAUUUAUCUAUAUAUUAUAUAAUUUUAUAAAUUAAUUUGGUAUUCGAAUGUGGUAAUGCAUUUCAUUUUACCGAAUUUGAAUGCGAAAUCGGUUAUUACCAAAUUCAUAAUCUCAUUACCUAUUUCAUAUCAUAUUAGAAUUCGGUGAAUUCGGUACCGAAUUUGUAUCAAAUUACCUAAUACCCGAUUUCAAAUUACCAAAUUGCAUUUGAAUUCGGUAUGUACCGAAUUUGCUCACCCCACUCUCCACUGUCUUAUUGCAGCUUUGCUCAUGACUAUCUUGACUCUGUGGCCUCAUCUACAGCUGCACUUCCUUUCCUUCAAAGCCCAUCCUUCUAUUGUUUCAAAUGACACAACAUCGUAGCGUUGGAUAAUUUUAUAUGCGCUCAUAGUUCACAAAUUUGAUACAUUGAAAUUUGAGACCACCAACUGUGUGGCUCCAAAUUUGAACUUUUAUUGGGCUGGUCCAGUUUGCUUAGUAAACAGAAAGUUCGCCUCUCGCGAUUUACAAUCCAUCUAUUUGUCUAUUAUCAGCUAGGAAAAAUGACUUGUCUCGUCCUUUAUAUUUUGGUGAAAAAUUAAUUUUAUUGUUUACUUUUAAUAUAAAGUAAAUUAGUCCCUCAUAUUUUAAAGUGAACCAAGUUAGUCUCAAAAUAACCUGAUAUAGUCAUAUGGAUCUUACACUUAAUCAACAUAAAAAGAAAAUAAAUUUAAAAUUAUAACAUAAAUUACAAUCCAUUUUUUCUAAAAAAAAUUAAAAAUUUUAAGAAAAUGACAUUAAGCUAACGUAGAAAGGAAAAAAAAUUAAAAUUCAUAUCAUAAAAGAAACCCCCAAGUUACAAAGUUUUAUAACUAAAAAAUUUUUAACUUUUUUUUAUAGAGAAUGGUUUGUUUUAGAUGUUAUAAUUUUUAAGUUUUCUCUUUUUUAGAGAGAAUAGUUUGUUUCAGGUGUUAUAAUUUUAGUUUCUUAAGAGAUAAUUGUUUAUUUUUUAUGUUACAAUUUUUAAUUUUUCCCUUUUUAUGUUGACUUAAUAAAAUUUCCUAAUGAAGUUUUAAUUUUUAAUUUUUUAAAAGAAAAGGGUUUUUUUGUUAUAAUUUUUAAUUUAUUUCAUUUUUUAUAUUGACUUAAUCACAUGUGCAUAUCAAACAUAGUUAGAUUUGGAAGAAAUUAAAGUGACUGUUUCAAUUUCACCCGUAAAAUCUAUAUCAGGUUGUCAUUUUGGGACUAACUUGCUUCAUUUUUAAAUAUGAGAAACUAAUUUGAUUCAUUUUAAAAAUGUAGAACAAAAAACAUUUUUUCCAAGAUGUGAUGAUUGAAAUUCAUCAGACCAUCAUAUUGACUUAGAAGAAAAUAAGAUGAAGGCAAAAGGUUAAUUGAUGAUUGAAGUUCACUAUAUUAUUGAAUGAAGACGGAAAAAAAAAGAAGAAAAAGUGGUUACGGAAAUGAAGGCAAAGCUGAAAACAGAAAAGAGCCCCAAUAUGCUCUGGAAUAUGAGGUGCGAUUUGGGGAGAAGGGGUUUUUGUCGAUGGUGUAGACAAUAUGCGUUUCCUUUUUUACCCACAAAUAAAGAGCAAGAUUAUACCACUCUUUCCACCCAAAAAAAAAAAAAAAAAGAAAAGAGAAACCACAUACACAGACACUCAAUUUUAUUUUAUUUUUACAGUCCUAAUGAAACUUUUAAUAACUGCCAAUAGCUUACUAUCUUCGAAAAAGCUUAGUAUCUUCUGAAAAAAAGGAAAAAAAACUCUCAUUUAUAGGCCUCAUAAAACCCUCCAAUACUUGCCAAUUGCCAUUGCUUUUUUUUUUUUUUUGUGUUAAAGGUUUUCUUCCCACUACAGCAAGUGGUUCUUGGAUGAACCCAAAUUUUGUAGGAGGCAAGAGGCUUGGGCCAAGAUAGGACUCGUAUAAGGACUUAAUGGGCAACACUUCUGUAGGUGAUUGGAGUGAUGGCUAAUAGAAUGACAAUCGCCAACUAAUCAUUGCUGUGUGAAAAAUGUCCUUUCCGCUUUAGUAUUAUACUAGUCUGGGGGCUGCGCCAUCCGCAGGGUAGGCAAAUGUAACCCCUGUUAAUAAUUUGUGUUUGUCUAGUAAUAUUUUGUAAAGUUUGUUUUGUAAAUAUUGAUGUAGGAAAUAAUUUUAUAAUAUGUAAAAUAAUUGUGAGCUAGUUAUUUUUGAAAAUUUAGAGAACAAUGCAACCAAGUAAAUAUAACAUACAUGUUGAAUGAAGGGAAAGAUAAAUGGCAUAACUGGAAAAUAAGGCACAACUAAGGCUAAACUAAUACACAUGAACAGCUAAGGUGUCCCAUCUCUGCGGCAACAAUGAUGCAAAAUAAAGAGGAACAAAGAACAAAUAAAAUUACAAAGGAAUCAACCAACUAUAGCAUGCAUCUUCUAGCGUCCUGAGUAAGGGAGAAACAGCAAAUGGCAUUACCAAAAAAUAAGGAACUAACUAAGGCUAAUGCUAAUCACAUGAGGAACUAUCAGGGAACCGAUGCAAAUGGACCGCAAUAGCCCAAAAAUAUCAAUCAAUACCGAAAUAACCAACGGAUACACUUUUACUGUUCAUUCAGCCAACUCUCACUUUUAUAUAGUUAGAUAGAUUAGAUUAGAUUUAGAGAAUUGUUAACGGCACUCUAUCUUUUUUGCUAGUGACAUUUCCAUUAUUAUUUUUAACAUAUGAUAUUUAUUUAUUAGACUAUAUGAUAAGUAAAAGAUGGGAAUGCGAUUAACAAAUAGUGAAGUGUGUUAAUAUUUCCCUUGUAUUUAACGGAUAACUAGAGUUUAAUACAUUAAACUUUGUCGUGCUUUAUGAGUAGUGACCUUUAAAUGUAGAAAAAAAUGUAUUGUUCUUUAGUACACUUAGUGAUGAUUAGAAAGAUAAAAACUUAGUGCUAAUAUGUAUUUUUAGUGAUAUUGUACAUAAAAGCGUGUUAAGGCAAAUUCUUAAAUUUUAGUUUCAUGGACAUAUACCCACAUUACUUUACUUCAAUCAAAAUUACAUAAUCAUCAAUCAUCACAAUCAACGCACUUUCAAAUACAAUUUGCAAGAGAAAUUUUUUUCCCCAUAAAUUUCUUAAUAAACUGUGUCAAGGGCAAAAUUUUUGAAUUUAACGGAAGAUAUUUCUUUCUUGUUAUAUGAGAUAAAUGUACUUGAUAAAUUUCUUUUUUUAUAUUAUUGAAAGGAUCUAUCACAUUUGAGAUCAAGUGAAGGUGUGUAUUUUAUUUUAUAUGUGUUUAACUUAGCCAAAGAGUCUCUUUCUUGAGUAAUUUAGUACAGUCAAUUUGUUCAAAAUGACAUCAUAUUUAUAUUAUGGAGUUAUAUAUGACUGUAGACAAUGGAAUUUUAAUUAAAUUCUAAAAAUUACCAUUGGUCUAUAAAAUAUUUUUAUCCAAUCGGAUAUUGCCAUAUGGCAUGUACACUUGGAAAGUUUGGUUAUUAAAUAGCCAAUUAUAUUCCUCCACGUGUCAAGUUGAGGUGUUCCAAACCAAUUCAAAUCGCAGGGGUAUCUUCACCAACCAAAUCAUAUCAUAUCACAUACCUAUUGGAUAAAUAUCUAAGUAUUUAUUUCUUAUUAAAGGGAUAAUAUUUAGAGUUAUUUAAUCCAAGUAUAUCUCUUAUAUACUGCAAUGGCCUGGCCAGUAAAAUAGCGCCACGUCACGUGUCCCCGCAAGUCUAGCCAAUCGAGAAAUUACUUAUCUCUUUAUUAAUGAAGAGAUAAUAUUUAACUAGCACAGUCCUAAUAUGACUGUACGUCUUGCUAGGCAAGUAGAGUGGUGUACAUGAUUUCAACCUCCACCUCUUGCUACAACUAUAAAUAGAGGUCUCUCAACCAAGUUAAGGGGACACAGAGAUAUCAAGAAGCAUCUCAUACACUCAAGUAUUGAAGCUUCAAGCUACGAAGGUCUGGGUCUCAAAGCUCCUCAAGUCUUCCGCAUAUCAAGGCUUGAGCCUUCAAGUAUUUUCAAAUCCUUCAAAUCUUCCAUAUCAAGAUUUGAAGGAGUCGGUGGUUGAUCCAAGAACAAGCUGCGAAGCCCUUGGAUUGGUGUUCGAGGAGAAGAAUCGAAGGAAGCUCUCCAUAAGUUCGAGAAAACCCCAGAGAUUGUACCUACAUAUUUUUCUAAAUUUAUAUAUCAUACAUUUGUCGUGUAUUUUUCGUGUCGUUUUGCAGACUUGAAAUUUUUAUCGCGUACAAUGACAUGUUGCGAAAAGAAAAGAAAAAGUUGGCUAGUAACAUCUUGAAAACAUAGAAUGUAAAAGAAAAGGCCAUAAAUAAAAUACUUUGUUUUGUUGUGAAACUAUAUCUAAUCUCUGUUAGCAUUCAUCAACUUUAGAAUAACGUAGCUUGGAAUUUAAAAUGGUGCUAUUAAAAUCAUGUUAACACUUUGAAUAAAUUAUAAAUGAGCUCCCCUAUUGUUUAAUGCUCGUUUGUAUAAUCCUUUACUAGUUACAAAAUCAAUAAAUGACCUCCACUACUUGAGCUGCUGGAAGUCAUCCCCUGCAAAGAAGUCACUGAAAAUGUCAAGGCUACCCCAUUAAAAGGCGCCACAAAAAUUCUGAAGGUCUCUAUUUUCUUCCAUUGGCUUCUUAGUUUCUACUUUCUAUUACAAAGGUAUUAGGGAGGACAACUUCCAAUAGUUUGAUACUUUCGAAGGGUCUACGUGUAACUUUUGAAACAUAAGAGAUCGUGUGAUAAACUUUAAAUUGCAGUGAUUUAAAAAGGUAGGUUCCAUUAGUUUGAUACUUUCAAGGGGGUUGCACGUAAUUUUUUGAAAUAUAAGAAAAUCAUGUGAAAAAACACUAAAUUAUAGAUCAUUAAAAAAAUUUACCCCUAAUUCUUUCUAAUAUGGUAAAUACACAUUGAAUCAUUCCAUAAGCUCUUACACAUGCACUGAAAGAAAAAGGGGGCAAGGUGGAGAGGAAAUUUAAUGACACAAAACCCCCUAAUGUUUUGCGGUAUUAACACUUUCCUACCCAUGACAAAGAGAUUCUAUGCUCUGCUAUUAUAACUUUUGAAACACACACAACAAUUGCUGAUUAUGUCAACUGGUUAGUUUUACAUAUUAUCGUCUCUUGAAUGAAAACAAAGAAGAUGCUUGAGAUUAGGACAAAUGGGAAGAACUCCAGCUUAUGUAAUGUUAAGCAGACUGUAAAUUGACCAUUUCAUUUGCGCCUCACAACAUCUGUUUCUGAUUGUUGGGACUUCAGUUGUGGAAAAAAUCUAAGAGGGUUGUCGGAAUAGUGGUCUGACCCAAGAGGCACGAGAAACUAGGGCUAUCGAUCGAGCCUAAUGAGUCGGAUUUUCAUGAGCUUGAGUUCAACUCAUUUAAUUUAUAAUAUUUUUGGUCUUCGAGCUAUAAGUUUCGGGUUAAUAUAUGUGAAAUUCAUAUUUAACUCACAUAAUAUUCGGACUAUAAGCCUUAUUUAGGUUUAACCCAAGCUCACUUAUUACCUUAAUUUUCUAUCUUAAUAUAAUUACUAUAACUAUUAAGUUGUAAAACUAAUUUAACAUUUACAAGACUAUAAUAUUAAAACUAAGCACGAACAAAUAAUAAUUCUUCAAAAGUACAUAAACCAAAAAAUUUUCAACAAUAUUUAUAUUUAAUUCAUUCAAAAUACAUGAAAAAUAGUAAUAAAACAUGCGGUCAUAAGCCAAUACAUCUUUGAAAGUUGAAACUUUUUUAUAAUCUUGUGAUUUGAAUCCAAACAUGCUUGAUGAUUUGUGUUUCUAGAACAUAAAGAAAUCAACUAAUAUUAUACCAAUACAAAAAUUUACUAAACCAAUAAGAAAGGUAGAGAUUCAGUUAUGCAUUAUUAAUAUUGGCUCUGAAGAAAGCUCAUAGAAGAGUCUUCAGAUGUAUUUUUGUAAUUUGUAAUUUAUAUAUAUUUAGUAUUUAGUAAAAUUAUAUUUGGAUAUAUAAUUAUACAUAAUAUCAAAAUAUAAAUAUUAUAUAUAUAGGUAAGUAAAGGGUCGGGCCUAUAUCGGGUUUGAGCCUAUUGAGACCUAAAUUCGACUCAUAUUUAAUUCGAGCCUAAUUUUUAGGCUCAAUCUCAUACCGGCUCACUAAAAGGUCGGGCUAAUUGGACUUUUUGUCAAGCCGAACAAGCCGCGCACGGGCUGGCCCAGCCCCAUUGACAGUCCUACAAGAAACCAUUGUCCUUAAGGAUAAAAAUGUACCCAAAUAAUAAUAAUAAUAAUAAAUAAAAGGAAAAUGACAAUCUACUUUGACUACUUUGUUCUGCCCAUUUUCUAGUUCUUGAGAAAUAAAACGAGGACAUAUUUAUAUUUGGAAGUUUUCAAGCACAUCAAACUUAAAGGAAUUUAACAACUCAUAUAAAGGCUGUACUAUUACUUCAAAUCCUUUUCUAAUGUUAUUGAGGAUAUUUGUGUGACAUCAAUGUUUCGGUUUUAUAUUAAACAGAGAAACUUAUUGUAUUGAAUUUUCUUAUGAAACAGACUUGGAUUAGGAAGACGCUACAUAAAUGUUAAUUUGUAAAAGAGAAAAGUAAACUGAACAAGAAAUCUCAAAAACAAGAAAGCUGGUUUUAUCUCAAAAAAGAAAUGCAAAAGAAAUUUGUGUUAGGAAAUAUUCAUGAUUCUAAACUUCUAUGAACCCAACUAUAAUGAUGCGAGAAUGGAUCAAACAUCUAUUAAGUUGUAUGACAGCAUUAUGGGAAGACUUUUAAAGCAAAAUUGAAGGAAAAUUUCUUGAAUGGGUUUAUACAGGAAUGGGAGGCAGUUUUGAGGAUAAUAUUAGUUAUUUAGUCUAACUAAGUUCGACUCAAGAAAGAAAUGUGUUGUCAUUAUUAUGGCUGCCAGUGAGAUUCAAUAACAUAAUUGUGAUUGGUAACCUCUGUUUUGAAACUCGGACCGGACCGGCCGGUCGAACCGGGAACCGAUCAAGUGUCCGGUCCGAGUCAUGGUAGAAAACCGGAAAUUUAAAGCCCGGUCAAAGACGGUCAAAAAUCGGGUUUGACCGGGAAAAAACCGAUUUUUCCGGUUCAAUGGUUUCAUGUGGCCGAGACUAGUUAGUCAGCAGUCAGCACCUCGAUAAUCUAUAAAGGUGAGCGUUUAAGGUGGGACCUACGUGUCCUCGUCUCGCAGGCACCAGCUAAUUGUUAGACAAACCUGUUGUCACUUGUCAUCAGCUCAGUUUUUCUCAAUUGGCGCUAACACUACCACUGUUCGGUAGGAAUAGCAACGGGCAAAAAAAACUCAAUUUUUUCAAUAUUAUGUUUUGACCCCCUAAAUUGUUAAAACUUAUUAAUAUAUCUCAAAUAUUUCAUACUUUAUAAAUAUUGUCCUAAAAUUUGAUGUUAUUUUUCAAUUAAACUCAUAAUUUUAAUUCUAAACUUGUUAAUAUUUAUUAAAUAACAUAAAUUGCUACUUGAUUGUUCUAAUUUUUUUGUAUUUUCUUGUUAAAUAUAUUUGAAACAUCAAAUAUAUAUGAAUAUACCUUUAUUAAUAUUAAUAUAUUAUUAGAUAUUUUAUAUAUAAUAUUUUAAUUUUUAAAUAAUUUUUAUUUAUGACGUCAUCCGGUUCGACCCCUAUCGACCCCCGGUCGAACCCAUUGACCCCUGACCCCUGAUCUCGGCCGAGUCGAUAUCCGGUCCGGUUCUGAAAACAUAGUUGGUAACUCCAUUUGUAUCUCACUCCAUUCUUUCCUUUUGUUCUGACAUUGGUCAAAGGCACUAAGAAUUUUACACUUCAAUAAUAGUGCAAAUGUAUUCAUGCUUAAGUGAUUGGGAGAUGGAUAAUCUUCCUAUGGAAACUAAGAUUUACUUCUUUUUUUUUGGGGUCAUUUCUGGUGAGGGCUUCAGAAGACUACCCUGUUGAGGAUAUUGUUUGUUGAAUAUUGUUUUUGGUUUAAUUGGGUUUCCUUGGUUUGGCAUAGUAUAGUCAGUUAGAUAGGAAGCUCCAAAUUCAUAUAUUUGCAUAGGAAAACUCAGGCGAAGCUAAAAUUAAUAAUUUGAGAUUCUCCAAUUGCGUUCUCAAGUACAUGCAAGUCGAAGUUCCAAAUUCAAACUUUCCUUUGCUUCUCCAGUAGAACCAAUUUCGAAUUCCAAUCUCACAAUAUUCGCCCUUUAUCAUGAUCAUGAUACGGCCUUUUUUCUUAUGCAAUUCAAAGUUUUUUUUUUUAGCUUUACUCUUCACAGAAUCUUGAUUUAUGCCCUUUUAACACCACCAAUUUAUUGCCCCAUUUUCUCAUUUCAAUAAUGGUCGCCCGAGAAGUUGUAGGAAUGGUAAACCGGUGAUGAAAUGGAAAGUAAUGAAGAAAUCAUUUUUCCAUAUACAAGAUUUAAGUGGUUCAAAUUCGAGGAGUUUUUUUAAAGUAGCAACAGACAAUCUACUGACUCUAAAGAGAAACAGGCCUUUGUUUUGCUUAAUUUGUUGGUUGUCUUGGACCUUUCCCUUGAAAGGAACGAUCCUAAUUUUCACCACUAAAUAUUUUGCUUGUAAUAUGAGCACGAGUUUAAAUGGCGUCAUGAUCACAGGAGAUUGUCUAAGCCCGAAUGAAGACUUCAGAAUGUGGAGAUUGAAUUAAUUCAUACGAUUACUGAAGGUUUUUCAGAAGAAAUGCUGGUUUUUAAAGUAUGGAUUAUUGAAGUUCCUAACAAGAAAAGCGUGGUUUUUCCACAAUAAUACAAGUCUCAGCCAUUUCUCCUUCCUCGACCAGAGUCAUCAAAUCAAGAUUUUUAUUAUUUUUUUUAAAUAAAGGAAGGUUUUUUGCAGUCGGGAACUGGUAAACUUAUCUAGACUAGAAUAAGUGGUUAUGAAGAAAAGAGCAUUGAUAAUUAGUCUGCAUAGAAAUGGAACGCUUCCUCGACAAACUUUAGAUGCCUUUGCAUUUGCAUUUUCACUUCUCAAUUAUUGUAACUUUAGAUGCUUUUCAAUCAUUGUUUUUGCUUGGGCCUUCAUCAUUUUUUUUUUUUUUGGUUGUUGGAAAAUAUAUGAAUGGUUGUUCCACCUAAGAUAUGUCCACAACAAUGAAAUUAUAACAAAAAAAACGAGAAUUACGUGAAAUUGUUGUUUUGGCAACUUUUAUCUAAUUGGUAAGUCAUAUUAACUUAAUAUUUUUGACAUUUAUAUGUCACAAACCUUACAAAUUUGGAUGCUUUUGCAUUGGCAUUUUCACUUUAACUUUCUCAACCAUCGUUGUUUUCUGAUUGAAUGCUGGGGCCUUCAACUUUUUUGAUUGUGGACAAUAUCUCAAUGAUUGUUGCAUUCGCGAAGGACAAUUAUUAAUUUCCAAGUUAAAAUUGUUAAAAGCAAAAUAAGAACUAUAAUUGCUCUUUGGAAACAUUAAUUUCAUUAGUUUAUCCUUGGAAAAUGAACUUGAAAUAUACUUUGGUCUUAAUUAUUGGUCCUCAAGAACUCGAAUUAAAAUAGACAUCUUAUUUUCUUUGGUUUUCUCAAGAGUUGGGGGCGACAAACCUUAUUUGGAUUGUAUAUAUGAAAUUAAUUGACUCGACAAUUUUACAUUGAGUAUUUUCAUUAGCCAAAAACUAAGUUAUGUUUUGCAAACAUAUAUGUUAUGUUUUGCUUUUUGGCUCAAUAAUCAGGCUUGUUAUUUUAAAUUAACAAAUAAUUAUUAGGCCUUCUAAAUGAUUAUAAUGGGGCGGAUUUGUCCAAAAAGCUCCCCUGCCCCCGCCCCGAUACCUCGCCACCCUUACUCGCGCCCCAAACCCACUCCAACUUCUAUGAUUUCUUGGCCGAAGGACACAUAUCAUGUUUGUCAAAGAAGUCCAACUGCCAAUUCAGGCCGACUGGCAAGAAAAACGCUCUAUCAAUUUGAUUCUAGCCCAAGCCCCAGUAAACCAAGAAAAGUAGAUAGCCAUUGGUGUUCACCCAGUGAAAUGCAAAAUCGGAUCCUGGAAAAUCUGAAAGAAGAAGAAACAAUGAUUCCAUUGCUUAAACCUCAAAGCGAUUUUCUGUGCUCAGACAUACUAUGGUAUAAAGCUUCAUUUCUUUUACAUAAAAGUCAUUAUUUUCCUUUGUUAGCAAAUCAGCAAUAAAACUGAACUCUCCCUCCAAGAUGCCUUUACACAUUGGCAAUUCCAGCUAUACAUAUGGCGGCUGGUCCUGAAGAAGUCGAAUAAUACAAAUUGAAUGCCACGAAUUGCUGAUCCCAAUACGCAUGAAAGAUGAAUUAGAUGGCAAUCUGAGGCAAAUGAAUACGCUACCAGCUACAUGUAAGGCGGUGAAAUUGGAUAGAAAUUUCAACCCAUAGAACCAACUAGCACAAGUAGCAGAAAUAUGAUGAAGGAAGCUGGACUGCGACACACACUUAAUAAGCAUCACAUAAUCUAAUUCUUAAAAACUCUUGCAAAAUGGCAAACCCAAGAAAAUCUUGUGCAAAAUAAGGCGUGACAGUCUGAUUGAUGCGAUACCAAAGUGAGUUUAUCAUUGCGAUUCAACCAGGAACUUGACAUUAGUUUCAUUAAGUUAGCAGAGAAGAUAAUGAAGACUGAAGAGCAGAGCCAAUCGAAACUCUUAAAAUUGAGAACUAUAGGUCAAGGCUUCAUUAAACAGGUGAUUGGAAAUGGACAGAAAACCAACUUUUGGUGUGAUCGAUGGCACCCUCUGAGAACUUGCUUUUCUGCACUUCUCUGAGAACUUGCUUGCUGGCUUCAAUCCAUCGAAGUCUGAUCCUGCAGCAAAAUGUUUCUGUGACGGUGCUUGGAAAUGGCCUAGUGGGAGGAAGUCUAAUGUGGAAGUUAGAAGGCUUCGACAGCUCACUUCUUGUCAACCAGCUCUUAAUCCAAAGGAGAGAGAUGUCGCUGUGUGGGCACCCUGCAACUCAGGCGUGUAUAAUGUCAAGUCUGCUUUACAAAUUCUUAGGCUUGCAUCACCUGAAGUCCCCAGGUACAUGCUGGUAUUGGGACAAGGGAUAAAUCCCUAAGUUCUCUUUUAUUCCAUGGGUGCUGUGUAGAAAAAGGCUGAACACUAAAGACAGAAUGAGGAAAUGUGGUUCUUUUGCAUGCUCUGUAUCAGCAGCGGUGUGGAGUAAAGUUCUGUCCAUGUGCCUGUCCCCUAGGAGGCCCCAACUGUGGUCUUCAGAACUGUCCUGGAUAUGUGAACAUUGGAAAUCCCCUUCGCUCAUUGACAGGUUUCGCAGAACAGCCUUGGCUGUCUCAACAUACUACAUCUGCAAAGCAAGAAAUCUGGUGAUCUUCCAAUAGGAAACAGUAACCUCCACGGGUAUAGUUGCCGAAAUUAUAGAUACUUCUAGACACUAGUAAUAGUUCACGUGCUUUGCACGUUAUUGUAAUAUCUUAAAAUGUAUUAUUCUUUAGAUACUAAAACUUUUUUAUGAAAUUUUGAUCACCAACAUCAUAAUAAUAAUAUUUUUAUAUUAUUUAUUUUUUUAAGCUAGUUACUUUUAAAAUUUUUAUUAAAUGAAAAGAGACAGAAAACAUUCCAAUGUAGUUGACAUAUCGUUUAGGAUUAAAUUUGAAAUUAUGACCCAAACACUUUUUAAUUUAUAACUUGAACUCUAACAUAUCAAAUAUUGAUAAUAUCAUGUUUUACCAAAAUUAUUGUAUAUUCAUGAUUCUAUUGCAUAUAAACUACAAUCAUCACAAUUGUUUAUAAAUGAAGAAUAUAAUUAAGUUAGAAAAUUAAACAUACAUGUAAUUUGAAUUCUUUGUAUUAUAUUAAUUUAGAGGUGGCAAUUUGUCCCAAGUCCCAAUGGGUUACCCAUGCCCAUGGGGACUUUGGGCGGGAUGGGUACUGAAAUUUGAUAUUGGGUUUAAAAUGGGACAAAUCCCAAUUGUACCCAUUAAUUGAUGGGAAAUCUUGGGAACUACUUGGGUACCCAUUGGGCUCAAAAAGCAAGGGCUCCGUUUGGAUUAGUUAUUUUUGGGGGGUGUUUUUGAAAUAUUUUAUUGUAGUAGUGUAUAUGAAAAAUUUUUACUAUAAAUUUUUUUUUUGAAAUAUUUGAUAUACUAAUAUAGAUGGGAUAUUUUUUGAAUUAUUGUAUAUUACUGUAAUAUUGUAUUUGAAAAACUUAUUUUUUGAAAAAAUAGCCAAUCCAAACGGAGUCUUAGAUUCAAAAAUUAUCUUUAACAAUUUUUAUAGUCAUACUAACGAAUAUAAUCUAGUAGUCUUCCUAGUCAAUAUCCACAAGAAUUUCCAGCAUUUCAGUCAAUUUAGACCUGUCAUCCUUGGACAAUGAUGAGAAUAAAUAUUCAACACCCUGAGUACCUUGACCAUCUUGAUAUAUGUUGGAAUAUGGUUGUAUAUCUAUUUUUUCCUUUAUUUGUUAAUCCAAUUUUUGGCGGGAAUCUUGAGUAUAAAGUACUUGCAUGUUUAUUUAAUAAAACUAAAAGAAAUUUAAUAAAUAAAAAAUAUUAAAUUUAUAUAAAAAAUAAAAAAUGAAUUAAAGGAAAAAAAAUAGGUAGAAAAUAGAUUUGGGUAUUGGGCGGGAUCAAUCUAAACCCAUCCCAAAGUGAUCCCGCCCAAGUUAGUCCCAAAACACGUAUGGGUAAGGUUGGGCCCAAACCCAUAUGACUCGAUUCCAUCUCAAACCCAAUCAAAUCCCGCCCAUCCCGCCCAUUUUGCCACCUCUAUAUUAAUUCUAUUUUUGUCAAUAAUGGAGUCAAAAUGAUCCACCACGUAAAGUUUUUUUGGUUUGUACAUUCUAACAAUUGAAAUUUUAUAGAUAGAGAUAGUUGAAGUUUUUUCUAUUUUGCUUUUCUUUUAUUCAUGUUUUUAGCACAAUCCAAUGCGAAACAAAAGCAACAAGUCUACUUUUUUCAUAUAAGCACAAUAUUUUUGGUUUUAGUAUUAGUUUUUUCUAUGAUCAUGGAAUUGGAAUGAGAAUUGUGACCAAUUAAUAAUUUUAAUAUUAAUUUUUUGGUGUUUUAUUUUUUAAUUGCCAACUUUUAAUCCAUAACCGCUAUCAUUAUUAUCAAUUAUUGGAAUGCACUAAAUAUGUCUAAUUACAAUUGUCACCAUAAAUGAAAUUUACUUAAUUUUAAAGCUUUUCAUUUCAUAACCGCUUCCAUUAUUCACUAAUAUUGCAAUACAAUAAAUAUAUGUAAUCAUUAGAAAAAUAAGGGUAGUUUGAACAUCACCAAAAACAAUUUGGAUAUCAUUUCCAUUUUAUCAUUCUUCAUUUUAAAUUUACCCUUAUUAUAAUUCUUAUUUUAUCAUUAGGGAUGACUUCUGACUUGAUGGAUGGACUUGGUUUGCUCAAACCAAUAUUGUUUGUCUUCCCCGAGAUCAGAGUCAUUUUGAUGUUGUCUUUGGUAUUAUUUGAAUUGUAUUCUAGUUUUUUAAUUCAUUUGCUAUUUACUUUAUGUCAUUUUAUAAAUAGUUUACAAUUUUUUUUCAAUUUUUUUUGAUCGGUUGCUAUUAAUGAUGAUAGUGGUUUGUAUGGUUCUAUUUUAGAUUUUUUUCCAGUUUAAUACUACUAUUUUAGUUAUAAAGGAGUCAUCAAUUUUUGUAUAUUGAAAUUCCAUUGGGUGCAACAUAAAAAAUUCUUCAUAUUGGUAAAAAGAGCAUAAUUGUAAAAUUUACUCGUGAUAUAUGUAUGAAGACAUACAGAUGAAUAAGGGUUCACUUGUCCUUAUAUGUUUCUCCAUUUUCUAGAGAGUAUCUAUUUUUUGAGAUUGAUUUUUCUUCUUACAAUGACAACUAAUGACUCAUGAGAAAUUUUUCAUGCUUCAAUUAAGAAAUUUUGAUAUGUAUAAUAAUUGGGAAUGGAGUCCAAGAGUAGAUAAAUAGUUUUUAAUGAGCAAUUUUUAAUUCUAAUUACCAAUACUAUUAAAAUGUAAUUAAUUGGAGUGUUUUAUUUCUUGUAAUUAGUGCCAUAUUAAAAUACAAUAAUUCUAAUUAAAAGACAUGAGGGUAAUUUAGGGAUAACAAAAACUAAGAUAAAACCGUGCUUACACUUGCACUCCCUAAAACCAACAUUCAUACUUUUUAUAUAGUAAUGACAAUUAUUCUAAUUACCAAUACUAUUGAAAUGUAAUCAAUUGGAGUGUUUUAUUUUUUUUAAUUAGUGCCAUAUUAAAAUGCAAUAAUUCUAAUUAAAAGACAUGAGGGUAAUUUAGGGAUAACAAAAACUAAGAUAAAAAAGUGCUUACACUUGCACUUCCUAAAACCAACAUUCAUACUUUUUAUAUAGUGAUGAUAUUGGUGUUUCAUGGAGAUGGGUGCCACAGACUCACAACAACUGAUUAUUGAGUGGGGAAUCUCGGAUAAAUGCUUUGAGUAUAUAGCUGAUGUAAAGGUGGACUUUGCCACUGUGUAAGUACUGAUCCUUUCUAUCAAUAAAAAUGAACAAGUUUUGCUCCAAAAAAAAAAAAAGAAAACAAAAGAGCCAAUCCAUACAACCAAAGAGAUGCAGAGACUAUGAAGGUGCUCAAUUAGAAAGUAGGAGGAAAACUAAUAGUUGUUGUUGUAAUUGCAACUUUACAUAUCAUCUGAACAUCAGAUUAUGUCUAGAAAAGGGAAGCACGAAAAAUGUAGAUAUCUCUGGUCAAUAGUUAAAGAUACUACAACAGUUUUUGGCAACUAAGUAGAAGCUAAUUUCAGAAACGAUGAGUCUGAGACAGAAUAGCAAAUUCACUACAAUAAUCAGUGAAUUAUUAGUACUGCCACAAAUCAUGACUAAAACUGCUAUAGCUGAUUGACAGUUUGAAGGCACCAUAUUUGCAACAAGAAAUCAAGAAGCUUUGGCCAGCAGAGACAAAGGAAGUGAAAAAGGCAGUGCCAUGAUGAAAUUCAAGAAAGGAUUAUCCAAAGAAAAGGCGGUAAUUAGGAGCCGUCAAAAUGUCUGUCUGAGCUUUAAGCCUACUGUCACUGCAAAACAGAAAUACUAGAAUCGGGACACCACAUAGCAAAUCAUAAGGCUUAACUGGAAAUUGCAUGACAUUAAUGUUUAGCAAUUAUUCAGAAAGCUAAUUCAGUAUUUUUUUUUUCGCUGUUCUUUUCUAACCUAAAUUAGUAAGCAGAUAUCAAAUCUUCCUGCUCAGUCUACAAGUACCAGUAGUGCCAUAGACAUUACACCCGUUUGUGUUUGAAACACUGAGAAAAGUGUUGUUCUAUAACAAUAUAGUUAUAAUAUGCGGCACCAACAAGAAUGAAAGGCAGAGACAGGUCCAGACAGAGUUGCCAUGAAUGCGAACUCUUUCAGACCUGCAAGAUACAAACGUCUUAAACAUGACAAUUUUUUAAGGUUUUAGUUAACUCAUUGCAUAUUGAAGUGGUUAAAACCCAACUAUUAAGUAGUGGAAGAAGAUUAUCGGUACUGUAAAUUAUCAAACCACUAAUUUCACAACCAAGGGCAGUGAGAGUUCCCUCAAUUGUCCGUUCCGAUUUAUACCGAGGAGAAUCAGUAGAAUCCCAUCAUUCAAGAGACACGAUAGAGAAUGCCAAUAACCGGGUAAUUUGGAGCAAGAUGACAAUUACAUAUUCAAGAGGUGAAAGUUUAGAGCAAGCAUUUCCACUUGCUCCCUUCAGCAAUCAUAGCGUACAACUGGAAGCAGCAGACAUCUGGUAAAAGUAAACUGCUAGUUUUUAUUUAAAACAAAGAAUUUUGUACCGUAGACGUAAAUACAAAAAAGUUCUCAGCUUUGACAUUGUGCUUGAUUCUCCACAUCAAAAAAUCUGCUCUUGAAUAUCUGUAUUCCAUAAUUGAAUUUUAUAUGUGGUUAGUGACAGUGUUUUCUUCCCUGAACAAAGCAUUCAACAAACUAAAGUUUAACAGUUGCAUAAUUUCCCAAAUUGCCAAUUUACUUCCAUAAUUCACAGCUUAUAAGAUAGCACAAUUAACGAUUGAGAUCUAUGUGGUGGAACUCAGAAAAUGAGCCAUUAAGUCACAGCAAAAUCCGCAUAUAACUGCAACCAAAACACCAGCUAGUUCUAAUUUCUAACGACGAGCAGUAUGCCAGAGAUAGCUAAUUCAGUUACAAGUAAAUCAGCCCCUCAUUAUUGUGACUACAAAUUGCUGAAUCAUUUGGACAGUUCAAGGUGGAUUCACUAAGAGCAGCAAGUUGCAACAAGUAGACUUGACUAGCUUUUGAAAGGCUUCAAAACAUCCUGCUUAAACUUGACCAUGUUGGAAGAUACUCCACCAAGUACCAAGUUUUGUGCAACUUCAUUGCAUGAACAGUACAUCGUCCUCGGCUACCUCGGCAAUAUCUUCACAAUGACAAGAUUUCUUUUGUUUUACAUGUAGCAUAUUAAAAAUCAAAGCGAUUAAAAGUCAAAAUUGAGUAGUGAAAAAAGAGAAGCGUAUCUUAAAUUACCAGAAAUUUGAACCAAAACACCAAAGCGAUGAUGCGAAAACCCCUUGAUUGACCAUUGUCUUCAUGGCUAGAAAAUCAUAACCGAGAAAAAGUGAGUCAAAAAAACCAUUAUUUUGAGACCCAGAGCUAUUACUAAUCAAAUGGUUCAGAGAAGUAUCUAAAUGCAUUUUUGAGAGGUAAAAGUUACAGAGAAACCAUUUCAUCCCCUUAGAAUCACAAGUUUAAAGAGAGUGGGCUGACUUUAGCAAUAAUAUCUUACAAUCCACAGAACCAAAUAUGGAAAAUCAACAAAACUAGACCGCUCGUUGUUAUUAUAUGUCGAUGGGCUAUUUGUAGGACGUGCAGGCAAAAAAUUAUUGAGUUCCGGCAAUAUAUACGGUGCUGAAGAAGCUUCACAAUUCUAACGUAUGUUCAUCUAAGCAAGAGACCACAAAAAUCAUCUUGGGAAGCAUUGAAGAAAGGAGUGCGGCAAGAAUUGCUGGUCUAAAGGUGCACAAUGGAAUCCUCUCAAAUUCCAGCUAUUGCACUGCUAGACAACAUCCUUGGAAGCAGAUCCUCCUAAACUUUGCAACAUAAUCAUUUUAGUUACCAUCUAUAUCACCUCACAAAAGGUAACAAAUAGAAAUCUUCAUAAAAGUUUCAUUAGAGUAAGUUCUCCUAUAGAAACAAAAGAAGCUAUAAAUUAAGAAGUCUAAAAUCUUUGUCUGCGGUUGCUAGUUCACAAUUUUUUUUGCUUUGACAUACAUUCAUUUGAGGAUUUACUCCAUGAAUAUAACGCAUUAUCUUUUUCCUUUUUUUAAACAAAUCAAUAAGAAAAUAAAAUUUUCACAGUAAAUGGUGGUGUGUAUGCCUAAGUUUGAUGAAAGCCCUCGAGAAAGCUUGUUCCUGCAUUAUAACUAUGAAAGAACAGGAAGUUCUAUUACAUUUUCUUGUGAUGGAAUCUUACAAAAGUGAGUUUCUUUUGCCACUUUUACCCUAAAGAUAAUGAGCAGGUACUAGGACUCGAUACAAUGUAUGUAUAUUUUUUUGACUUAGAUAUGCUAACCUUGCGAUAACACUCGAAAGUUUGCAAAACCUCUUAAUGGUCAAUCUAUUUCUCUAGUAAUGGUCAUCAAACUGCCAAUAAAGAUCAUCAAAAAGUCCUGGUAAUGAUGGCUCUUCAAAAACAUCUGAUAAGCUGGGGCAAGAAAUUUUUUCCCAGUAGAUUGUACAGGCCAGCUGACAGUCAUUGAGCAAUCAAAACACAGACAGAAAACUUUCUGCAAUUGAGGUACAACUAGUUUCAAAGACAAAAAGCCAGGGAAAAAAUUAAGCAAAUUUAUAGUAAUAUAGCAGGUAAAUUCUUACUGCUGGACCUCGUGACUGAAAAGGCAGAUAGACAAUGUGCAAGCUCCGACAACAAGGAUAUCAAGUGCUGGCUUUAUAAGGCACCGAUACGAAAGAAAAAUUGCCAUCAUAAAUAUUUUUGUCCAAGCUACUGGCCUUGCAAUUCAAUGAGUAAUUAAUGGCCAAUGGAGAUAUCCACUUAAACCUUGAGCCUAAGAUCACUGCAAAAUAGAAAAUUCAAGCUCAGACAUUAUGUAGUAAACAAGAGAUCUAACAAAACAAUUUAGAUAAUUUCGUGAAGCUAUUGUUCUGUCAAUCCUACAAAAACAAAGUGUGGAACAGAAUAUUAACAGAGUUAUAGUAAUACAUCAAAGCACAGAACAGGAUAGGUGAUUGGUUUCAUGUUAAUCGACGGUUACAAGAGUAUUAUGUUGUUAGGAGUAAAUGAGAAGCACGGUAUUUUGAACUUGGCAAGAAAUGCUAAUGCCGCAGCUUUGAAAGAUAAUAAAUAGGACGAGAAAAAGGAAGAAGAGAAAAUUGUGAAGAAUAACCACGGUAACUUUUUAGUUUUUUUCAUAUAAUUCCUCCACACUUAAAUCAUUGCUUGUCCUCGAGCAAUAAAAAAUACAAACCAGCAAUAAUUUAAGAAGUGAAAUGAAUCAAGUGAACUUGAAACUCAAUCUCUCUUAACUUUGGCAAGCUUUGAUUAUGCAAUUUUUUCCUAUUAACCGUAAUACUCAUCAUAUCAUGUAAAAGAGAGAUAAUUACACUCAAAAUUCAACCAAACAAAUUUAAUCUCUCUAUCUUACCUAAUUUCACAAAUAACUAACAUAUAUAGUUACCUUGGAGAUUUUCUUCCUUCUAAAUGAGAUGUUUAGCUUCACAAACCUUAAGAGGGAACUAUUCACUUUCUUUUUUCUUUUAUUUACUCUUAAAAUUGUGAAAAUGCCUUUUGACGAAGAUUGAUAUUUUUAGAUGAAGAUUUCCGGUUACUCAAAACUUCACUUAUUACUCCCAAUUCCAAUACCUUUUGACGCGAAAGUCGAUAUUUGUAGAUAAAACUCUCGGUUACUCAGUAUAAAAAUUUAUUGAAUAUUUUUACCAUAAAAUCCCUCAAUAAGGUCACAUUUGGAAGAAAAAUAUUCUAGCAACUAUAUAAAUCAAUUACUUGUAAAAAUAAGUAAGAUGAGAGAUUUCAUUUACUAUGCAAAAUGUAGGCAUAAUUUUCUUUAUUUUACAAUAUAUACUUUCUUACAUGCAAUAAUUCUAGUCAUAUUAUAAUUGUUUCCAAGUCAAGUGAGAAUUGAAUUGUUCAAUUACUAAAAUCAUCUCACUUGUAUAGGAGAAUUUUAAAACAAAAGGGACAUGAACUUCUUGCACUUGUGGAUUUAAAUGAACAAUUUGUGAAAGACUUGGGGCAAAUUUUGAAAUUUGGACAAGAUUUUGAAAAAAUUUUGACAGAGUUUCUCUUUAAAAUUGGAUGAAACUUCCUGCCGGCAAACCCAAAAGCCAACAAUUUUAAGCACAAGACAAAUUUCUAAUAUCAUAUCCAAGCAUUUACCAUAUAAGCACCAAAGUGACUCCUACUUAACAGCAUUUCCUCCCCCACACUUAACAUACACAUUUUCCUCAAUGUGUAGGGAAAGCGAAGAAGAAAAAGUAAAAACAAGUUACUCCCCAAUUCAAUGGCUGAGAUCCAGCUCAAUCUUGAAUCACGAGCCAUCGACGAAUCUACAACCAUCUAUGAAAACUGCCACAAGUCCCAAAUGCAAGAUGAGAAGUUCAAGUUAAACUUGUACAAUAAAAAGAGUUAAAAUAAAAAACUACAAGGAAAUAUGAAAGCAAAAAAAAAAUGCAGCAAGAGGUCGGCGAGUCUUCUCCUUGCACAUCACAUCACUGUGGAAAAGUGCUAAAUGAUUCUUUCAUAUAUAGUGCUAAAUGCACAUCACAUUUUCUCCUUGCAGUGAUUCUUGUCCCUCCUCUUCUCUUCUUUCUCUCUUUAGUGAUUCUUAAAUAUAUAGUGUUCAAGAGAGUCAAAAAGUGCUAAAUAAGAUGACAUAAAAUUUCUUUUGCACUUUUCUAGAGUUUCUUGAGCAUGUGUAGCCUAAAUUCUGUGCAAGAAUUGAGCAGAAAAGAAGUGUGAAAAUAGGGCAAGUUGCAAAACAAGUUACAAAAAAAUAGGAGAGAAUAAGCAGGCUUGGAAUACGUGACCUCAACUCGUGUAUUCAGAGCCUGUGUUUUCUCUUUUGUUACGUUUUCUUGUGUCUUUCUAUCCAAUGCACUAAGAUCAUAAGCAAGAUGCCCCAAUGUUUGUUCAUGCAAUGAAACAAUAAUACUUGCAUUUGAUGCUCUUCUAAUUCCAAAUCAUCAUUGAAUCAGCCACUAAUGAAUUCAAAUGAAUUCGCCUCGAUCCAAUAUUGAUAAUUCUCCUCAAAUCCUACCAAUAUAACCACAUUUGUACGUUCAACUUCCUAAAUGAAUCUUGCAAAAGUUAAAGACUUAGAGAGCAAGUUACACCGUAAAAACCCUAAAUUAUACCAAAAAAUACGCACAUAAUACUACUUAAAAGAAUGUAUAAUACACUUAUCGAGAAGGUUGAUUAGAGUGGGAAGUGAAGAGAAGGCAAAGAUGUCUUAUGCGUAGGUAGCAAGCAAUCUUACAUGAUUGAAUUUGAUCUGAAGAUGAACUGUUAAUCGCUUAUUAAUAGGAGUUGAAUAUGAGAAAUUUUGGACCACUGGGAGUCGAGGCCGCUGCUCUCAGGAGUGCACUUUUCUUUUAACAGAGGAGAACCAUAAACCAGUAGAACUUUUAGUUUGGUGAGACUUCUCAUGGCAUCCUCAGAGGGUAAAUGUCGAAGCUCUUUGAAACCAAAUAAACAUAGGUAUUCAAGAGCAGCAAAGUUUCCGAACCAAUCUGGCAGAGCUUUUAUACCUCCAAAGUCAUGUAGCCGAAGUGACGUGAGAGUGGUCAAGUAUUGGAUCUGAUGUGGUAGGAACUCCAUGUGUGGCAACCCAAAUAAUUCUAGGUCACAUAGUAUGGAUGACAAAGAGGAGAAGGAUAUCAAUCCAGACCAAUCAAAUUCAUUGUAAAUUGAAGAAUUUUCAUGGUCAUCAUCAUCUGAGAAGGGACCAAUUUCAAGGCGAUUUAAGCUGGGUAGGAAACCAAAUCCUUUGGGCAUCAUACUUGUUUUCAGUUUGGGACACGCGUAUAAUUCCAACUCCAAAAGAGAAGGCGUUUGUUGCAAAUCAAGCGGAAAGGAGAUAAGCUUGUCGCAAUAAGCCACCUGAAGCUUUUGGAGAGAGAUACAAGACUGUAGCAUGUCACUGGGUAGACUCGUUAACCCACGGCAAAACCAAAUCACCAGCUCUUUAAGAAACGUAAAGUUUUGCAAGGGAAGGAGUUCUCUGCAUCUGUGGCAAUAAUAAAACUCCAAACGCGCUAACUUGGGAAGUGUUAUUGGCAAAUCCAUUGACCAUCGAGGAAAUUGAUCACCCAUAAAACGCUGAAUUACCAACUCCUCCAAAUUUGGAUGAGGCUUAAGGCCAUCUAACACAUCUUUGUCGUAGUUGUAGUUGUCACCUUCUCGAUCCCAAGCCAAGGCCCACACAAGUAUCAGCCUAAAUAGAUUUGCCUUUCCAAAUAGAUUUGCUUCCUCAGCCGCUUUCCUAUCCUUUACUAGUUGAAGAUUGCGUAUACUUAAACUGCCUUUGAGGUUUUUCAAGCAUCCAAGCUCUUCAAUUUGUCGACCCUUUUCUCGACCCACAUUAAAGAACUCUAGUGUCUGAAGGCAAGAUAGUCGUCUCAUCUCUAGCGGCAUUUGAAAUUUUUCAUCAAAGGUGUAAAAGUAGAGAUGUCUCAAGCUAAUCAAAUUGCACAUCCCCUUCGGAAGAUCUUUGACAUACAUGCUAUCUAGUGCCAAUGUCUGCAAAUUAUAAAGCUUGCAAAGGGAGUCUGGCAAAAUACAGAUUCUAGAACUCGAAAGGUUAACAUAUCGCAAAUGUGUCAAUUUGCCAAUAGUGAUCGGUAGCUCUUGAGUUGUUGCAUGAGACAAAUUCAAAACAUACAAGUUCUUCAACUUCAUUAACAUAUCACCAGAUAGGUCACCCUUUACAAACAAUGUACGAAGCGAAGUUGAUAGACUUUCCAAAAGUUUUUCUUUUUCUUCUCUGCCACCAGAUAAAUCUACCGCAAGGUAACGAAUAUUGUUAAUAACUUUAGUAGACUUUGACAUUGACUCUGCGAGGUCGUGCACUAGAUCAUGCAUCUUAUAAUAACGUGUUUCCUGAUAACUUUUGGUUUCUGCAAACAACGAACUCUGUAAUAAAAUUCUCAGACAAUUCAUUCCAAUUUCCUCCAUCAUCAUUUGGUUGUUGACAUCUGCUUGGAGCAAACCUUCUGCCAUCCAAAGUUCGAUUAGUAUAUCUCCUUUCAUCAUAGUAUCCUUAGGAAAUAUAGAACAAUAUGCAAAACAUUUCUUAAUGGAUGGAGAUGGUAAACAAUCAAAACUCAAUUUAAGUAUUUCCAUGACACCAUCUUCAUCUCCACUGAAAUUUGAAAGCUUAUUCUUCAAAACCAAUUGCCACUCCUCUUUUCUCUUCAUGCGCAAUAAACCUCCCAUUACACUUGCAGCCAGUGGUAGACCACCACAUUUUUUUAUAAUUUCCUUUUUCAUGACAUGCAAUUGUUUGAGAAUUUCUCCACCUGCAAUGGCUUUCUUUGUUAGGAUAGACCAACAAUCAUCAUCAGAUAGCUUUCCUAGCACAUAAGGAUCAUGUGUGGCCACAAUGGAUGCAGUUUGUUGUUUACGAGUAGUCACAACACACCAAUUUCCAUUAGUUGCAUUUAGCCCCAGUAAUGAACCAAAAAAAUCAUCCCACAAGGUAAGAUUUUCGGUCCAGACAUCAUCAAGAACAAGAAAAUUUUUUUUCCCACAAGUUAUUCUCGAAUUUCCUGGACGAUGACAUCCCUACUGGUCAUUUCAACAUUUCUUCUUGUGAGUGCUUCUAAAAUCAUUUUCAAAAGCCUGGUCACGUCAAAAUUGUCGGACACACAAACCCAAAUUUUUUUCUCAAAAUGGCUAUGAACUUGACUAUUUUUGUAUAUAGAUUGAGCUAAAGUUGUCUUUCCCAAUCCGCCCAUCCCAAGGAUGGGAAUUACAGAAACGGUUUUUCUUGACAAGCUUAGCAGGAUCUCCACCAGCCUUGUUUCAUCCUUAGCUCUUCCUACAACAUAGUGGCCAGCAAUAGAAUCCGUCUCUCUAUUUAGUGUGACUUUAGCAGUAGUAGAAGGGGGGAAACUUGCCCUUUGGAAUCUGAUCAGUCCAAAAUCAUUGGCUUCUUUAUUGAUCUUAUACAACUUCUUGUUGAUGUCCCUGAUCUUAGAGGCCAUUCUCCGUCGGAAAACAAUAUUAAUGUCAGAGGACAGGAUGAAGGAGCGUACCUUGUCCACGAGAUGGCGACGAAGAGCUUCAUAAUUCAGCUCGUCCAACAAAUUCUCGGCAUCAAACGCCACGGCUUCUAGCCUCUGGAGCCACAGUUGCACGGCCUUGUCAUGCAUUUGCUUUUCCUCAGCAUCAGCCAAGACAGCUUGGAUCAUGGCAACAGAUCCUUUCAGGGUCUCCAAAUCCUCCUUGAAUUGGAAUAACUUGCCAAUCCUUUCAUUGGCAAGGGAAAGUGUCUUCUCCAACGCUACCUCUAUUGUGGAAGCUAUAAUUGCAUCAGCCAUUCUUCUUGUUCCUUGGGUACAGUCUUCAGAUAAGAAUACUCUUUUGCAGUGGAAGGUUUUAGCUGUAGUUAGAAGCAGCAAGGAACUGCUUUGACUCAAACGGAAGUGACAAGAGUUAUGAGGAUUUUUUGGUGCAGCGCUUCUUUGACAAUCUGGGUCGGAUGCUUUUGCAACGGAAGUUGCUUGGCAUUUUCAGUUGAAAAUAAAAUAUAGUCAUUGCCGGGAUUCUACAUCUGCUUUUGAUCCACAUUCCACAUGCCUGGGGCCCCUAGUCGUGGAAAAUUCCACCCAAGAAGGAUAAGAAAUUGUGCUGAACAAUGAAAGGUCCAAAAUAAUUGUUUAGAUAAUUCAAAUUAAGCAAUUUCUUCUAAUUCAAAUUAAUGUUGUGCAUGUAUAGGAGGCACAAAAUGGUUUGGUGCACUAGCAAACAGAAGGGUACAUCUAAGGUUACUACAAGUUUUACGUUAAAGUGGGAGAUUUGUAAACCAAUUCAGAGUAAACAAAUGAUGUUGAGGAAAAAAUAUGUUAGUUGCAAUGCAAUCAUAAAAGCUAUGAUACAUUUGUGAAAAGAAGAAACAUUUAUUAAUUUAGUGCAGUCUAAUUACAAACCUAGAAAAAAAAAUAUACAUGAAUGAUCCGAAAGCGGGAACGGUGUCAUUUUACUCAAAUAAAAGUGUGAUCGAAUCAAGGAUUAUUUAAAUAAAAAAAUUAGAUUAAUAAUAUAAUACUUUUUGUAUUUUUAUAUAAUGCAUGUGAGACAGAAUGGUGGCUGGUAAAAUUAAAAAAAAGGUGAUGGAAUAAGUAUAAAUUGUUUUUUUCAUAUAUUUAUCUAAUGAUAAUAGUGACAGGGUAAAAAAACAAAGGUGAUAACAAUGAUAAGUGUGGUGAGUACUUCUUGCAAUUGAUUGCACCAUGCAAUCUAUAUUUUACAUUAGGUAAAUUUGAAAUUGGAUGAAUAGAAUUGAUUAGCACGCAAAACUUUCAAUGAAUGAAACAUGUAUUGUGCUUUUGUGUUAAUUUUGCAUUAGGUUAAUUUUGUCUGCAUUUAAUAUGUCAGUGUAUACACGUCUAUUGUGUCAGAACCUAAAUUGCAUGGCGUGUAUGGCACUAAAUUUCCAGUUCACCUUUCCUACUUAAUGCCUUGCUGAGGCCUCUACUCUGAUUGAGAAACCUUAUAACUGCUGGGGCCUUCUAUUGUGCAAAAAAUCUCAACAAAAUAAUGGUCUGACCCAAGAAGCACAAGAAAGUAUUGUCCUUAACAAUUAGAAUGUCAAAGAAAAAAAAGAGGGAAAUUGAUAGGUUGCAAUUUUAUCAUUUAUUUUAUUAUUAAUUUUCCCUAUUACCUGACCUGAUGUGAAUUAAUUAUUAGAUUCUACUCACUUUUCGUAAUUUACAUUUAUUUCAGGGAGUAGAACAAAAAUAUCACAAUCAAGACCAAUUUGACAGUUAUCGGAAAAGAGUUCAAAUAGCAGACAAUCAAGAGCAUUCUUGAAACAAAGAGAUGCGACCCUUUCUGGUAAUUUGUGAAAGACAGCAUAAAAGGAGAAGGAGGAACACAGGACUAGGCGUUCUUUCCCUUGGGGGGCUAGAGCCGCCGCACAGAGCCAGGCAUUAGAAUAGGACUUUUGAUAGAGGGAGGAGUAGAGGAUUUUUCCUCCUGAAGCUUAGUUUUCCUUUGACUUUUCCAUCGUAGCUUUUGAGGGGUAUCUUCCCACGCAUGUCAGAGAGCAAAAUUGGGGAGAACUUUAACUUUUCUACUUUUGAACUUUGAGUAGUCUUUUGUUCCUUCUUGUAUGUCGGACGAAUUGAAUUUCCCCAAUUUCAAAGCACGAUUGCCGCGACUUUUGCUACAAUUUUGUGUGGGUUUUUCAUACCAAAUAUGAAUUAAUCUCUUCGCUCUAAUCAAGGAGUAACGGAGGCUCUGGGUCGCCUAAAAAUUGUGAGAUCGUUUUAAUUUAAUCUUUUCCUUUUAUUUAUUGGUAUUUGCAUAUUCCCUGGUUGCAGUGCUUAUGGUUGUUUAAUUAAUUGAUUGUCUUGGAUCCGGAUAAUUAGUUAAUUUAAUAAUCUAUUGUCAAUUGAGGUGUUAAAUCCGUAAUUGUUUAAUUACCUCAAAAUAGUGACAACUGGCAUGAUUAGAUUUGUGUCAGGGGGAUGCGCGGGCUAAUCUGAAAUAACCCUGGUAGUGCGUUAUUUGGUUAGAAUAGGGCUCCUCUAAUUUGUAAGGCAAUUGGGGAAUUAAAUCUUAUGGGCGUACCUAAGAUUAUUUCUCAAUUAGGGCAGUGAUUAACGGGCGUACCUUAAUCACCGACACAGUAAGGAGGGGUUGACUGUCAUCGCUUGUUUGGUAGUUAUAACCUAUUUAUUGAUAAAUAAUUGGGAUUGCCUUUGCGUCGAUGAUCAAUUAGAUGAACCAUUGCUGAAGUUAUUCCUUGGCUAGAUCCUUAAUUAUCACUCAUUUGAUUUUAGUAAUUUGUUACUUAAUUUUUAGUAGUUUUUUUUAGAUUUUAUUUGAAUUUCUUCGAUUGUCACCUUCUGCACAAAAACACCCCCCUUGUCACUGUGAAUUUGAAAAGAAACAAUUACUCCCAAUCCCUGUGGAUUCGACCCUGCUUACCGCUAUCUACAGAAAUUUAUUUUAGUUUGAGCAGGUUUUAUUAUUGCGCAGGCUUCGACACCCUGUCAAUUUUUGGCGCCGUUGCCGCAGACUGGUGCCAAAUUAAUUUGUUUCUUUUUGAGUUCAUCUUGUUUUUAUUUUUUUUUAUUUAUUUUUUUUUCUCUUAUUUUUUUUUUAUAUAGUUUAUGGCUUCUAACACUUCGUACUUUGGUGAUAUACUGGAUUUUCUUUCCGGGAAAGGCGAUGAGACUAGUUUUUUCGCUAAAUCUGCAUACUCAGAGGCACUAAACUCUAUUAGAGAAAGAAUGGCUGCUGUAACCUGUAAAAUUUGUUAUGCCAGGGAUCAUUCAACCGGUAUGUGCCCCGAAUAUCAAGAUACUCUGAGUGUCCCAUUCAAUAAUUAUGGAGAUUUUUCACCCUGGUCUCAAACGUGGUAUAACCCUAAUCCAAACGGGUAUGAUCAAGGAUGGUGGGAUAACUCCAAUUAUAAUUAUUCAACGGGGCCAAUGAAUUUUCAGCAGUAUGAGUCUCAAGAAUCGUCAUCUAUGUCAGGUAUAUCUCUUGAAGAAAUAGUUGAACCAAUAGCUACUAAUACAUACCAAUUCAAACAGGAGACACAAAUGAGGAAUGAGAUGAUGAAGGAUACAAUGAGUUAUCUGGCAGAUCAACUAUGUCUAUUGACAUCCAGAAUAAAUCGAUUGGCUUCUCAAAUGGAAGAAUUGCCCUCGGAAACCAUUGUUGAUCUAGAAGAAAAUGAGAGUGCAAUUUGCUUGACUGGUGAUGAGGAGAUGCAAGAGUGUCAAAAUGAGAAAUCUACAGAUGCAGUUGAAAAAGAAGCCGAAAAGGAAGAAAUGGAACCCCAACCGCAACCCAUUCAAGUGAACGAAUCCAGUGAACAAUCUCCAAAUGCGGUGACAUCUUCUCCAUUCCUUAAUCAAUAUUUUCCUGACUCCUAUUCUUCAAUUCCUGUUACUGAAAUUGAUUUUAUUAUACCAGAAAAUUUGAAAUUUCAUGACAGGAAUAAGUUAAGAGUGGCAAUGAAAAAAUAUCUUGAACCGAUGAAUGCGUGUGGUGGAGGAGUGAAUGGAGAAUACAAAUUAUCGUUGACUUGUUUGGCGCCAUUUACUAGUCUAUGGAAGCUCGUAACUCGUAUGUCCAAGGAUUACUCUAUUUACGAGAGCUAUCAGGACUAUAUAGAGGAUGAAGCAUUAAGACGAGCCACACGAUUUUAUCCUCCAUGAACAAAACAUGAUAAUGUCUAGCCAAAGACAUUAAAGAGAGGCGCUCAUUGGGAGGCAACCCAAUUGUUUCUUUUAAUUAUUUGUUUGAUUUCGUGUGAUAGUUUAAAUAUGUUUUCCUUGAGUUUAAUUGGUUUUGGGUCUGAAAUUUUUGUUUUUGGUGAGUUGUAGGUGUCUAUCUGACUCGGCAUGCCCGCGUCAUGUUGCAGGAAAAGCUCACGGUCAGAGAGCUCUCUUGCCCUCAUGACGUGCCCGCGUCACGUUCGCGGGAAAGGUAAGGAUUCUAAAAAAAAAAAAAAAAAAAAAAAUCUUAUCACCGUAGCUUUAGUUUCCAAAAUUCAAAAAAAAAAAUUAAAAAAAUUGAUUUCCAUAGAAAAAAAAGAGAAAAAAAACCAAAAAAAAAAAAAGAAAAGAAACAAAAAUAUUUCUCACGAUAGCUCAAAUGGAACCUAAAAAAAAAAAAAAAUCUUUUUUUUCUUUUUCUUUUUCCUUCUUUUCUUUCUUUCUUUUCUUUCUUUUUCUUUCUUCUUCUUCUUUCUUUCUUUUUUCUUCUUCUCCGCUACGUCUUCUUUCCCAUUUUGGCCGCCUCUUCAAUCGCGCGCCGCCCACUUGCCCGCGUGACCGCUGCUGCCUUCCACAACCACCUCGCACGUCCUCUCUCCUCUUCGCGAGCCACCGCCACCAAAUUUUUGGUGUAAUUUCAUUUUUUAGUUUUUAUUUGUCGUGUUCAUUUUUAGUUUUUAGUUUCCAGUUUUAUUUUUAUUUUUAAGUUUUAUCAUAGAAUUUGUUGAAAAAGAAAAAAGAGAAAAAGAAAAGCAUUCAAAAAAAUAUGUUUUAGUCAUUUUGUUUUUAUUCAAUGCUUUCUUGAAAGAAAAAUGAAAAUGAAAAUAAAAAAAAAAGGGAAAAAGGAAAUUUGUUCACAAAAAUAUAUUUAUUUCUUUAAAUGCAACCUUUUUGCACUUUAGUUAUUUUUAUUAAGUUAUUUUGAGAAAAAGAAAAUGAUGAAAAAUGAAAAAUGAAACAAAAAGAUGGAAAAGUGGCCAUUUUUGUUGUUUUUAGUUGUUUAGUUUUUAAAUUAUUUUCAUUAUUAUUAUUAUUAUUAUUACCUGGUUUUGGCAAUUUGUUAUUAUUAUUAUUAUUUAUAUCAUUUCUGUAUUUAUUAAGUUAUUAAGUUCAAAAAAAAAAAAAAAUGAUACGCGGCAGCAAGCUGCGUUUUACGCAGCUUGCAAAGGAAAUCUGGGACGGCUCCUAAAGCUGCAAAUACAGGAAAAGGACUAGAGGUUUUUAGGGUUUGGGGGUCUGAUAUAUAGCAAAAAGAAAGGUAGCCGCAACAGAGGUUUUAAGGGGAACCAACGGGGGAUAGAAACACAAGCAAAAAGGAAAAGAAAGAAAAAGAGCCGAGAGUGAAAAGAGAGGAAAGAUUGAUGGUGACGGCAGGAAGUGAGCCAGAAGCUUUGUGAAGUAAGAGGGAAAAGAAGCAAAGGAAGGACUGAGUAGAGUUGAUGGCUGUGAGGGUUUAGAAACGGAGAGUUGAACGGGAAAGGGAAAAAGAGAAAAUAGCAAAGGGAAGCUAGCUGGUGGCUGGGCAAGAGGAAAAAACGCAGAAAAGAAAACAGAGGGGGGGGGGAGGUUUCGGUUUCAAUGAUCGGCGAGGAGAAAAACUUGCAACCACCACAGCAGCCAUCUCAACUCCAUCCGUUGCCUGCCCAGACUCCUUUUCAUGCUAUCAGCCCAAGCCACCACAAACCUCCAUAACCACCGCCUACAAAUGACCACCUCCAAGUUCUGUCAUCGCCACCACCGCACGCAACUUCCAUCGAGGUCACCAGACAGCAGCCACCUUUUCUUCUCUAGCGUGACCAACGAGCGGUCAACUGCCUCCCAAGAGGUCCUCCAAGGACCACCACAUCAAGGAGGAAGAAAAGCCACCACCAGUCCGCUACCAUCACUAGAACUUCCCACCACUGCCUGAAAAUAAUUUCACGAAGCAGGCGCAGGUAAGCUGUCCUUUUCUUUUAAAAAUUCUCGGUUCUGUUUAAGCUCUCAGAGCAUGUCUGCCGUGGGUUUUGAGGGGAUAGCAUCUGGGUUUGGUUAAGGACAUCAAUAGGGCUCGCUUGAUUUGUUUCAUAUAGAUGUCCUGGUUGAAUGAUGAAGUUUGAAGAAAGAACUAAAAAUUGCAGAAUGUUGAUUCCCUGUAAUUGCAUGAACUUCUGGUAUCUAAACCUAAAUUUGUAUGGUGAAAAAUGGAAAACAUGCUUGUGAACUUGUUACUUUGCUCCUAGUUGUUGUUAGUUGAGCUGUUAGUAGUGUUUGGAUAGCAAAGAAUUGCAGCAAAAGGAAACUCAAAUGCUGCAGACAUUUUUUUGUUAACUGUCGGCUCACAUUCUCGUUUGUUCCCUUGCUUGUUUUCUUCUUGUAAUGAUUUAAAUCUGUCCCUUGUGCCUUGAAGUCUCCUCCCUUGUUGCCCAAGACCGUGAAUUCCUAUGUUAGCUGGAGAGUUUUUUUAUUUAUUUGCUGUGCUACAGUUUUGCUGCUCAUGAAGUUGUCAGCUCUGCUUCUAAAGCUGUUACAUAACAACCCAUUGGCAUGAUAGCUGCCGUUAGUUUUGCAUUCGGUGUGUGAUUUUGUAUGCGUGAGGGAGUAUUUGGAAUUACAAUUUGGGUAGGAAUUUGAGGUUGGUUUUAAGUUUGAAACGUUUAUCGACAUCUCGAGUGCAUGAAAGUUUGCUGCAACAGGUCUUAAGUUCUGUUUUAUUGCAGCAAUGUUGGCAGAGUUGUUUUUUUGCUGAUGACUAAAGUUUUGUUAGCUAAAUUUGUCUUCAAAUCUGUGGGUUGUUGGAAAGUGAUGCCACUGUGUGCGUUUGCUGCAUUUUGUUGCAGCAAAACAUGGCAUAAUAACAGGCCAUAGCACCAACUUUGCUAAGUAUUCACUGCUUCAAGUUUUUACUGAUUCUAUGUUCAGUUUUCCUUGUUGUUUUCAGUAAAGUAAACAUUGGUUUUUGGUUGUUUAGUUUAGGAUUUUGAUUUCUGGUAAAGAUGUCUAGAUUGGAGCCAUGCUUUCGGACCAUAAAUAUGCAUUUGUAAAUGGAGAGGCAUCAAACUUUCGCCGGCAGAAAGCUUCUUCAUGCAUUCUUGCUUGAAGUUUUUUUCUAUGUUUGCAUGAUUUCCUCCUAUGAUUUUGCUAGUUCGGAUGUCAAGUUCAUGUUUUGUGUUGUUUGGUUCAAAAUUUGAUGUUGAAUCAAGAAAGCCUUGGGUUAAGGUAUGAGAUCAAAUCCGGGUUUAGUGUUUGAAAGUGGAACAAAGGUGCAGCAAUUUCGUUUGCUUUGUUGAAGAAUGUUCUUUCACGAUGGUUUGCAUGCAUUUGCAUGAAUAAUCUCCAGAUUUUACACUUUGGCCCCCAAGUCUCUCCUUGUUCCACUAGGACCCAAUCAAUUAAAGAAUUUCAUCAAAUUGGUCCUUGAUAAUUUUAAUUUUUGCAACUUCAUUGCUUGUUUGCUUCAAUUAACUACCAUGCUUUGUUUCAAUUGCAUUUAAUUCAUGACUUUAGGGGCUUUAUGACCAAGUGAGCUUGUGUUUGCCUAUUUUCUUUAAUUUUCUCAAAUAAAUUGGUACCUUGACCAUUUCUUUUAUUUUGGAGGAUAAAUAAGUGAUUUCACUUCAUUGGGGCCCAAUUGCAAGGGAGGUAACCUCUAUCUCCUUGAAUUUCAUUUCUCCUAUGUGAUCCUACGUGUUAUGUGAAUAUGCAUGUCUACUCCGCUUUCCUUACCUCCUUGCGUGCAUUUACUUGCUUUCACUUUUAUUUAAGUUUUAUGGGGUAUGUGUACACCUCUUGGCUUGUAAUAGAUAGGGCUCGGAGAGCAUCUGGUCCAUUUCCCCUUUCCCUUUAUGUUUUUAUGGGGUAUGUGUACACCUCUUGGCUUGUAAUAGAUAGGGCUCGUAGAGCAUCUGGUCCAUUUCCCCUUCCCCUUGGUUGCUUGUUUUUGUUGCUACAUGUUUAAUUGCUUUAAUAGGCUCUUGCAUCUAGUCGAGCAUGCUAAGUGCUACGUGCUACGUGUUUACGAGCGUUUUGGCAUGUCUACUUGCUUUCAUAACCAUGAAUGAAUGGAAUGGAUGAAUGUACGUCACCACGCUAGUUCAAUGCUAGUUGUGGCUCAUUAUUUCAUUAGGAAUUCAUAGAAAGGGCUAGUCCAACGCUAGACCCAAUAGGAUUUUUCCUUUGUUUUUCAUUAAUGCAUUGUUUGCCUGUUCACUACAUAUCAUGCAUUUUUCCUUAGUUUUAUCAUCUGGCAUGCUCCUCGAUUCCCCUUGCCCCUCACUUUAGGUCUUGCAUCUCAUGCUAGUUAGGGUACAUUUGCCUGAAGAGUCCCCUUCUGAUAAGGGAAACGAGCGAGUGUGGCUACUCGAUAGCCUUAGCACGCUAGUUCCCCCUUCUAUCAAAGGAAAAAUCAAGUCACAAAGUUAGGACUCCCCGUUCCCGUUUUGAUGCAUUCCUAUAGAAUGUGAGCCGACAGUUAACAAAAAAAUGUCUGCAGCAUUUGAGUUUCCUUUUGCUGCAAUUCUUUGCUAUCCAAACACUACUAACAGCUCAACUAACAACAACUAGGAGCAAAGUAACAAGUUCACAAGCAUGUUUUCCAUUUUUCACCAUACAAAUUUAGGUUUAGAUACCAGAAGUUCAUGCAAUUACAGGGAAUCAACAUUCUGCAAUUUUUAGUUCUUUCUUCAAACUUCAUCAUUCAACCAGGACAUCUAUAUGAAACAAAUCAAGCGAGCCCUAUUGAUGUCCUUAACCAAACCCAGAUGCUAUCCCCUCAAAACCCACGGCAGACAUGCUCUGAGAGCUUAAACAGAACCGAGAAUUUUUAAAAGAAAAGGACAGCUUACCUGCGCCUGCUUCGUGAAAUUAUUUUCAGGCAGUGGUGGGAAGUUCUAGUGAUUGUAGCGGACUGGUGGUGGCUUUUCUUCCUCCUUGAUGUGGUGGUCCUUGGAGGACCUCUUGGGAGGCAGUUGACCGCUCGUUGGUCACGCUAGAGAAGAAAAGGUGGCUGCUGUCUGGUGACCUCGAUGGAAGUUGCGUGCGGUGGUGGCGAUGACAGAACUUGGAGGUGGUCAUUUGUAGGCGGUGGUUAUGGAGGUUUGUGGUGGCUUGGGCUGAUAGCAUGAAAAGGAGUCUGGGCAGGCAACGGAUGGAGUUGAGAUGGCUGCUGUGGUGGUUGCAAGUUUUUCUCCUCGCCGAUCAUUGAAACCGAAACCUCCCCCCCCCCUCUGUUUUCUUUUCUGCGUUUUUUCCUCUUGCCCAGCCACCAGCUAGCUUCCCUUUGCUAUUUUCUCUUUUUCCCUUUCCCGUUCAACUCUCCGUUUCUAAACCCUCACAGCCAUCAACUCUACUCAGUCCUUCCUUUGCUUCUUUUCCCUCUUACUUCACAAAGCUUCUGGCUCACUUCCUGCCGUCACCAUCAAUCUUUCCUCUCUUUUCACUCUCGGCUCUUUUUCUUUCUUUUCCUUUUUGCUUGUGUUUCUAUCCCCCGUUGGUUCCCCUUAAAACCUCUGUUGCGGCUACCUUUCUUUUUGCUAUAUAUCAGACCCCCAAACCCUAAAAACCUCUAGUCCUUUUCCUGUAUUUGCAGCUUUGGGAGCCGUCCCAGAUUUCCUUUGCAAGCUGCGUAAAACGCAGCUUGCUGCCGCGUAUCAUUUUUUUUUUUUUUUUUUGAACUUAAUAACUUAAUAAAUACAGAAAUGAUAUAAAUAAUAAUAAUAAUAACAAAUUGCCAAAACCAGGUAAUAAUAAUAAUAAUAAUAAUGAAAAUAAUUUAAAAACUAAACAACUAAAAACAACAAAAAUGGCCACUUUUCCAUCUUUUUGUUUCAUUUUUCAUUUUUCAUCAUUUUCUUUUUCUCAAAAUAACUUAAUAAAAAUAACUAAAGUGCAAAAAGGUUGCAUUUAAAGAAAUAAAUAUAUUUUUGUGAACAAAUUUCCUUUUUCCCUUUUUUUUAUUUUCAUUUUCAUUUUUCUUUCAAGAAAGCAUUGAAUAAAAACAAAAUGACUAAAACAUAUUUUUUUGAAUGCUUUUCUUUUUCUCUUUUUUCUUUUUCAACAAAUUCUAUGAUAAAACUUAAAAAUAAAAAUAAAACUGGAAACUAAAAACUAAAAAUGAACACGACAAAUAAAAACUAAAAAAUGAAAUUACACCAAAAAUUUGGUGUCUACAGUUUGCCCCUCUUUGUCUGAGUUUUGAAAAAAUUUGAGACAAAGAAGUAGACACCAAAUACUUACCAGUGUUAUUCGGUUGCAAAAAUGAUCUGAACGGACAGGAAUUCUAAAAUGGGACUGACCCGAACAUGAAUUUAAAAUUGGGGAUAGACCCACGGGAUAGACCCGGACAGAAAUGUAAAAUUGGGAUAGACCCACGGGAUUAAAAAUGGGAUAGACCCACGGGAUAGACCCGGACAGAAAUUUAAAAUUGGGAUAGACCCACGGGAUAGACCCGGAUAGACAGAAAUUUAAAAUUGGGAUAGACCCACGGGAUAGACCCGGACAGAAAUGUAAAAUUGGGAUAGACCCGGACAGAAAUGUAAAAUUGGAUUUGAUCUGUCAAGAUAUAAGAAAUUAAAUUUUGAUUUUCCAAGAAACAAAAAUUUGAACUUGAUUUUCGAUUUUUGACUUUUGAAUUUUUCUGAUUUUUCGAGAGAAUCUUUUUCCAAAAAUAAUUUGCCCCAGUGUAGGGCCCUUUUCCCUUCUUUCUUCUCUUUCUUCGGCAUCGGCUUUCUACAUCGCCAGAUGCUUUUCGUCGACUUCAACUGUGAAUACCUGCACAGGGCUUACGUGCACUCAAAUGAGCGUGACUGAUUUGAAAAAUGCAUUAUUUUGAUUCUUGGACGAAAUCCUCAAUUGGCCUACAAAAAUAUUUGCCCCUGUGUGGGCUUAUUUUGCAAAAUUUUGCAAAUAAAAAUUUUGCCCCAGUUUGGGCCCAUUUGAUUGCAAAAAUUGGUUUAGAUGAUUUCCCAUUUACUUGAACAAAGAAAAACCGCACUUUCUAAAAUUUAGAAAAGAGUGCACAUACAACAAUGUGAAGAAACUUUAAUCGUCAAGUUUGAACUCAUGCAGAAAUUUCAUGAUGAAUUCCUCAAAAUAAUGCCAAAUUACAAGAUAUUUCUUCCUUACCUUAGCAUCGAAGCUUUGGGUAAUGGGCGUUAUUUCUGACUUGGAAAUGGGAGGCCAAGAUUUGUCUUAUUUUGUGCUCAUUCGAUAUCACGUCUUCAUGAAAGCAAAGAGUUUAUCACCUUAUUUUUAAGAAAACGUAGUCACAUACAGCUUUAUAGGCUUGCAAUAAACGGAUGGAAACGAUAGCUAAAACAUGAAAAAACUGGUUGUUCCCUUAUGAUCACAAAUGAUUGAUGGAUUUCUUACGAGCAUAGUCGUCACUUUGGAUUGUCAUGAAGGAAUAAGUCAACGAUGGACUUUAUGAGCUUGUAAUGUGGCUUGAAAACGAUAGCUAAAGAAUAAAACUUUCAAGGACAUUACACCACAUAUCGUAUUUUUCAACAUUGCCUUCAUCUGGACUCCAGAUUCUUGGAUUUUGUUUGACUUUUUAUCAUCACCCAACAGGGUCUUUCAACAUCAAAUCUUUUUGCAUCUUUCUUUUGCAUUCAUUUCGCUCGUUUUUCUUUUCUUUCUCCCCCCCUUCUCGGGGUUUCAUAUGAAAGCAGUGUCAACCUCACGCCAAAUCAAUUCAGAAUACAGCAAAAUUUUCGACAUCAGAAAUUUUCUUAACAGGGCCAUUGCAAAGAAUAGAAGUCAGGGCUUUCGGCUUUUGUAAUGGGGUCAGGUGGGGUGCUUAGAAAAGUUAAGGCUUGAAAGCGGAUUUCAAAGCGGUUUGAAAAAUCUGAGAUCGCAUGUUGCGCAACCCUAUUUUAGGGUUAAAUCAGAAUUUGCCCCAGUUUUGCUCAAUGAGGCUUUUCACUUUCAUUUUCUUUUUCUUUUGACUUUUCGGCUUUUGCCAUUCUUUGAAAUUUGCCCCAAUUUAUUUUUGAACUGAGGUUCUCUUUUCUUCUUUUGAUUUGGAUUUUGUGCUUUUCACUUUUCACUUCUUGAAAUUUCCUUUUCAACCAAACUCGCCCCAGUGUGGGGUUUGCGAUUCUCAGGGGUUGCCAAACGAAAUAAUCCAUUCUGAUGGCUCAAAAGGGAUAACUAGGGAUAGAAUGUUCGAUUGGAAAAGAAGAUGGCCUGACUUGUAUUCCGUUCCUUACAAUAACUCUGAAAGGAAAUUUUCAUUAAUGGGAAAUUUUUGGCAUGUAUCUGAAUUAACUGAUUGGGGAAGACCCUUGUUCAUCCAUAUUUGUGAAACAUAGGUGAUCCACGCGGACAAAUCUCUUCCCUCUUUUUUCCAAAUUCGGAACCCAAGUGGAGUCAAAUUUCCCCAAUUUGCGGUUCCCUCCCUAUUUUAGCAUUUUUGCUUUUCCCCUUUUCUUUUCCUUUUUAAAAUUUCCCAAUCUCCUUCCCCAAUGCGAGGUACGAUCAUAAGUGCAUUCGAAAAGAACCACCAAUUUUAGCUCAAAUGAGGACGCAAGGGAUAAAUGGUGUUUAGAUUGAAGAAAUGAUGGCCAAAGUAUCAUUCUUACACUUCAUGACAACCAGAGUAACGAAAUGCUCAUUGACAAUCCAUUCCCUUUUGAAAGUUUUCCAAUGUAGGGUAGAGAUCAUUAAGGCGUUUAUUUGGAAGGAAAUUAUUCUUCUAUAGGCUCAAAUGGGAGAGCAAAUGAUAAAAAUCUGUAUAGGUAGUGAAACGAAUGCUUGAAGUAUCAUUCCAAAUUUUCAAACAAAUAAGAAUAAUGCACAUUUUUGCUUUCACUUAGAUGUGAUUGAAUCGAAUUAGUUACCGCGGACAUUUUCAAGCAAAAGUUGCCCCAAUUUACAAUUUAUCAAUCAAUGUGACUGAUUUUAUUUUGGGGUCAAAUGAAGGAGAAAAGGAAUCUCAUAGGGCCUUUUGAGUGACCUCUUUUAAUUCUGAACACUCUUAUUAUGAAUUUUCAGGCCGGAGGUUGAAAAAAUCCCAAUUUAGUCUUAUUUCUUAAAAUUCAUCAUGAACUCUCCAAUGAAUAAGAAUAAAGAAUGAAAUGUACAUAAAUAUACACAAAACAAUGAUUGUCCAAAAAUUUUAUUGCUGAAAAAGUUUGAAACAAAAUUUCUCAUUCAAUUACGAUACAAAUGAGGAUAGAAAACUUCUAAAGAGCUCCACAUAUAUAUCCUUUUUGUCUUCAUUUCUUUUGACACAAAAAUAUAUUAACAAGUCAAAUAUACAGAAUUUUCCUUGAAAGCGAUUGUGAAAUCUCUUAGAAGCUCUCAGCCUAGAGCUUUCAAAUGGGUCUUUCAUGUUUCCAUUGUUGGAUCUACCCAAGAAUCAAUAUAGGAAAAUAUUUUCAUCUUAUUGAAACAUUUUUUAAUGAAUGCAGGGGAGGGGGAAAACAAAAGAAAAAUACCCAAAGUUAGUAAUCAAAACCAUAGAAUCAGUAUGCAUGCCCUAUGGGGGAACCCUUUUAUGCCAAGGGUAGGCCUAGCAUGAAAAUGCAAUCCUCUAGGGUAGGCACCAUACAAUACCUGAUGGAUCCAAUCAGCUUAUGGAGUGAAAAAUAAUUUAAAAAAAUUUGGCCCACUGGAAUGAAAAGAGACAUUUGUCCUAAAAUGAGGGAAAAGUCCGAAUGGAUUGCUACUUUGAUCGAUGCAUGAAAUAAUGUGUAAAAGGGGCUGAUUGGAAUGUCUCAAUUAAUUUAUUCGGUGACCCUUAGACUUAAACCCUAAAAAGGGAAAAAACGGGUCAAAUGGAUUGGAUAAAAUUGAUGAUUUAUUUAAAAAUGACCAAAUUGCCCUAAAAAUAGGUAAACUGGUCAAAUGAAUGAAAUGAAAUUUGAUUUAUUCAAAAAUUGAUCGAAUCACCCUAAAAAGGGUAGAUUGGUCAAAUGAAUUGACGAUUUAUUCAAAAUCGACCGAAUGACCCUAAAAAGGGUAGAUUGGUCAAAAGAUUUGAUGAUUUAUUCAAAAUCGACCGAAUGACCCUAAAAAGGGUAAAUUGGUCAAAGGAAUGGUUUAUUUAAAAUCGAUUAUGAAUUGACAAAAUGGAUUGAUCGAAUCGGCCGGCCAUUGGUGGUUUCAGAAAAUCAGUCUAUGAGCCUUCUAAAAUCACAAUUUGGCCUCAAUUUAUUUAUCAUCUCAAUAGGAGGAAUCAUUUGUGAAUUUCUUCAAAUUAAUGUCCUUCGCGCAAGGGAUUUUUACCAAUUUUUGAUAAAAUGGCCAAAAAGUGAUUAUUAGAUGCUCAUAUUCCAAAGAUCACUCUAUGAAAAUGAUCGGAUCCUACCUUACCUUGUGCACUACCCCUUUGGAUGGUACAAAAUGUAAACGUGCAAGUCUCACUGGAUUAAGUAUCCGAGACACAAGGUGGCUUAUUCCUAAACACGGGAUUCCCUAUGUGGCAUUCCCUUUCUAUGGUUUAUGCAUGAUGCCAGUUUAUUAAAGCGAUGUAAAUAUGUGACAAAUAUGGCUAAAGGACAUAAAUAAUGCAUCGGGGGGAAAAGGUCUAAAAUGAAAUGUAUUAUUGAAAAGUAAGCAAAGACUGAAAUUUAGACAUGUGAGCUAUCUAGUGGGUGAGUCACUAAAAGAGUGCCAAAGAGGCCUCUUAUUGCUAAGGCACAUGAAUGCAAGCCAGGAAAACAAAAGAAUGGUUAGUGCAAUUGAUAGUACACAUAACACAUUGGGAGCAAUUAAGAAAAGAAAUACAAUAAAAGCAAGUAAAAGGGGUGGAACCCCUUCCCUCGUGCCUAAUGUGCUUAAAAAGGGUGAGGCUGACUCUACCCUAGGCAAAUGCUAAUAUGGAUGCAUGAGGUGGUUCACUAAUGCCUAGACUCGAUAAAGCUUCGGCUCCCAAGCCUUCAGACCUAAAGGCGAAGGGUCAUCACUCCCAGGGCCUUUGAUCGGUGGCUCGAGUGAUCCCUUAGGUAGCGCUAUGGGCGCAGAGCACACCAGCCGCCUACCCAAGGCGAUCGAUCCUAAUCCUACAAGGCGGUGUGGGAAACGCCCACGAAAAACAAAAUAAAAUGGGAUAAAAGCAAGUAAACGUGCACGUAUGAAGUGUUCCCCUAUUUUGAGGGAAGGGGUGAGAACCACACGAGGCUCUAAAGGCGACACACCCCCCCAAAUGCAAUGCAAGCGCGAGAUAAAUAAGUAAACAUACAUCCAAUCAACCAAUCACACGUACGUGAGUGAGGGAAUAGUUGGAUACGCGCACGAGGCAAAAGGCCCUAAAAAUGGAAAGUGCAACCCUAAUAUCCAAAUGCAAUGCAUAAAAAAGGGUAGAAAAAGGAAAAGAAUGGCCAAGUCAAAUGCUCGGACCCACUUAGGAAGUCCCCAGUGGAGUCGCCAACUGUCGCGCCCCACUUUUCGAUUGUGUGGAUGUGUGAUGUGUGGUGUGUAAUGCGGUGUGAACGUGUGCAAAAUGAAAAGUAAAAAGGCCAUGGGAUUUUGGAAAGCGACGAUUUGGCCAAAUGAAAUUUUAAAAAGGGUUUUUUAAAUAUGAAAACGGAGUCGCCACUUGGUAUAGAUUUGGGGUGUACCAAGUCACCCAAAAAGUGUUUUUUAAAGACAAAGUAGUAAAACCCCUUUUAAAACGACUCCUAGUCCACGUAAGCCAAAGAAAAAGGUUCGGGGGUCACGUUUGACAAAAGGGAAGGCAAGGAUAGAAUCCAAGGCACCCCUUUGACCUAGCCAAGGCUAGUUGCGCGACUCAAACCAAUUUUUCCUAGUUUUUCUACCCAAGGUAUGUAUCGCGUAUUGGAUAUGUCUAUAUGGAUGCAAAAACCUAGACCUAGGGGGAUUGGGGGAAAUUUCUCUUCAAAGGUUGGGUGGUGCCAAUCACAUUAAUUGUGAAGCCCAAUAAUGAUCCUUUUGGAGAGGUCACACCUAAACCUAAAUGACGUGAAAAAUGAGUGGAAUGCAUGCCAUGUGAAAGUGUGAGUUUGUGUGAAGUGAGAAAAUGAUAAAAGUAAUAAGAUAUAAGUGGAUGUGUGCAAAUGUCUUUACAAGGUAAGGUAAGUGAAGAAUAAUAAGGUGAAAACGCCAUUAAGUGCAUGUGUGCGAGUGAUAUGGUAUAGAGUGUAAGUAGUUGAAUAAAAACGUGUAAAAUGAAAGUAGUGUGAAGUGAGAAUAUAGAAAGAGGAAUGGAAUAUACAGUAAGUGAUAGUGAAUGAAUGAAAUGCGUGAAUCCUAUAGGAAUGCAUCAAAACGGGAACGGGGAGUCCUAACUUUGUGACUUGAUUUUUCCUUUGAUAGAAGGGGGAACUAGCGUGCUAAGGCUAUCGAGUAGCCACACUCGCUCGUUUCCCUUAUCAGAAGGGGACUCUUCAGGCAAAUGUACCCUAACUAGCAUGAGAUGCAAGACCUAAAGUGAGGGGCAAGGGGAAUCGAGGAGCAUGCCAGAUGAUAAAACUAAGGAAAAAUGCAUGAUAUGUAGUGAACAGGCAAACAAUGCAUUAAUGAAAAACAAAGGAAAAAUCCUAUUGGGUCUAGCGUUGGACUAGCCCUUUCUAUGAAUUCCUAAUGAAAUAAUGAGCCACAACUAGCAUUGAACUAGCGUGGUGACGUACAUUCAUCCAUUCCAUUCAUUCAUGGUUAUGAAAGCAAGUAGACAUGCCAAAACGCUCGUAAACACGUAGCACGUAGCACUUAGCAUGCUCGACUAGAUGCAAGAGCCUAUUAAAGCAAUUAAACAUGUAGCAACAAAAACAAGCAACCAAGGGGAAGGGGAAAUGGACCAGAUGCUCUACGAGCCCUAUCUAUUACAAGCCAAGAGGUGUACACAUACCCCAUAAAAACAUAAAGGGAAAGGGGAAAUGGACCAGAUGCUCUCCGAGCCCUAUCUAUUACAAGCCAAGAGGUGUACACAUACCCCAUAAAACUUAAAUAAAAGUGAAAGCAAGUAAAUGCACGCAAGGAGGUAAGGAAAGCGGAGUAGACAUGCAUAUUCACAUAACACGUAGGAUCACAUAGGAGAAAUGAAAUUCAAGGAGAUAGAGGUUACCUCCCUUGCAAUUGGGCCCCAAUGAAGUGAAAUCACUUAUUUAUCCUCCAAAAUAAAAGAAAUGGUCAAGGUACCAAUUUAUUUGAGAAAAUUAAAGAAAAUAGGCAAACACAAGCUCACUUGGUCAUAAAGCCCCUAAAGUCAUGAAUUAAAUGCAAUUGAAACAAAGCAUGGUAGUUAAUUGAAGCAAACAAGCAAUGAAGUUGCAAAAAUUAAAAUUAUCAAGGAUCAAUUUGAUGAAAUUCUUUAAUUGAUUGGGUCCUAGUGGAACAAGGAGAGACUUGGGGGCCAAAGUGUAAAAUCUGGAGAUUAUUCAUGCAAAUGCAUGCAAACCAUCGUGAAAGAACAUUCUUCAACAAAGCAAACGAAAUUGCUGCACCUUUGUUCCACUUUCAAACACUAAACCCGGAUUUGAUCUCAUACCUUAACCCAAGGCUUUCUUGAUUCAACAUCAAAUUUUGAACCAAACAACACAAAACAUGAACUUGACAUCCGAACUAGCAAAAUCAUAGGAGGAAAUCAUGCAAACAUAGAAAAAAACUUCAAGCAAGAAUGCAUGAAGAAGCUUUCUGCCGGCGAAAGUUUGAUGCCUCUCCAUUUACAAAUGCAUAUUUAUGGUCCGAAAGCAUGGCUCCAAUCUAGACAUCUUUACCAGAAAUCAAAAUCCUAAACUAAACAACCAAAAACCAAUGUUUACUUUACUGAAAACAACAAGGAAAACUGAACAUAGAAUCAGUAAAAACUUGAAGCAGUGAAUACUUAGCAAAGUUGGUGCUAUGGCCUGUUAUUAUGCCAUGUUUUGCUGCAACAAAAUGCAGCAAACGCACACAGUGGCAUCACUUUCCAACAACCCACAGAUUUGAAGACAAAUUUAGCUAACAAAACUUUAGUCAUCAGCAAAAAAACAACUCUGCCAACAUUGCUGCAAUAAAACAGAACUUAAGACCUGUUGCAGCAAACUUUCAUGCACUCGAGAUGUCGAUAAACGUUUCAAACUUAAAACCAACCUCAAAUUCCUACCCAAAUUGUAAUUCCAAAUACUCCCUCACGCAUACAAAAUCACACACCGAAUGCAAAACUAACGGCAGCUAUCAUGCCAAUGGGUUGUUAUGUAACAGCUUUAGAAGCAGAGCUGACAACUUCAUGAGCAGCAAAACUGUAGCACAGCAAAUAAAUAAAAAAACUCUCCAGCUAACAUAGGAAUUCACGGUCUUGGGCAACAAGGGAGGAGACUUCAAGGCACAAGGGACAGAUUUAAAUCAUUACAAGAAGAAAACAAGCAAGGGAACAAACGAGAAUGUGAGCCGACAGUUAACAAAAAAAUGUCUGCAGCAUUUGAGUUUCCUUUUGCUGCAAUUCUUUGCUAUCCAAACACUACUAACAGCUCAACUAACAACAACUAGGAGCAAAGUAACAAGUUCACAAGCAUGUUUUCCAUUUUUCACCAUACAAAUUUAGGUUUAGAUACCAGAAGUUCAUGCAAUUACAGGGAAUCAACAUUCUGCAAUUUUUAGUUCUUUCUUCAAACUUCAUCAUUCAACCAGGACAUCUAUAUGAAACAAAUCAAGCGAGCCCUAUUGAUGUCCUUAACCAAACCCAGAUGCUAUCCCCUCAAAACCCACGGCAGACAUGCUCUGAGAGCUUAAACAGAACCGAGAAUUUUUAAAAGAAAAGGACAGCUUACCUGCGCCUGCUUCGUGAAAUUAUUUUCAGGCAGUGGUGGGAAGUUCUAGUGAUGGUAGCGGACUGGUGGUGGCUUUUCUUCCUCCUUGAUGUGGUGGUCCUUGGAGGACCUCUUGGGAGGCAGUUGACCGCUCGUUGGUCACGCUAGAGAAGAAAAGGUGGCUGCUGUCUGGUGACCUCGAUGGAAGUUGCGUGCGGUGGUGGCGAUGACAGAACUUGGAGGUGGUCAUUUGUAGGCGGUGGUUAUGGAGGUUUGUGGUGGCUUGGGCUGAUAGCAUGAAAAGGAGUCUGGGCAGGCAACGGAUGGAGUUGAGAUGGCUGCUGUGGUGGUUGCAAGUUUUUCUCCUCGCCGAUCAUUGAAACCGAAACCUCCCCCCCCCCUCUGUUUUCUUUUCUGCGUUUUUUCCUCUUGCCCAGCCACCAGCUAGCUUCCCUUUGCUAUUUUCUCUUUUUCCCUUUCCCGUUCAACUCUCCGUUUCUAAACCCUCACAGCCAUCAACUCUACUCAGUCCUUCCUUUGCUUCUUUUCCCUCUUACUUCACAAAGCUUCUGGCUCACUUCCUGCCGUCACCAUCAAUCUUUCCUCUCUUUUCACUCUCGGCUCUUUUUCUUUCUUUUCCUUUUUGCUUGUGUUUCUAUCCCCCGUUGGUUCCCCUUAAAACCUCUGUUGCGGCUACCUUUCUUUUUGCUAUAUAUCAGACCCCCAAACCCUAAAAACCUCUAGUCCUUUUCCUGUAUUUGCAGCUUUGGGAGCCGUCCCAGAUUUCCUUUGCAAGCUGCGUAAAACGCAGCUUGCUGCCGCGUAUCAUUUUUUUUUUUUUUUUUUGAACUUAAUAACUUAAUAAAUACAGAAAUGAUAUAAAUAAUAAUAAUAAUAACAAAUUGCCAAAACCAGGUAAUAAUAAUAAUAAUAAUAAUGAAAAUAAUUUAAAAACUAAACAACUAAAAACAACAAAAAUGGCCACUUUUCCAUCUUUUUGUUUCAUUUUUCAUUUUUCAUCAUUUUCUUUUUCUCAAAAUAACUUAAUAAAAAUAACUAAAGUGCAAAAAGGUUGCAUUUAAAGAAAUAAAUAUAUUUUUGUGAACAAAUUUCCUUUUUCCCUUUUUUUUAUUUUCAUUUUCAUUUUUCUUUCAAGAAAGCAUUGAAUAAAAACAAAAUGACUAAAACAUAUUUUUUUGAAUGCUUUUCUUUUUCUCUUUUUUCUUUUUCAACAAAUUCUAUGAUAAAACUUAAAAAUAAAAAUAAAACUGGAAACUAAAAACUAAAAAUGAACACGACAAAUAAAAACUAAAAAAUGAAAUUACACCAAAAAUUUGGUGUCUACAGUUUGCCCCUCUUUGUCUGAGUUUUGAAAAAAUUUGAGACAAAGAAGUAGACACCAAAUACUUACCAGUGUUAUUCGGUUGCAAAAAUGAUCUGAACGGACAGGAAUUCUAAAAUGGGACUGACCCGAACAUGAAUUUAAAAUUGGGGAUAGACCCACGGGAUAGACCCGGACAGAAAUGUAAAAUUGGGAUAGACCCACGGGAUAGACCCGGACAGAAAUUUAAAAUUGGGAUAGACCCACGGGAUAGACCCGGACAGAAAUGUAAAAUUGGGAUAGACCCACGGGAUAGACCCGGACAGAAAUUGUUGUUUAGUUUAGGAUUUUGAUUUCUGGUAAAGAUGUCUAGAUUGGAGCCAUGCUUUCGGACCAUAAAUAUGCAUUUGUAAAUGGAGAGGCAUCAAACUUUCGCCGGCAGAAAGCUUCUUCAUGCAUUCUUGCUUGAAGUUUUUUUCUAUGUUUGCAUGAUUUCCUCCUAUGAUUUUGCUAGUUCGGAUGUCAAGUUCAUGUUUUGUGUUGUUUGGUUCAAAAUUUGAUGUUGAAUCAAGAAAGCCUUGGGUUAAGGUAUGAGAUCAAAUCCGGGUUUAGUGUUUGAAAGUGGAACAAAGGUGCAGCAAUUUCGUUUGCUUUGUUGAAGAAUGUUCUUUCACGAUGGUUUGCAUGCAUUUGCAUGAAUAAUCUCCAGAUUUUACACUUUGGCCCCCAAGUCUCUCCUUGUUCCACUAGGACCCAAUCAAUUAAAGAAUUUCAUCAAAUUGGUCCUUGAUAAUUUUAAUUUUUGCAACUUCAUUGCUUGUUUGCUUCAAUUAACUACCAUGCUUUGUUUCAAUUGCAUUUAAUUCAUGACUUUAGGGGCUUUAUGACCAAGUGAGCUUGUGUUUGCCUAUUUUCUUUAAUUUUCUCAAAUAAAUUGGUACCUUGACCAUUUCUUUUAUUUUGGAGGAUAAAUAAGUGAUUUCACUUCAUUGGGGCCCAAUUGCAAGGGAGGUAACCUCUAUCUCCUUGAAUUUCAUUUCUCCUAUGUGAUCCUACGUGUUAUGUGAAUAUGCAUGUCUACUCCGCUUUCCUUACCUCCUUGCGUGCAUUUACUUGCUUUCACUUUUAUUUAAGUUUUAUGGGGUAUGUGUACACCUCUUGGCUUGUAAUAGAUAGGGCUCGGAGAGCAUCUGGUCCAUUUCCCCUUUCCCUUUAUGUUUUUAUGGGGUAUGUGUACACCUCUUGGCUUGUAAUAGAUAGGGCUCGUAGAGCAUCUGGUCCAUUUCCCCUUCCCCUUGGUUGCUUGUUUUUGUUGCUACAUGUUUAAUUGCUUUAAUAGGCUCUUGCAUCUAGUCGAGCAUGCUAAGUGCUACGUGCUACGUGUUUACGAGCGUUUUGGCAUGUCUACUUGCUUUCAUAACCAUGAAUGAAUGGAAUGGAUGAAUGUACGUCACCACGCUAGUUCAAUGCUAGUUGUGGCUCAUUAUUUCAUUAGGAAUUCAUAGAAAGGGCUAGUCCAACGCUAGACCCAAUAGGAUUUUUCCUUUGUUUUUCAUUAAUGCAUUGUUUGCCUGUUCACUACAUAUCAUGCAUUUUUCCUUAGUUUUAUCAUCUGGCAUGCUCCUCGAUUCCCCUUGCCCCUCACUUUAGGUCUUGCAUCUCAUGCUAGUUAGGGUACAUUUGCCUGAAGAGUCCCCUUCUGAUAAGGGAAACGAGCGAGUGUGGCUACUCGAUAGCCUUAGCACGCUAGUUCCCCCUUCUAUCAAAGGAAAAAUCAAGUCACAAAGUUAGGACUCCCCGUUCCCGUUUUGAUGCAUUCCUAUAGGAUUCACGCAUUUCAUUCAUUCACUAUCACUUACUGUAUAUUCCAUUCCUCUUUCUAUAUUCUCACUUCACACUACUUUCAUUUUACACGUUUUUAUUCAACUACUUACACUCUAUACCAUAUCACUCGCACACAUGCACUUAAUGGCGUUUUCACCUUAUUAUUCUUCACUUACCUUACCUUGUAAAGACAUUUGCACACAUCCACUUAUAUCUUAUUACUUUUAUCAUUUUCUCACUUCACACAAACUCACACUUUCACAUGGCAUGCAUUCCACUCAUUUUUCACGUCAUUUAGGUUUAGGUGUGACCUCUCCAAAAGGAUCAUUAUUGGGCUUCACAAUUAAUGUGAUUGGCACCACCCAACCUUUGAAGAGAAAUUUCCCCCAAUCCCCCUAGGUCUAGGUUUUUGCAUCCAUAUAGACAUAUCCAAUACGCGAUACAUACCUUGGGUAGAAAAACUAGGAAAAAUUGGUUUGAGUCGCGCAACUAGCCUUGGCUAGGUCAAAGGGGUGCCUUGGAUUCUAUCCUUGCCUUCCCUUUUGUCAAACGUGACCCCCGAACCUUUUUCUUUGGCUUACGUGGACUAGGAGUCGUUUUAAAAGGGGUUUUACUACUUUGUCUUUAAAAAACACUUUUUGGGUGACUUGGUACACCCCAAAUCUAUACCAAGUGGCGACUCCGUUUUCAUAUUUAAAAAACCCUUUUUAAAAUUUCAUUUGGCCAAAUCGUCGCUUUCCAAAGUCCCAUGGCCUUUUUACUUUUCAUUUUGCACACGUUCACACCGCAUUACACACCACACAUCACACAUCCACACAAUCGAAAAGUGGGGCGCGACAGUUGGCGACUCCACUGGGGACUUCCUAAGUGGGUCCGAGCAUUUGACUUGGCCAUUCUUUUCCUUUUUCUACCCUUUUUUAUGCAUUGCAUUUGGAUAUUAGGGUUGCACUUUCCAUUUUUAGGGCCUUUUGCCUCGUGCGCGUAUCCAACUAUUCCCUCACUCACGUACGUGUGAUUGGUUGAUUGGAUGUAUGUUUACUUAUUUAUCUCGCGCUUGCAUUGCAUUUUGCACACGUUCACACCGCAUUACACACCACACAUCACACAUCCACACAAUCGAAAAGUGGGGCGCGACAGCCAACCAGCAGCACGCCGCCACAUCUCUCUCCAUCUCGCCGCCGCCAACCAGCCAUAUACCUCCUCGUGCGAGCUCCACCUGCUCGCAACUCCCCUCACCAGCUUUCUCUUCGCCAUCGAUCCAUCGCGGCCACGAGGAGCUUUGCCGCCGCCGCUGCUCAACGCCUCCACCGCGAGCUACCGCCAGCAGCACCAUAGGCAGCACCCACCUCGUGUCUCCGCCAGCGACGACCAGCUCGUGCGCCGCCGCCGCUCACCAACCACGCGCAGGCCACCUCGCAGCUCUCUCUUCAGCCGCGACCCCUCCGCACGCCACGCAGCUCCGACCGCGCGCUCCACCAGCUCUCCUUCACUGUCGCGCGCUUUGCCCGAGCCGACGCCGUCGCUGCUGUAGUCGCGCGCCGCCGCCCGUGCCCACGCGUAGUCGCGCUCCCUCGCAGCUCCAGCCCAAGGACGCCGCCUUUCCCCCGCGUCCUACACAGCGCCUCUUUUUCUUAGCCACUACUGCCCCAGUUUCUUCAUUCGGCCACUGGGAGAGGUAUUUGCUACUAAAUCCCCAAUUUUUGGUUUGUAUUGGAUUCACUUGAGGGUUUGUCAGUAGAGUGAAGUGGCAAUUGGAUUUUCUGCCUUAACCGUGCGGUGCACCAGUGCUAGCAAUUGUGCUAUUUUCCGUCGUAUUGUUGUGCUAUUUUGCUAUACCUGUGGUACUGGUGGAGUAACUGGACCUUGAUUUGGUACCUCUAUCUGGUUGACUGCGUUUGUAGUGUCAAAUAUCUAAGCCGUUUUCAUUGAAAUUGUUGAUUUUGAAUUAAGAUUUUAACUGGCCAACUGGAGCCAUUUGUUGAAAUUUUGGGUAAGCUGAAAUAUUGCACUUGUUUGUUAAAUUGGGAAGUUUCUAUGCUAUUUACAUUGCUUCCUCCAGUUGGGUGCAUCUAAUUGAAUUGCUGAGAAAUAUUCUGACCAUUGCUUUCAACUACUAAGUUCGUUGAGGUUUCUUUUAGGAUUCUGGUUGAGUUAUUUCUAAUAUUGCCUAUUGAAUCAGGAGCUUGUGCUGCUUAAUUUGCCCCGUUAGGAGCUGGUUUGCUUGUUAGAAUUUUCUGUGACGGUUAACUAACGUGUUCAUCUUAGUGACUUCAACUAUUUCGUUGGGUGGAAGUGAAUUCUGUGCUUUGAACCAUUAGGUCGUUGAGAUAAUUUCACUUGUUUUUGUGGGUAGAUGCCUGAUUGCCAGUUGAGGGUAUAUAUUGAGUCGUUAUUGCCGAAUCACUGCACUACUGUUGCCUGACUUGUUGACUUGUUGACUGCUGGGGGCAAUUGUUGAGCUUUUGGGUGCAAUUGUUGAAGUUCUUGGGUGGGCUGGAAUUUUAACAAUUGUCUGUGAUAUUUUGGGAAGAAUCUCGGCCAGUGUUGUGCUUGUUGAAAUUUUGGUUGAUUUAAUUCGGCAACUGCAUUCCUUGUUGGCAUUAGUAGUUUUUAAUCGAGUUUUUGAGGACAUUUUGGAUGUUGGUUUAUAUUGCUGAUUUGGAGGAACAGUGUCUGUGAUUUUGGUCUGAUCAUUUGUGCAAUUUGUUGACUCAUUUUGUGACGACCCCAUCUCCCCCUAAGGCGAACCAGAGGGUUCGGCGGCCGCCUGCCCGGCUCUCGCCGGGACUCAGUCGUUCACUAAAGUUCUCAAAUGAAUUACAAGAAUAAACCUCAAAUAUACAUCACAUUGUCCACAAAUAUACAUUCAAAUCUCCAAUAAUUACAUGUCACAAAUGCAGCGGAAACAAUUCCCAACUAUACAUAAAAUGAUUCCAAAUCCAAAUUGUACAACAUAAAGGCCAUCCAUUCACGUGAAUAAGCACAACAAGUCCUGCCUUUGCCUUGAGCCCUGUGGAGGGGAAUAAAAUAUUUUUGGGGUGAGCUAGAAACUCAGCGAGUAACCAGAAAAUCAGUAAUCAAAUCGAUUUAACAAUAUUUCUUUUCAAUGAUGUCAUAAAUCAAUGAUGUCAUAAAUCAAAUGAUAAGUCCAGAAACGAUUACAGCAUUUACAAAACAUUAAAUAUGGAGUAUCAAUAAUUCAAGAAACAUGUACAAUGGAAAGCGAUAGUAACAUUCAUGAAAAGGAUACGUUCAUUUUUUAUAAAUAAUCCCUCGUUCAUCUUUUUAUUCGUUCAUCUUUUUUUUUUUCCGGACGUUGGCCGGUCUCCACCCAUCCGGACGUAGCCGGACUCCACCCAUCCGGACGUAGCCGGACUACAAGGUAAUACUCGAGUAUACCAAAUUCACCCAGGGUCACCAUAUCGCCCGACCGAGUCCGCUUCUGGCUCGAGUCGAUCGGUAACGAAGGGCAGUGCCCAGUUCAGCCAAACGGCUUACAUUCAUGCGCAACUAGCAUUUAAUCAUUAAUCAUUGAAAAUUUCAUAUUUAUUUAGGUCGAGUGCGAUAAAGUACACACUCGCCUAGAAAACUCGUUUUAACAAUCAUUGAAAGCACUUAACACAUUAUCAAUCAAUAAUAACAAGCCAAUAAAUCAAGGAAUACAGCCAACAAGGAACACUCAUAUGCAAGCACGCAUGAUAUGCAAGAAAACAGUUCAAAAGUAACUUUGGAAACAGUUUAAAGGUAAAUAAUGUAAGAAAACGGUUCGAAAGUAACUUUGGAAACAAUUCAAAAGUAAAUAAUGCAGCAAACGAUUCAUAAAUAACUUUAGAAAUAGUUUGAGGUCACUCACCUCAAUGGCUCAGAAAUCAUCAUCAUAUAACAUUGCCUUGCUCAAACCCAAGUCUUAGAUCACAAACUCAAUGCAAUCAAGUCCUUUCAAAGUUCGGACAGCACUUCCCCUGAAUAUGCUUACUUUUCCAGCCAUCAUGGCUUCAUUAUAUCUUCAGCCAGUCCCAAAGGUACACACACAACAACAAGUUCAUACAAUAGCCAUUCAGCAAGCUCCAAGUAGUACUAGUACAAGUCAAGCUAGGGAAAAGUCCGGAAAUGAAAGUUUAGCUCAAAACCAGAAAAAAUAUUUUGACGUCAUUUUGCGGUAAUGGUACCAAAGGCACUACGAUUGUCGGAUGAAGGUACAAGAUACACCGUUUCGAAGCUAAGAGAUAGGACUACAAUAUUGAAGAAGGUCACUCAACCCAGUUUCGAGUGUAACCAGGUCAAAAAUGCAAGAUACUACACCAGGAAUCACAAAAACAGAUUCACAGAACGUAUUCUAGCGGAAACAUCAUAAAUCAGGCUAUCCAACUCCAAAUCCAGAAAUUCCAAAACCAGCUGAAAGGUAAGAAACAGGGCUAAAUUUCAUCAGAAGGCCUCAACAACCAAUUCGGAAGCAAUUCCAGCCAAAACAACCAAUUACAGUCGCAAAUCCCAAUUUCGGGUAAACCAGAACAGCAAUAGUAAUUUUGACUUUUCUCACUCUACGCUACUCCGAUUGACCUGAAAUUUUGUAAGCACCUUUAAAAUGUCAUUCCCUACAACUUUCAUGUUUUAAGAAAAUGCCAAUUCGGCCUCUAUCUAGGACCUAAAAAUUCGGACAGAAUGCUCCUUCACAAAACCUGAUUUUCUGAAAUUUCUUCCAAAACAGAAAUUGAUUGCAAUUAAUCACUUUUUCCACCUCAUAGAGUCCUUAAAUAUCAUUUCCAAUCAUCAUACAUGACCCCAUAAUCAUAUUCAUAUGAAAACAGAAAAAUCCCCAAUAAUUAUAAAACUUCAUCAAUUCAACCAAAACUCAAGAAAUAAUCCAUAAAACCAUCUCUUUAGCCAUCACAAGUCUCUAAUUUAGCAUAAUCAAGAACAAAGAAAGGAUGGCUAGACAUGAUACCUUCAAAUAUCAAGAAAGGUGAUGACUUAGGGAUUUUUCUUCCAAAACAACUCCACCAAGAGCUUCAAUCUUCCUUAGCUAGCAAGUUUUAUGGAGUGAUUUGCAAUUUAAUCGGUUGGAACUCAAGAUUUGGACAAGAAAUUGAAGUGCAAGAUGAUGGAUUUUCUCUCUCUUUUUCUCUCAAAAUUUCGUCCAAGACAAGCUAAAAUGGAGAGAAAUUGGGUCCAAAUUGGUUUUAGUAAAGUUAGAAAAGUCUUGGUCAAAAGUCAAGGUCCAAUGGUUUUGUGACAAAUGGUCCUUUAGGGUUUUAAUCUUAUCUUUUUGUCUCUCCAAUACAAAUAUCUUAACACAUUGUAAAAUAAUAUCACUUAAUACAAAAUUCCAACAAGUUGUCAAAAAUAUAAUGCAUUUACCGCACUUGCGGGUCCCACGUCCAAAAUAGGCUUUUAAUUUCUCAAAAACUAACCGAUACUAGAAAAAUUAUUUUAAAACUAUUUUUGCUCAUAAACUUUAUCUGGGGAAUUUUUCUAAUCAAGAAAAUGUAGAAAAGGCGGGCGUUUAAAAAAUAAACCCUAGAGAAUUAGAAAAUUUCCGGGUUCUCAAACUCUUUUUUUUCGGGGCGUCACACAUUUGCGGACUUAUUUGUUUCUUGGGUUUGUUUAUUGACUUCGGUGGACUGGGUUCCCACCUACGGUUCCUCUACUUGCUCUAUUCAUUGGAAUUCUAGUCGCCUAUUGCUCUUCUUUAGAGGUUUAGAAUCUUUCUUGUGACUAGAUUAAUACUUGGGGCUAUUGCUUUAAUACUGCUCUACUCUACUAUAGCAAUUUCAUUGAUUUUGGACUAUGUUUUGCACUAAUGAUACUGGUUGGAAUAUUUCCCCUUGCAUGUGUCAGUUCUACUUGGUUGGAUACUUGAUUGACUGCUGGGCAUGUGUGACUGGGUUGUUCUUGUGCAAUUGGAGAUAUUUAGAGGGAUUUUGGGUGGGCAAGUUGUGUCGCUCUCUAUUGAUAUUUGGGAGGCACCGGUGGCUAUUAAAUUGUUAUUGCUUUGAAUUUUCUGUUUACAUUAUCUGUGGGCAAUUUUGUCUCUUGUUGAUUGAAAUGACAUUUGGAGAAAAUGGUAAGACCCGAGCCCUCUUCUUCUGCGCCUCCCCCACCGAUGGCCUCUGAUGUUAAGUCGCACCACUUGCGAGCUCAGAUUCAUCACGUAGUUGAGAGAGUGACGAACAUCACCCGCCAAGUGGCAAGGAUGUCUCAGAACUCGGCUUCCCUCCACUGUUCCCUCCUAUCCCUUAGCUGUUCAACAGGGAAGUUUCAUUGUUCUCUUCGCUUUAAUUACUUUAUUACCUCCAUUGAGGACAAUGUAGGAUUUAGGUGUAGGGGGAGCAGUUAUGGUGCUAGUGUCUUUCGUUCAUUUUCUUUUUCUUUUUUUUAGUGAUUAGCUCGUAUGGGAUGCCAAGUUUGAUGUUGGAUUAUUGCCUCUAUUUCUACUUUUGCCAAGUUUUAGUAAUAAAAGGGUAUCAAGUUAAUGUGGUUGAGUUCAGGAAUAUCCCUUUGGUGAAUAUCAGUAAUUGAUUGACUUUUCUAAUUUUUGGUUAACUUUUCUAGACAUAGGGAAUGAUUGUUGGCAUUUUCAUGUGAAUUGGUCCGAUUAUUAACCUUAGUUCUCCAUAUUUGAAAAUGAGGCUAGCUGAUGCAAGUUUUCUUUUGGUUCUUGUGUUAUAGUGAGUUCUUGUGAAUUUUAGCUAUGAAUAAACUUGACUGUACUCCGCUAUUAGUUACUACUGAGUAACCGGGGAUCUGCACCUAAAAGUGUUGAUUCUCGCGUCAAAAGGUAGUAAUUCCUAUGAGUACGUGGUCACAUGGCGAUAAAAGCUGAGUAACCGGGCUCCUUCAUCUGGCCAAUGUUGGAGUUCGCGUCAAAAGGCUCUAAUGGCUAACGACUAAGUCUUUUGUUACUAUUUAGAAAAGAAAAAAAAAAGAGAAAAGUAGAAAAAUGUGAAAAAAAAAAAGUGAAUGUUGUGUUAGUGUACAAUAAAAGUCAGCUUGUCGAUUUAUGGAUUUAAUGUUGAGAUUUUGGUUAAUAGUUGGACCAUUUGCUGAUAAAUGUUGCGCGUCAUUCCUUUUUCUUAGAUUAGUUAACCUGGAAUUAGAGGAGUUUGUGGUUUAGAAGCUAACCGGAGUGAUGUUUCUUGGACUUGACCAUUGAUGUUUGAUUAUUAUUUUUCUUGGUAUCUUGGCAAUUUGUUGGAUAGAGCAAUAGUCAUUGUCAAAUAUUGGUGUUUGUUUACUGUUCUUAUGCUUGAGGGCAAGCAUGAUUUAGGUGUGGGGGGAAUUGAUAGGUUACAAUUUUAUCAUUUAUUUUAUUAUUAAUUUUCCCUAUUACCUGACCUGAUGUGAAUUAAUUAUUAGAUUCUACUCACUUUUCGUAAUUUACAUUUAUUUCAGGGAGUAGAACAAAAAUAUCACAAUCAAGACCAAUUUGACAGUUAUCGAAAAAGAGUUCAAAUAGCAGACAAUCAAGAGCAUUCUUGAAACAAGGAGAUGCGACCCUUUCUGGUAAUUUGUGAAAGACAGCAUAAAAGGAGAAGGAGGAACACAGGACUAGGCGUUCUUUCCCUUGGGGGGCUAGAGCCACCGCACAGAGCCAGGCAUUAGAAUAGGACUUUUGAUAGAGGGAGGAGUAGAGGAUUUUUCCUCCUGAAGCUUAGUUUUCCUUUGACUUUUCCAUCGUAGCUUUUGAGGGGUGUAUACACGUCUAUUGUGUCAGCACCUAAAUUGCAUGGCGUGUAUGGCACUAAAUUUCCAGUUCACCUUUCCUACUUAAUGCCUUGCUGAGGCCUCUACUCUGAUUGAGAAACCUUAUAACUGCUGGGGCCUUCUAUUGUGCAAAAAAUCUCAACAAAAUAAUGGUCUGACCCAAGAAGCACAAGAAAGUAUUGUCCUUAACAAUUAGAAUGUCAAAGAAAAAAAAGAGGGAAAUUGACAAUGAUGUUAUGAUUUUAGCUACAUUAUUCAUCUCAUUUUUCUAGUUCCGGAGAAACAAAAUAAAAAGAUUUCACUAAGUUUGCCUUUUGUAAUGUACCGCGCUGGGCUUUGUCCCCCCCCUUAAUAGAAGUUAGAAAUUCGGCUUUUAUAAAUCUAACUUCCAGAAAAAACUUCAAAAACCCGCAACUUUCUGGGGACUUAUAAACCCAAACCCAACGCUUCCCCAGAACCGAUGUGGGAUGGCAACCCCACAAGGGCAAGCCAGUCAAAUGCCCCAUUUUUUGCUAGAAUCUGGGGUUCGUUAAGUUGUCCAUUUCCCUGGAAUUACUUAUUUUGCUUCUCGUUUGGUUCUAUUAUACUAUACAGAAUUAUAUGUAUAUAACGUGGAUUGUCAUCUUAAGAAUCAAGAUUGCCAAUCUGAUCACGUAAAUUGGCCAGAAAUUGGUUGGAAUUCUUUGCAUUUUUCACUUGUGGAAAUAGUUAAAAGAACAGUCACUAAUAUACCUGCAAGUUUUCCAUCACCUCAAACUUUCAUAAAUUUAACAACUCACUAGAAAAAUGCACUAAUAGAUUAUACAAUAAAGAAGAUAGCGAAAGCGUGCCAGCAUAGAAAAGUAGAGCGCGAUUAAUAUUUUUCUAAAUUAUUAAUUAAUUUGAGUCUCUGGAUUUCAAGAAGUCUAAUAAUCAUAUUUAGUACAUUAGCAACAAAAGGAAGAUAAAUGAAAUUGGGCCAAAAACAGUCUGGGCCAACUAGUACAUUUUCCGUUUAUGGGCAAUCAGAUGAAAAGCUAGUGGAGCAUGUGUUUAAGAGUAAAAUGCAGUUUUGGUAUUCAAAUUUUGACUCUUGAACAAUUUUUUUAGUAUCUAAACUUUAAACUUUGAAUGAAAACAAAUUCGAUAUGCACUUGACGGAUUUUUUGUCCAAUUUUCACUAGAAAAAAAAAAUCCCAUGUUGUCAUGUGUCUGGCAACAAAAUUGUUAAAAGAAUUCCAAAAGAAUUGAUGAUGGCCAGGCUAAGGAAUACUAGAACAUGGGUCAUCAUUUUAAAAGAAAUAAAUUAAUCUAAACAAAUAAUUAAUCGAGCUAAUCAUAAUACGCUCAAAACUUCCCUCUUUUCUCCUCUCCUUUUUCAUACCUUUCAUAAACAAACACCUUAAAAAAUAACUAUUCAACUAUUUGUCACAGUAAAUAUAAAAAGUACUGGAGCAUAUAUCCGAGAUUUAUAAAACAUUUGUAUGUACUAUUUUUUUUUUUUUUUGGUCGACACAGGGGUGUCCGGAUCAAUCCUUACGGGGCCCGACUAAUCCAUUUGUCGACUACGUAUGUACUACAUAUGUAGAUUUUAGAACUUUGUCAUACCAUUGUAUGACGACUCAAGUGAUAUUAACAGCUGGGUCAAUUUGAAGUUGUCAACAAAAGCUACAAGUGAUUAAUGGACUAAUAAGUCUAAUUUUAAGCACAAGAACCACCUUCUAGAAACUUAUCUAUUUUCUUUAUUUAUUGAUAGAAAGAUAGGCAAAUUUUAUUAAUAGCAUACUAAAUCUGCUUCAAGAACAACAAAAACAAAAAUAAUAAAAUAAGGUGCAUUACACGUGUCGACAUUGAAGUAAAAUUUCUCCUUUCAAUUUUAAAAUAAUACUACUUAUCAUCUUACUUAUAACUUACAUACUAAUAUGUGAUGAAAAAGGAAAGGGAAAAUGGCAGUCAUAAUUGCAGCUCAGGCAACCUUUUUUUUUUUUUUUUUUUUUAAUCUAAUUUGCUAAUUCUUGGGACAUAAGGAUAGAACUGACUUCAUCUAAAUAAUAAUAAUUCCUUGACAAACUUGAAUGCUAUUAAUUGCCAUAGAAGAUGCUUGGCAAUUUCACUAUUUGGCCUUUCUUAAUCAAUCCAUGAGGCUUACAUCUUGGACAAAACUUGGACGCUUUCUCAAGAAUGACAGAUAGCUGCGUUCAACUGCCAAAAUGUAAAUGAGAAGGGAAAUGAUAAUCAUAGGUGGUGACAUGGGCAACAUCAAUCAUGUCAUCUGUUAAUCCAGAAAUAAAUUUGAAAAGAAUAAAAGAUAGGAGUUUAUUUGGAUGAUUUAUUUGAAAUAAUUACUGUAGCACUUUUUGUGAUGUGAUAUAUGUGAGAUAAAAAGGUGAUUGGAAAAAUAAAAAGGCAAUUGAAAUUUGUGAAGCAAAUUAUUUUAUCUGAAAUCAAGGCAAUCCAAACAAGACGAAUAAAUUGGCCUUACUAACUAUCCUUGGGAAUUAGACUAACAGCAUAACUGGAGUAAUAUUUGUUUGCUUAAAAACUUAUUUGGAUGUUUUGAAAUGGCUGUGGUUGUUUGACAAAUUUGGAUGCUUUUGUAUUGGCAUUUUUACUUAACUUUCUCAACUAUUUUGAUUGUGGACAAUAUCUCAAUGGUUGUUGUAUUUAUGAAGGAGAAUAAUUUAUGUCUAAGAUAAAAUUGAACUCGGAAUCCUUUACUUACAACACCUCCCACCUUAUCGCCCACACCCAAACCUCUCCAACUUGAAUCAUAAUUUGGUCUUAAUCACUUAUCCUCAAGAAUUAGAAUUAGAAUGCGCAUCUUAUUUUGUUUGGUUCCCUCAAGUGGCAGAGCAAGAAUUUUUAUCGGAUCAAUUAAUGGUCAGUUUUUGACUAAUGAAAAUAUUCUAAAUAAGAUUGUGAAAUCAAUUAAUUUCAUAUACAAUCCAAAUAAGAUUAUGAACUCCUUGUUUGUUUAAUUAAUUUCAUGUGCUAACGAUUGUACUUGCCAAAUAAUUGACGGUGACUUUAAUAAAAUUUCUUUGUUAGGGGUCAAAGUUCUUCCUUUCAGCACUAACUGUGUUACAUUCUGAUAUAUAGUCCAUGUUCUACCCAUCUCAAACUUUCUAUAUUAUUUCUAGGUCCGAGACAAAUAUUUUUUGUUUUUGAAAGAAAAAGUUUGAAUGAUUUCGACCCUAGUUAUCACCAUGGUAAAAUACGGUAUACUUUUAUAUUUAUUUAUUCAAAAAACAGAGGUCCGACUAAGAAUCCGGCUAACUGACAAGAAAAAAGCAGUGUCAAUCGAUUGAUUUUGGCCCAAGGAAAGUACUUAGCAGUUGAAUAUUCUCACUCAGUAAAAUGGUCAGAUCCUUGAGAAUCUCAAAGUAGAAGCAAUGAUUCUAUUCCUUAAACCUGAAACAAUUUUCCGUGCUUAGACAUACUUUGGAAUAAAGCAUCAUUUCUUUUAUGAAAAAAAAGACAAUCUUGUAUAUUUGGUUAUUUGACACAAGACGUCAAUACACUUCAAAUGAAACAGUGAAUCCAACAAAUAAGGCAUGACAAGCUGUGAUUAAUGCCAUACAAACGUGAGUUUAUCUUUACGAUUUAUUCAGGAAGUUGCUGUUAGUUUCAUUAAAUUAACAGAGAAGAUAGUGAAGAGUGAAGGGCAGAGCCAUUCCAAAAUGCCAAAGAGGCAGAGAGAUUAUAAAGAUGAUCAACUAACUAAUCAUAAUCAGCCACAUACCCUUCAAGAAGGGCAUCAUACAGGGAGGCUUGAAAACAACUUUUAGUCCAACAUAACGACAUUCAACACAAAUAGCCAAAUAUCUGAGGUUUGAGAAAUGACAGCAAUUGUUGCAGUCAAGCAAUAGCAAUGAAAGGGGGGACUACACAUCCAAAAGAAGGCACAACAAUAUGAUCAGUGUGGAACAAAAUUUGCAUUAUAAACUAAUUCAGAGCCAGCUACAAUGUCACAGAAGAACAGGCAAUAGGCAUGAAACUUCCAAUACAGGGAUAACAACACUUUUUCUGUGUCCUACUUGGUCCGACCAGGGACAAAAGAACAUCUGGCCAAAUUAAAACAGAGAGGUUGGAGCUACAAUCCUUGUGAUUUCAAGACUACUUCAUUAAAAGUAAUGUUCAUUACUACCGGAGAUAGGCUGGAAAAAUUCUUUCAAAUGCAGUUCAAGAACUAAGUAGAAACUGCUGAAACCAGUCACAUUGCUCGAAAAUUUAAAAAGAACAAAAAAAAAUGAGAAAGAAGAAGGGAAAAAGGAACUGCUUAGAAUCAGAGAGAGAAGAGGGACUUCUGAGAGCAGCACUAAUCGGCGGGGACAACUCUGGCAAGUGGAUGGCAAAGACAGCACUAAUCGGCGAGGACAGCACCAAUCCCUUCCCUUUUGUGUAGAAAUAAGUUCAUCUGAAAGUUUUUAUUAUUUUUAGGUAACUAAUUAUGAUUAUUACUACUACUACUACUUUCUGUACCGAUACAGACAUGAGAUGAUUUACUUAUAUUGGCCGUCAAAGUCUAGAGGCAUAGAAAAGUAGAAAUGCUUUCCUUGUAACAUAUCCUGAGCUAAUGAUAUGAGGCCAAGAUGUGUAAGAUCCAUGUCACAUUAGUGCUUCAUGGAACAAUAUUGACGUACAAGGAGACAAGUUCGCAUAGAAGUAAUUUUACAAAUAGAUGCUAUGUUAAAUGUCAGUUUGAUGAACUAAGGUUGACCUUAUAUGUUCCUAUAUAAUCCUGUUCAAUUGAUUUCCAUAAUUUCAUCUCUCCAACGUUCCCAUCCACCAAGUGGGAUCCUUUCUUGCAUAGAAAUGGGUACCUUAGCAAUUCAGUUUUCUAAAUUGCUCUCGAAUUAACAUAUAUAGAAGGGCUCAACCUGACUGAUUCUUUGUGCUCUGAGUCCUGUCUGAGCUUUACAGAUACAAGGAGCAAUGGAAAAGUAUCAUUGGACACAACCAUGUAGUCAACUGCAAAACACUGAGAAAAAAAUAUGUUGACUGUUGUAGAGCUAAGAUACAACUUCAAGAAGGAUGCAAGCAGCUAUCAGGGUUCAGCUAAUCCACAUCUUUCUGCUGCAAAAUACUGGCUACUUUGAACUACAAGCAGCACGGAAGAUAUGGCAAAUUGAGUUCCAAAAGAAGUAAAAGAGCACCUCAUUAACAUGUUUACAAAUUGCUGAAUCGGUUGGACAGUUUAAAAUCACCAGCCGACAAGGAAGAUCUCAGGCUUUGGCCGUCCAAGGCAGAGAGCAAAAGAGACUCCAUCCUGGAUGUUUUCAUUUGAUCUGAUUGAAACAGGAUCUGGUUCAGCAAAGGAUCAUCGGACUUUUAAUAAUGUACCAAGGAUAGUAAGUAAGAGCUAUGAAGGUUUUGAGCGUAAAAUCACUGCAAAACACAAGAACUCAAGAAACUGGAGACAACACAUAGUUGCAUGACAUUUUUAUUGUAUUUGAAACACUAAAAUAAGAACUUACCAUGACGAGAGGAGCAACCAACAAGUAUAGAAGGUGGGAUGAGCUUAAUAGCCUUCAUCACAGCGGAUGAAACAAUUGCAGCAAGUAGCAGCGGGCAGCAAGUAUGCUUGACAGUCUUGACUAACUGCGGCGAUAUGCUUCAAAACUUGCAGCUUAGACUUGAUUGUGUUAGAAGAUACUCUAACAAGUCCGUGCAGCUUUUUUGCAUGAACAGACAUCUUCUGUCGCUGCUCCAAAAAACAUCUACAUUAGGAGAAGAUUUCUCAAGUUUUAGUUGUAAUAUAAUCAGAAUCAAAGUAUUUAAAAGUAAAAAUUGAGUAGUAAAGAAGAGUAGUAUAUCUGACCUUACCGGACUCUUAGAACCAAAAAUCAGUUUGACAACCAACAGCUUUGGAAACUUCUGAAGUCUUUAUGGCUAGAAAAAGGAAAAGUGAGACAGAAACCCAUCAUCUACGAGAUUAUCGAACAAAUCACUAAUCAAUUGGUUCAAGAAGCUUGAUAAAUGCGCCUUCAAGAGGUGAUUAAACUUUGGAGCAACUAUUUACUCCCUCUGGAAUCAUAAGUUAGGGAGCUGAUCACUUUAGCAAUCACAUCUUACAUCAACAAAAGAAGAUAUAUAAAAUCAACAAAACGAAGCUCCUAGUGCUUAUUUCAUAUUGAUGGGUAACUUGUCGGAAAUGCAAACCAAAAAUUAAUUAAUACCAGCUAUAAAAAUCCAAUCUACGUUCAUCCAGGGGAGAGACCACAAAAAUCUGCUUGCUAAGUGUAGGAGAAAGACGUGCAGCAGAGAAUUGUUGGUUUAAAGUCUUGUAGAAAAGGUUUCUAGAAUUGCUGCAUGUGAUAUCGAAUCUAAAAUGUCCAAUGCAUUUUCAACAGGUGAAACUUCAGAGUGAGCAACCAUUUCAUCCUGGUGAAAUCAUGAGUUUAAAGAGAGUGCGCUGAUGUUAGCAAACACAACGUACAAAGGACAGUAACUGACAUACACGAUAAACAAAACUAAAUGCUCAAUUCCGCCCCACAUUAGUGCAUUUGUUUCAGUGUUAGUUCAUCCAAAACAUGAUUCAGUUAACCCAAGAAAAUCUCAUUCAUUUUCCAUGUUUGAUCUAGUACAGAAACAUGGUAUUGAAUUAAGCCUUCAUUUGCCAUGUUUGAUCUUUGCAUCAGCAGAUAAUAUGUGAUAGAACGUGAGCAAUACCAAUUUAACACUAGAAAUUAACCAAAAAGAUUGUUUAGUUCCAUUAAUUGACAUGAAGCCGUGCAUGGCUUAUUAGUGGUAAAGGUAAAAGAACCUACUCUGUUGUUACUUCAAUUAUCAGUUGAUAUACUCUCAAGGAAAGAGAGGAUUUUCAAAAGUGAAGGCAGUAAUUAAAGAACCUACUCUGUUGUUCCCCGACUGAGCUUUAAGCCUACAGUCACUGCAAAACAGAAAACUCAGAUUCAGGACUUCACAUAGCAAAUCAUAAGGCUAACUGGAAAUUGCAUGACAUUUUUUUUAGUCAAUUAUUCAGAAAGCCAAAUCAAUAUUUGUUUCUGUUGCGCUUUUCUAACCUAAAUCAGUAAGAAUAUAUCAAAUUUUUCUGCUCAGUCUACAAGUACCAGAAGUGCCAUAGAAACUAUAUUAGUUUUGGUUCAAAACACUGAAAAAAGAGUAGCACCUACAAGCGUGAAAGGCAGAGAGCUCCUGAAUUGCCAUGAAGGCAAACUCUUUGAGACAGCAAGAUGCAACGCGUAGAGCUAAUUAUAACUCUUUUGACUCUUAAAAUCUCAAAUCAUGGCAUUUGAACAUAAACUUCAGAAGGCGAUAGUCUACCAAGCCUCUGCUGCUUGAAGAAGGUCUUAAACAUAACAAUUUUUUAAAGGUUUUAAUUAAUUCAUUGGAUAUUAAACUUCUUAAAACCCAAUAUUAAGCAGUGGAAGAAGAUGAUUGGUAUUAAAAAUUAUCUGACAGUAAGUAAGUAAGAGCCAUGGAUGAGGUUCCCUGUUGAGUUUUGGGCCUAAAAUCGCUGCAAAGCACAAAAAUUCAAACUCAAGCCGGCGAAUAGCAUAGAAUAAAGCAAAUGGAAAUUUUCAGAUAAUUGCAGGUUUUCUGUCAUUGUAACUAAAGCCCCAAAAGGAGAAACUUACCAUUAAAAAAGGAAGCAACCAACAAUCAUAAAAGCAGAGAGAGCUUAAAAGCCUCUAUCAAGAUGGAUUCAUUAAGAGAAGCAAUUCACAACAAGCAAACUUGACUAACUACCAGAAUGCUUCAGAACAUUGCACAUAGAGUUGUUCAGUUGGAAGAUACUCCACCAAGUUUUGUGCAACUUCAUUGCUCAAACAGUACAAACCUUCCUUUGCUACCUCAAAAAUAUCUUCAUGACAACAAGAUUUCUUCUGUUUUAUAUGUAACAUAUUAGAUAUUAAAGUGGUUAAAAGUCAAAAUUGAGUAGUGAAAGAAGAGAAGCAUAACUAAAAUUACCAGAAUUUUUGAACCCAAACAUGAAAGUGAUGACCAACAGUUGCGAAAACUCCUCAAUAAUUGACCAUUGUCUUCAUGGAUCAAAAUCCAAAAUCAAGGAUAAGUGAGCCAGAAAACCAUCUUAUAUGACUCUGAUAGAGCAAUUACUAGCCAAAUAGUUCAGAUAAGUACGCAAGUUCAUUAUCAAGAGGUAAAAGUUCAGUCCCCUUAGAAUCACAAUUUUAAAUAGAGUGAGAUGACUUUAGCAUUAAUAACUUAAAAUCCACAGAAGCAGAUCACGUAAAAUAAACAAAACAAGACUUCUAGUUGUUCUAAACGUUGAUAGACUAUUUGUAGGAAAUGCAGGCCAAAAGUUAUUGAGUUCUAGCCAUAUAAACGGUGCUGAAGAAGCUUCAAAAUUCUAACCUCUGUUCGUGAAGCUAUUCUUCUAUCAAUCCUACAAAAACAAAGCAUAGAACAGAAUAUGAACAGAGAUACAGUAAAACAUCAAAGCACGAAAUAGAACAGGUGCUUGGGGUCAUUCUAAUUGAUAGUUACAAGAGCAUUACUAUUAUGUUGUAAGGAGUAAAUGAAGAGCACCAAUAUUUUGGACCUAAUAAGAAAUGCUAAUGCCGCAGCUUUGAAAGAUAAUAAAUAGGACGAUAAAAAGGGAGAAGAGAAAAUUGUGAAAAUAACCACGGAGACUUUUUAGGUUUUCUCACGAGAAGGUUAAUCAGAGGGGGAGGUGAAGAGAACGGGAGAUUGAUUGCAAAGCAAAUUAAGAAAGUGGUUAUUGAAGGCAAUCUUACGUGAUUGAAUUUGAUCUGAAGAUGAAAGUUGGUUAAUCAUCGGUUAUGUCUAGGUCUUGAAUGUGAGAAACUUUGGACCACUGGGAGUCGGGGCCGCUGCUCCCAGGAGUGCAUCUUUCUUUUAACAGAGGAGAACCAUGGACCUGCAGACGUUUUAGUUUGGUGAGACUUCUCAUGGCAUCCUCAGAGGGUAGAUGUCCAAGCCCUUUGAAACCAGUUAACCGCAGCGCUUCAAGAGUAGCGAAGUUUCCGAACCAAUCUGGCAGAGCUUUUAUACCUCCAAAGCCACGUAGCGUUAGUGACGUGAGAGUGGUCAAGUAUUGGAUCUGAGGUGGCAGUGACUCCAUGUGUGGCAACCCAUAUAAUACUAAUCGACGGAGUGCGCAUGACGAAGAGGAGGAGGAGGAGGAUAUCAAUCCAGACCAAUCAAACUCAUUGUAAAUUGAAGAAUUUUCAUGAUCAUCACCAUCAUCUGAGAAGGGACCAAUUUCAAGCUCCCUUAAGCUAGUUAGGAAACCAAAUCCUUUGGGCGUCAUGCUUGUUUUCAGUUUGGGACACCCCAAUAAUUUCAGCUCCGAGAGAGAAGGCGUUUGUUGCAAAUCAGGCGGAAAGGAGAUAAGAUUGUCGCACCCACUCACCUCAAGCUUCUGGAGAGAGGCACAAGAGUGUAGAAUGUCACCGGGCAGAUUCGUUAACCCAUCACACUUAUAAAUCUCCAGCUCUUUAAGAGACGUAAAGUUUUGUAGGGGAUGGAGUUCUCUGCAUCUGUUGCAGCAAUUAAAUUCCAAACGCGCUAACUUGGGGAGUGUUGUUGCUAACUUGGGGAUUGUUGUUGUUGUUGGCAAAUCCAUUAACCAUCGAGGAAAUUGAUCGCCCAUAAAAUUCCAAAUUACCAACUCCUCCAAAUUUGGGUGGGGUCGAAGGCUGUCUAACACAUCUUCGUCGUUGUAAUUGUCGCCUUCUCGAUCAUCUGCCCACUCAAGUUCCAGCCUAAAUAGAUUUGCCUUUUCAGAUAGUUUUGCUUCCUCAGCUCCUUUCUUAUCCGUUACUAGUUCCAGAUUGCGUAUCUCCAAUUUGCCUUUGAGGUUCUUCAAGCUUCCAAGCUCUCCAAUUCGCCGACCCUUCUCUCGACCCACGUUAAAGAACUCUAGCGUCCGAAGGCAAGUCAGCCGUCCCAUCUCUAGCGGCAUUUGAAAUGUUUCAUCAAAUGUGUAAUAGUGGAGAUGUCUCAAACUAAUCAAAUUGCACAUCCUCUCCGGAAGACGGUCAACAUCUGAGUGACUUAGCGUCAAUGUCUGCAGAUUAUAAAGCUUGCAAAGGGAGUCUGGCAAAAUACUGAUUGCAGACCACUUAAGGUUAAUGUACCGCAAAUGUAUCAGUUUGCCAAUUGAGACUGGUAGCUCUCGAGUUCUUGUAUGAGACAAAUUCAAAACAUACAAGUUCUUCAACUUCAUUAACAUAUCACCAGAUAAGUAACCUUUUACAAACAAUGUAUGAAGCGAAGUUGAUAGACUCUCCAAAAGUUUUUCUCUGUCUUCUCCACCACCAAAUAAGUCUGUUGCAAGGUAACGAAUCUGAUUACCAUUGCCUACUAUACUCGUAUCCCUAUCAAUAAUGACUUUGGUAGACUUUGACAUUAACUCGGCAAGGUCGUGCACCAGAUCAUGCAUCUUAUAAGAUGUUGAUGUUUCUGACUCAUCAAUUAUUUCUUCAAACAAUGAACUCUGC
rnacentral:lncRNA from 1 species